AGAGACUAUUUAAGCCAUAAAUGGCCUUCUAUAGCUUGCAGACCUCAUCAAACUGCACUUGUGAGACAUGCUGAGAAGAAGGUUGCUCCAUGUGAAUUUCUUCCUAGACAUCACCAUGAAGAACUGGAUCCAACCCAUAGGAGGAUUAUAAUUUGGAAACUAUGAGAGACAAACACAUAUGAAAAAUGUCAAACUGGUUGAGAACCCAAAAACAAAUUGAAUGGGAGAACAUCGGUGGGUCAGUGACAGAGCCAGACCCUAUGAUUUCAUACAGUUAAUACGAUUACAGAUACUACCUGUAUAAAUGCUAAAGUCAGUUACACUUAUAUAGAUCCCUUCCUUCCACUCAGCUGAUCAAAUCAAACAGGAAAACUUAAGAAAGCAAAGAUGAAGAUGAAGAUUGACAUUUGGGAAAAAGGAGAGCAACAUAAGUUGUAUCACUUUCAUGUUGUUGCAGUAUUACUGGGAAAAAGCUUCUUUAUUUCUUCUAGUCUUUUCUUUUUUGUUUUUUUUUUUUUUUUUUGGUUGGGCAGUAUCACACAAAACCAGACCCAGAAUCUCUUGUGGACUGCCUCUUGAACCAGUCCUCAAGAUGCCUAGAGAGUAAAACAAUAAAUCCUUUAACAUUCCCAAGAAAGGCAAGUAAUGACACACACUACCAAAUGAGACUGUAAAGUAAAUGGACGGUUGAAAAUUAAAUAAUACAUGCAUUUUGACCAUACAAAUUUUGUAGACACACGGUUAAUUAACCAACAAUUUGCACUGUGAAUUUAACAGACCUUACAUCCAUCUUAUAACUACAAUGUUAAUUGCAAUGACUUGAUGAUAUAUCAUACUAAAUCAAGUGUCCUAUGCAGCAUAUGAAGCAAAACGGAUGCUUGGACCCAGGUCCCAGGGUCACAUAAAACCACAAAGUGAAUGGAUAUAACUCCACAAUAAAUCAACUGUCUUAUAACACUAAUUUGGGAUGAGAAAUUGAAUCAAAUCCAAAAUUCUAGUAUCAACGAGCAGGCAUCUUAAUCAAUAAUAUAGGAAUACUAAAUAAAUCUAGGUGUCUACCCAUCCCUUUUAACCUCCCUUACCUAUUCUAGCACAACCAGUUUAUACCAAGCCCUCACCAGCACCAAUGACCUCCUUUGGACAGGACAAAACAAUCUUAAUUGAUUCCACACCAUCUUAUCAUAAAUUGUGGCCAGGAUAAUGUGAAGGAUACACAUCUUAGCAAUCUGAUCUACCAAUGCUUUUAUACAACCACCUUGGUUCCCACUUCAAUGAUACCUUAUAAGUUGUUUUCCACCCAACAUCUAUUAGCCAACCAAUUUUCUCCACAUCAACAACAAUGUUCCUUUUGCAGCAAAUCAAUAAAUUGCAAUUCUCACAAGUCAGAACAAAGGGGACACUUUUAAUGAUGAUUUUAAGCCAGGAAACCUACUGCAAAUUAUUCUAGUGAUAUUCAAAUUGAACAAACAAAUAACAAGAAGUGUACAAAGUCAGAGAAGCUCCAAUGAAGCAAGUCAAAGCAUGGUAGCUAAGUGAUUAUUGAAGAAGAUAAAUUGUCUUCAAAACAUUAAGCAGUAAGAAAUGCCAAACACAGCACAAGUUAGCAAGAGUCAAUCCACACAUAAUAUCGCACAAAUGCCUUGUCAAUCUAACCUUUAAACUUCUUAUCUCUUCUUGUAGCUUUUCAUUUGCAUCUUCAAGAUCCUUAGCUUCAUUUCUCAGCUGGUUCAGUACUCGGAUGGCAUCCCCAAGUAUGGCCAAUUUGUCAGUUUUGGCAGAUUUACCAGGUUCUAAAAUGGAACUCAAGUCUAGAAACCUAAAUCGGACAAACAAGAUUUUUCCUUUGAGACACCAUCCAUCACCUUAUAGAUUGAUCAAUGGAUAGAUACACAAAAAGACAUAGAGAGCACAUAAGAAAUCUGUACAAGUAUCAAACUACAAGAAAUCAAUAAAAGAUUUGGACUACUCAAAUGGUCACAUUUCCCGAUGACAGAUAACAUACGCAAUGAUGAUGAAUCCCAUACCAUUAAAGAUUGUGUUUUUUGAAAUAAUUUUUUGAUAGGUAAGCAACUUAUCAAAAACACCAAACAGGCUAUAAACCAGUACAUGUGAUAUGUGUUAGGCACACAAAGGAAAGGAAAAGGAAGAAGAGAGGAAGACACCCUCCCUUAGUUAUACAGCAGAAGCAAUAAAUAGAAUCCAAAAUUGAUGUAUCAUCAGCAUAUUUCACAGACAAAAAAAAAUAACAAGCUUAAGAAGCAUUUCCUUCAGCUCAAAAUUGGAGGUUCCUCAUCCCAAACAUGUUCCCUAUUUCUCUCUCCAUAUGAACCACAUAACACAUGAGGGUACAAAUCUCCAAAACUUCCACCCUCCCUCCCCAGCUUCCUCCCACACCUACAAUUACCAUUCUGGCCUUUGUGAAAUGCAUCAUCUGCUCCAAAGAGCGUAAAUGAAGGUUCACAAUUCUUGCUAUACUACAAUAAACAAAGAGAUGAUUGCAAGCAUCAUAUUCUUUUUACCUUACAUAACUCCUGCAACAGAUUAAAGGCACGUAGCUGGGAAGUGAAAGACCGUUAUUUUUUUAACCUUAGACAAAAUUAAUCUGAUCUAAUAUGCCUCACCUAUUCUUGAACAAAUGCAGUUGCACAUCAGUCAAAUAAAACCAUGACAUCAAAAAAAAAAAAAAAAGGAAUCUGAUCCAACAAAACACAUGCCUGUCAUUCAAUCUUUCCCUUCGCAAUUUCUCACGGCAAGCUUUGGUUCCAGGCCUGGUGGAUGAAUCAUUGCGUCCCCUACAAAUAGUCAACAUGAAAUUAUCAUGAAAAUCUAAUUACAAAAUGAAAAAUAUGGAUCAAGUUAUUCUACCAGAAAGACUUAUAAAAUGAUAAACAAGGAACCAGCUCAUUUGAUAGUUUUCUAUCUUUUUUCAACUCAUAGUGUAAAACGGUCAUGCAAAUGAAAGCAUUCAUAAAGAAUAUCACACUUCUAUUCUAGCAAGAUUAAAAUAAAAAAAUAAAAAAUAAAAAAUAAAAUAAAAAGAUUGCUAUGAUGGAGACAACUGACAGCCACCUUUACAAGUUUACAAGGAGUAAAGGAAUGGGCUUUAAGGCCAAUCUUUAAUUUGGCAUUCUCUAGAUGACAUUGAGCUUACUUGCGAUCUUAUAUAGUUCAACAUGGACUCAGCCUAGAAGUACUUUCCAGAAAUCAGAUAAUGGGCUUCAUCAAUGGUCUUAAGUUCUUACUUUCAGUCGUUUAUGUUGUCAUUUUCCAAGAGUCUUUUAAUAUGGUCAAGUAGUCAUUCAAAGUCUCUGAUAUUUUCAAUCUUCAUUGCUACUGUGUGAGUAUUUCUAAGAAGUUAUAACUCUUUAGAGAAGUUCUAUAUAGUAUUUGAUAAAAUCAAUGAAUGAAUGAUAAAAAUUUCCAACACCAUUAGUAAUAAAUGAUACCACCAUUAGCAAGCACCUAUUAUACAUUUAUUUUUUAGAAAUUUAGAAAAAACAUUAAAAUAAAAAACCAUGAGAAGAACAACUUGAAUCAACUCAAUGACUGGACAAGUGCAACAAUGUUUAGAACAUGAGAGCUCCACAUGUUCAAAAUAUAUAUCCCAUAUAGGUAAUGCUAAAUAGCACAAUUUUCCCUUUUCUACUUUCACCAGUUACAUGGAGAAUAAGAGCUUUAAAGAACAUAUUAAGAGGACACUUAUUCCCUAAAACUUGCUCUUUUGAUUGUCUCAUUUAAAGUAAGGUAAGAACAUUGAAAAACAAAUUUGUGACACUAUCCAACAAUUCAUGGAGCAAUGUUAUAUAGAUACCAGUAUGAGCAUCAAAUUUUCCAUGAGCCCUUAGAUUCAACACCAGAAGAACCUUAGGAUUUGACUAUGAGGCAGAAUAUUUAAAAAAUGUUUUACAACGCAAGUACAUUUAGAGAAUGUUUGGCCUUCAAUGUGUUACAUCUUCUUACCCAUCUACAUCUGAGAUCACAGAAUUCAAAAACUUAACAGUGUAAAGGUUAUGGGGUUGUUAAGCAUAUAAUUACAAACUACAGUCUAGAAGUGUAAACUUCACCAACUCAUGGAUGCAACAAUCAUCAUCCUUAAACCCUCAUGCGAACCAAAUACACUUAUCCAACCAUGUUCAAUAUCAAUCCCUCAAUAUUCUAUAAAAUCCCGAAAUAUAAAUAGCAAUUCAUAUUAAUUGCAUAAUUCUCUGACCACAUACACCAUUGAAUUCAAUCCCAAAGGCAAGAAAAUAAAAAGACAACAAGGGGAAGAAACACAUUGCUACAUGAUGUUACUCAAUCCCGAUAGCAUAGUUUUCCCACAUUUAAAAAAAAAAAAAAAAAAAAAAAAAAAAAAAAAAAAAGCUCGCAUAUUAUUCAAAUCAUACAGUUCAGCAUUGAUAAGAGAUUUCAUUCCAGCAUAUUGCACAUUAGAGUUACAAAUUACCUCUUCUGUCUGCCUUCAUUUUCUUGCGACGCAGCACAAAUACGCGAAAGAUCAAUAUCGACACCAGCACUGAAAUAGAACAAGCAUACCAAUCACAUUAACACGCCGAUCUAAAGUAUCCUCAUUUCAAUUUCACGAUUAAAACAAUUUCAAACAACUUUAGGUCAAAAUGACUCGGACCGAUAUUCUAAUUAUCCGAGGUGAAGCUGAGUCGCCAAGACAACAAUUAACUAUCAAACUUAUAAAAUCAAUCACACAAUUAUGUUUCGCCAAGCCGCUGAUUGGCUGCCGAGAAAGCAAAAGAAAGGAAGAGAAAAUUUAAACAUACAGGUACCCGUCGUUUAUCCAAGAGAGAUCGUUGGAUGUGACGUCGUCUAUCAAUUUAUGAUUAAGAAAAUCCCAAGUAUCAUCGUCGAAGGAAUCCAUGGAUUUGGGAUAGGCAACAGGAAUCCAGCACCUAGUUUGGAGGGGGAGAUGGAUAUUUUGAAAGAAAAUUGCCCAGCAAAGGCCCUAAAGUGGCACCACGUGGAACACGUUUGAAUAAGUAUGACGGCGAGUUGCCGCUUCCUGUUUUGACCAACACGUGUGUCUGCACCUACUCCUUUCCCACGCGCCUCUGUCGUCGUCGAUUCGGGUCCGGUGACCCUCUCAAUUUUAAUUAACUGGAAAAUACGCGAUUUACUGAUUUGAGUGAUUUCCAUUUUUAUUUUUGAAAAAUAAAAAUUAGGAUAAAAAAUAAGUUUCGACUUUAUCUUUUUUAUUUAUUUAAAAAUAAAUAAAAUAAAAAUUUUGGAAAAGGCUUGAUGUUUUAUUUUUCAAAAUUUCUUGAGACAAUUAAAAAUUAUCUUUUGUAAAUAAAAAAGAAUAAAAUUAUAUCUUAUAUUGGGUAUAAAAGGGAUACAUAUAUUAUAAAUAUGAAAUACAUGGAAAAGUAGGUUUUUAUUCACUAAUUUAAAAAAAUAUAGAAAAAUAACCUAAAUUUUUAUUAAUCAUAUUUAUCUUUACCUAUUUAAAAAAAUUUUAAAAUACAUGUAUUUUUAUAAUUUAAAUAAUUUUUUCUUAAAAUGAUCAUUUGACAUAUUUAUAACACUAAUUAACAACUUUUUAUUGUGAGAAAUGAUUUAAGAUUAAUAAAAUAAGAAAUUCAAAAAAUUAAAACUAUAAUACUUUAAUACGAAAAAUACAGCAUAAAAUAUUAAUUUUUACUUCAUUAAAACACUUUGAUAAAAAAUAUGAAUAUCAAAAAAGAGUUGGAAAUAGAAUGAGUAAAUAUUUUUAUUUUAAAAUUUUUAAGUUUUUUUGUUUUUAAUUAUAUUUAAUUUUAAUUGUAUUUUUAAUUUUAAAAUUUUGUAAAAAAAAAUUAUUUAAUUUUAUUAAAUAAAAUGAGAAAUUGAAAAGAUUUAUAUAAUAUAUGAUAUAAAAUCAUUAUUAAUUAGAAGAUUAAAAAGAUUAUAUUUAUCACUUAUGAAUUUUGAAAAAAAAAAUCCACAAAUCUCAUAUUAUAUAAUAAAAAAUUUAUAAUAUAUUUAUCAGUCAAACACCUUUAUUAAAUUAAAAUAAUAAAUUAAUUUUAAAUAAUUUUAUUUAAAGUAAAAUGAUAUUUCAAGAAAUAACUAUUUAAAUUAUGAAAAACUACGUUUAUUUUUAAAUGGGUGGAGAUAAAACUAAUUUUUUUUAAAAAAAAUUAAAGUUAUUUUUCCUAUAUUUUAUCAAAUUAAGGAAUUAAAACCCACUUUUCCUAGUAAAUAUUAGGAUAAAGAAAUAUUUAUAGACAUCAAUUUCAUUCAUUGUUUUGAAUGAAAUUGGAUAUGGGAAAUUCGAUAACAGGCUAAAAUGAAAAUUUUAUUAAACCAGGAUUUCCAUCAGUUGUAUACAUGGAUUUCUGUGUCAAUUUAUAGUUUCGAAACAGAAUCAUUUGAUGAGAAGCGGUCAGCAGAGAGGACUUCCAGCCAAAAAAAGUUGAAACAUAAUCAAAUGACAUGAGCUUCAUUCUUAAGCUGGUCGAUCAGCUCAUCCACGGAAGAAACAAUAACUCCUGCUUUUCUCUUGGGAGGCUCAGUGACCUGAACAACCUCCAAAUCGGAUUUGAUAUCUACAUUCAAUUCCUGUGGAGUGAACUUCUUUAUUACCUUCGAUUUUGCUUUCAUAAUGUUGGGGAGUGUUGCAUACCGAGGCUGGUUCAGUCUCAAAUCAGUGCUGCAUGAGGUACAAAAUAUCAGGUCAAGUAAUGAGAUGAAACACAGAGCCAAGUUGCAUUUAUGCUAGCCUAUGGCAAAUAAUUGCAGUCAGCUUUCUGAUAAUAGCUUUGUUCAUCUGAGAAACACUUCCUAUUCAUGUGUUAUCAGCAUUUCCACAUGUUGCCUACUGCCAUUGGGCAAAAGCUUGGAUGAAAAAGAAGCAUGUUUUUGUCUUAAUUCUCUUAAGCAGAAUCAAGGAAUAGGGUUUUUGAGCAGAACUUCAUGUUACGAGUAGAUCCUUCCAUCAUUUGAGCACUAGCUAGCUAGGAAUUCUUACAAGUACAGAAUAUAAAGCUUGUAAUGACCAUGAAUGGGCUGCAAAGAACACAUGAAUAACUUCAAGAGUUCAAAACAGACAACAAAUUUUGCCCAUAGCAUAUAUUUUUAUACAGAAAAAUCAGUUGCAUACUCUUAAAUGGUCAAUUAAAGCUCAUCAACCAAAUCUGAAGCGUCACAAUUUAACAUUUGCUUAAGCCCACAUGACUUGCAUCAGGUACUCAGUCAAUAACCACAAUAAUCCCACUAGGACCUCCUCCUCUGUUCAUCAUUGAAGACCUUGGAAUUAGGGGACAUCAUUUACAUGGAAUUAGGGGAAUUAGAAGACCUUGGAAUUAGGCAAUAAGCUCAUAUGCUCUCACACUUCCCAAAGACAGUCCUCAUAGAUGGGCAAUCCUCAUCUUAAAAGCACAUCAAUCCCUAUUACAUUUGGUUUCUAACUUUAUCAUAUGCAAACAAUAUGAGACCUUUGACGCUACUGAAAUAUUAAUCUAGACAGACAUUCAUUAACUACAUUUUUCCCUGUUAUACAGAGUAGUGAAAGGUUCUAGAAAGUUUUUAAGCCAAUACACCACUGCAUACACAUCGGAAUAAAAGUUCUGCUUACAGAAACAACGCUACAAUACAUCCUAUUAAGUCCCAUACGAUAUGAAUAUUAUUAACUAUUUUCUGAUAACCCAAGAAAGAAAAGACUAGAAUAGAAUAAAUAUAUUUUAAAGCAUAUUUUCAAACUGGAAGUUAAUUAUAAUCAGUAACACAAUUAAAUAAUGAAUUUAGAGUCACAUGUUUCUAAACCAAAAAAGACAAGUUGUUUAAUUAAUAUGAAUAUAAAUUUAAAAAUAAAACUUUAAAAAUAUGAUCUAUCUAUGUUUCAAAGGUUUGUUAUAGAGAUUUCAGAGAUUUCACGCUUUCUUUUAUAAGCACAGCCAACCAAAAUACAUUAACAAACAGUUUUUCCAAGAGAGAAGACGAAUAAAAACUUCAAGAAGAAAAUUUGUUUAAGUUCAGCAUAAGAAAAUAAUUUGAGUUUAAAUCCCCAAAUCUACAUCAUUCUGUACAUCACCUAGAAUUUUUUUGAUAGGUAACCCAUUUUCCUUUUAUUUAUUUUAUUUUAUUUUAUUUCAUUGUUAAAACUUGAACUUGGAACCUCCCACAUCCAAGCUACAACCCUUUCUCACUUGAGACAAGCAUGAAGGAGUAUAUUUCACCUAUAAUCCUUAGUUAUGUUUGGUUCCUAGAAAGUACCAAGGAAAGAAAAAAAAGGGAAAAUGGUUUCUUAUGUUUGGAUGCUACAGAAAAAGAUAAGGGAAAAAAUAUUGAGGGAAAAUGCUAUAGAAAAAAGAUUUUCCUCCUGAUUUUCCUUAAAAAAUGAUGAGGAAAGUUGGCACAAUGUGCAUUCCUCACAAUUUUACUUCCCUCAAUUUUUCAAUGCACAACCAAAUAAGAGAAUUUUUUUAAAAUUUCCUCAUAUUUUUCUUUCCUUCUAAUUUCUUUCCCACAAACUUUCCAAAACCAAGCAUAGCCUUGAUUUUUUGGUCGAUGGAUCCUAAUAUUUUUUUCCAUGCAAGAAGAACCGAUGGAUUAGUCUUCUCCAUUUAUGGUUCCAAAGGUUUAGAAUUUCUUUAGCAUUUUAUUUUGCUUAAUUGAAAAGACAGAGAACAAUAAAAGUAUUUCAAGAGCUUCAUCAAAAUUUUAAACCACAAAGCUCAAUGUAAGACAUGAUGGCAUGUAAGACAGAAAACAAAAACAAAGACAGAAAAACAGUAAAUAGCAUAAGAAGAACAAAUAGAAAACAGAGUGAGACAAUUACGUGAUUACUGCUGGUAAGUCCAAACAUAAAGUUUCAAGACCACCAUCCACCUCUCUCUCCACUGUUGCCACCUCUUUCUCCUUGUCCAGCACAACCUACUAGAAAGCAGCAGCCAGGUUGAACAAUUAUUAAAGGCAAAGAAGAAUAACUUUUAAAGAGAUCAUCUAAAUGUUCUAUCAACACCAAUUGCCAAUACAUCUCAAAUUCUCUAGGGAAAGUGGGGAGAGAUACAAAAACAUAAGCUAUGUUUGGUUCCUAGAAAAUUUGAAGGAAAAUGUAAGGGAAAUAAGAUAGAAAGGAAAAGUAGAAGGAAAGACAAAGCAAAGAAAAUGCAUAGGUUUCUAACUAAUUUUAAUUAUAUUUGAUUUUAUUUCUUAUUUUUUUAUAGUAAAACAAAACAUAAGAAAAUAAUUUUCCUUAACAUUUUUUUUCCUUAAUACUUUCCAAGAGCCAAAGGUAUCAAUGGUUUUAUUGAUGCACACAACAUAAUUCUUUCAGGUAUGCCCCUUGCAGCUGGAGAACAAAAAGAAUAUAGGUACAAAAUGAUUUAAGAAAACAAAGAUUACCACCAUAGAAAAGCUAAAGUUAAGUUGAAUUCUAUUGCAUACAGAAAUCCAUGAAUCAUGACAGAAAUCCUAAUAAUAUUUUCCAUGAGGAAAAACAUCCACAUUUAUAAUACUACUGAAGAACCACAGUAACAGCAAUUUUAGGGAAAAAAGGACCACUGGCAUAUGAUGGUACCAUAAGAACAAUCUCAGCCCAAAAAACCCUUCAUAGGGGGGGCAAAUUGCUCUAACUCUUGAAAUCUACCCAAAGAAGGGAAACUACCUCUUUAAUCCAUCUUGGUUAGGUACCAGUUCCACAAGGGGCCAUGGUCCCCAGAUCCUUAUUUUUCCUUGUCCACAGUGCUUUUUACAUUCGGAGUAAUUACAAUAUCAGAAACAAGAAGAACAUAACAUCGAUUGAUGUAUUUGGAAGCAAAAAAAAAAGGUUAAAAAAGCUGUCUUAAACCUUUUGGGGUAUCUGUUAUUUUGCUUUCAUCAACUCAAUUGAUGCUUUUUUCAGCCUUUCCCUCCUUUCAUGGCCUUUGAUAUACUCUAUGCAUGCCUUGCUGAUGCUCUUACCAUUCAGCCUAAGGCCACACAACUAGCCUUUCGCAAAGACAUGACUCCAGUUUUCAGCUUUCUCAUCUUUUCAUGGCACACUCGCUAACACUGUCUUCACCCUAAGUGAUAUGAUGUGUCUCACUCAUGCAACCAGUAUUCACCCAAAGAGAUAGAUCAGAGAAAAUUUCUCUGUGUUAAGUUUCUUUAAAAGCAAACAGAGUCUUUGAGAGUUUCUUGUUAUUCCAUCUAUGACCAAAAGGGUUGAGAUUCAUGGCCCCUUGCAAUGAAUUUUCCAUUAUCAUCUUCAAAUCUGACAUUUAAAUCUUGUUUUCUUGUUUUCCUGUUUUUACUCUCAAAAUAAUCCAAAAACAGUAUUUUGGAAACCCUCAAUUACUUCAAACGAUCAAUGAGAGGCAAAUUGGAAACCAUAAUUCACAAGCGCUGGCAAAUGGAAAUGGACUCUAAAAAGAUGUUAGCUGUAAACUAAUUGCUUGUUGGCUCUGGUGGCAUCCAUCAUCAAAGAAAAAAGAUAAAUAAACUGAGACAUGGAAUUUCACUAUCCUUUUUUUCUUAUAGGUAAGCGAAGCUUGUAUGAAAGGAAUAAAGAAAAUAUAUACAACAUAUACAAAGCAACCAAAAUGGAAUUUCACCAUCCUAGCUGAAAAGUGGCGCACUGUUACCCUACUUGAUGUUGUAAUAAGCUUUUUCAUCCUAAACUAGGGGAAAAUGCCACUAGCAUGCACCUUACAAGUCUUUCUAAACAUUUCUGCAUCUCAUCAUGAGAGUUUUAUGGCAGUGAAACCCCAUCCCAUGCCUCCGUCAGUGAGGAUUCUAUAACAACAGAUUCAUAUAUAUCAUUCUCUAAUCCUUUUCUCUUGUAUGUGAAUAGAACAUAGCUCUGUUUGGAUCCAAGAAAGAAUGACAGAGGAGACCAAAACACUCAAAACACUGAACAUAACUUUAGAAAGUUCAAAGUUAUUUUCAGGAUUUGCCUUUUAUUUCUCCCAUUCUCUCUGAUAUAAAGACAAAACCUAAUACUUGUAGAAAGACACAUGGUUAAAUUUUUGUUGUCAACGCCAACAAAUCCAUGUAAGGUGAUGCUUUUCACUAAGAAGAGACUCUAAGAUUAGAUUCCCAAUGUAUAGAGUGUUUGCGCAGUAAACAAAUCAAUCACUUAUCAUUUAUAUAACAGUAGAAGUGUAUGGAGAGUGGGACUAACCUUGGAAGCAAAGGUCCCCUGAGGCCAGUUGAGCAACCCGGCAACCAUUUGCCCUGUUUGAUUGCAAUCGUCAUCAAUGGCCUAGAAAACCCAUGCCCACAUCAGAAAACAACAAUCCACCAUAAAAAGAGUCUAGGAUUUUCACGGAAUCCGCAAAUUUAUUUUUAAAUCGUUACCAAAAACCCUAAUCUCUGGGCACGAAUUCACAGACCUGUUUGCCCAGAAUAAGGAGGCCAGGCUUCUCCACAUCGACGAGAGCUUUGAGAAGCUUAGCAACUGAAAGUGGGUACAGAGUGGCGGAAGCUUCGACGUGGAUGGCCCUAUCGGCGCCCAUGGCGAGACCCGUUCUGAGCGUGUCGACGCACUGGCUGGGACCCACACUGACAGCGAUAACCUCCGACGCCAGACCCGAUUCCUUGAUCCUCAGAGCCUCUUCCAAACCUAUCUCACAAAAGGGGUUCAUCGACAUCUUGACGUUGCUGGUCUCCACGCCGCUCUGAUCGUGGGUUGGCGAUUGUUAUUGGAUGAUGAUGAAAUUACAGAUACUGAAUAACUUGAGAGUUUGGAUUUGGGUUACCUUGUCGGAUUUGACUCUGAUCUUGACAGCGUAGUCCACAACACGCUUUAUCGCCACCAUUAUCUUCAUCUCGUAUAUGGGUGGUUAUCUUCUCCGGCACAAGGGUAUUGGCAAAUGACUGAUGAUGAAGGACGAGGAUAUUCGCCCGAGCCCUACUGCACGACACCACAUCCGCUUAUAAAAUCUUUUGAUACGGAUAAGUACAAGGGAAGUGGAAAAAAAGGAUUAUUAAGAAAAAUAAAUAUAUUACCAAAAAAAUUAUUUAAAAUUUUGUUCAUGUAGAAAGAACCCGUGAAUCAGAUCGAAAAAAUUAUAUUAAAACUGCUGUAUAGCCGAAAAUUGUGUACAGAAUUUAUUUUAACAUUGUAUUAUUGAAUUUUUUAUUCAAAAAUUGCUUAACGUGAGAUAGAAAUUAAAAAAUCAUUAGUAAUUUUGUCCGAAAGUUGUUAUAUUUCAUGUGUUUUAAAAAUAGAUGUAAUUUAUUCCUAUUUGCAUUUUUAACGUACAUUUAAUUAAAUAACCCAAAAAGUUAUUGAGUUCACAUCAUCUAUGGAGUCUACCUCUCUUUGCUUUUGUUGCUUCCAAAAAUACCAUACUCCCAUAUUUUUUUGGUUCUACUCAUUUUACUUUAUUUUUUUCAUUCCAUUCAUUCCACGUGAAGUCUUCAAUCCUAAUAACAUUUACUAUAUUACAAUUAAGUUUAAUUUUUAAAAAACUUAAUUAGGGUUAAAUUUCCUUUGAGAGAACUUCAUUACAAUUAUUUGAGUUGUACGUUAAGUUUCAUUUAAAAAUAACUUAUUUAAAAAGAUGUUAAGCUUCCCCUAUUUUAUUUAUAAAGUUUAAUAUCUAUUUGAUUUUAUAUUUGAAAUCCAACUAAAACCUAAUAACGAAUUGUUGUAAAAAAACUCCAAUCAAAAUACUAACAAAAAUUAAAACAUAAAACUCUGAUAAAAAAUUGUUAAAAAAUCCAACAAAAAAACAAUCAUAAAAAACCCUAAUCAAAAACAUCAUGGAAGUUUAAAUGAAAUUGCCAAAAAAUAAAAAGUAUAGAAAACCCUAACAAAAAAACAACACCAAAACACCUGACAAAAAACAAUUACAAAUUCUAGCACAAAAACCCCCAAUUAAAAAUAUCUAUAAAGAAAAACCUAAAAAAAACCAAUUAUAAAACCUCCAACAAAAAAUAAAGAGAAAGAUGAAGAAUAUGAAAAAUUUUGAAGAAGAAAGAAACAUGAGAGAACUAUCAUUGAUCUUUAUUUGUUAAUCUUUGUUAUAUGUUUGAACUUCACUAGAAAAUGAGAGAGAGAGCAUAAACCUAAAGAGAGAAAGAGCUGAAAAUGAGAGGAGAAAUGAAUCACAAUGAGGGGAAUGACAAUUUGAGGAAAUAUAGAAGGGUUAAAUCAUUUGAACUAGGUUAACGUUUUUAUUAAAAAAAAAGAGUAAUGAAGGUCCUUGUUCUAAUUUCAAGAGUAUGUCUGUUAAUUACCAAAUGUGGCAACUCUAAAUAAAAUCCUUUGUUAUCAACUAAAACUAAAAGUCCCAUUACAUCAUAUCCAACUUUCAUUUGUUAUCAACAAAGUAAAACUAUAUACAACUAUUAUCACCAUCUCUCCUAUUUUGAUGUUAUUUUCUUAGAUGAAUUUGUAAAUCAAAAUUUACACCACCCAUAAAUUUUUUGAGCUUCCUAUUUAACACAACUUCAAUUUGUUAUACUUUGAACAUCACAAAGAUAAAGUAAUCAACAUUUUGCUUGGACAAGUUUUUCUUCUCUAAAGUUUAGAGUCCUAUUUCACUUCCCGUUUAUGGGUUGUUAGUUCAUCUAAUAUCUCACCAUCAUCCAUUCCAUGUACUGUGUUUCCGAAAUGAGUUGAUUCCACAUCCUAAAUGUCUGUGCAAAUUAAUAAGGAAUGUCGAGUUACCAAUUUUCUUAAAAGCUUAAUCUUGCAAGAUUUGGAUUCAAAAUGCAUAUCAUGCUCUCUUUAACACCCCUCCCCCCUCUCACAUGUAGCCCUAUACCCACACGUAGAGAAAUAGACUUAUAGGAAAAUUGGUAGUUUAAUAUAGUAUCAGCACUUGGUUUGGUGGGAGGUCUCCUGUUUGAGUCACCUCUCCACAAUUUACAUUUCUCCUAUUUGUUUAAUUUACAGUUCUUCCCUUAAUCUGUAAUUCUUUGGAUAUAAAUUUUCCCCCUAAUUUGUAGUUUUGUGGAUAUGAAUCUCUCUUCCAUGUUCAGGUAUGGGGCCACACAUAAGAGAGGGUGUUAAAGAGCAUGAUAUGCAUAUUAAACCCAAAUCCUAUAAGUUAAAACUUUUAGGAAAAUUGGUAGUUUAACGCUUUUAGGAAAAUUGGUAGUUCAACAUGUGUACACCCCAUUUUGGGGACUGCUAUUGCUCCCACUUCUUUUUGUCAAAUGGUGGAGCUUUUUAGGAGCACAUGUUGUAUUUGGAAAGGCUAUUAGAAAAUGGCAACAUGACUGUUAAUGGAAGUAAUGAUUUUCUAAAAAGGCAACCAUGGGAAGACACAUAACAAAGAUGUUUGGGGAGGAGGGAGAGUGUGCAUCAAGACUACUCAUGAGGGGUAAGAAACAAAAAAAAAAAAGUGUCGAAGAUAACUAAAAAAUUGGAGAAACAUAAAGGAAUAAGGAUUUUAGGGCUAUGGAUGGUGAACAAGAGUGAAUUAUGGGUGUCUAGGACAGCUAGGAAUGGUGAGAGGAGUAGGGAGCUGUAGAAGGUGAUGAGCUAGGUAAGAUGUAUUUUCGAGAAAGAAAAGAACCAAAGAAAGAAGGUGGUGAAUUAAGUGAGACACGUCUCAGAGAAGCAGAGAAAGUUGGCUUGAAGCCAAGCAAACUUUUGCUUGAGAUGAGCAUUGCCUAGUAAGAUUGUUUCGAUUCAUCGAUUAUUACUGAUCAUCAUACUUCUCUUGUCUUAUAUUCAUGUGAUUAUUUUACAUUGAUUGUGGGGUUGCUUUGGUUUGGUUAUUAUGGCUUCAUCCUCUAUUUCUUUAGUUUUAUUCAAGGAUAAAUCUAAUUGUGCUUUGAUUAGUUAUUCCAUAUUUGAAAAUCUUUGUGUAUUUUGGGUUUUUUCUCUUUAGAUAUUUUCUAGAUUAAUCCACUGACCUUUAAACCCACAAAUAAAGAAAAAUGAAAUGAGUUUUUUCAUAUUUGUUGGGUGUUUGGCCCUUGUUUAUCUUUUUUUAAAGCUUUAUUCCUUUAUAUUCUCUAUUUCUCCCCAUUUUGUACAUGGGUGUUUCAAUCAGAGUCUCUAUUUUGGCUUCCACAUUUGAGAUUUCUUUUAUGAGCGAAGACCCAAAAAUGGAGACUGGCUUCUUGUAAUUGAUAAAAUAGUUAGUCACCCAUUAGCUUAGAUGAAGCAUAGAUGUUAACCGGAUUGUGAACAUGGAUACUCUAUUUUGGGCCUAUUAGGCCUUCCAAUCCUCUCUUAGUUUCAUUAUUCUUGAGGAUAGUGUUUGGUUGUGUCUGCUACUUAUUCUGUGGCUUCGGUGGUCUGUUUGUUUAUUCUUGGCUAUUAUCAAUGCUAACAAUGGGAAAGAGACUGGUUUUGGUUAUGCUCUUACGGAUUUGAAGGUGAUCAAAGGGUCCAGUGAAGAGAAGAUUAGUAGGUCAUAUUAGGUUAAUUAAUUAAUUAGGACAUGUUUUGAGUUAUAUUAAGUAAUACAAGCUCUUAGUGGGCUUAAGUAACUUAAGCCUAGUGGGGAAUGCCAUAAAUACCCCUUAGGGGUUAGCAUUUCCAUAGGUUUUUCUAGAGAGUCAUCUUUCACCUCCAAAGAAGGAGAGUCAUAGCCUUUACCAUUUUUUCCAUCAUUAUCGAAGUGUGUCAAGAUUAAGGUUUAAGUCAUUGAGCGGAAGACUCCAGGUUUAUGAGACUUCAUACAACUUCGUUUUUCAUUUUCAUCAAAUGGAAUUAAUUUGAAAACAUUUGAAUCUGAAGUAUGGUUUUUGUUAGCAUAUUUCGAAUCCCUUUAAAGUUUAAAAAUGCAAAUUUUCCACUAUGUAUAGGAUUUAAAAUCGCUUAAGAUAGUUAAACAUGUUCCCCACUUGAUCUGAAUUGGGAAACGGAGAAAUCUGAUAUUUUCCCAUCACAAGGUAGGAUAAGAACUUGUGAUUGAUCUUUAUGGAUUGGACUAAUUAAUUAAUUGGAACCUAAUUAGGCUAAUUAAUUAAUUAAGACCUAAGCAAACUAGUUUAAGUUACACAAGCCUAGGAUGGACUUAAGUGACUUAAGCCCAUGGGAAGCUUAUAUAAACUCCUUUAGGGGUUAGGGUUUCAAACUUUUAUCAUCUAGUCUUCAAUUCCUUAAAGAGAAUAGAACUCGAGCCAACAACUCUCCUAAAGGAUUCUAUUGCUCCGUGUCAAGAUUCGAAAAAAAACUAUUUGAUGGAAGGUUGUUAUGUUUAUGAGAUUCGUUAUGUUUUUUUACACCUUUUCACUAAAUGGAAUUGAUAUAGGAAUGUUCAUAUCUCAAGUGCAACACACUUAUUCUCUUUAGAUUUAUAUUGCUUAUGGUUUUUUUUUUUUUUGUCAUGGUUUUCCGUUAAGAUUAGAUUAAGAGAGCCCUAUGUCAUAGAAUGCUUCAAAUGAGCCUCCCCGGGGGUUUGUAUAGAGCCCAUGAAGCUUCUAGAGACUCCUAUACUUAGCCAUUGGUGGGAAGAGUGUGAAAGGUUCUACAGAUGUCUAGAGAUAUUUACACAUCUCUACACUAUGGUGGAAGGCAUGAGAGGAGUCUAAGGCAUUCUAAAGAAUUAUAAAGAUCUCUUAUAUAUUCUUGUACAUAGGCUUGUACAUAGAAUUGUGUAGGAAGUUAUAGAUUAUUCUUGAGCUGUAAGGAACCCUCCAAGGUUCCAGAGAGUUCCAUUGGUGCCUAUAAAUAGGUGAAUGCCUCAUUUGGCCAAGACACUAAGCAAGUGAAUUCCAAAACACUUGUAAAGCUUCCUUUGAAUAAUAAAAGUUUCAAUUCUUCAAGAGUUGCCUAUUAUGCCUUCUAAAACUUCUAAGUCAUGAGCAUCUUAACCUAACAAGUUAAGCAUUGGGAGUAAUGCUAACUUAGCAAGAUCAAGGAUCUUGACUUGUCUAAGUGUUGCACGAUCUUAGGAAAAGAUUAAGUUUGUGACAGUUGGUUUCAAAGUGUGACUACGAAGUGAGCAUAGUAAAGGAAACAUGUCGAGCUUCAACAUGGAGGAAACUAGUGAGCAAACCCGUGGGAAAGAAACCGAGCCUACUGCAUAGGACAGGGACAUGAAGGAUAAAUCUCGUAAUGCCAUAGCCAACGUGGAGGCAAGGCUAGCCAAGGUGGAGCUAGCCAUGGCAGACACCCGGGAAGGGGUGGACUUAAUCGAGCAAGGCAUGGAAAAUGGCUUAGAGGAUCUAAAUGAGCAUAUCCAAGACCUUCAUGAGAGAGUGCUAGGCUUACAAGUUCGGCCGAUGUCAUAUGAGGAGUUCAUGUCCUUCCAAAACGAGGUCAUGAGCAUGUUUGCUAGCAUGGAGUCGAAGGUGGAGGCCUUGGCUGCACGCAUAGAGGCCCAAGACCAAGAGGUUCAACAAGAGCUAGCUAUCUACAAGACUGUCUUAUCAGCACGAGUCAUGGCCACUCAUGAGGCACUAAGGGUGGAAGUGCCCAAACCACACACGUUCAAUGGCAAGAGGGAUGCCAAGGAGUUGGACAAUUUCUUGUGGCACAUGGAGCUCUACUUUGAGGUUAUAACACUAAUAGAUGAAGCCACUAAGGUAUGUACCACAACCCUCUACCUCACCAAUAAAGCUACUCUAUGGUGGCGUCAGAGGUUUGCCAAUAUAGAAAAAGAAAUGUGCACCAUAGACACAUGGGAUGCCUUUAAGCAAAAGAUCAAAAAACAAUUAUACCUUAAUGAUGUGGCUUACCUAGCAAGGAAAAACACAAAAUGUCUUAAGCACACAGACUCGAUCCGUGAGUAUGUCAAAGAAUUCUCUACACUUAUGCUUGAGAUACCCAACAUGUCUGAGGAAAAGCUACUAUUCAACUUCAUGGACAACUUGCAAAGCUGGGCCGAGCAAGAGUUAAGGAGAAGUGGUGUCCAAGACCUAGCCACGGCCAUGGCGGUAGCGAAGUCCUUGGUGGAAUACAAAAAGGGAGACUCUUUUAAGCCCAAGCCACAGUCUAAGGGUAAUCAUGCUAAAGGUGGGGAAACAAGGGAUCAAGGAGGUACACUCCUAAGGAAUGAUCAAGCAAGACCUCUGGUGGCAAGGAUGGUAAGGGUAAGGAUAAACGGAAAUAGUUCACGCCUAAGAUCAAUUGCUUCCUAUGUGAUGGUCCACAUUGGGCGCGAGACUACCUCAAAAGAAAAGCCCUAAAUGCCAUGAUCGAGGAAAAGUAGAAGGAAGACAAUGCUCAUGUGGGAUCAUUACAACUCUUAAAUGAUAUCAAGGCUAAGUCAGUGCUUAAGACACCUCAAAGUAAAAGUCUAAUGUACAUAGAAGCCCUUGUAAAUAGGAAGGCUACCAAGGCUUUGGUGGACACUAGUGUCACUCAUAACUUUGUCUCGAAGGAUAAGACAAAGAACUUAGAGCUCCAAGCAUCUAAGGAAGGAGGUUGGCUCAAGGCAAUUAAUUAAGUUUCCAAGCCAUCACACGAAGUAGCACGCAGGGUGGCAAUGCACAUUGGCUCAUGGGAAGGAAUGGUCGACUUCACAGUGGCACCCAUGGACUACUUCAAGAUGGUACUGGGAAUGAACUUCCUAUAGAAAGACAAGGUCAUGCCACUACACUUCCUACAUUUAAUGGUUAUCCUAGAGGAUGAAAAGUCAUGCAUAGUCCUUACGGUCACCGAAGGUUCACCCAAGACCCCUAUGAUAUCGGUUAUGCAAGUAAAGAAGGGAUCAAAGAGGAAAGAGGUGACCUACCUCACCACUCUUAAGGAGGAAAAUGAUGAUGAGUUGGGGGAGCCCAUGCCUAAGGAAAUCAAGAGAGUCUUUGAUGAGUUCAAGGACGUGAUGUUGCCUAAGUUGCCUAAAAGACUCCUUCCUAGAAGAGAGAAAGAUCAUAAGAUCGAGUUAGAUGCAGGAACUAAGCCCCUUGCUAUGGGGCCAUAUAGGAUGGCACAACCCAAGCUGAAAGAGCUAAGGAAACAACUUAAGGAGUUGUUGGAUGCAGGGUUUAUCCAACCAUCCAAGACUCCCUAUGGCGCACCGAUUUUAUUUCAAAAGAACCAUGAUGGGUCCCUACAGAUGUGCAUCGAUUACCAAGCACUCAAUAAGGUAACAAUAUAGAAUAAGUACCCCAUUCCACUCAUUGUUGAUCUAUUUGAUCAACUUGGUAAAGCAAGGUAUUUCACUAAGUUGGACUUGAGAUCAGGCUACUACCAAGUGAGGAUUGUGGAAGGAGACAAACUGAAGACUACAUGUGUGACCCGAUAUGGCUCAUAUGAGUUCUUAGUGAUGCUCUUCGAUCUCACCAAUGUACCAACAAUGUUUUGGACACUCAUGAAUAAGAUCUUCCAUCCCUAUUUAGACUAGUUUGUGGUGGUAUACUAAGAUGACAUAGUCAUCUACAAUAGCAUCUUAGAGGAGCACGUGGAGCAUUUAAGGAAGGUCUUCAAGAUCUUAAGGUAAAACGAGUUAUAUGUAAAGAAGAAGAAAUGCUCAUUUGUUAAAGAGGAUGUGAGCUUCCUAGGGCAUCGCAUCAAAGAUGGCAAGCUGAUGAUGGAUGACAACAAGAUGAAGGUCAUCUAGGAAUGGGAUCCACCUACUAAGGUACCUCAACUAAAGUCUUUCCUUGGCUUGGCUAACUAUUACCAGUGGUUCAUCAAGGGUUACUCUACAAAGACAGCUUCACUCACUAAUCUUCUUAAGAAGAACAAGGCAUGGGUGUGAGACAAAAGGUGGCAACAAGCCUUUGAAGAUCUAAAAAGUGUUGUGAUUGAGGAGCCAAUGUUGGCAUUACCCAACCACAUGAAGGUUUUUAAGAUACACACAGAUGCCUCAAACUUUGCUAUUAGGGAAGUUCUGAUAAGAUAGACAUCUAAUCGCCUUCAAGAGUUGCAAGCUAAAUGACAUAGAGAGACGCUACAUGGUACAAGAAAAUGAUAUGACUGUCAUUGUCUAUUACUUGCACACCUGAAGACACUAUCUUCUAGGGUCUCACUUCAUAGUGAAAACCGACAAUGUUGUCAUUAGUUACUUCUAAACACAGAAAAGUCCUAAGUAAGCUAGGUGGCAAGACUUUCUGGUUGAGUUUGACGAUGCGCUGGAGUAUAAGACAAAAAGUACUAAUCAUGUGAAUGACGCCCUAAGCCGUAAUGUAGAGCUAGCAUUCAUGACGAGCCAGCCCCAAUGAGACAUAAUAGAUCUUCUAAGAGAGGGGUUGCAACAUGAUCUAGUGGCUAAGAGCCUUAUUACCUUGGCCCAUGAGGGAAAAACUAAGUGUUUUUAGGUAGAGGACGACCUACUCUACACUAAGGGGAGACUACUCUACGUGCUUAAGUGGGGGAACAUAAGGUAGAACUUGAUUAAGGAGUGCCAUGACACCAAGUGGGUUGGGCACCUUGGGCAACGACGCAUAAAGAGCACUACUCGAGUCAGCUUACUACUGAUCUUAGAUACAAGAUGAAGUUGAGGCAUAUGUGAGGACUUGUCUUGUGUGCUAACAAGACAAGGUAAAACAACAACAACCUAGAGGCUUGUUGGAGCCACUACCUAUAGCAGAGCGUCCAUGGGAGAGCAUCACCAUGGACUUCAUCAUCGGGCUACCUAAGUUGGAGGGCUAUGGCUCGAUCAUAGUGGUAGUGGAUAUGUUCUCUAAGUAUGUGACCUUCAUAGUAGCCUCUACUGACUGUACUGCAAAGGAGACAGCAAGGCUAUUCUUGAAACACAUGGUCAAAUACUGGGGGUCGCCUAAUUACAUCAUCAGUGAUCGCGAUUUGCAUUUCACUAGGAAGUUUUGGACAAAGCUCUUUAAGCUUAUGGGUUUGAAGCUUCACUUCUUCACAAGCUUUUCACCCGUAAACAGAUAGGCAGAUUGAGAGGGUGAACGCCUUAUUAGAGUUAUACUUAUCCUUCAUGAGUGUCAACCAAAAGGAAUGGACUAAGUUGCUAGAUGUAAUCCAAUUUUCAUACAACUUGCAAAGAAGUGAGACAACCAACAAGAGCCCGUUCAAGCUAGCCAUAGGGCAGCAACCAUUGACUCCUCACACACUACCAAUAGGCUAUACGAAGAGAAGUUCAGCGGCUUUGAAGUUCACUAAGGGGUGACACGAGCCAACUGACAUAAUAGCUCAUACUUGGAUAGGGCCGCUAGAAAGAUGAAGAAGUGGGCUGACAAAAAGCGACAUCACACUGAGUACAAGGUCGGAGACAUGGUCUUUGUCAAGCUCCUUCCUAAAAAAUUCAAGUCACUAAGGCCGGUACAUAAAGGCCUUAUGAUGAGGUAUAAAGGACAUUUCCCCAUACUUGGAAAGGUCGGCAAGGUGUCCUAUAGAGUUGAGUUACCACCGAGGUUGAAGAUUCAUAUCGUCUUCCACGUAAGUUACAUAAAAUCAUAUCACGAAGACAAGAAUUAUCCAAGCCAAGGGAUGUCCUAGAUGACACCUACAUCGAUUAUGACCUUCUAUGACAAGGAAGUAGAACACAUCAUUGCAGGCUGAGUCAUCAAGAGAUGAGGCGUGCCUCCUGCUACGGAGUACUUGGUGAAAUGGAAGGGACUACCAGAGAACGAGACUAGCUGGGAGCCAAUAGAUGCACUAUGGCAAUUUCAGGAGCACAUUAAGUGGUUCUAGGUGGAAGGUGCGACAAGGACGUUUACGGUUUAGGUAGGGGAGAGUGUCAUAGAAUGCUUCAAAUGAGCCUCCCCAGGGGUUUAUAUAGAGCCUAAGAAGCUUUUGGAGACUCCUACACUUAGUCAUUGGUGGGAAAAUGGUGGAAGGUUCUAAAGAUGUCUAAAGAUAUCCACACAUCUCUACACUAUGGUGGAAGGUAUGAGAGAAGUCCAAGGCUUUCUAGAAAAUUCUAGAGAUCUCUUGUAUAUUCUUGUACAUAGGCUUGUACAUAGAAUUGUGUAGGAAGUUUUAGAUUAUUCUUGAGUUGUAAGGAACCCUCCAAGAUUCCAAAGAGUUUCAUUGGUGCCUAUAAAUAGGUGAAGGCCUCAUUUGGCCAAGGCACCAAGCAAGUGAGUUCCAAAGCACUUGUAAAGCUUCUUUUAAGUAAUAAAAGCUUCCAUCCUUCAAGAUUUAUCUACUACGCCUUAUAAAGCUUUCAAGUUGUGAGCAUCUUAACCUAGCAAGCUGAGCAUUGGGAGCAAAACUGACUUAGCAAGAUCAAGGGUCUUGACUUGUCUAAGUGUCGCACGAGCUUAGGAAAAGACUAAGUUCAUGACACCUAGGACUAGUAGCAUGCACCCUAAGUAAUCCAAGGCUAGAAAUGAAAUGAUACAAGGAUUCCCAACACUUGACUUAAUUCCUUAGAAAUUGAAACUCAAUAAAAAACAUUAGUGUCAUUAACCUCAUUUUUUUUAUUACCAAUACUUAAUUAGGGGAAACCUUGAGCUAACAACCUCCUCAUUUUUUAUGAUGAUAAAACUGUACCAUCUAAAGAAAGCUUUCCUUAAUGUAUGCAUAUUAUAAGCAAUUUAAACAUUCAUCAUAAAAGAUGGAAAACAUAAACUCAAAUGGAGACAUGGAUAUAUAGAUAUAAGAGACAUCAUAAAGGUUGCAACAUGAUCGUAUAUCCGAAAUAGCAUCCAAAAGCAUGUCAUCCAAAAAAAAAUCAACCAUAAUAACCAUGUUCAAAUUGUCCCAAAAAGGAAAAAAAUAUAUAUAUGAAACAAAAAGUAUUAAAUAGUUUACUAAAUGUUAUGCCCUAGAUACCUAAAGAUAUCUCCCCCUUAGGCAACAUCGAAACAAUGAGGGAACUAUAUGGCUCAAGGUUGAGGUGGUGGAAACAAGGAACAUAGGACAGCUAUUGAAGAAGCUAAAAUUCUUCAUAAAUGAUUGAAUUUUAUUUCACCAUGAGAAACAAUACAAAGAGGGAUUUUUUUUUUUUUUUUUUUUUUUUUAUCAAGGGGAAGACCCCUUUCUCUUUACUACUUAUCCCUUUUAAUAAAAAUUCUUCCACAUUUUUCCACUUUAUUUUGCCAACAUUCUUUCAACCCCUUUUGCACAAAAAUGCCAAAGAUAGUAUUAGGAUAACCUUUUACAACCAUUGCUAACUUUUGACACAAGUUGCUAAAAAUUGUUGAAGAUUUGCUUUUAAUGUCAGGUAGGAUAGCAGAUUGGUUCUAAUUGAAGGUCAUUUCUUGUGGAGGACCUUACUUAUAAGUGAGAUGAUUGUUCCUAUCUUCAUGGUUUUAUGUUGUAUAGUUAUAGAGACUUUUUAGAGGCUAUCAGCUUUAGAGCAAAUUUAUGUUGUUUGUUAGGGAUUAAGUAUUUUAUUCAAAUUGGGUGAAUGGUACUACCUCUUUACUUGAGAUGGCUUUGAGAUUGGGUGGUUGAAUAGUAGUACUUUGGAAUGGUCUAGUUUUUGUUCGCUUUAGCUAUCAUUUUCUUAUGCUGUGUCUAUAGACGAGUGGAGACGUCAUUUGGAAAUUGGUCAAAUUGCCCGUGAAAUUGAUCAAAUUGUCAAGUUGUCAUCCUAAAAUUGACUAAACCUAGUUUGUAAAAAUGAGAAACGACCGUCACUAGCGACUAACAUCUUCUCAAGCUAAGUAUUAAUAGAUCCAAUCUGAGCAUAAAGGGCAUCUUAAUGUUGCAGGUUCAAUGCUCAUGAAGCAUAAUAUUUUGGAUACUUGGUGUGAGACACCUCAGCAUAAGUCUAAUCCAUAAGGAUAGUCUCCUCAGGAGGUUGAGAUGUGGGCAAUUGAAUGGUGGCAUCCAUGCCCUUGGUUUGCAUCUCCUGUUGAACAUCCUCACCCCCUAAUCCUUUAUGGUCACCCUCAGUCUCUAUCUAUAGAAUCUCUGCCUCUUACUCAACCCGGUCUUCAUUCAUAGCAGGACCCUUUCUUUUUCUUUCCAAUGAUCCAUUAGGCAAUUUCUCAAACAGCAUUCGGUCUGGAUUUUACGUUAUAGGUAUCAUAGGAUGAGGCCUGAAUGUUUUUUUCUCUUCUUAUGUCCACAUUGAAUGCUUUCAGGAUUUUUGUGAUCAGUCUUCUUCCGUUGGCCACUACUUUAGAAUUGCUUUUACAACAGUUUUUCAUGUGUUGAAAGAUGAUAAGGAAACCUUAGAAUGGAUCGGAGUCAAUAGAAAAUGCUACAUAAUAGGACACCUUGUCUCUAUGUCCACCCUUAGGUAGAAAAAUAUGUUUGAUCAUGUGGUGGUGCACCCUAGAGAUAAUGCUCAAGGCAUGGGCAUGGAGCUUUGAAGUCACUGUGUCGAUGGGUAAGUUACAUAUCCUCUAGAAAGCCCUACCUAGGUUAAAACUAGACACUAUAGGCCAUCCCUUCGUCUCAAAUAAACAAAGUCCCCCACAAAGGAUCUCCAAAAUAUCACAAAGCAUAUCAAUAUUUAGUUUAAUUCAACUCCUCUAACAAAUGUGCUAAUUGGCCUUCAUAUAUUUUAGGUUCAAGUAAAAUACCUGAACAAGGUUGGGGUAUGUAGGCUCUCUUGAUGAGAUGGUAUUGGUGAGUAUUUUUUUUUCUUCAAUACAAAACUAUUACAACACUUGGUUUUUUUUUUUUCUAAAAAAAAAAGAAAAAUAAAAAUAGUUUUAUAUUAUACUUAGUUUCAAGAAAAAUAAUAAUCAAAGCAAAAUGAAAAAAAAAUUCUCAUAUUGGUUUCUCGUGAAAAAUAUAAAAGCAAAUAAAAUACAAUUAAAAUUAAUUAAAAUCUUAUGUAUUUUUAAAUUAUUAAUUUUUAUAUAAAAAAUGAAAAAUAGUAUAAUGAAUUUAGAAGAAUAUAUAAAAAUAAUGUAUUAACUUUAAAUCUUUUUUUCUUUAUAUAUAUAUUUUCCCUUCAAUUUUCUAAUACCAACACAUAAUAAGGUUAAUGUCUUCUAGCCAACCAAUUGUAAGUCAAUUUUCAUAGAGCUUUUUUUUUUUUUUUUUUUUACAUGCCACCAAGUAGUUAUAUAAGCAUUUUUGCAUGUUAUUGUUAUCCAACAUACAAUAACUAUAACAUCCAAUUAUUAUGAACAUGAACAAUAAAAUUAGAUGCAACUAACUAUUUAGUGUAUAACAAGAAGUUGGUGAAGUAAUUCAUCCUAACAUGAUUCAACAAUUUUUGUUUAUUUUUCAAGAUUAAUUAUAACAUACCCAUUCUAUUAAAGUUGUUGAGAUAUUUGAGCAAAACUAAAAAUCAACAUUAAUUCAUUUUAUACCCACAAGAGAAAUAAGAUUUGUUUUUUUGUUUGAUAAUAAAGUAGUUGUAGUUAUUAAUGAUAAUUUUGAUCCUAAUUUAAUAGGUAUCCAAAAAAAAAGGAAAAAUGCAAGUAAACCAAUUCUUAUCUAACACAAUUAUUACCACCUUAAAAUCCUGAGGGGUAGCUCAGUUGAUCAGUUCGAGUCCCUUUAGGACCAUGAAAAGCUUACCCGAUGGUUCACCUUAAGAAAAGCAAAGCAUUUAUAUAAUUCAACUGGUAGUUGAUAAGUCUUAGAAAGGGUUUUGCCAUCAUUGGCUUCUCAGUAAAGGGCAAAUUUGGGUUGUGGCUGACAAUUAUUGAAUUUGUGAAGAAAUAUGUGAAGAAAGGAAACAAAAAGAGUUGAGGACAGAAUUCUUCAAUUAAAAAAUGGUUAGCCCAUGAACCCAUUCUUCAAACAGUAAGCCAAUGAGCCAAUGAGCCAAAAAGAAAGAAGAACAGCUGGUUUCAUCUUUUUAUCUUAAUGACUUUGACAACCCAUCUUUCUUUUAAAUACUUGUGACUUUGGAAUAUAAUUAAAAUGAAACUUUGGAAUGCCCACAUCUGAUUCACGGCCUUUUUACCUGUUUUCUUGUUUAACAUUUUUUUAAAUAUUAUAACAGAUGGAAAAACAUGAUUCUAACAGGCUGGAAAAUAGUGGAAGUUGGAACACCAACCAUAACCAAACUAUACCUUCCAUCUUUCUCCAACACUCGGAAUUAUUGAUACAAGUUGGUGGUUUUAUGAUUGUUUCUAUUGAGGGGACCCCUCUCCAUUUCCAAUUUCAAUGGAAAGGUUCUUCUUUCCCUACUUUUUUUUUUUGUUUUUCAAAUUCUUGUAGUUUUGUCUGUCUCUCUCAACAAAGCAAACUGCAAUCACUAAUUCAAAGAAAAGGAAUCCUAAAUGAAAAGAAAAGAAAGGAAAGGAAUGGUAAUUUAGGCUAUGAUGAUGCUCCUAUAUAAUGGCUGUAAGUCAAUAACAACACACUGGACCCGCCUCCUAUCUCAAAAGAUCACAAACCCAAAUAUCAUAUACUUCCAAAUUUCAAUUUGGUUCCCUGUUUAUAUCACAAUCUGUCCUAUAUCCUCUUAAUACAUCUAAAAUCUCUCUAUAUCAUAAAAAUAAUGAUGGAAAAAAAAAUUAAAAAGAAAGAAGGAAAAAAUGACAAAAAAAAAAAAACCUUGGUGCUGCUAUGGGUCCAUAGGAAUUGGCAGGACUGCACUUCUGGAUCCCCUUCCAUGGCCAAAAGAAAAGAAUGAUCUUCGGAAUCUGCUGCUGCAACCUUCACUAGGGCUGAAGUCACUGACAGGCCUGUUCUGUUGCAAAAUCUCUUGAAUUGCUAAAUACAGCUGCCUGUCGUUGGAUGAGUCCAUUGAAAAAGACCUCCUGAUGGGUUGGAUUGAGAACUGAUCAUCUUUGCCUCUAGUGUCAAUGCACUCAUCACCCAUGCUUGCAACAUGAUGAAACUUCCUUGCCUUUUUAGGCACAAUUCUCUGCUCUAGCUUCCUAGGUGAUGGACUAAUUGAUGGCGCAGAUAACUCUCUGGAAUUCAGUCUUUCUGGUGGCCUAAGCAGUGAUGAAUCAGCAGAACUAUCAUUUCCCAAUUCAAUUACUACAAAAUCUUCAUCCCCUCCUAUGUAAUUAUUGGCGUAGGGGCUUGGAUCUUGGGGGGAAGAGCUAGGAGCAAUGAUUUGGUGAACAGGAAACCGGGGUGUGGUUGAAAUGCUUGUUCUGCAAAGUGGGCAAUUAGCAUUGCUUUGAAGCCACACGUCUAUGCAAUCUAUAUGAAAUAUGUGACUGCAGUUUGGUAUGAUUCUUAGCUUCUCUUCUUCUUGAAACUCAUUCAAGCAAACCGCACACUCGCAAUGGCUUCUUUCUCCAAACUCUCUGCCACCUCCUUUCCUGAACUGGAAUAUUGGGAUUGAUCUGAUGACUGACUCGUCCAGGCCUCGACUCUCGAUUGCUGGGGAGUACACCAUUAAAGGGUCUUCCGGGUGCCGACUCCUUGAGAAAGAAAAUCGUCUCAGCAGAUCAAUCCGGUGCCAAUUGAGGCAGCAUUUGAUUACAAAGAUGUAGUAGCUCACCAGCAAGAAAGCAGUGGCCAGGAUUCCUAUUACGGCAAUGGCUAUAAUGGGGAAACUGGUGUCCGAGGAAUGAGAGGGAGAAGGAAGCACUGAGCUCGCCUGGCUUUUGAUGGGAGAAAAGGCUUGUGAUCCAUGGAUGGAGGAGUCUGUGCUCACAAGAUCCAUGAGAGAGGCUAUGAAAAACAUUUAGAAAUGAGUCUAUUCGGAUCUUCAAUUCACAGAAACAUGCAAAUGCUAGAAUAAAAUCGACAGACACUCAGAUAUAGACCCUACAGUUGUAAUGCAGCAUACCAUAAAUGUGAUUGAGUGAGUGAGGCUGAAACAGCAAAUGGGUCACUUCAAGAUCUCAACAAGACAGAAAACCCAUGUUGAAUUCACCAGGAGAGUAUUGAAAAGGGAAAAAUUAAGGACAUAUAGCUGUAUUGAAAGUUGAAACAAAUGCAGAAACAUAGAGAAGAGAGAGAGAGGGAGAAAACCCAGGAGGGUUGAAUGAGAGCGCUGCUGGGGAAGACAUCAAAACGCUUCAAAUUCAAUGAGAAUCUGUUGGGGACCUCUUUAAGAGGACUGCACAAAGCCUGAGCGUAGGGUACGUGGUUGGUUGGUGAAUUUCUCGGCUUCCAAAAGAGAAAUUUGGUGAGAAAAUUUUCAAGUCUCUUGAUUAUAGUAACGUAGCGUUUAUUUUAAUUUUAUGUAACCGAAACUAAUGGGCUGGUUCAAAAAAAUAAAAAAUAAAAAAAGGAACUUUCUAGGAUAGGCCAGCAGUCCACCGUUGGUCAUGUGGUUUCUUUUGCAUGUCCACAUCUUCCAACUAGUGGAGGUCCCUGUCACAACAGUAAGAAAACACCCAAUUGAAUAAAAGUAUGAACUUUUGGCUCCCAAUAUUACUUAUGCCCUCAUUCAAUACCUCAAAUAAAGCAGAGAUUUUGUGUCCCAACUUUUAUGAUUUCAUUUCAUCUUACUUCAAAUGCUAAUGACAAAAGUCCAAGUAUAUUCUGUAAUCACCCACACCCCAAUAGUUUUGAAUCACACUUGAAAUAGUUCCCAUGCUUUCUUAAUAAUUUAGAUAAUUAUUUACAGAAAAAAAAAUUCAGAACAGGAUGAUAAUCAUUUUGUGAUAGCAUGGAAGAAACUUUACUAGCCACUUUGGCCCCAUGAAGUUGAGUACUUGAUGCCAAUUAAUGGCAGGGUGGAAAAUAGAGAAAAGGGAUCAUAGUCAAAUCUAGAGUACAAGGCAUUGAAUCUUUGUUAAUAAUUAACAAAUGGGUAAAGCAUGGGUCACAGGGUCUACAGUUUGGAUUGCAAAAACCUCAGGCUUCUAUAAAAAGCUCAUCCAUUAUCAAUCAUCAAUCUGAAAGCCAGAAAGUCCAAGGCACAUGCAACCCACGACAGGGGUAAGAUUUCUGCAUCAUGUCCCUGAGUUGCAUUCACAUCAUAUGUUUCCCUCCGGGCCGUUCCAAUUUGAAAUCUCAUGGAAAUCUUCAAGAGCAAGGCUACAGAGUUUAAGAUAAUACUAGGGGUGGGUCCUGAUGGGAAAAGAGGUAGUGUAGGAUAGUCAAUAAAGGGCAUGUGUCUCUGGUGUGAAGUCAAAUCCAGUGUACCAUCCUCAAUGGAAAAUUUAGAAAUAGAACCGACACUCUACAGACUGCCGUGUUGACAGAUUAGAGAAAGACAAACCCACUUACACUUGCCUCAAAACCCAGUCCUGCCAUUUCAAAGGCAAAAAAAAAGGGUUUCUUUUUAUAGUCAAAGGUUGAGGCCUGGCCUGGCCUAGCAAAGAAACUUCACCUACUCUUUUCUUAUUUUUCAAAUUAAGGCCAUUCAACUUUUCCUGUUUGCAGGCUUGCUGCCAUAUCUUACUCCAAAAAAGGUGAAAACCCAAAAGAAAAAGAGUGUUUGCUUCAAUGGAAAACUCAUGUUUAAUAAAUUCACCGCACGAGUUUUGUUCCAGCUUUUCCUAUGAAAGCUGUGAUGCGUUUGGUAUGAAGUUGAUUUUGUUCCUAAAAAUUUUGAUCUUGGCGUGGAAGGCAACUUUUUCCUUUUCCCCCUUUUUCUUUUUGAAAAGUUCGGCAUUAGUUACCAAAUGUCCUUUUACUUGCAUGUAGGACAGCGGAAGCAUUACACAUCGCAGCAAAAUCCCAUUUACCCGAAUUUUCCACUAACUCUUUUUAUUUUUUACCAUCAUUUUUUAAUAGAAGUGAUGCACUCUUCAAAUUACAUGAAGCUUUUAAGAAGGUAAUAACCCGUUUCAAAGCGAACUUAACCUACAGAGUAUGUUUUAAAAAUAUUUAGGUAUUUGAUAAAAUUUAAAAAAUAUUUUUUAAAAUCUUUAAAAUGAUUUGUAAUAUUGAAAAUUUAUUUAUACUUUUUUUAAUAAAAAAACAUUUUAUAGGUAAUUUUUCUAAAAUACUUUUAGAGAAAAUGUCUUCCCUUCACUAUAAAUAUUAUAUACUAUCAAAUACACUUUAAAAAUCUGUUUAACAAUAAUUUUAUAAAGUGUUUUUAAUUUUAAAAAUAUUUUUAAAAACAAAUUAAAUUUUUGAUAAAAUUUAAAAAAUCUUUUUAAAAAUUUUGAAAAAUAUCUCGUAAUAUUAAAAAAUAUAUAUAUUUAUAAUGUUUUUUAUAUAAAUACUCAAAAUUCAUUUAAUAGUGAUUUUAGGAAAUGUUUUUAAUAUUUCUAAUACUUGAAAAUUUUUUAUCAUUUAAGUAUUAAAAAUAUUAAAAACACUUUAUAAAAUCACUUUCAAAUGGACUCUUAAUGAUUUUACUAAAAACACUUUUCAUAGAAAACAUUUAUAAAAAAUAAUUAUGAAAUACACUCUAAAUUAAGUAAAAGUUGUUUUUAACAUUACCACUAUUUAUUAAUAGUGCAUUUGUUUAAAAUAUUUAUAUGAAAAAUUCAUUAGGGUGGGAUAUAAAUAUAGAAGUGUUUUUCUUUAUAUAUUUUUUAUAAUAAAAAAUGAUUUUUGAAAUUAUAAAAUUUGAAUUUAAGAAUCAUUUGAUAAUAAUUUUUGUUAAAGCACCUUUAAUACGUGGUGCUUCUAUUGAUAGCGCUUUCAUUUCUAUGAAUGGCUAUAAAUUAUAUUUGAAUAAAUUUUUUAUAAUGUAUUAUAUAAUAAAAAAAAAGUCAUUUUUAAAAAAAUUAUACAUUAAAUGAUUAUUCAAAUAGUAUUUCCUAAAUUUUAUUAAACAUUUUUUUCAAAAAAAAAAAAAAAGUUUUCAAAUACUAGAAAACGUUUUUAAUCUCUCACACGAUCACAUCCAAACAAGUCCUAAUGCUACUCCUAGAAACACUCCAAAACAAAAGUCUUCCUCUAUUAAUGUUCAUAAAAUCCACAUAUAUUCUUCCAUCGUUUUUUCAAAAUUCAAAAUCAUUUCUAAAACAUCAAAUCAUGUUCUUUGGAUUGGCUGACUUGUUUUUUGAAAAUAGAAGGCUCAUUAUUGACGUCCGUUGACUUCAUAACCCAGUCUUGAUCUCUUGAUGGAGGGCAUAAAUGUAAAUUGGACGAAACCCUAGGGUGCGCUAGAGUGUAGAGGAUGAAAGGUUGGAAAAAGGAUGAGGUGGGGGUGUAAUAAAGAGGAGGGUUGGGAGAAUGGGACAUGUGUAGGUGAAGCAUUAAAUUCAAGACUAUGCUUACCAACAACAUAUAAAUAAAUAAAUAAAUAAAUAUAGGAACAGCACAUGGGGUGAGUAGGAGACAUCAGAAGAUGUGAACAACCCCUUGUCAGUCCAAUUUGCGUCUUUUAUCUACUCUAUUAUCUAUAUCGAUUUUCGUAUUUAUUUAUUUAUUUAUUUAUUUUUACCAUUUGAUUUUGCAUGGAUGUCGAAGGGUUUAUUGGCUGCCACGUGUAGGGUUAUGGUCAAGAUCACGUGGGGUGCCUACAUGGGAGUCACGUGAGUGCAUGAGGCAGGCUUGAAUUGCAGGAGGAGCAGGAGCAGAGCAGUGGCUGUUGUCUUAAGACUUUGCUCUCUUGGUGGAACUGCAGCUUAAGCAGCAUCCACGUGUUGUCACGUGCAAUGCGAGCCAUCCACACCACCAGUUUCUUUUUAGUGAUUUUCUAAAGUCAGUUAAGGUUGCAGUCAAUACCUUCAAAUGUUGACAGAGUUAGGGAUCUUUGUUAAAUGGAUUUUAUUAAGAUAUUAGUAAGUUAAUUAAUUGAGGGUCAACAUAACAGAUGGGUCGGGUUGGGUUGAAUCUGAAUUUAAAACGAUUUAAUUUAUGUUUAAUCAAAUUUAACAUUUAACUCGAAGCACUCAACUUAAGUUUAAUUGAAUCUUAGUUUUCAAAACAUUAUUUAAAUUUGGGUCAUUUGGAUUAAAGUCAAAUGGGUUAGAUUAAUCGGGUUAUAUGGUUCAAAAUCCACUUACCUUAUUUUUUAUACAUUAAUAUUAAAAUUUAAAUAAAAAAUAUUAGAAGAAAUUUCAAACUUGGGAUUAGUUGAUUGUAGCCAUGCAUUUGGAUGUUGGUAUUCUUGUUUCUUGUCUUGUUUCCAAAUACCCUUUCAAAUCGCUUUGUUAUUCAAUAGCAUCCUCCCGAUCAUUUAAAAAUUUAAAGAGCAUUGGUAUGAUGGAGGAAUUCAGAAAUUUUAGUUGAAUAAGUAAAAUUUUUCUCUCAUAAAACCAAAUAGCCUCUAUAGCUCAGUGGUAGAGCGUCAGUCUUGUAAACUGAAGGUCUGUAGUUCGAUCCUGCAUGGAGGCAACUUUUUAUAUUUCAUGAUCCAUUAUGCUCUAGUGAUUUAGUUUUCAUUAUAAUUUUAGAUUAAAAAAUUACAUCAACAUUUGAUAAGUUGGUUAUGACUUUGAUAUAAGGAUGAAACUAUCAAUAAUAUAUAUAAAUAUUUUGACACAAAAUAUCUAAUAUAUUAAAAAAUUAAAAAAAAACUCUAAAAAACAUUAUAAAAUUAUAUAUAUAAUUUAUCAUAUUUAAUAAUAAUAUCUUCUACCCUAAUAAAAAAUAUAAAUUUUAUAAGCAUACAUUUAUUAUUACAUUGUAUUAUAUAUUAUUUUACAAGAAUAUUAUGAUAACAUGUCUAAUUUUAAAAUAUAUUUAAUAUUAAAAUUAUCAUCAAUUUUAAUUUAAAUGUAUUUAAUGAUAUCAAAUAAUAUAUAUAUAUAUAAUUUUUUAAUAUUUAUAUAUUUUUAUAUUUAAUAAAUAUAUAAAUUAUGUAAAAAAAAAAGACCUAUUAAGAAGAUUAUGUUUUUAUAUUUGGAUCAAAAUUAAGUUUUUCCGAUAAAAUAUAUGAAACUAUUGAUAAAUUAUUGAUUGAAACGUGAAAAAAAAAAUUCAAAAAAUAGAUGAGAUAUUAGUAAAAUAUCCGAAAAUAUUGAUUGAUGAAUAUAUCAUUUCAAAUUUUGCAUCAACAUCCACAUAUGUUGGAUAUAUUGGCCAAAUAUAUUUAAACCUUGUUUCCAUGAGAAGUCUUUCCUUCAACAAUUUCAAAAGGUUAAUGAGGUGGUUUCCAAGAGAUGUGUGUAGGGGUCUCCAACGGGCGGGCCGGGCCAGCGGGCUUUUUGAAAUAAGCCAAAAUGGCUUUCAAAAAAGGGAAGGGAGAGGAUUUAAACCCCUUCCUUCAUGCUUAAAUUUCAAGGUUCUAACCAAUUGAACUACAUUCCUUUAAUGUUUAUUAAUUGAGUUAGUUAUAUAUAUAUAUAAAAAUAAAGUAUAUUAUUUUUUAAAGGGGCGGGCCUACGGGCUGGGCCGGGCCGAAAGCGGGCCACGGGCCACGGGCUUUUUGGAGACCCUUGGAUGUGUGCAAUCACAUUUGGUAUUAUAGGUGACAAAGUUUGAUAAAUGAGUAAUUAUUAGGUUAACUUAUAAAAUCCGAAUUUGAUUUAAAUUGAUUCAUUUAAUAAUCCCAUUUAUUUACCCAAUUAAAACUUUAAAUUAUUUAACUUAUAUUUAAUUUAAUUAAAAUUUGUUUUUAAAUAAAUAGAUCAAUUAAAACAUAAACAUAUUUGAUUGAAACAUUAAUAAUAUAGAUUUAAAUAAGACCUAAUUCAACCUAACGAUCAAAUAGAAAUAUCUAAUUAUUAAAUAAAUUAAACAUGUUACUUGCUUAAUAAUUAUGUGACAUUUGAAUUUAUGCUUUUGAUAUAAUUAUUAUUUAUAUCAGGUUUAUAUAAUGAAAUAUCUAGACUUUGACACCAGUCAACAUUGUCCACCAAUACAGAUUGCAACUCUUAUAUGCUACAUCACAUCAUGUUGAAGGAAGAGGAUGACGUUCAUUGGCAGCAGAGCCUCCAAUCAUAAGGAGCUUGAGCAAAUUCAAUCUCAACACUGAAAUUCACUAGAAAAAAAGUUUAUUAUUGAUACUUCAUUUGUGUAAAAGCAUUAUAUUUCUUGCAUCAAUCGUAAAGCAUGACAUUCCAGUAGGUACGGAAGAGAAAAUUUGUUAUGAAUUGAAAAAUCUGUCAAGCUUAAUUUGGAGGGCCCAAAAUUGACACGUUUAAGAGCUCUAUCAUUAGCCCAAUGAUAAGAGUCCAUUUCUUGAGUUUCAAGGAAGGCCCAAGUUUAACUUAGAGGGCCCAAUCUUGGUACCUUCUAAAAGGUGCAAACUUUGGCCCAAUUAUAAAAGCUUAUCCUUGCUUCCUAAGCAUCAAUGAUAUAUUUGAUCGAAGUAUUCACAUAACUAUCACGAAAUGAAAUGAAAUGAAAAUGUAUAAGUAAAUGAUGAUUUUGAGUUAUUUACUGACAAUAAAGAAUUAGGUGGUGUUUGUUUUUUUUUUUUUGGCUUUUUACUAAAAGCAAUUUGUUUUCAGAAUUUAGGUUAUUUAUUUUUCUAUUUUUUCAUGACUUAUUAUAAACUUUUUACUAAAUAAGAAAAUCCAAAAUAUAUAGUUUUUUCUAAAUAGAAAAAAUAACAUAUUGGUUUUCUUUUUUUUUUACUUUUUAAUAUUUAAUAGAAAUAAAAUAUUAUAAAAACAAACAACCUAAUAUUUAACACUAUUAAGUAUUAAGGUUUUAUUUAGAAUUAAGUAAAAAAACAAACACUACCUUAAAAUGAAAAGUAUGUAUAAUGACCUUAUACAAAAAAAGUCUCAUUAUUUUCUUCCAAAGAACUCAUACUUUUGUUUUUCAACUAUUACUUUGUUUUUAUUUUUUAAAUAAUAUUUCAAGUUUUUUUUAAUAAUACCUUUCUCUUUAUUAGAUAAUUUUAAUGACUUUAAAAGUAUUUUAAUAUAUUAAUUUAUUAUAUAAUUUUAAUGAUUUAAAAAUAUUUAAAUGUUGAAAUAUUUAUUUUCAAGUCUAAUUUUAAUUAUUUAUUUUUUGAAGUAUUUAAAUAUAUAAUAAAUGUGGGAUUAUGUAAAUCUAGUUGUAAUUAUUUAUUUCAUUCUAUUCAUGUUUUUAGUUGAAUUUGCUCAAAAUUUACACCUCUUUAUUUAAAGAUCAUGGAUUAGUUAGGUGUCUUGAGAUUUUUUUUCUCUCAAGACACUACUUGUUACACUAGAAAAUAAUUUGUGGCUAUAUUUUUUAGGCAAAAAGAAUUAUAUGUUAAAACUUCCUUUAUUGACUAGUUUAUCAUAGGGUGUAGAGGAAAGUUUGUGAUGUCUUUUUAUGUCAACUUUGGGAGAAAAAUAUCACUUUAGCAUUUUCCUUAGAAAAUUUUCAUACAUAAUUGAUUUUGGAACUAUGGAGGAGCAUAAGUAGGGAUAGAUAAUUCGAUUUUGGAAAAAUUAUAAUAGCUUUUCAACUUGGUGUUAAUGAUAUAUUGUUUAUUUCUUAUUUUUUUUCCAUUUUAAUAUAUAAUUGGGGAUUUUAAACUUGUAGAACAAGGCUUUUUCAAUUGAAUUGACACGUACAUAUGAAAGUUCUCUUUGGUUGCUAAUCACAUUUUUUUUUCUUUUGCUUUUUGUUUUUAUCAUAAUGAAUAUUGAACUCGAAAUUCAGUUUUUAAAAUCUUAUGAUGUUUUAAAGUUUAUAAAUAUUAUUGAUUUUUAUAAAUGAUGUUAUUCAUAUCUUGGUAAAGACAAUAUUUUCAUAUCGGUCAAGAUGAUUAAUAACAUAUAAGUUCAUAAAGAAAAACCUAUUGAUUAAUGGAUAUUUAAUGAUUUUUAUUAGGAAUGUUUUUUAAUUAGUUUCAAUACUCAUCUUUUAGAGCAUACAUAUAGGGUUUUAGAUGCUACAUUGGUUUUCAGCUUGUGAUUUAAAUUAUUGAAGCAAAAAAUGAGGGUUUUGCUUUAUGGAACUAUCUAAAGGGAGGUGAAUUAGGCGGUCUUCCUUUUUAAAAUCCAAAAAUUAGAUUUUUAAUACUUAUAUUAGUUAUACAUGUGUUCAAUAAUUAAAACAAAGAACAAGUCCAUAAUUUACAUGUGAUGUGCAUGGAAAAACACCUACAAAUUCUCUCAAAUACUUUACAAAUGAAAAAAAAAUCAAGGAUCGAUCAAUCACAGAGCAACUUCACUAAAUAUGAAAACAUGACUAUACAAUUUUACUUGGAUGAGGUGCUACCUUCUCUUAAGGGUUUUUACACUAGCCAACAAUUACACUCACCUUCACUCUCACCAUGCACCUCUAUUGUGCUCCAUAGUAAACACUUUAAUGACUGUAGCAAGAUUGCGAUAAAUUACUGCGAUUAAUUUGAGAGUGUUGAUAAUGAACAAAAAAUAAUGAUAAUUAACUAGAGAGCAUAUGAUUUUGUAAAAACACCAAAAAGAGGCAUAGUUAUAAGUGAAAACUUUAAUGGAUUGGAUUGAAUAUAUAAUUGAAGUAUGAAUGAAAAAUUACCAAAACAAUGUUCAAAACCGUGCUAAUCAAAGCACAAUCACUUGAGUACUCUCAUGGGGCACUUGAAUGCUCCUUUUAAUCACCGUAAUGCUGAAAUUAAUAAUUUGUCUCAAAUUGUUUUUCCAAAACAUAAAGCAAAAUAUUAUAAAUUUAUAUAAUCAAACCCAAUUUCAUCUUAAAGCUAGCCUACUUAGUCUUAAUUCAUGUCCAAAAAUACUCAUACUUGUCAAAGAAUGAAUAUGGUAUAAACAAAUUCUUUAUUUUCAAUUAUAUUCAAUUAUUGAAAGAAUAAAUCGGUUUACAUACAUUUUGAACAAAGGUAUAUACACAUAGACUAAAUCAAGGAAAUGAGGAAAUCAAUCACAAUCAAAUCAAAAUCAAAUGAUAGGUUGAUAUCUAGGAGAAGGUUAAGUUAGAACCAACUCAUGUAUUCAAUAUUCCCCCUUAAGAUGGCAUAUGGAGAUCAUGAAUAUCAAACCUAGAAAGUAAGGGAUAUGAAAUAUCUAUACCAAGGGAUUUUAUGAAAUAUCAACCAAUUGUUGUUGUGAUUAAACAAAUUGAAUAAGAAUAAUUUCAUUUCGAAUCUUUUCAUAGAUCAAGUGACAAUCAAUUUCAACGUGUUUAUUCUGUUCAUGGAAAAUUAGAUUAAUAGCAAUGUAUAGAGUUGUAUUAUUGUCACAAUAUAGAUGCAUUGACCAAGGAUGAUGAACUCCAAAAUCUAUAAGUAAAUAUUGCAACCAAUGCAAGUAGUAAUCAUUAAAUAAUAUUUCACUUUUCUUCAUGAGUGUUAUAUCAUUGAUUGCUUUUUAGAUCUUCAAGAGAUUGAUAGGCCACCAAGUAAAAUACAAUACCCUAUAAUUGAACAUCAAGAUUAUGCACAAUAGGCAUGGAGGAAGGCAAAAGAAUUCCUUGACCUAGACGAUUUUUUAAAUAGUAUAACACUCAUGUACUUGUGAGAUAAUUGAGACUACAUUGGCUUGUCAAGAAUUUGAACAUAAUUAGCAAUAUUAAGCCCUAUCAUUAUGAGUCAAAGUAACUUCCCAAUCAAAUGCCUAUAAUAAGAAGCAUCCAACAAAGGUUCUCUAUCUAAUUUACUCAAUUCCAAAUUUUGUUUCCUAGGAGUUUUUAAAGUUACAUGUUCCAAGAAAACCAAAAUCUUUUAGUACUUCUAGAGCAUGUUUUCAAUAACUUAAAUAAAUCUCAUUCUUAAAAUAUGUCAUUUCAAUGAUGAUGAAGUACUUUAAUUUUCCAAUCUCUUAGUUAGUUUGAAAAUGCUAUAUAGGUUUUCCUUGACCACCUUAAUUCCUUUAAGAUCAUUCAUUGUAAUAAUUAUAUCAUAAAUGUAAACAAGAAUGAUUGUGAAAUAGUUAUUUGAGGCUUGAGCAAAUAAGAAGUAAUAUGUACGUCUUGGCUUGCUUGUAAACCAUAAACAUCAAUGUGAUAGAUAAUUUGGCAAACCAUCAACGUGAAGCUUGCUCAAGGCCAUAAAGGGAUUUUUUAACUUUGCAAAUCAUAUUUUUGGUUCUAGAUUUCCUACAAACUUGGUGGAAGCUGCAUGUAUACCUCUUUAUCUAAGUCUUCAUAAAGAAAAACAUCGUUGAUGUCAAGUUGGUGAAGAUGUCAAAUUCUAAUUAUACAAUAAUUAGGGGUGACAAUGUGUCUUAUCGUGUUGAGGUGAGAAAUAGUGAAAAUUUACUUAAUCCGACUAUGACCCGUUUGAUAAUCGUGUCAAAAUAACCUAACAUGAAUACAAUUAGUUUAUUUCAUGUAACAUGACCCUUUUAACAUGUUUAAUAAAUAUAUUAACUUGGAUUAUGUAUUAAUUGACAUGAAUAACUCAUUAACUUGAUUUCAACCCCUUAAACUCAUUAACACAAUUCCAACCCAAUAAACUCGUUAAUAUGAUUUAACUCAUUAAACUUGUUAAUAGGAUUAUAACCUCUUUAACCUAUUUAAAAUUUUAAAUUUAUAAAUAAUAAAAUACUUCUAGAAAGUUUAAUUUUUAAAAUUUGAACUAUAAUACAUGUAUGCACCAAUUUCAUGAAGUCCUGAAAAAUUAGCAAAAUUAUAGAAAAAUAAUAUAAACAAAAAUUUGUAUUAAAAUUAAUAAGUAUGGGCUACAAUAUUAGUCAUAGUACUGCUUAUUUCUGAAUGACUUUAUUAAAAAGCGAAGAAUACAUGUGUAGUUCUUAUGUGAUUUCUUAAACUUGUAAGGCGAUUUUAUAAAGUUUUUUUUUUCUUUGUGAAACCUCUUUUUCUAUGUGAAAUUGUUUUGCCGAUUUGAAAUCUUCAUUAAAGGAAGUUACUAUUAUUUAUAAUUGAAAUUAGAGAAUGAAAUGUGGAAUCCCCAUGAUUUAGUUGCUUAAUUCAAGGAAUUUGAUUAAUUGAUUUUGGUAACUUGUCUCAUAAAAUUUUCUAACAAGAAUAUUUAUUUUUAAUCUCUUUUAUUUCAAUUGGAAUAUUUGUUUCCUUUGUAAAUUUGUCAAUAGAAUAUUUAUUUAUUUAUUUAAUUCUCUUUUGACUACAAUGAGAAGAUUUGAUUUUGUUUGUAAGACUAAAUUUUAUAACCUUUCAAAUUUGGCCAAGUGACACCUUUUGAAUAUAUGUCACAUGUCAAAUGUGUGUGACUCAUUAGUUGUUGAACCUAAAUUUUCUUGAAUUAGAAAGCUAUACUUUUGAAGACUAAUUUAGUGAUAAUUUAAUUCAUUAAAUUUUUUUGGUGUCUACAGUAUAUUUAUAAUAUGAAAAGUAAAUUAAAAUUUUAAUUUUUUUACUUGUUUAUUAUUUUAUUUAUUAUUUAAUGAUAAAUAUUUUUAUUCUUUAUUGAAAUAUAUAAAAUUUUAAUUAAUAUUUUAAUUUUUUUAAUUUCUAUAUAUAAAAUAUAUAGAUUUAUAUGGUCUAAUUGAGUCAUUAAAAUAAAUAGGGUAAAUAACUCACACAUAAGUGAUGGAUCAUUCUAACAUGAUUAAAUUAACAAGUUAGAUGAAUUGAGUAGUCAAAUACAAACAUGAUUUGUUUAUUAAAUAAGUUAUAUGAAUUGAUACGAUUAUGACAUCAACUCAAUUAAACUUAACUCAAAUAAGCUUUGUCUUUUAUUUUAAGUUGUCUAGUUGUUCACACAAAUUUUCUCAAAAUAAAGAAAUUAUAUAUAAAAUUGUAAAUUUGAUUAUUUGAGGGGACCAUUUUCAAUACUCUUUUUUAAGUAAUCUGGUGUUUAAUUUUGAAUCAAAGGGGCUUUCAUUAACAAAUAAUAGACUGUAGUUUUCAUAUAAGAAGAAAUCUCAAGCCUUUUUUUCUUGAAGGAAUCUUUAAAUUUUCUUUGAUACUUUAAAAAAUCAAUCUUCUUUGAUUUUUUAAGAAAUCUUUGAAUUUUCUUAAAGUCUUCAAAAAAAAAAAAAAAAAAAAAACUGAGUUUAAGGAAUUUUUUUAAUAACUCUCCAAAUUUCUUUGAUAUUCCAAAGUGUCCUUUAGAAGGGGACAAAUCCUCUAUUUACAGGAUUGAGAGUUUUAUUUUAAUAUUAUCUCUUAAUUUUUAAGAAAUAACUCUCUUAUUUAUGAUAAUUACUAUUUAUUUUAUUUAUCAUAAUUAGUUGCCUAUGAUAAUUAUCAUAAUUAAUUUUUCUAGAGAUAAAUAAUUAUAUAUAUUUAAUUAAUCAUGAUAACUAUAAUAUUUAUUUAAUUUUUUAUUAAAUUAUUUUACAUAACAUAUCAAUAUAUAUUAUUAGUCAAUUAUUAACACCGAAAAUUAAUGAGUUGGCAUAAAAUUUAUCUCUCUAUAAUAGUAUCAAAGCGAGCCUUAAUAAUAACAUUGCUUAUAGUCAAUUUCACAUGCCAACUUUUUACUGGGCAUUGGCGAUUUCAAUUUUGAUAGUCCGGUUAGAAAAAGUAGGUAAAGAUUAUUUGAUGUGGUAGGUCAUUUCUUUCAUAAAGACGAUGGCGGUGAAUUCAUGAGACAGGUGAUAAAGGAGAGAUUCUUUCUUUUGGCUUUGGAAUUUUAAUGAGGUCCUCGAUCCUCAUCCAAAAUACACCUCUCCAAUUAUAAAAAUCUUAUUAAAAAAAAAAAGAUUUGACAUGUGCCUUUCGAACUGCUGGUUUUCUGUUCCAAAAAUGAGAAUGGUUUCAAGUGGAUGAAGGAAGGUGAAGAACCCUUGGUUUUGUUAAGCGAAAAGCCACAUGAUUAAAUAAACAUAAGGCGGCAAAGGCUGAAAAUUUAAAAUUAUACUAAGGAACCCACCCCACAGGGCGACUACACUUUUGGUGAAGCCACGAGAAUGAAAGAUAUCGAAGGUGACACCAAGACAUUAAGCAGCACCAAGGUUUCGAUAUAUUAUAAGAUGGGAUCUUAUGAAAGACGAUCUCUAAUCUCUCUCCAAUCUCUUCUUUAACCUUUUCUUACUUAAAUCCAUUUCCAUGGUAGGGCACAUGUCCAGCUGACCCUACCCCCUCACCUACCUAUACUGCUAUACCCUUUUGUAUAAUUUGAUAUGGAUUGGAAGCCACCCCAACAUCUUUCUAAUUGCUCGUAAAUGUUGAGGUGCCUUUCCAUUUUGAGGCUGCCCUAAUGUGUGGCUGAAGUACGUAGGAAAAAAAAAUUGUGAUACAUGCACUGACGAAUCAAAUCCCAAUGUCAAAUUAUUAGACUCACCUGGUUCUUAAAUUAUUGUGAAUGCCGCUGGCCAUGGAUAAAUGGAAUUAGUGCGUGGCUUAAUGAAAAUUUAUUUUGAAAGGGAUAUUAAUUUGAGAGAAUUUUGGCUGAUACUUGGAGUUGAACGUAAGCAUAUAUGACCUCAUUUCGGGUGUGAUAUUGUGCUUAUAACGAACCUUUCGUUCUUUCCAAUUCCAGUGGGUAUUAAAUAAUUAAAGAAUUCAUGGUUCGAAGGCGAAAGGUAGAAGACCAAAAAGGGAUUACAAAGCCAUCGGCUUGACCAUCCAGAUGCAAUGGAUACAAACUUUGGACUCUAUCGAAAGUUCUUUGGGCACGUGCCCAAGUGUCCUACCCAUAUGAUAAGUUACACGUGGCUAAUUGCGGACCGGUUGCUCGUGCUAAACAGGGUACUUUUUCUACGCAUAUAAGAUGUUUCACUAGUGGGGCUUCACCAUGCAAACUCAUGGAUGAAGACCCUGAGGCCAAGAUGAAGGAACAGAAAGAAGGCGGAGGAGAGGUUCGGUAUCGAGGCGUUCGGAGGCGGCCAUGGGGGAAGUUUGCUGCGGAGAUACGUGACUCGACUAGGCAUGGAGCGCGCGUCUGGCUCGGGACUUUCAAUUCUGCGGAGGAGGCUGCAAGAGCAUAUGACCGAGCUGCUUAUGCCAUGAGGGGUUCCUUGGCGAUUCUCAACUUCCCUAAUGAGUAUCAUACACCCGGCACGGCUAGCUCUUCAGCUUCAUCCUCAAUGCCCGAAGGUGAUCAGCAGGGAAAACAAGUCAUUGAAUUGGAGUACUUGGAUGAUAAGCUGCUAGAGGAUCUUCUCGACUCUGAAGACAAAAAGAACAAGAAAACCUGAAGUUUCUGCUGCCUCGAAUCCCCUGAAAUCUAGUGCUUCAUCGAAAAAAAAUCCCCUCGCUCCUGAUUAACAACAUUUUUAUUUUAGUCAAUGAAUGUGUUCUCGGAUCAUUAUAAGUAUUUCUGCCGAAGUCCAUUGAUUUUUGGAGACUGAAAAAUGUCAGAAAAAUUGGUGCGAACAGGUUUACUCCUUUCUAAAUUAUGCAAUUGAAGUAUUUGGAUUAGUGCGCAGUGUAAACAUCAAGGAAAGCAUGAUCCACUAUUUUAAGGAGCCUAAGUGCUUUCCCCUUUACUCUUUUAGGAUGUCUUUUCAGUGAAGAAAGUUGGGAGACCACCACUUACCCUUUUGAUUGGUAUAUAACUGCCAACUAAUAACUGGACUAACAUUUGGCCCGUCUGGCCCUACUUCUUUGACUUUGUUGUUAAUUUAUAACUUUAUGUGAAGUGGGGGCUGUUUGGGAAUGUGUGAAGCAAGGAUUUGAGCCGACUUCGCCUAAUCUGAUUCUCCAUAAGUGACUUCAUUUUAUCAUAUUGGUGUUUUUUUUCUUCUUCUUUUUAAAUGGCUGGGGAGGAGGGGAUUUGGGAGGGAUGCAAUGCCAUGGUUGCAUGCUGGAUUAUCCUUCCAAAUGAAACAUCCAUUUGGUUUCUAGUAACUAAUUGCAAACAAUUAAAGAGAAUAAAAUUUUAAGAUGAUUAAACAAUAAGUACCUAUGUCCAUGAAAAGGAGAGAAGUUCACUCAUGGGUGUUCAUGAAAGACAUCACAAAGAACCAUCAAUAUGAGAAGAAUCCUGAUACAAUUAACUUUCAUGCAUAAGAAAAGACGCUCAAAAAAGAAUAAUGCUUACAAGGAAAGAAUCUCACUACGAUCAACUGAAAAAAUAUUCCAAUUUAAUUGGAAAUCCUUACAUGGGAAGAAUAUCAAUAAAAUCAACUAAAAAAAUAUUUUAAUUUUAUAUCAAAAUAUUUGUGAUUUAACCCGUAUCAUUUCAUCAUGACUUCUUAUAAAUUUUGUUCCUUUUUAUCAACACCACCCCUUGAGUUGGAGCAUAAAUAUUUAUUAAGCUAACUUGAACAAGAUCUUGAGAAAUUUUGUCGCAGGAUUUGUUUGCACUUUUUUUUUUCAAAUAAAGUCAUAAUUAACUUUAAUAUGUUUAAUCAUUUCAUGAAAUACUAGAUUUUAAGCAAUGUUGAUAGCAUACUUAUGCCUGAAAGCUUUAUCCCAAAUCACAUGAGUACAUGAAGUGAUUGCAUCAUUAAUGGUAGUAUUAUUACUUUAUAUUCAACUUCUCCACUUGAUAGGAUGCAUGAAAGCAUUGUGCUUUCUUCUGUUUCAAGUAAUAAAGAUUAUCACCAAGAAAGGUGCAAUUAAUACCUAGUAACAGAGUACCUAGUGGUAGCAUGCACCUAUCCACUGAACUUGUACUCGACUCUAUGAGUGUACGUUACAUAGUCCUUUUUUCGAAGUCUAAAUGUCCCUUGAUAAAACCUUCUAAUAUUUGAGGUUUUGGUAACAUUCAUGUAUCAAUGAACAAAUUAAUUUACUAGCUAAACUUUAAAAUUAGGCAAUGUUUUUCAAUGGGUGAUCAAGAUCUUGGAAUUUUCAAUGUUGUUUGAAUAGCUUCCACACACAAGCAUAUUUUCUCCUAUUUAGGAAUAAUCCCUUUUUUGAAGGUGUGAUCUUUAUGCUCAAAAAAUAAAGAUACUCAAAAAUUUAAUAUUGACCUUCUCGUGAAGGAAAAGCUUUAUAACUAAUUUUUUUUGUGCAUUAUAUAUAUCCUCAAUAUAGACUUUAAAAAAAAAAGAAGUAACUCCCUCUACAAAGAGUGAAGAGUCAAUUAAACUUUUUUUUUUUUAAAAAAAAGGAACCAAUUACUCGUAAAAGUAAUGAUUAUUUUUACAUACCAAACUUGAGGAGAUUACUUAAGAUCACAAAAGUUUUUAUUAAAUUGCAAGCUAGAUGCAUUUGAAACGAUCGUUGAUGUCUUAGCAACACCUUAUGUAACUCAUCAAUCUUUAUGUAAAAAUGCAUUUUUAACACCCAUAUAAAAUAAUGAUCAAUCCUAAUUUAAUAGAAACAAAUGGUAAUACAUGAAUAUCAUUCAUAUUAAUGAGAAAAGUAAAUAUUGAUUUAUAAUCAACUUCUUAAGUUUGUGUCAAUGCCUUAAUCAUUAGUUUAACUUUGUCAUUCAAUGAUACCAUCAUUACGACAUUUAAUUAACUUAGAUUUGCGUAAAUCCCUUAAUCACUAGUCUAGCUUUAUGUCAUUCAAUGGUACCAUCAUUAUGGUAUUUAAUUGAUCUUAUACCCCCAAUUUGUAUACCCCAUGUUUUUCUUAAUUUACCAUACAUCACUUAACAAUGUUCCAUGCAUGGAUUUUGUUAAGUGCCUUAAGUUCCUUUUGCAUAGCCUUUCUCCAAAUUGGAUGAGGAUUGGCUUCAUUAAUGUCAUUAGACUCAUGAUAUAUGGAACUCAAACAAUUGUUAAGUGAUUUUGUAUAUAUAUAAAAAAAAAAUUGUAAUUAAUGUGGUAGGCAUAAAAAUCUCACAAAUGAGGAUUGAUUAAUUGUUAUAAUUGAGCAACAUGCUUGAGGCUUAGUCACAAUACUAGAACUUGAAGUCAGACAUUCUCUUCAAAUAAGGACGUAUAUACAUUAUAUUGGAUCUCCAUUAAACAAGUAAAGAACUAUUUAGUAGACAAUGAAACCUCAUUGAUCAAUGGUGGUAGAGAGACACAUGAUGACCAGACUAUUCCCCUGGAAAUGAGAAUAAAAAAUAUCAUUAGCCGCAAAAAUCUCAAAAAAAUUUAGAUAAUGGGAUAUAAAGAGUUUAUGAAUUUUACAAUCAUAACUCUUAUACUGGUUUAAGUGGUAGAGUAAUCAAGAACACAAAACGAGUUUGAUGAGUGGUUGAGAUAUGAACAAAGCAAAGAUUUCCAAAGACACCAAAAUCAGAAAUCUCAAUUUUUGGGCUAAGGAUUUCAAGAAGAAAUUUAAAAUUAACUACAUGACUAGAAAAUUUGUUCAUCAAGGAAAUAGAAGUAACGAUAUCAUAACAUCAUAAUUAAUCAAUAUUUUUAAUAACAUGCAUUUGGAACAUGAUAUACCGGCUUUCUAAUAAUCAAUGAUUUUUGGUUCAACCACACCAUUUUGUUUUGGGAUGCCAAUACAACAAGUUUAACGAANNNNNNNNNNNNNNNNNNNNNNNNNNNNNNNNNNNNNNNNNNNNNNNNNNNNNNNNNNNNNNNNNNNNNNNNNNNNNNNNNNNNNNNNNNNNNNNNNNNNAUGUAAGUGCCAAAUUAGGUAGUGUCGACAAUGAAAUGGAAAUUUUGGAAUAUAGAAACAACCUCAUUUUUAUGUUCUAAUAAGUAAACCUAUGUAGCAUAAGAAUAGUCAUUAAAAAAAAAGGUAACAAAAUGUUGAUUUCCAUCCUAUGGAUCAAUUAGGACACAACCCCAAGGUAAACUAAUUUGAAAGUUGCAACAAAAAUGGAAAGAGAUGAAAAAAUAAUAGAGGAAUUUAAGGUUGUUUCAAAAUUUCAAGACAUGCUAAGAAACACAUGAGAUUAUAGAUGAUUAGGUAACAACCUUGGUUAAGUAUAUUCAACAUAUAUAUCCCACGAGGAUAAAUAUCUUCACUAAACUUUUCCUAUUAUUCAAUCCCCUAAUACCAUACAAGUGAAAAAUUAAUGUCACGGUCAAAAAUUUUAAUAAGCUUCCAAAGAGAUAAUAAUUUUGGGGAAAAAAACAACCUAAGAAACCUAUGAAUUGAGAUAAUUUAGGAAAAAACUAAAUGUUCGUUAGCUCUAGAAGGGAAUUGAAGCUCAUCAUCAAUAAAGAUUGUUGCUAUCUCGAAUAAUAUCAAGUAAACCAUUAAGAUCGCUAUUAAUGGUAUGAUUAGCAGCACCAAUUAUCGACAAAAAAAUUAUUAAAAAUAUAAGAAAUGAGAGCUUUAAGAUUAUCUAAUUGAUUUGUAAACCUAGGUAAGUGAAUCAGUAUUACGUUUUGUUAAGGAAGCUUAGAUCCAAUUGGUAUCAUUCACCAAGUUAUUGGAUUAAAUUACACUAUCAAACUUUGGCUUUAAAUGAGAAUGAAGAAUCUAACCACAAUCCUUAUUGGGAUUAGAUAUGUUAUUGCAAUAAUGUUUACAAUCGGAUGAGUGCUAAUUUCUAUUGAAAUCAUGAAGCAAUCUCUGAUCAUUGGUCUUCUUUGUAGAAACAUGAGCAUUGAAUUUAAAAUUAAUAAUUGUUACUUGGGAUUCAACCUUCAUAAUCAUUGCCUGGGUUUCCUAAUCACUUUCAAGAAUUACUUAUAUAGUGAAGGCACUCGAAACUAAUCAAAUUUGUCCUCUUAUAAAGUUGUCAUAUUCAAGCUUCAGAAUAGCCAAUAAUUGAAAAACUUAUCAUACUCCGCAAUUUGUUGAAGAAUAUUUGGGUCUAUUGAAGGGGACAAUAUAGGGAAUAUUUGUCCCAUAUGCUCAAAAUGUUCAAUUAACAAAGUGUUCUGUAUGUUUAGGGAUUUGUUAGCUUUAAUUACACAAAACAUUAGCAGUUUUAGAGAAAAUUAAUUUUUUUUUGCAAUCUUAGGUUCCAUGAAAUUAAAAAGCCAAUAACAAGUCAAUAUGGCUUGAGACCCAGUCAUCAUAUUCAAAGUCAUCCAACUUAGAAGCAUUCAUUUUGCCACUAACAUGUGCUAAUUUCCAUUUUCUAUCUUUCAAGAGAAAAAGACUGCUCUUAACCAUGGCAAAUAAUUGAACCCAUUAAGAAGAUUGAGGAAAGUAUCAUAUGAGGGUUGUCAUUUUCCUCCAUGACAAAGAAAAAGCAACAGAGAAAAACUCAUAAUAUUAGAAAGAGAAUGAAAGAAAUUGAGUCAUAGAUACACACAGAAGAAUCCAAAAAUAAAGCAAUAAUACAACCACAAAUAUGAGAAGAAGCUCAAUUACAAAGAAAGGAACUCAAUACAAUCAACUAAAAAGCGUUCCGAAGUUCAUACGAAAAUAUUCAUAAUGUGAAGAUCAUUUCAUGAUUCCUACAAUUUCUUCCUUCUACCAGUCCACUCCAUACAAGGUUUGAUCAACAACUUCUUCAUUGAUUUUCUGGUCUCUCUCCGGUGUAUCAUAGAGCAUUUUUGACAUGUUUCUGCAAGAUACACUUGUUAACUUUAAGCGACAUAAGUGCAAAAAAAUAAGAUCAUGUUGUAUUGCCUGUGCUUCCACUCUGCCUUGUUUAGUACUAUUAUGGAGCAGUACUUCCAUAUAGAACCAGUGAUCUCCAGUUCAUUAUGUUGCCUUCUUUAAACUAACUUUAAUUAUCUAUACAUAUAAAACAAAGUGGUCCCAUCAAGGGGCUAAAUCAAGAAUCAAGUGGGGCGAACAGGAAACAGUGGCAUCAAUUUUUAAGUCCAUAAGCUUUAAUAAAAGGAAUAAAACCAAGGAUAUGAAUAUGUUAUUUUUUCAUUUGUUCAUGCACUGGAAGAUCUUUCCUCUUCAAGCAUUGAACCAGCAUCCUUCUGUGCAAGUUGCUGUCGGAACCUUCUAUAAUUGUCAGAAGUCUGUUUCUGAAAUAUACAGAUAAAACUUUUAGCAAGUCUUGACAUUGCUCAUCACUAGGACAUUGUACUAGGAUACCAAUUCAUCUAAUUAGGGUUAAGUUGGCAUCUCGUACACUAUUUUUUAUUUUUCCUUCAUCUUUUGUUCCCAUUUGCAGUGGAAGUGGCACUUAGAAUAUCUGAUCAUGAAGAAUUAGCUUUCGGUGAGAUGAUACUAGGUCAAUUGCCAUUAUCUUUUUGAGUUACUGUGCGAGCAAUCUUGAAAAUAUUUUGGGAUAAAUAGAAUUUGUGCUUAUCAUAAACAUGCUAAACAUCCAAAUCAAGUGCUUUUACUAUUGAUAUCAAAUCAGUAAUUGAUUUUAACCUUUAUGCUUAUCUUUCAGAUUCUCAAUUAUGUAUCUUGAAUAAUGAUAUUAAGCAGAAAUCAUGAAUUGAAUUGCUUUAAUUAACUGUGCCUUAUCAAGCUUGUCAGCAGUGCUAUUGCUACCGCGAAUCAAAUUCGCUGUGCUUCCCGCCUUCUCCAAAUAAGCCACAAGCCCAAUUAUAUCCGCCCUCCUCCCAUCUCCAAGGGAUCAAAAAAUAAAAUGACUUCAAUCAAUUUUCAAGUUUUCCAUCUUGAUCAGUAGACCACCCGGCAUGAAUGUUACCCUCAGUUUAGGAAUAGGAAUUCCUUUUACUAAUCAUUUGGCACUAAAAACUAUGACCCCUAGCAAUUCAUUCCCUCCAUUAGAUAUCUGGGGGCAUCUUGGCUCAGCCAAAAAUGAUAAGUCAUUGCAUUUCACAUUGCAUUCAUUUGUAUUAAUGAGCUAAUUUUUUUUCACAGAAUGUGAUGUGAAUCGAAUUACUUCCAACCAUGUGUCUCUAUAAGGGUUUAACAAAUGUAAUUUGCAUUGUCUGUACACUUUUUUUUCGGUUUCUUUUCUUUUUUAUGCAUGAUUCAUUAGUCCACGGAUCUUCUAUGCAAAGUGUGCAGGCCAAACACCUCCUUCAAUGCAUUAUUCUAGAAGUUAAGACUCAGUUUACUCCUUAAUUGAUCUGUUCCAUUUACUUCAAAUCAUUUGAUUACAUUAAAUGAAUCUUGAAAUUCAAAAAUGCAUCAAAGUUAAAAGACCUUCCAAUGCAUUAAGAAAUCAUCUGAUACAAAUAUAUGUGAACCUGCAACAACAAUAAUGUCAAAAUGGAAAACUUAGGUAGAAAAUAUUAGAACGGAAACUUACGACGAACUCAAUUUUUGGCGCCUUUCUUCUUCUCAUCUUCUGAUCCAAGAAGCUCUUCCAACACCGUGUCAUCCAAACACUCGAACUCAAUGACUUGCUUUUCUUGCCCAGAAGAGGAACCUCCCAUCUCUAAACUCCUACAAGGCCCAGAAGAUGACGAGGAAGACGAUGAGGAUGGUGAUGGUGGGGGGCGAUGGGAGCCCAUGAUUUCAGAAUAGUACUCAUUAGGAAAGUUAAGAAUGGCAAGAUGACCCCUUAAGUUAAAGGCCGCUCGAUCAUAGGCGCGAGCUGCAUCCUCCGCCCUGUCAAAUGUGCCUAGCCAUAGACGAGCACCUUGCCUAGACGGAUCCCUAAUCUCGGCUGCAAACUUCCCCCAUGGCCUCCUCCUCACCCCUCGGUAUCGAACUUCUUCCUUUUCCUUCCCUUCCUGCUCCUGCUUCUCAUUCCCUUUCGAAUGAUCUUCCAUGCUAAACGUGUCGAUUUGCUAGGCGCAAUUUUUUUGGUUUCAAAUGUGCUGGUUUACGAGAGGCAUGGAUGCUUAUGUAUAUAUAUGGUUGCCACAGUCAGGUCUGACGUCACCGCUCAAUGUAUGUUCCACAGCGUGGGUUGACGAGCUUUCUGAGGGGGUUUCCUCGAAUUCAAAGCAAGUAUAAAAAUUCGAUUCUCCGACCUUUCCAAUGAGGAUCGAACAGGCCUUUUAUUAGAACCGUAUGAUAACUCCACACUGUUUUCAAAUAGUCAAUGUGAUCUAGAUUCUUCGUUAAUUUUUUCCACCUGACUGAUUGUUUACAAUUUUAUUUUUCACCGUCCCAAAUUUAAACCAUUUACGCGAUUCCCUGGAUUGCAUUUUUCUUUAAUGUUGACUUUACGAGGCAAUAGGACCCCCCAGCAACCCCACUAGGGCGACUUCAUGGGAACCAGAUUACUUUUGGAUCCAGAUAUGGUCCAGAAGAAAUAAGACAAAUCAAUUAAUGUCCACUAAAGUUUUGAUGGAACCCUUAGUCCGUGUUUCCUGUGGAUGUAUGUAUUGUAUGCACCUCAAUUUUCACCAAUCCCUGCUACGAGUCCCUUUAAUUUUGACGUUAUAAAUGUUUUUCCUGACAUUAGCAGAGUGUUUUUCUGCCGUCUUUGAGGACCUUCCACGGCCCAUAAACUAAUAAGGAUCGUCCAGUGAAUUUAGUCUUCCCCAGUUAAUUAUCCUGCGAGGGAAACUUGGGCAGUAAGUUGCCUACAUGAGUGGCUCCCGCCUACAUGAGUCAAGGGACCAUACGUCAGGACGACAACCAGUGUGGUCACACCAAAGUGGGUUGCCUGGACUCCAGGGUGGUCGCUUCAAAGUUGUCAAAUGAAGGCUAGCUUGGCAAGUUUUGGAAAACAAUUAUUGAAAAACAUUUUUCAUGAAUAACAGUUUCUAUGAACAGAUUUUAAGAAAGUUUAUUUUGUGAUUUUUAGGAAUAUUUUUAAUUUAAAUUUUUAUAUUUUUAAUUUUUUAUUAAUUUAUUGAUUAUUUAAUAUUAGCUUAAUUAAUGGAUUUUUCUUGGUCCCAAAUUAUUAAUUUAUCAAGAUUUAAUCGCAUCCAUAAUUAGUCUAAUUUCUUUUGGAGUGAGUGUGACAAAGUGCAAAUUUCUAGAGUUUUAUUAAUGUUAUUCAAUGUCAUAAUUUAACUAAUUAUAUUAAUUAUUUAUUAAUCAAAAUAAAUCAUUCACUUGAAAUAUGAUAAUUUAAAUUAAAAGUUUCAAUUAUUUAUUAAUUAGCAAAGUAUGAACUUUUCUUCUUGUUUUAUUAUUGUUAUUCCAUGUAUAUAAUUUAAUUAACUGUUUCCAAUAUUAAUCAAUAAAAAUAGAAUAUAAGCAUGAGAAGAAUUAGUAAAAUUCAUUGAUUUGGAAUUAGAUAGCUAGAGGAAGAACUUCAUCAUCUUCCCAUUACUUAAAUUUGUAUAAAUUCUAAAUAUUUAAACCCCCCCCCCCCCCCCCCCCCCCAAAAAAAAAAAAAAUGGUAAAGAAAGACUCCCCAAGCUUUCUUGGUUGGUGUUACCCUAAAAUUUGUACAAUAAGAUGAACCAUUUGGCUUAAAGCUUGGUGCGAAACCCCUUAUCAAUUGAAAAUAUCAAUGAAGUUGUUGAAUGGUUUUAGAGGACUAUUCUUAUGCAGAGUGGCAUAAGAAGCGAGGAGAUGAAGAGCGGAGAGACGUUAACAUCGGAUGCUGCUACGAAGGUGGGAAUACGGUUAAUUAAUUAGAUUUUGUGAUGGCUUUGAGUUUGAAGGAGUUAGUUUAAUGGGUAUUAUUAGUGAACUGAUAAUUGGAUUUGAUGUAAAGAAGGUUGGUCCAUUGGAUUAGCAAUUGGUUUGGCCUUUUGGGGGCCCCAUUUCCAAAUGCAUUGCCUUUUACAAGCAUUCAACAUCGCUGGACGUAACCAGGCUUGGUUCACCUAAAAGUAUCGCAUGGAUUGAAUUGACUAAGUUUUCAUUGUAGACUAGCCUUGAUUUUCCCUUGACCUGCCCACCAAAUCCUGAUGCCCACGCGAGGGAAUACCUCAAUUUUCUAAUAAUUUAUGCAGUUUCUCUUCAAAGCUCGUGUGAUCACUUGGGUCGGUAAAAUAAUGCAUUCCUCUACUUUUUCUCCCUUCCUAGAUGCAUGUUAUACCAUUAAUUCAAAUGUGAACAUGGGCUUGGCUUUGAAACUUGGUUCAAGGCCCAACAUGUUGACCCACAAUUGAGGUGUAAUUGAAUUUGUACACUUUUCGACUUUGAUACCAUUUGUCAUUACCAUUGACAUUGGGUCAUUGUUGAUUUUGAGUCCACAACUUUUAAGGUUGUUAUUACAAUUUUAAAUUGCGCCCACCCAAUUUAUAUGCAUUAUCCCUUAUAAAUACCGAUAACCUCUCUUUCUUCGAUAAUAUAAAAUGUCACAUAUAUUAUAUAUCUCAAUGUUUUCUUUUACUUUUUUUUUUUUUAUCGAUCGACAUUCUCUCUCAGAUGAUAUGAGAUGUCACAUAUAUUAUAUGUUUCAAUGUUUCUUUUACUUUUUCUCUUUUUCCUCAUGAUUGACAUUGUCUUUCUCAAAUGAUAUGAGUUGUCACAUAUAUUUUAUGUCUCAAUGUUUUCUUUAACUUUUUUUCUCUCUUCUUUAAUGAUCGACGUUCCUUUUCUCAGAUGAUAUGAAAUGUCAUAUAUAUUAUAUGGCUUAAUGUUUUCUUUUACUUAUUCUUUCUUUAUUAAUAAUCGACAUUUUAAGCAAUAUGUGAAUAUAAAGCAUUAAAAUUAUCUCCAUCGUUUUUGGAUGUGGUAUAAAUACACAAUUCUUAUUUUUGUUUUAAAUAUUUCUAUUGCUAUCUAUUGAAAUUUUAUGCAUGAAGCUACCAAGUUAAUUAUACAUAUAUCUUAAGAUUUUUUUUUUUUUUUUUUAUAGGAUAUAUUGUCCAUGAAUAUUUUCUGCAAUGGUAUCUUGUUUGAUUACUAUAAGAAAUAAUAUAUAUAUAUAUAUAUAUAUAUAUAUAUAUAUAUAUAUAUAUAUAUAUAUAUAUUAUAUUUCAAUGUUUCAUAUUUGCUUAAAAUAAAAAUUAUAUUUUAUCACAAUAUUUGGUAUUAAAAAAAAUGAAAUCUCUCUCAUUUAUUAUUACAAAAAAAUUAUAAUUUAUAAUUUUCUAAAUAAGUUUUAUUUAUUUGCUAACUAUAUUCAUGAUUAAAAGAUUUAAAAUUUAUAAAUAAAAAAUAUUAUGUCAUGUCAUUAAAUAAAUAAAAAUAUAUGUAUAUAUUAAAAUUAUGUUUUAUUGUAGCUUUUAAUAUUUUUUUUUUUAUUCUUUUCUUUUUUGAACUACAAUUUUAAUUUUUUUUAAUCAAAAUUUUUUAAUUUACAAAACGAGUAACAUAAAACUUGCCUUUGAACUUUAUUGGAAUGUUAUAUACUACCAUUUGGCUUUCAAGACAUUAGAAAAGGCAUAAGUGUCCCUUUUAUUUUUCCGAAAGGCAUAUUAGACUAUAGUAGGAAGUGUUGUAUAGAGGCAACUAAAAGUUGCCUUUAACUUUAUGAAGUCAUAUACUCCUCUUUGGCUUUGAUGACAUCAACUAGCAAAUUGGAUUUUGUUUCCUUUGCAACAUUUUUCCAUCCAUUAGCCAGUUUUUUUAUACUGUUUGGUGCUUGCCAACAUGGCACACACUAUGGUUCUUAAAAAGUAUUUUUUUUUUUAAGAUACUACGAAAUAAAAUACACGAUUGAAAGAUGAGUCACAAUAAUUUUCAAAACUAAAUUUUUUAAUAUUGUUAAGAAAAUUUGACCACCAAAUGAUUGAUUUUAAAUUACAAAUACUUUUGUUAGCUAAGAAAUUUGUUGUUCUAUUUGUUUCCCUAUAAAUAUGACAACAAUCAUAAAUAUUUUCAUUUUAAGAUAAUUUUCAAAUAUCUUCCAUUAAUAAUAUAAUAGAAUUAGGAAUUUUUUUUUUAGUUAUAACAAUCUAUAAUUAUUUAAGAGUCUUCCUCAAUCUCUAGGUUUAAGAACUUAUUGUUCUUAACAACUAACAUGUCAUCUCUUAAAAUAAUACAUUCUGCAAUAAUUAUUGAAAUAUGAUAUAAUAUAUAUAUCUACUUACAACCAUUUUUGUAGUACCAUUAGAAUUUUUAAUUACCCAUUCUAAAGUAUUUUUAUUCUCUAUUCUUAAACCAUCAAAAUUUAAUUUAAAUCUUUCAUUAAUUGGAUAAAUCCAAUGAAUCUAACAAGUUAAAGGAUUAUGAAUCCGACAAAACAGUUGAUAAUAAAUUAAUAAUGCCAUUAAUAUGAUUUUAAUGUGAAACACAAUUAUCACAUUUAAUACAGUUAGUCCUUGUAUGAUUAAUGUUUUGGAAGCUAAAAUCAAUCUUUUGACUAUAAUAAGAGUUUCUACUAUUUCUAUUUUUGGAUGAUUUUAUAUUUUUCUUAUUGUUUUAGUUUAAUACAAAAAAUAAAAAUAAAAUUACAUUAGUAGAAUUUUUUUAACUUACUCAAAAACCUAUUUUAGUUGAAUGAUUUUUUUAAAAAAAAUAUAAAUAUUUUGUUAAAAGGGAUAAAAUAACCUUACCUUGUGAAAAAGACCUCUUCACCCAAGAUUACUUGUUCAUAAUCCUUUUAAGACGAAAAUGCCCCCUUCCUAAAAAAUAUUUCAUCUUAAACUUAUUUUUCUUUUUAUUGCCCUUUGUUCCAUCCUUCCGGCUUGGGAGAGAAAUUCAUUCUUCUUUUGCGAAGAAAAAUUCCUAUUGCGAUUUUUCAUUUCAAGUGGAAAAAAAAAUUCUUAUUUCAUUUUAAAGAAAUUGUACAUUUUCAAUCUUUCUCUUUGUUCCUAGUUGAGGGUUUUUUUUGUAAUUUUAUCUUAACACUACAAAUUUAAAGGUGAGAUUAAAUCUUAAUGGUUAUUAGUUAAAUCACAUAUCUAACUUUGUUUUUGUCAGGACCUAUAAUAUGAUUGGAACCACCAUCCAAACUUCAUUAGGUGGGAUACUCCCCACCCUCCCCCUCCCCCCGCGAAAUCCUUGGAUUUUAGUUUUGACUUGGAUUUCAAUUGCCCGUAUCAAUUUUUCUUUAUUUAUUAAUUUAUUAAUUUUCAACUUUAACAAAAGCCUUGAAUCAUAUUUAAAUUCAAAUAACUUAAUCCUAAUUAAGUUCUUUUUAAAUAAAAAUUAAUCAUUGAAAAGUUCAUGUGACUAUUAUAAUUGAGAAUUUAUCCCAAGUUGGGUUUUUUGCAAAUAAAAUUUUAUUAUAGGACAUCAUGAUGCAACAUAACAUAAGGUUGUUACUUAAGUUUGUUUUGACCUUGUAAUAUGUUAAAAUGAAAAUGAAGCCAUUGUAACAGGAGAGAAUGAUGAAGCUGUGGAGAGAGCUUAACAAAGCUUGGGUUGGAGAGACUUCACAGGAAGAGAGAGAGAGAAAUAAAGGGUAAAAUUAUCAAAAGAGAAAAGAAAAAAAAAAAAAAAAAAGAAGGUUAUGUCUUCAAAUAAUCAAUAAGAGAUGUCAUUUUUCUAAUUUUCAAAGUUCUUUUGGUCCUUCUCUACAAAUAUCCCUAUAAAAAUAUUAUAAUAUCAAGUUAAUUUGUCAAUACCAAAAUUUAUAUUUUAUAUUAGGGCGACUAAAUAACAUAUAGAAAGAAUUUUAAAUGAGUAAAUCAAAUCAAUUUUGAAACCAAAACUUAAUAAUUACCAAACUUGUAAUCUUAGUCAUUAAAAGUGUACGAUGAAAUCUAAAUUAUUAAGCAAUGAAACAAAAAAUUAAGAUUAAAAUACAAAACGUUAAAAUCAAGAUACAAACUAUUAAAAUGUAAGUGGGAUAUGAGAUGAUAUUAUAAAAAAUAGUGUGAUCCAACAAAAAGUCUAGUACAUCAUUAUCUUCACUUCCAACCAUGUUUAAAAGGUCACAAGUUCUAGCGGUUUCCAAGGACAAUGUUAAAAAUAAUAAAAAUAAAUCCAAUUAAAUAUUAAUUAAUUUAUUUGAAUUUGAGUCCGACAAAAUAGUUGGUAAUAAGUUAAUAAUGCCAUUAAUAUGAUUUUAAUGUGAAACACAAUUAUCACAUUUAAUACCCGUUAGUCCUUGUAUGAUUAACUUUUUAGAAAUUAAUAUCAAUCUUUUGAUUAUAAUAAGAGUUUCUACUAUUUAUAUUUUUGGAUGAUUUUAUAUUUUUCUUAUUGUUUUAGUUUAAUACAAAAAAAUAAAAAUAAAAUUACAUUAGUAGAAUUUUUUUUAACUUAUUCAAAAAACCUAUUGUAAGGUGAAUGGUUUUUUUAUUUUUUUUUUAAAUAUAAAUAUUUUCUUAAAAGGGAUAAAAUAACCUUACCUUGUGAAAAAAGGCCUCUUCACCCAAAUUUACUUGUGCAUAAUCCUUUUCAGACGAAAAUGCCCCCUUCCUAAAAAAUAUUUCAUCUUAAACUUAUUUUUCAUUUUUAUAACCCUUUGUUCCAUCCUUAUGAUUUGGGAGAGGAAGUCAUUCUUCUCUUGUGAAGAAAAAAUUCCUACUGCCAUUUUUCAUUUCAAGUGAAGAAAAAUAUUUAUAUUUCAUUUUAAACAAAUUGUACAUUUUCAAUCUCUCUUUGUUCCUAGUUGAGGUUUUUUUUUUUUUUUUUUUUUUUUGUAAUUUUAUCUUAAUUGUACAAAUUCGAAGAUGAGAUUAAAUCUAUAAUGGUUAUUGGUUAAAUCACUUAUCUAACUUUGUUCUUGACAGAUCGUAUAAUAUGAUUGGAACCACCAUCCUAACUUUAUUAGGUGGGAUCCCUUUUUUUUUUUCCCCAAACCCUUGGAUUUUAGUUUUGACUUAUAUUUCAAUUGUCUGUAUCACUUUUUCUUUAUUUAUUAAUUUUCAACAAGUUCUUUAACAAAAGCCUUGAAUCAUAUUUAAAUUCAAAUAACUUAAUCCCCAUUAAGUUCUUUUUAAAUGAAACUUAAUCAUGUGAAAGUUCAUGUGACUAUUAUAAUUGAGAAUUUAUUCUUAGUUGGGUUUUUUGUAAAUAAAAUUUAGUUAUAGGACUGUGAUGAUCCGUUCUCAACCGUAUAAAUAUUGUUCGUUUUGAAUUCAAAAUAACUUUUACGGCUUUAAAACAUGUUUACAAGAUUAAGAGGAGUCCAUAUUUAUAUAGCUUCACGAACUUUCCCCCCUAUUCGAUGUGGGAUGUCACAAGGACAUCAUGAUGCAACGUAUAACAUAAGAUUGUUUCUUAAGUUUGUCUAACCUUGUAAUGUGUUAAAAUGAAGAUGAAGCCAUUAUAACAGAAGAGAAUGAUGAAGUUGUAGAGAGAGCUUAACAAAGCUUGGGUUGGAGAGACUUCAUAGGAAGAGAGAGAGAGAGAGAGAGAGAAAUAAAGGGUAAAAUUAUCAAAAAAGAAAAAAGAAAAAAAAGAGGGUGAUGUCUCCAAAUAAUCAAUAAGAGAUGUCAUUUUUCUAAUUUCAAAGUUCUUCUGGCCCUUCUCUACAAAUAUCCCUAUAAAAACAUUAUAAUAUCAAGUUAAUUUGUUGAUACCAAAAUUUAUAUAUUAUAUUAGGAUGACUAAAUAACAUAUAGAAAGAAUUUUAAAUGAGUAAAUCAAAUCAAUUUUGAAAUCAAAACUUAAUACCUACCAAACUUGUAAUCUUAGUCAUUUAAAGUGUUCCAUGAAAUCUAAAUUAUUAAGCAGUGAAACAAAAAAUAUAAGAUUAAAAUACAAAACGUUGAAAUCAAGAUUCAAACUAUUAAAACGUAAGUGGAGACGUAAGAUGAUGUCAUAAAAAAUAGUGGGAUCCAACAAAAAGUCUAUUAAUCAUUAUCUUCACUUCCAAUCAUGUUUAAAAGGUCACAAGUUCUAGCGGCUUUCAAGGACGAUGUUAAAAAUAAUAAAAAUAAAUCCAAUUAAAUAUUAAUUAAUUUAUUUGAACAAUAGAUAGGACCAAAAUAAUAUUCUAAAAGGAAUCAUAGGGAAGUCCUUGGACAACCUACGACAUUGAACAAAGGUACAGUGAGACAAUGCACUUAGCCCUUCCUUGUCAUUGCGAUGAAUAUAAAAAGACACCCUGAUUGAGGGUGCCCCACUAAGCCAAGAGUGAUUCUUUUGUAUUGUAUAACGUGAAUAUUUUUGAACUUUGAAUGACCCUUCCUAUAGUCAUCAUUGUCAAAACUAGAAAAUCAGAAAGAUGCGAUGUACGAAGGCACCAUUGAAUAAGAGGCUUAAUUCUCUUUGGCAAUUAGGAUAAAGUUUCAAAAUAGAAAAAUUAAACAAAUGUACAGUGUACGGACACUUGGGCAUUGCCUAUUUGUUUUGUUCUUCUAGAGUUGUAUAUGGUAAAGGUCAUAUUGGGUUGGUUCUAUUUGGUUAUUGAAGUCGGCUAGAAUAUUAGAUUUGGUUUCAAUCUAAUCCCAUAUGAUAUUAGAAUACCAGCCCAUACAGAAUUUUUGACCAAAUAUAAUAUUUCUUUUAAAUAUAAAUAUAGUAAUUAAUUUUAGUCUAAGAUUAAUUAUGUAGUUUCCUAAAGAGACCACUUCCUAAACGGUAGCUAUGUGGAAGUUGGGCCAGGUCCUGCCGAGAAGGUUUCCACGAGCUGAGCCCAAAACUGAGUAGCUGUGAUGGGAUCAUUCUAGCAUUCAGCCUGAAACUUGUAACAUAACGGAUCGAGAGGCCUGAACUCCAAGACCAUGGUUCGUCAGCCCAUUAACUUCAACAGCACGCAUUUUAGAGGACUGGGCUUGCAAGGGGUGAGGUUUCCGGGCCGCGACCCCAAAUAUGAACAGCCUCAGAAGUGAUAUUGCUUACUGGCACGUGAAGAGCGCAAGCGUAACUAGAAGAUUUGUAAUGCCGCUUUAAUUGUUUGAUUAUAGAAUCCCACGCAUUACGCAUGGAAAGUGUAAAAGAUAAAAGAUGUAGAAUUUUUUCUUAGAGAAAAGUUCGUUUGGAUAUAGUUAUUGUUUUUUUUUUAAAUAAUAAUUGUUUUUUUUAUAAAUUAUAGAUAAUCUUAGAAAUUUAUCUUUAAAAAAAUAGUUUUUAAAAAUAUUUAAGGAGAAUAAAAGUGAUAAAAAAAAACUUUACAAUUUCAAAUUUUUAAAAAAUGAAAAUUAUUUUUAAGAAUAUAAGUUAAUCUCCUGCAUUUAAAUCUUAGGUGGUUUUUGUUUUUUUUACUUUUCGCUGAAAACAAUUUGUUUUCAAAAUUUAGGUCAUUUGUUUUUUCUAUUUUUUCAUGAUUUAUUAUAAAUUUUUUACUAAAUAAAAAAAAUCAAAAUAUGUAACUUUUUCUAAAUAAAAAAAAUAACGUAUUGAUUUUUCUUUACUUUUUAAUACUUAAUAGAUAUAAAAUACUACAAAAACAAAAAAUCUAAUAUUUAACACUAUUAAGCAUUAAAGUUCUAUUUAGAAUUAAGUAAAAAAACAAACACCACCUUAUAUUUUAUAUAAAAGUUACUUAUAUUUUGGUUUUUGGAAAUAAAAAAUAUAAAGCAUAUCCAAACAUGAGCUUAGCUAUUUUAAAUCAUAUCAAAAUAAUAAUCCCAAUAAGGUAAAUGGACUUUUAUACGGAGAAUAAUCUUUAAGGUUUUCAUUUUUAUUGGAUUUUUUUUUUGUGGUGUUUUUUCAAUCCAUCUUCUCAAUUAAUUCCUUAAAAUUAUUUUACUGUUUUUUUUUUUUUCAGUUUCUAAAUAUUUGAUUUUUCCAAAAUGCUUAAAUGGAAGACACUAAUUUUUCAAGAUAUUUGGUAUUACAAUUUUCCCUGUUCUCCCUAUUAUCUAUCAGAUUCAUGGCCCUUUUGUUUUUUCAUUGGUUUUCAAUUUAAUUUUCCAAAUAUUACAUUGUUGUGUUUUGAAUUUGUGAAACCAAUUUUAUAUAUAUAUAUAGUAUGUAAGUCUACUUUGGGUAACAUGUACAGAGAGGUUUUCAUGUGUUUGAAACCUUUUACCUCAAAAAUUAAUUAUUUUUAAUUUUAUAAUAAAUCUUUUUUUAUUUUUUAUUUUAUUUAGGAAAGCCUAUAUUUAAACUACAUGUUUGCAACGCAACACCAUACAUACUCCUAGUGGAACUUACCUUAGUGCUUGAGGGGGAUGCAGAUCUUCUUCUAAACCUAACUAAUAAGCAUAAAAUUGUUCACUAAUUAGCAUAUCUAGUAAAUCAUACAAAUUGGCAAUAUUUCAUGUUUUUCAUGUUUUGUCAAUAAAAGGCGUCUUGACCAUUUUGUGAGUUUUGUAAUAAAUAAAAAAAAAAAAAAAAAAAGGGCAAAAGGUGACUAAAAUGAGGCACUUUGGAAAGGUUAAUAACCUAAAAGGAAGAUGAAUUAAUACCCCCUUAUUCCUCUUCAAAAACCAUUGAGAAAAUGCAAGAAAUGCUCUUAGUUGUAUGCUAGGCUAACAGCCUAGCAACCAUAAUACCCUUCUUUGCAAUUGUAAGCAUUUUUUUUUUUUUUUUGAAGGCCAAACAACGUUGCAAACUUCCCAAAUCCCUUCUUUAUUUUUUAUUUUUUUAUUUUUGUUUUUAGAAGGAGAAUGAAUUUGAUGACAAACUCCUUGUCAAUCUUAUCCAAACCACGAUCGAACAGAACUCCUUGUCAAUCUUAUCCAAACCGUGUUCCACCUCAAAAACAUGUGUAGGACUUAAGGCAGCAACUGGCAAGCAUGACUGAUAGGGCCAAGUGCCCUUGUCUCUACAAUCCAUUAAGUUAACCAAGGGCAGUGAACCAUCAUUCUUUUCAAAAGCUUCAUUCCGUGUUGAAAAUGUGAGACUGAAGCAUGGUGCCCCCAAAAAUAACGAUCUAUUUACUAGCAGCAUGCCUGGACCCAUUAAAAAUACUCUACUUUAGGAAUAGAAAAAAUUACAUCUUUAUCCAAUAAUUUUAUAACAAUUCAGACGUUUCAGUCUAUAAAUAAUUGUACAUAGUUGCCAACGUUUAGCUAGUUUCAAAUGAAUAGCCUAGGUUCAUGCACCAGUUUGGCUGGUGGAGGAAAGGGAUUCGAGACAUUGAACCCUCUUUUUAGUGUGCCAAAUAUUCCACAAAAAUCACUACCUUCUCUUUGUGUUUGUUCACUUUUAGUUUAUAUUUAAUAAAUCUAUGUUUUCGAGUAGAGGUUGGGUUCAGGUGCGACCCACGUCACCUCUCGGACGGUCUUGAAAAAGGAGACCGGACCACGUAAUUUCAAAUGUAGUGACCAUCUCACUUUUACCUCCAUCCUUGAAGAUGGUUUCCCAAAUCAAUAUUAAUCUUUUGUUUACGACAAUAUCGAUCACUUUAUGUCUAUAUCGUUGUUAAUUUACCUUUUUUUUUUAGCCACAUUAUUUGAAAAUUGAUGCAAACUUUACCAACAUCUUGGUACCAUUUUAAAAUAUUAGAGUUAUUUGAUUAAAAAAAUAAAAUAAUCUCGAUAACUUGUUUAUAAAAUAAAUAUCUUUUAACAUUUAGACUAUUCUCACGCAUGCUUUAAAAUUGUAAAGAUAUUCAUAAAGUGGAACUUUAGACUUAAUCAAUAUCGAUCACUUUAUGUCUCUAUUGUUGUUAUAUUUUUUUUUUACAACAUUAUUUGAAAAUUGAUGCAAACUUUACCAACAUCCUAAUACCAUUUUAAAAUAUUAGAGUUAUUUGAUUAAAAAAAUAAAAUAAUCCCGACAACUUGUUUAUAAAAUAAAUAUCUUUUAAUAUUUAGACUAUUUUCACCAUGCUUUAAAAUCAUAAAGAUAUUUAUAUUCAUAAAGUGGAACUUUAGACUUAAACAUGAUAAUAGUUUUUUUACAAUAUUAUAAUUAUUUUAUCGUUUUAAUUAAGCCCUUUAUCAUACAUAUAAAUGUAAAUUAAUGCUAAAUUUUUAAAGCAACGUAUAACCUUUUACAUCUUUUUUUAAGAUGGUGCGAAAAUCCUAUGAAAAAUAAUAAAAGUCGAUGCAUAAGAAGAUUGUUUUGAUAAUUCAAUAGAAAAAUUCUUUUAAAAUGAUAUUAAAAAAUACCCAUAGAGCCUUUAUUAAAAAAAUCAAUUAUUUUCAUAAUAAAAAUUAUAAUUUUUUAUUAUGUAUUAUUAUUUUUAAGUAUCUUUAUUACAAAUACUUUUUUUGAGUUUAUGAGAGGAAUCAACAGGUUGGUACAAGCUUAGGCGUCCUCGUACAUGUUCCCGCUGUGCAAGGUUUUUGUCUUGUUUCGAGCUAGUCGGAAUUUACGUGUUUGAUAACGUUUUGUCCUAUUUUUGUAACGCUUUAAAGGGCGGCCCACCGUUGGAACAGUUCAAGCCAUCCAAAUCAGCCCGGAGGGUUAUGGCGACGUGGCAUGACGCCUACCACCUUAGUUCACAUGAACCCUAUGAUCGUACUACCCUCACAUGACAUCUGUGAUUCUUCACCUCCAAACCCUCUUUAACUUGGUAAUGUAUUCAAAGCUUCAUCAAAUCAUAGCGAUUAGCGACCCUCUUCCACCCUAAUUUUAUAAUAAAAAAUAAAUCUUAGUGGACAUUAAAGUAGUAUUUUGUGGGGGGAAAGAAAAACUCUAUGGGCGUAUCCACUAAAUACGAGCCAAGUAUAAGAGUUAUCACCAUGGAAUCAAAUUAUGAAGCAUUGACAUUUUAAUUGUAUUCAGAUUUGAGGAGGGCACCGCGGCACCAGCUGGCCCAGUGUAGUCUGCUAGCCUACCCGCCAUAAUGACCAAAUUAAUAAAGUAAAAAGGAUUACAGGGAUAUUCCCAACUUUAUUCUGGGUCUGAGCUGGAACUUGGGAGUUAUCACGAUCAACGGGAAAGAUGGUGGGUAGGGGACGAGGAUUGAGGGCUCCAUAUUCACAUCAGUGAAAAACGAAAUGUAUUGAGACAAGUCUUCUAAGGAUUUUCUAGCGUAUUAUAUGGUUUAAAUGAUUAUAAAUCUGUAGUUACUGGUAAAGAGUAGAGAGUGAAGACGAAAGACGUUGAGUGAAAAGGAAGGAGGAGAGGGGAUGGGGCCAUCUUACCGUGUCGGGGAGGAUCCAUAAAAGGACUACGUUCCCUGAAUCUGUAGGCAUCAUGCCUCGCCUAACGGGUUAGUCAAAAUACAGUGAUGUGUGUGAGUUGGGGGCCUCACUCCUCAUUUCUUUCCUUCUUUUCACCCCCACCCCCACUUUUUUUUUUUUUUUUUCGAAUUUUUCUUUGUCCUUUUCUCUCACUUGCGCACGCGGGAGAAGGACCACAAACUAGACAAUUCCUCUGCUCACGUGACCCCGAGUUUUUAAAUAUUUGCCUAUUUGGAAAAUAGUCAUGAAUCAUGAUCGUUAACAAACAAUCUUCACUUUAUUUAUUUAAGAUCUAUUUUUUGGAGCUCUAGUUUAGUUUAUUAUUAUUAUUAUUAUUAUUAUUAUUAUUAUUAUUAUUAUUUAGUAACUCCUCUUAUAUUAAUGAAAAAGAGAGGAGGAAUCCAAACUUGUUUAUUCUUCCUCUUUUAAGGUGUUUGUUUUUUUUAUUUUAUUUUUAUGCUUCAUAUGUCUUCAAUUUCUUAGCAUUUGUCUUAUAUUUCUUCUUAUCCGAUUCAUUAUUGCAUCCUUGGUCAAUCUUUCACGAGGAGUGCCUACUUUUUUCCUUUUUAUUAUUUAAUUCACUUUAUCUUUAUAUUUUCCUUUUACACUUUAUUUCCAAUUCAAAACGUGUCAAAAAAAAAAAUUGGUAACAAAAAAAAAAAAAAAAAUCAAUUGUAAUGAUUCUUAUAUAAUUUUAUUUAAUUUUUAUUAAACAAUAAAGAAAUUAAAAAUAUAUAAAUUUUUAAAUAAUUAUUAUAGUCUUUCAUUUUUGUGUAUAAUUUCUUUUGCAAGAAAUAGUGUAGGCUUUCCACGGUCUAAAGGAAAUGGAAUAUCAAAUGAGAAGGUAAUAAUAAUAAAGUGAGUUAUAGAUACUAAUCAAACUAAUCCACUAAUGAAUUAUUUAUUUUUAUUUCACAUGGACAAAUCCUAAAAGUUGGAGUUCUAAUUUACUUUUAUGUUAAGCUUUUUUAAGUAAAAAUCUUUUAUUAUUAUAAUUUAUAGACAAAAAGAAACCCAUUAAUGUGAUGGAUAAAAAAUUUCAAUUUAAAAAAAAAAAAAUUAAAGUUGCUAAAUUUUUGUAUUUAUUAUUUCAAACUCAUUUAAAUAAUUUAAAAAUAUGUCUUCAAUUAAUUUUAAUGAAACAAAGCAUGAUUUUUUUUUAAUUUUUUUUUCUUUACCAAAUAAAGCAUUAUUAUAAUACGUUGAUUAAAUUUUCAUCAUGUCUCUCAAGAUUUGGAUUAAAUAUACUUAGUUGUCAUAAAUUUGAAAUUUUAUUUAAUGUAUUUUUUAUUUUAAAUUAAAAAGAUGAAUGCAAAUAAAAAAAAUAUGUAUAUUUUAUAAAAUUUUAAAUUAAACGAAGGAUACGUGUAUUUAACCAAGGUGAAUGAAAUUAAUCCAAAUACUUUUUGGUAACUUGCAAAAUAUCUUGACGAAAUCAUUAUGGCAGGCAUCGUACAAGCUCAACCCUUGUCGCCUUGCUAGAAAUAGAGAAACAAAAAGACCCCCAAAUUGGGUUGCAUCCUAAAUAUGAAGAAGUGGUAACAAAGGAAGAAAAAAUGCUGUGUUAUUGAAUAGUUAAUACAUUGAACAUGAUAUGUUACAUAGAGAGCCAGAUUAAUCCUAGUGGAAUUCCACUGUCACGAUGGUAACCUAGGGUUAUGUUUGGUUAUUGAAAAUACCAAGAAAAGAAAAAAAAAUAUAAAGGAAAAUAAUUUUUUCAUUUUUGAUUGUCUUAUAAAAGAUAUAAAAAAAAAACAAAUAUAAUUAAAACUAAUUAAAAAUUUAGGUAUUUUUAAAUUAUUUAAUUUUUAUAUUAAUGAGCGAAAAUAAAUAAAAUAAGUUUAAAAUAACAAAAAAAAUAAUUUACCGAUUUUUAAUCUAUAUUUUAUUUUACUUUUUCUUUGUAUUUUUUUUUUCUUAUAUUUUCCCUCAAAUUUUCUGAAUCAAACAUAGCAAAAAAGGAGCUACCCCUUUCGAAAGAAACUCCCAAGAAUUUCAAAGAAACCUGCUGAGAUAAUGAAUGAGGGAUCACUGUCGGUAAACAGUAUCCAUUCUUUUGGGAGGACUUUCAAACUGAGAAGUUGUUUUCAUGACUUGGAAACAAAAUUUUGAGCUCUAAGGGGGUCUGUAUUUGGGCCCUAAAAUUCAAUCCAUCAAUCUGAAAAAUGCUUAGGAUAAUGAUUUGAUUUAGCCACAAUCACUAAACAAAUUCCAGAGGAAAAUUUCGCUACUCAUAGGUGGCUGAUUCUCAUAAAAAGACAUCGUGGUAGGGUGUCUCAAGUGCAGGCUCACCAUCAACUUGCUGCCCUUUUUAGAUUAUUGUAAAAUGAUUUCACAUGAAGCCCAAUGCAAAACUUUGAAAGAAAAGGUUGGUGGAGACGUGAAGAAUAUGUAACCCAUAGGCCAUAACUAGUACCGAAGAUUAUUGAACAAACAUUCAAGGUUUUUGUAUAGACGAAACUGAAAAGAAUGUGUACCAGACUCAGGCGUUCAGAUCAGAUGAUGCCGUAAUGUGGAUUGUGGAGGAGCAUUGUGCAGACAGAUAAUGAGAUUCUGAAAGCGAGGCCACUGAUGGGCCCUUGGAAGGGGGGCGUGCCUUCAAAAUUAUAUAUAUAUAUAUAUAUAUGUCAUUGAAAAUUGGAAGCAACUUUUCUUCUUAAGUUAUUUUAAUCGAAGAAGAAACAAAAAGUUAAAAACAUACAUUAUUCUUCCUUCUUACGAGGUUUCCGGGUCUAAAUUACUAUGGUCUCUGCAACUGGCGUCGUUUUCUCUCCCCUCUCUCUAUUUUCCCUUUAUUUUUUCACUUUUAGAAAGAAGCAUCCCAUCAAGAAUCUACUACAACCCUACGCUUCCAUUUUGAUUUAGAAAGUUAAAAAUAAGUUUAAGUUAAAAAAAAAUAUUUUCUUAUAUAAUUAUUUAAACUUAUUUCUUUUCCUUUUUAUAUAAAGAAACAAAUAUUUUGCAAAUAAAUAAAUUUCUAAUUAUUUUCAUUAACAUAAUAAUAAUAUUUUUCAUAUGACUUUAAUCACAAUUUUUUUUACCACUUGUCCAAGGCGGUGAGAGGUGAUAAAAUGUAUUAAAAAAACGAUUAAAUUGCAUUAGGUAUAGAAGUUUUGUGCUUCAAUUAUCACUUAUAAAAAUAAAAUAAAAAUAGUCAAAUUUGAGUGUGCAAGUUGGUAUUCGUAUGUAGAAGGAAUUGGGGGAUUUGGGGGUCCUAACAAAUUUGAUAUGAUUGAUGGAAGGAAAUGAUUAUUAUAGGAUAAAGUCCGAAUGAAACGCUGACGAGGGGGGAAAAACAACAGUGGCAAUGCACUAUCCACAGAUCCAUGAUUGAUUUAUGUUAGCAAUAAUGAAUUAUUUUGACUUUGAUAACCUUGGUUAAGAGAAUUUGGUCUUGUUAUUAUCAUUUUUUCAAAAAAAAAAAGUGUAGGUAACUAGGUAGUUGAUUUAUUAGAAUUUAGAAAUGAGGAUCCCCUCCUCCUGCAAGAGCCGUGACAGACAUGCCUGCUUUCUUGCCAGAUUAUACCAAUGUGCCCAAAUAAUCCCCCAUCUAUCAUCUCUGCACCCUGGAACACGUCACUCCCUCCUUUGAGCAAUAAAAUAUCUCUUUUAUUUUCUUUUGAACCACUCUUCUAUUUCUUUGUACCAGACUGGACCCAUUUAAAUUCUUCGCUACGCUGUUCCCAAGGACUACGAGAAUCAAAAUAGCAAAAUUCUUGAAUCAUUUUAAUGGGUUCAGAAACCACAUGUUUCUCUAGAUCAUAAGAGGAAAAUCUUUUUGGAUGGUGUUUGUGUUGUGUUGUGUUCAAUAUUAAAUACUCAAUUAAAUAAGCUAAAUCAAAUAUCACAUGAAAAAUAAUCAAAUUAAAAAUAGGGAGAAUUAUGUUUUGAGGGUAGAUGGACCCCAAAUUAACAAAAGGUUCAUGUAACUCUUCAAAUUGAGCCCAGACCCAAUGAAAAUAUGGAAAUUGAGUUGAAGUAUAUCAUCAUUCAGUAUUUCCAAAAAUGUCCUUUGUUGAUUUUGAGAAAAAAAUUAAUAUUUUUGAAAAAUAUUUUUAUGUAAUUUAAUAUUUUUUUAAAUACUUUUAUUUAAUUUAAUAUUUUUAAAAAAUAAAUUUAUUUAAUUUAAUAUUUUAAAAAAUAUUUAAUUUAAUAUAUUUUUUAAAUACUUUAAUUUAAUUUAAUAUUUUUGAAAAAAAUUUUAAUUUAAUAUUUUUGAAAAAAAAAUUAUUUAAUUUAAUAUUUUUUAAAACUAUUUUUAUUUAAUUUAGUAUUUUUGAAAAAAAAUUAUUUAACUUAAUUUUAUAAAAUAUUUUAUAUGUGUUCUUAAAGGGUAUAUUUGUCCGUUACUAUUUCAUAUCCUUCAACUCAAUUUAAAGAGUUAUAUGGACCUUUUGUUAAUUUGGGGACCCAUCUACCCUCAAAAGAUAAUUCUCCCUUAAAAAUAUAAAUUUAAAUAUGACAUAAUUAUUAAAUAUGUUAGAUCUUGUAUGAGUUUAUAAGAUUUAUGUUUCAAAAUAACAUGUUUAUAAUUCAUCUAUUGAUUUAUAAUCAAAUUUUAAAUAAAUUAAAGUUAUUCAAGUUAAUAAAUAUGAUUUAUGUUAUAAAGACUAACUAAAAAAUAAUUUAUUAAUUAAACGGAUCCUGGUCAAUAAAAAUUUGAUUUAAAUACGAUCAUACUUAAUCAAAACUUAGGUCAAAUUGUAUUGAUAAAUUACAUCAAAACCUUGUUGUGUUCAAUAUUUUAUAUUAAACUAUUUUUUAAUAAAAUUAUUUUUAUAAAUAUAAUAUUACAUCAUUUGGAGAAACAAAAUAGUAUUAUAUUGAUUUUACAUAUAAAGCAACCAGUUAACCCCUCAUUAUUUUGAUCCAUUUCACAUCCAUAUCAUUCUCAUAAUUUUUUUAUAAUAUAUUAACAUGAUGGACGGUAAUUGAGGGUAGAAAAAAAAGAUGAGAAGAAUAAAAUAAUGUGAAUCCUCUCUAAAUGUUACAUCUUCUGACAAAUGAAGUCUAUAGAAAUGUGUAAAAAAAAAAAAAACACUUAAUUGUGAGGUUCACUUGAUUUAGCAAAAAAUUAAUAUUUUAUUUGUUGUGUGAUUUAAAAAUAAUAUUUUAUUUUUAAAAAUAAAAAAUUAUUUUUAAAGUUUUUUAACACUAUUUUACUAUUGUUCUUUGAAAUAAUUUUUAAAAUUAAAAUGAAAUAACUAAUAAUUUUUAGAUAAUAAAUUAAAGUUGUUUUUAUUAGAUUUUAAAAAUAAAAGAAAAAUAUAAAACCAUUUGAUCAAAUUUUUUUAAACUUAUUUUUAAAAGGUUUUUUUUUUUUUUUUUUUUUUUCUAUCCUAAGUUAAAAGAUAAAAAAUAAUUUUUAAAGAUAGGUUACGAGCAAAUGCCACAAACUUUUUUCUUCUCUUUCCCUUGUUCGGAUAGAAGUGAAAAAUAUCCUCCCAUGGAUCGACAUUACGUGAGCCAUCACCAUUCCCCAACUGCAAUUCAACCGCCAAAGCUGAGGUGUCAUUAUUAGUUUGAACAAAAGUCAGCAUUGUCCACGUGGUGACAAGCGGAACUGACCCAACUUGCAAGGCAAAAAAAUAAAUAAAAUAAAAUGAAAAAAUCAGAUCACCAUUAUGACGUCAGUCCAAUUGCUGACCUGGCCGCCGUCCCCCAUUUGACCCACGUGUUCAUUUAACCCAUUCGCCGUAUGCCGUGGCUCCCCACCCAUAUGGCCAUAUCUGCCAUUUAUUUUAUCCGUUGCCUCCAUUCGGUUUUUGGAUUUUACCCAUUCGCCCUCGUCUAUUCCCAUUUCCGUAUUUGCCCACCAAGGAAAUUCAAUUCCCAUGCUUUUGUUUUACAUUCAAAUCCUCCCCCCUCUAUAUAAAGGAGGGAGUAGGGCUUGAAAGUUUCUCAAGCCAACAUGGACUGUUGAGAGUGAAAGACAGAGGAGCCACAAACAAAUAUCACUCACUCAAACCAAAGCCAAAACCAAUACCGAAUUCAAUUCAAAUGACUUCUUUCUCUCUCAUCAAUUCCCUGAAUUCCGAUUCCGAUUUCAAUUUGUUAUCGGAUUCUUUUUCCUGGGAAAACUCCCUACCUUUCAAUGAAAACGACUCCCAGGAGAUGCUCCUCCUGGGCAUGCUGGCCAGCUCCACUCAGGAAACCUCAGAAACAGUUUCUUUGAAUCGAGUGAAGGAGGAAGAAGUGACUUCCCAGGAAAAUCCCGAGAAGGAGAAGUCAUACAGAGGCGUUAGGAGGCGGCCAUGGGGGAAAUUCGCAGCAGAAAUAAGGGACUCGACCAGGCAUGGCAUAAGGGUGUGGCUGGGAACAUUUGACAGUGCAGAGGCAGCUGCUCUGGCCUAUGAUCAAGCUGCUUUUGCGAUGCGGGGCCCUGCGGCAGUCCUCAAUUUCCCGGUGGAAAGAGUGAAGGAAUCGAUGCAGGAGAUCAAGUGCAUCUUGGAGGAGGGGGGCUCACCAGUGGUGGCCCUCAAGAAGAGGCACUCUAUGCGGAGAAAAAGUCCUUGCAAGAAACAUAAAAGUGAAGAGGUGAGGUUAGAAAAUGUGGUAGUGCUGGAGGAUUUGGGUACUGAAUACUUGGAACAGCUCCUCACUUUCUCUGAGACCUCUAGUCCUUGAUCAUCAUCAUCCAUCACCUGGAUAGCUUCUUCUCUUUGCUCUGUUUCUUACUUUUCUCUCUCUCUCUCUCUCUCUCUCUCUUUUUUUUUUAUGUAAUUUUUCUUAAUGUAUUUUUGGAGAUGGCGGGGGUGUAGUGGUGGCAAUUAUCCAUCUAGAAUUUUUCAAAAGAUAUGUUCUUUUGUUUCUUUGUAUAAAGUUGAAAAGUGGGGAUCAAUUGUGAUGGUGCUCUAUGUUCAUCCACCCAAUUUAUAUAAUCAAGGUGAUUAAUGUUUUUUGAUAUCAACAAUUUGUGAAUGACAUAGAGAGAGAGAGAGAGAGAGACCUUAUUUUCUACACUCAUUACGGUGGUUUCCAUUUGGGGAAGGAAAAGGAAAUGGCUAAGAAUGUUACCAAAAGAAGUGGGGUGGCUUUCAUAUGCGUGGUGGCAUACUUGCAUACAAACUUUUCAAUUGUGUUCUGCAUGCCACUCGGGUCAAUUUCAUUUCUUUUACUCCUAGUAGCCUAAUUGGAUUUCCUUUUUCUCAUGAGACAUCAAAUAAAUUUCAUUUUUUUAUAUUUAAAUAGUUAGGUAAGUUUGAUAGUGAGUUAUAUUUUAUACAUUAAUUCAUCUUUUAGAAUGUUGUCUACAAUAUAAACAGUGUAAUUAAUUUCAUCAUUACAGAACAGUCAUCUUAUAAAAUAACAUAAAAAUUAUUGGAUCACUUGUAUGGCACCACUGAUUUGGACUUGGUAUGGCUCUGUUUGGCUUCAUAGAAAAAAUUUGGACCCAAUUUGAAUGUCUUGCAUAAAAAGAGAUACGUCCCACUUUGAAUGAUAUUGAAGAAAAAAAUUUCUGAUGAAGAAUAUAUUGUUGGCAGGGUCAUGCAGGCCAAUAGGGAAACGAUAAAUUCAGAAGAAUGAGUCCAAACCAGUGGGCUUGAAAAUUAAGAAGAGAAUUGCUGUAUAAAACAAUCAUUUCUUAAUCGAGUUCACUUUCUGAAUAAUCGUCACUUUGAGAAUGCAUACUUAGGAAGAUGAUGAUCCUUAAUGGGAAUAAUCAAAGGCAUCAAAAAAUUGUUCUGGAACAAUUCUUGAUUGUCUCCAGUAAAAUUCAAAGUCAAAAGUCAAAAGUCCAGUCGGUCAACACCAAACCAGGCCAGUCCAAAAGACAUUAAUUUGCAAUCUAGAAUCUAUGAUGAGGUGGCGAAAUCAAACCUUGGCUUUUCACCAGGGAAUGGUACUCUGAAUUUGGUCAGUUCACUGUUUCGAGUGAAUAGGGUGUAGUAAUUAGUAAAUCAUAUUUUAGAUUUGUGUCACAAGUUACAAGGGAUAUGGGCUGACGUUCAAUUUUGGCGACAAUUUGUGGGCCCGUAUAUUUGUUGAGAUGUGGAAAUUGGGUGUGUGCUUUUUUCUGCUACCACAUAAAUAUAUUUCUUUGAAUUGAAGAGUGUUUCAGACCAUUUUUUUUCAAGUCACAAAUGGACAACUGAUUGAGAUUGUAUUGGUGAGAGUAGGAGUUUAUUUUGGGCUGGUUGAGCGAAGUUGAAAGUCGAGUUGGACCUAACCCUUGAAUUCAGCAGACUACAGUCCGAUCCUGUAUUUUGGAUUUAGGGAACCUUCUUUCCCAGAAGCUUCGUCUGGGUUUUAAAGUCUAAAUGUGGCUACUCUUAAACAUUGGAGAAAGGAUGAGCGUUCACAAGCAAAUGGGUAAUUGUGGAUGGUUCAAGGACCUGGCCAGCUGGUCUUCAAGUUUGGAUGCCGGUUUGGGCCUGAGAGAGUCUUUGCAAAGUGACUUCACUUCAGCCUAUGAGAUCAAGAUAUCAUGGUGAUGUCCGAUCACUUAGGUUUCAUUUUCACCUCGGAUUACCGUUACCAUGUUCAUGAAUAAAAAUAAAUAAAUAAAUGAAGCCUUAUAGAGAAAUUAAUGAAGUGAGCUAUACAAGCAACUGGGCCAGGAGCCUACAAGGCAGAAAUUCCCUGCCCUAGACUAGGCCGAAUAAAUUAGAUGAAUGAAUUGGGGAAACCUGGGCCAGCCACACAUCCUCCUGAAGGCUGAUGUCGAACUCGCUUACGAGGAAUGGACAUGGGAGAUUGGGCUGGGACCAAAUAACCAAUUGACAGCCCUAUCCUUGUGGCAAGACGUCAGUAAAAUGGUUCAUUCUGAUUUUACGCUGCCAUUCAAUUUAAUUUUAAUUUUUGUUUAAAGCGAUGUACAAAUUGAAUGGUGUCUAGUCACUUAAAGAGUGGUUCAUAAUACACUUAAUUUAAACAAAAAAGAAAUUAUUAGAUAGGGGAUUCUCCAAUAAAAACCACCCCAUCUUGUCAGCAAGUCCGGAAACUUCCUUCACUUAGGGCGUAUUUGUUUUUUUAACUUUAAUAUUAAAGAAAGUUGGUUAAACCUUAUGACACUUUUAUAUUAUUUUAUGAAUUUUUUUUAAUUUUUAUUUUAAUGGAAUUUUAACUUUAAUACAAGUUGGAGUAAUUCUUAUCUUAAAAACAAAUCAAAAUUACUUUAAUUUUAUAUAGAAAUAAACUUACAGUAAAUUUACCAUGAAAAUUUCUAAGUCAAAUACACCAUAAGUGCUAGUAUUUUAUAAUAUUUAGAAACAUGUUAAAUUAUUAUUAUUAUUUUUUAAAAUUAUUAGUUUUCAUAUUAGUUUUAGGGAAACUUGUGCUUUAGGUCUUUUAUUUGCAAAUAAUAUGGUUUUCAAAUCCUAAGAAUAGAAAAUAUGAGAAUCAACUGUUAAUGUGGAAAAUAAUAUCAAUUUUGUGCAAUCUCUAUUGACUCAUUUUUUUGUGCCUAGAUUGCCUUCACCCACUUCCAUGUCAACAACCACAUUAAUAGAUUGUUUUUUUUUUAUAAAACAAAUAAUUAUUAUGUUUAAAAUUUUGGGGAAACUCUCUAUCUCUCUUACUUCUUCACUACAUCCGAGACCCAUCUUCCUUAAACGUUUGCCUCUCAUUUUGCCCUAACCCCAAAUCUCAUAAAUUUCUCAUUUUCUUGCCUCAUUUGAAAUAUGAAGAUGACCGAUUCUCAAACAUCUCUGUCUCUCUCUUCACGUUUUGACCAGUCUAAUUGGAAACCCAUUUUCCAAAAACCUUCUUUCUUUCAUUUUGCCCUAACCCCACUAUCUCCCUCUUCAAGACCUAAUCACCCAAACUCGAUAUCUAUCUUCCCAAAACCUUCAAGCAAACUGAACUAGACCCAUAUCUUCUUUUUUCAUCAUCAAAGGUGAAAUUUUUUUAAGGCUUUUGGAAACCGAAUUGGAGCUUUCCCUUCUUCUGGGAUUAAUCAUUCGCAAGUGAGUUUUCCAUUUAAGGCUUUGUUUGGCUGUUGAAAUCUUGGGAUCAAAGGUCUUUUAUUUUCAGGUUUCUUGUAUUUUGCUUUAUUUUCUUGUAUAUAACAAUAAUCAUUGUAACAUAUGCUAGUAGUUACCCUUGGUGCAACUUUACAUUUCCAAAUACCCUAAAGUCCAAAGCUUUUAAUUCCCUUUUCAAAGCUUUCAACUUUGAAAGCAGACUAAACCAUAAGAACUAUGAAACUUAUAUCUCUAUCACCACUAAUUAAGCAUGUCUAUGAAUCCUUCCACUUUAAGUCACUUAUUCUCAAACCAAGAAGGGCUCCUCUCAUUCUCACCCCACCUCAUCUAAAUGAGGGAAAUGAUCAAUUGCAGCCAUGCUUUGCACCAAAUUAGAGAAGUGAUCCUCCCAAUCAUCCAUUACCAAAAAUUGAUCAUGCUGAUGAGAUCAUAAGAGUCUAUUCGGAACUCCCAGUUUACUUGCCUCUUAUCUCAGGAUCCUCCAUUACCCCCUGUCUUUCCAACAUCAAAUCAACUUGCAAACAAUUCCUUUGUAGAUAAAAUGUUUUUAAUAUUGCAAAAGGGGACUUAUCAUAAUGGUUGAAUCGAUUUAUUUGAUAUAAUCACUCAAAUUCAAGCUUAAAAUUGAUCAUAAUAAAAUGUUUUUAAUAUUGUUAAAAGGAGAUUAUAAUGGUUUUAUUUGAUAUCAUUACUAAAAUUCAAGCUUUCAAACAUGCUCUACAAAGAAGUUCUAAAAGACUACAAGAAAGAGUUUCCACUAAAGAAAAACAAUGAAACCAUUUCUACUAAAGACAAACAAUGAAACCACAGAUGCUUUGUGAAAUAUGUACCCGCACAAUCCAACAAACUUUAGAAAUUCACAAACACUACCUAGAAUUUUUGCUGACCAGCAAAAAAUUUAUGCAAUUUAAUUCUUAUUGUUAUUAUUAUUUUCAAUGUGAACAAAUAUGAUUGAAUUAUGAAGUAUUUGGCCAGAAGAGGAUCUUGCCUAAUUAUAGUCAUUAAACAACCAUUUAUACCAUAGCCUCUAGACUUUAAAAAGUUUAUAAAACUCAAGGGCUUCCACCCAAUUUCUAGAUAUCUCCAUAACAUUCUUCUGACUAUUAGAAAGCAAUUACCACUUUAAUUUUUCAUUUCAUGAGUGUUCAAUUCAGAAAAAGACCAGGAUCGAACUUGCGAUCAUGCAGUCGAAAAUCCACCUGUGCAUGAAACUAUUGCCUCACGAUUGCAAACUCAAGUUGGAGUCCAGUAACAACUCUAGGUUUGCUGAUGUGCUCCAUUUGAAAUAAAGGAACUAAAGAAUACUUUAUAAAGAUUAAUUACCUUCAUAUUUUAGGUUGGGGUUAAGGCAAAAUGUGAUAGAUUGAGAGGAAGAAAAUAUAUCUUGUUCAGGAAGCCAAUAUUUUGGAGUUCACCUUUCCAUUCGAGUCCACUCUGCUAUAGCAAAAUCAGAGUCACAACUAUGCCUCUUUAAGCUAUCCUUUAAUUGGAUGAAUUGCAGAUUUGGUUGCUGAGAAAGUGGAUAAGAAAGAAAAAUGCAUACUGUAGCUUGAGAUUAAGAGUUUGUUUUCUAAAAUGAGAGAAAGGGAAAGAGAAAAAAUGCAUAUUGUAGCUUGAGAUUAAGGGUUUGUUUUCUAAAAUGAGAGAAAGGGGAAGAGAAAUGUUCGACAACUUUGAGAUGACAAAUUUUUAGAUUUGGAAAAUUUGAGAUGAGUCUCAGGUUUUUUUUUUUUUUUUUUUGUCUUUGUCUUUGUUUUUUUUUUUUUUUUUUGUUUUUUUCCCAAAAACAACCUGUUAAUGUGGUUGUUGACAUAGAAGUGGGUGAGGGCAAAAUGGGCAUAGAAAAAAGAGUCAACACAAAGUGCACAAAACCCAUAUUAUUUUCCACAUUAAUGACUGAUUCUCAUAUUUCUUGUUCUUGGGAUUUGAAAACCAUAUUAUUUGCAAAUGGACCUCCCAAAGCACAGGUUUCCCUUAGUUUUAUGUCUCCAUCUACAUUUUACAUAUAAAUAGAUUAUUUUAUAAAAUUUGUUUUGUAGAUAUAUUAGUUAAUAAUUAUAUAAUUAAUGAUAUAGAAAACAUAUAAAAAUCAUAUUUAAAAAAGAUAAUUACAUAUUCCUCAACAAUCCAUCCCAAGAAUUCGAGGUUGAGUUGAAAACAUGUAGAGUCUUUGAUGUUAUUAUAAUCAUAUCCAACACAUAUGAUUAUUGUUUAUGAGAUAUUAUUAGAAAGUUUGUCUUAAAAUAAUUGAUUUAUUACCCACCUUUAGCAAAUGCCCAUUUUUGCGUCUUUCAAAAUUUUCAUUUUUUUUUUGUUUAAAAGAAGUAUUGUAAAGAAUGAUGAAAUAAGAAAUUUGUUGAGAAAGUGUGAGUAAAUAAUUUUACAUAAAAAGAGAUUUAAUACUUGAUAAAUAAAAUAAUAAAAUCAUGAUUUCUAGUUGUAUAGGGCCGGGUGGAUGGAGUGGCUAAGAUGUAAUUCUUGAAAUAGAGGAGACAACAUCAAUGUAUAAAAGUUUAACAGAGAAGGAAAGUGUGUUUGAAUGACUUUAUUUUCUUCAUUUAAAGUUUUGACGAUGAGUGUUUAUACAAGAUAAAUUUUCAAAUGAUAGGACUCCUAUUUACAUGGAGUUUGUGAUAUACUAUGAUUAUACAAAUUUAAAAUUCAAACAGAUUCAUGAGUUGAUAGGAGUCUGCUCAAUACGCCCCUUCAAAAUGGUGGGAGAUAGCACACCAAUCUUGACUCGAAGGGCCUAAACUCGUGCAGAAGAUGAGGGCUUUGUUAGAGCAUCGACAAGUUGAUCCGUGGUUGACAUAUGGGACACCUUGAGCUCACCUGAUUAAACCUUGUUUCAAACAAAAUGAAAAUCAAUCGCCGAUGUGUUUCAUGGAGAGUGAAACAUGGGAUUUGCACAAAGAUAUGUUGCACCCACGUUAUCACAAGAGAUAGGAGGUGGUGAUAAAUUUGAAACACUAAGUUUUGAGAGAAGAGAAUUAACCCAAAGAACCUUUGAGGCUGUAGAGGCCACGACGUGAUAUUUCGCUUCAGUGGAAGAGCGUGCUAUGAACUUUUGUUUCCUCGAUGACCAAUACACAAGAUUGUGACCAAGAAAAACAAUGGGAGCAUUGGUGGAGGAUCUGACAUAAGGAUUCCUUGCCCAUUCAACAUUCGAAUAUGCAUGUAGAUUGAUGGGCGAUUUCUUAUGCAAGAACAGACCAUGCACCAUUGUGCCGACUAAGUAUCUAAGCAAUCUUUUAACACAAGACCAAUGUGUUGAUGUUGGAUGGUGCAUAAAUUGAGAUAAUUUAUUCAUCAAGAAGGUGAUGUCAGGGCUAGUAAGAGAGAAGUAUUGAAGGCUUCCAACAAUUGACAUAUAUUUAGUGGGACCAGGAAAAGAGGUGUCAUCACACAGAUUUGGAACAUUGUUGAGGAACAUCAAUGAUUGAACUGGUUUGGUAGCCACCAUUUGUGUUUUCUUAAGAAGCUCUCGAAUGUACUUGAGAUAAAAAUAAUCCUUUGGAAGUAUGUAUCAUUUCAACACCAAGAAUAAAAGAUGAAGUCCUGAGAUCCUUAAUGGAGAAUUUGACUGCUAAUUGAGAGAUCACGCGAGCACGAAAAACAUUAUUGUUACUUGUUAAAAUAAGAUCAUCAAUAUAAAUAAGUAGGUAAACAAUGAGACCACUCUUUUUAAAAAUGAAGAGGGAUGUCUCGGUUUAGGAGUUGACGAAGGCUAUUGAGAGGAGAAAUUGGCAAAGUUCAUGAUACCAUGAUCGUGGAGCUUGUUUAAAGCCAUAAAAAGCCUUACAAAGUUGGCAAAUGUGAUGAUGUGUGUAUUCGUGAACCCAGGAGGUUGAAUCAUGUAAACAUCUUCAUGAAGUGUCCUAUGCUAGAAUGCAUUAUUAAUGUCCAAUUCAUGAGUUGAUAGGAGUCUGCUCAAUACAAUGUGGGAGUGUGAUUUCAAAAUUAGGGUAAUUUCGAAAUGGAUUUUGUAUUCACAAGUUGAAUUUCAAAAUUAUUUUGAAAUGGUCUUUUAACUUUAAGCAGUUGUGUUCAAAAGGUCAUAACUUCUUCGUUUCAAUUUUGAUUUACACAUUGUUUAAAACAUUGGACUCUUUACUUCCCGAGCUUCAAAACGAUAUAUAGUAUGCUCAAAAAUGACAUCAGGAUUGGUUCAAAUUUCAUCUUGAUAUUAGAGUACAUGUUGUGAUUAGAUUUUGAGUUCCAAAUUUCCAUGUAAACUUGAUUGCAUUUGCUUCAAACCUCCUUCAUUAUGGUUGCUUGCCCUCUAUCUCACUUUGCAACAUUUGUUACUAGUAUUUUAUGUCCAUGACUUACUCAUUUCAACCUUUCUUGGAUUCUUCAUGGUUCACAAAUUAUGGAUUCUUCAUGGUUCACAAAUUGAGUCUUUCAAUUAUGCAUGUUUAACUCCUAUUUCCUUGGUUGAUAAUGACUUUUACACUUAUCAUUUUCUUUUAUUCUUUAAACCUGAAUUUAGACUUACAAAAAAAAGUUAGAUCCAUAACUAGGGUCUUAGCAUCAAUUUGAGUUAAGUUGGAUGAUUUGAAAAUUUUAUAUUACAUAAAUCAUAUCAUACAUGUGCCAUUGGAGUGCACAUUUUGGCUCUAAUCAUGUUCCAACCCAUUGUUUUACUCUUGCAUGAAGUAUGUGGCCAUUGAUUUUAAUUUUAUUUGCGAUUAGGUUCAAAAUGGUGCUUUUGUGUUGCUCAUGUGUCAUCAGAAGAUCAACUAAUGGAUUCUCUAACAAAACUACUACAUCAUAGUCAUUUUUUUUUUUCUUAAGACCAAGAUUGAGAUCUCCAAUCGGAGCCAACUCCAUCUUGGGGGCAUGUUAGUGAAAGAUAAAAUUUAUCUUUAAUUUAAAUAUUAAUAUUUAUCAGUUAUUAGUUUUAAUUAGAGUAAAAGAUAGAGUUUAAAUUGGAGUAGGAGAUAAACUUGUGUUUGAACUAGAAUAGAAGAUAAAGUAUAAAGAUUUAUGUUUGAAUUAGAAUAAAAUAUAAAGUUUGAAUUAGAGUAGAAGAUAAACUUGUUCUUUAUUUGUAUAUAAAUAUUCAUCAAUUCUUGAGAAGAAGAUUAUUUCAUAGUUUUUCUAUCUUCUUUUUUCUUCAUACAUAUCUGCAAGAAAUUGAAGAUUUCAAGUAAAAUAUUUUCUGUUUUAAAUAGUGAAAAAAGCUAGAAAUUCACUUUGUUAUCUCUUGGGGUAAAUUGACAAGGUUUAACGUUAAGAAGGUGAAUUAUUUUUUCAGAAAAACUGAAGUAGCUAGGAUAUCUGGCCAGUUGUGAUCGAUAAAAAAGUUGUAAAAUCUCUCAUAUACUAAACAGGUUUUGGAUGUUGGUAUGGUAAAUCCAUCUGCAGUCAUUCGUCAUCUCAUCUAGUGAGAUGUUUGGGAGGUGGUGACCGCCGGAUUGGGUUUCAUUUGGUUAAAUCUGUCAGUGGGUUGGCUACUACCCGAGCCUCUUGCUUUGGGGGAGGUGGGUUCUAGAUAUAAUGUUCAAACCAUUUUAGUUAUCAUAUGCAUGACAUGUAAGCAUAAUCUCUUUAUCACUUCUUCAAUGGGAGUUCAUGGUUAGGAAUUGACUUCUUUUCUUCUGGGAUGCUUGGCAUGUAAUGGACAAAGUUACUUUUAUAUCGAUCGAAUUUCUAGUAUUAUAGUGAAGACUUACCCUUUUGACAUUUUAUAUCGAAUUAUAGAAGAUGAAAGGGACAUACAUGCAAUCGACUGACGCUUUAGUGAAUAUGCUGAAAAUAUGCUGAUGCUGUGGAGAUCGUAUGAGGACAGAGGAAAAAGAUAGAAAUGGAUAUAUAAUUAGACCUAGGUUUUUAUUAAAUGAGAUGGGGAACAUAGAGUGAGGGAAAAUCAAAAUUUUUGGCUGCAGUUCACAUUGGUGAUAUUUUGGAUUGACAAAGACUAACGACUUUUCUAUUUUUCUUUUCGGCCUGACUGGAUAGUUGGACAUGGACAAUACAGAAUCCACAGAAGGAUUGUUGGGACCGCUGAAAAUUAGCUAGAAGAAGCUGAGGAAGUAGUCUACGUAGUCAAAUACCAAACACAAAGAAAGAAAGAAAUGGAUAUCAUGGAUGCCUAGAGUUAUACUCCUAAUACCGUCACAGGUAUUUUUCUUUCCUCCUUUUUUUUUCUACGAUAAUUAGAGCAUUUCUCCUCCUCCUCCUCCUCCUCCCCCCACCCCACCACCAAAAAAUAAAAAAAUAAAUUAUUGCAAGUAACACUUCAAAUAUUAAUUUAUACAUUCUAAAGUAUAUAUUCAUGAAAUAACUUGAGUAUCAUACAUUAGUUCUCAAAAAAAAAAAAAAAAAAAAAAAAAAAUUACUGGAAGAGAAAAGUUUAAGAAAACAUAAAAAUAUUCAACUACUAUUUUAAAGAGAAAAUUUAAUUUUUACACUAUAAAUUUGAAGAGAACUUUUACAUGCAUCUUAUAUAAACUACCAUUUUUUGCUAAAAGGCUUAAAUUUGUCAAAAAUACCCCUUAGGUGCUUAACGUUCUGGUCAUAAUAUAAUUGGCAUCUUUUCUCAAACAUAAGGCCUGUGUGUGGGAACAAGAUUUAAUGUUAAUGAGCUUCGCCACCGACAUUUAGUUCCAGAAAUCAUUAUUUUAAUAGAGUGGGCUCAAUUUACAACUUUAAUUAAACUCUAACCAACUGCAUUGUGAAAUGAAUAUGUUUCUUUCGUGGUGAAUCCAAUGAGUUGGGAGUCAAACUUUGCUUCAUUGUGUAUAGAUGAAAUGUUAAGACUCCAUGUAACCUCAAACAUUUCCGCAAUNNNNNNNNNNNNNNNNNNNNNNNNNNNNNNNNNNNNNNNNNNNNNNNNNNNNNNNNNNNNNNNNNNNNNNNNNNNNNNNNNNNNNNNNNNNNNNNNNNNNUUCUUUCGUGGUGAAUCCAAUGAGUUGGAGUCAAACUUGCUUCAUUGUGUAUAGAUGAAAUGUUAAGACUCCAUGUAACUCAAACAUUUCCGCAAUGAGCGGGAGUUCUAAAUUUAAUAAUUGAAAUUGUCAGUGGAACCAGUGGACAAGAGUUGGUUUGUGGUUGACAAACUUAUCCGUUUGAUCUUUACUUGAACAGUUCCAGUGUGUGGAUGGGUACUGAUGAAGUGUGCGCAUUUAUUUUGAGAAGCCUGCUUGUUCGCAUAGAUUUUAACGACAUGAACAUUGUGGUAAGGUUAGAGAGUAAUGCGAAUGUAGGAGCUUAUAUUAGAAAUGACACAAACACGUAAAUAGAAGUAAUCUAUAUAUGAUAUUACUCAUGGACUACAAGCAAAGAAGUACAAUACAUGGAGUAAGUGAUGAAAUGAGCAUUCCUCACUACUACUGCUUGACUGAUGGAACAUGAUGCACGAGAUAGCAUAAGUAGUAGUAGGAAGCAGCUCUUAUUUGUGGCGUCGGUAUACAUCAUACUAGGUAGAUGGUUCAAUUGGCAUGGAUGGGUGGUGGAGCCUUGAAGUGCUUGUGAUGGGGAGCCCACGGCUUCUUCUCAGGAGUUGGUGGCUUCUUGUAUGGAGUUGAUGGAGGUGUUUCUACUGGAGGGUGGCCAGGGUAGUGACCCUGGGGUGGUGAAGGUUCUUUUGUCGGUGGUGGCCUCACUAUUAUUGGCGGUAGAGUUGGUGGCUUGGGCGUUGGCGGUGGUCUCACUACUCUUGGGGGUAGAGUUGGUGUCUUGUGUUUUGGUGGUGGAGGUGGCUUAACAGGAGUUGGUGGCUUGUAUUCUGGGGGUGGUUUCUCCACCGGAGGUGGCUUAUAAACUGGAGUUGGUGGCUUGUAUUCUGGGGGUGGCUUCUCCACUGGUGGUGGCCUGUAAACAGGGGUUGGUGGCUUAUAUUCUGGGGGAGGCUUCUCCACUGGAGGCGACUUAUAAACAGGGGUUGGUGGCUUGUAUUCCGGGGGUGGCUUCUCUACGGGAGGUGGCCUGUAAACAGGGGUUGGUGGCUUCUCCACCGGAGGUGGCUUAUAAACGGGGGUUGGUGGCUUGUAUUCUGGGGGUGGUUUCCCCAGUGGUGGAGACUUGUAAACAGGAAGAGGUGGUUUGUGCUCAUAUGGGGGUGGCUUGUGGUCAUUAGCAAGUGAGGGAGUGGUGAGGACCACCAAUCCAAGGAACAACACGAGUGAGCAAGCAGAAGACAUGUUUGGGCUCUGGUGAUGCACAAGUAGAAGAAAUGGGAACCAUUUAUAAUGCUUCGAGACCUUGGUUAGCACCAAAAUAUGUCAAAAUCUUGAUUACUUCAUUUCAUACAUAGAUUUAAAAUUAUUUCAAUCAACCAUGAUCCUUAAUUUUCUGGGUGGUCCAUAAAUGUAAUGGGGUCAAUUUGGGACCUAACAAGCUGAGAAGUUUGACAAUGCUGCAAGGCUUCAUCCGAAAGUCCGGGGAAGAAUAUUAGGAGUUACACUCCGUUUCCUUUUUUGGGUGCAUUUUUCUCCUUUAACAUUCUAUUCCCUUUUACAUUAGCAUUUGAUCUUAGCUCAUUUCAAGUACAAGUUUCUUGAACCCUAUACCAUUGUCAAAGUUGAGUAACCAUCUCUACUUUGCUCAAGAAACAUAAAAGACAAUGACAAUAAAGAAAAAGGAGAGAGACCAUACGUGACUUGGUUUAUAGGUGGCUUUGUGUUGACAUUUGAGUAUGGAAGCCGACAUGCAUCUUAGCUUCGAUUUUAAUUAAAUUUGUACAUUAGUGUCUGUGUCAUUCAUUUUGGUAUAAAAGGUCUCUUGAUUUCGUAAGUUUGGUAAGAACCGUUGAAAAUAGCAGUAGCAGCACAUGGUCCACUUUCUUUCACAAAAUAAUUUUAAAAGUUUAGAAGCAUAGGAGGUAACAUUAGUGGCCUUGUGGCUCAGCCACGAGUACUAUGUGGUGCUCGAGAAAUUGAGUUUAAUUUCCUUCCGAUAGUUCAUGAUAAGGUCCGUCACUGUCCUGAGACAGAUUGCGUUUUUUCUUUUUUCCUUUUUUAGUGUUUUAUUGACUAGCUAGGUGUGACUUUUCCUACUUUAAGGCACGAGGCAGAAAAGAAACUGGGAUUUAGUGCUUAAGAAGGCAAAUUUAAUUCGAUUUGGAUCUAAAAUUUGCCAGCAACAUGAGAUUUUCCAGCCUAUCGUUGCUCCACAUAUAGACAAGGCACUUGUAGAAGUGGCUUGUUUGUAGCCAUUCCCGAUAUUUGGACUCACUUGAUUCACCGGACACUUUGAUAAAAUUUAAUAUUUAUUAUUUAAUAAUUUAAAUUGAUUUAAAAUUAAAUUAUACCGAAGUUGUGAUUUAAAAAUUAUUAUUUAAUUCUUACUUUUAAAUAUGAAGAUUAUUUGAUAAAAAUAAUUUAAAAUUUAUUAUAAAUUAUCAAAUUAACAUAUUUAUCCUUAUAAAUUAUAAUUAAAACAGAAAAGGUCAAAUGAUUUGAGUAUCCAUAGAUGUGGUAAAAUAAUAAAAAAGAUUAUAAAAACAAUUAUGAUAAAUAAAGAUAAAAAGUAAAAUGAAUAUGUGAAUUUAAAGAAUAAAUUAAUUAUUUUUAUUUAUUACUUAAAAUUAUUUUUGACUUUAAAUUAUAUUAUUAAAUUAUUUUACCAAACAUACUUAAUUUAGUUAAUAAUUUAAAUUUAAUUUAAGUUAUUAAAUUGAUUCACCAAAUACCCACUUAAUCAAAGACUGAAGUAUACAUUAUUUGGCCAAAUGCAGCUAUUGAAAUUUAACUUUUUCCAAACUUAUUCAUUUUGUGGAAAUAUUUUUAGAAAUGAUUUUAAAAAUGCACUAUUCUGUGUGUUGAUUUUAUAUUUUGGCAUUAAUCCAACAUAGAAAACGGUUCUUAUUUUCGCUGUUAAAUAGGUACCAGAUCCUUAAUUAGUGCCGUGAAUCCGGCAGCUUCCAAUGAGUAAUUUGGACUUGGGUAUUGACAAUGUGUGGCCAUGCUUCUACUAUUUUAUUAUUCUUGAAACAUAUAUGAUAUAUUGGACUUUAUACAGGGAAAAAAAAAAAAAAAAGUCUUCACCAAAAAUGAUUCCUCCUAAAAAAUAGACUCCACAAACUAGGUUUAACAGGAAAAUGAUUCUAAUCUAGUAGUUUCCAGCCACAUGAGCAUUUACGUAACAAUAGUAUAGUUGAUAACGACUUUUAUUUUAUUUAUUUUUAAAUAGUUAAAGGGAUAAUUUUUGAGCUUAAAUUUUAUUUUUUUAUUUAGAAACAUUUUACUUUAUUUUUUAAUCAUAAUUCUAUUAUAUUAAUGUUUUAUUUUCUAUUUUUUAAUAUAUAAGGAGAUACUAAAUUUAUGUGAUUAUUUUUUAAAAAUUUAGUAUAUGAAAUUAAAUAAUUGGAUAUAUAUACAUAUAUCAUAUAAUGUUUUUUAAGUGUGAUUUUUGAACUUUUUAGUCAUUUUAUAAGUUUAAGCUUUUGAUUUUUUUUUUUAAACUUUGGUAUUUUUUAUUUUAUAUAAAACUAUUUUGAUUUAAUUUUAUUAAAAAAUAUUGGUAUUAUAAAUUAUUGUAUUAAUUAUUUUUUUAUAUUAUAAUGUAACUGGUAUAUACUAAAAAAUGUAUGCAAGUUCAAUUUAAGUUUCAAAUUAAAAAAUUUCAUUUAAAUAUUUAAUAACUUGUUCAUAAUAAAAAAUUAAACAACAUAAUACAAAUGAAAAGAAACAUAAAAGAAAAAGGAAAAAAUGGUCCUCUCUGUGUGUCACAUUACUAGGUCAUCCUCUUUUUCUAUGACCCUUACAAUAGAAUGGCAUAUUUGUCAAAUCUACUUAUGAAAGUUGGAAUGUUUCUACAUGUGUAGGGUCCAUUGGAACUAAUGGAGGAAAGGCUUAACGUCUAUGUAAAUCACAACGUUGCCUAGGUGGGCAUAGAUCUAGUUGUGUAACAUGAGAUGGUGUGAGAGUACAAUAUAUGCAUUGUAGUCUCUAUGGGAAGAGAGAUAGGUAAUGGUAGGGUGGUAGACGGUAGGGUGAUCUCUAAUAUAAUGACAUUUGAUGUGGUGGCUUCUAAGAGAGGAGAUAUAAGAGAUGGUAGAAUGACAUUUGGUGUAAUGGUCUCUAGUGCAAUGACAUGUGAUAUGGUGACCUAUAAAGAAGAGAUAUAGGUGAUGGUGAAGUGGUAUGUGGUGUAGUGACCUUUGAGAUAGAAAAUAGAGGUAAUGGUAGGUUGGCAGGUGGAGUGGUCUUUGGUGUAGUGACAUCAAUUAUAAAUGUCUCCAAGGGAGGAAAUAAAGGUGAUGGUAGGUAGUAAAUGUUGAGGUGGUCUUUGAUAUGUUAUGCUCUAAGAGAGAAGGUAUAGGUAAUGAUAAUAGGGAAUUUGACAUAGUGGUGUUGGAAAUAAAAAGUGAAAGUGACCGUAGAGGUGAAAGGGCAAGUGUAAAAGCCUCAAGUACGAAUGGAGUAAUUAAUGUGGAUGGUGCUAACAUAGUCUUAGGUGGAUACACAAAUAGUCAUAGUCAUCAACUAGCUUGCCCACCAUCUGUCUUUCUGCUAGUGAUAGGUUACAUCUUAAUAGUAAUGGCCAACAUAAGUGGUGUGGAUCCGAUUUUUUUACGUGUGUCCCCACUCAAUCGACAAGACUUAUUUUUUAUUAGUGAAAAAUUAAUUUUGGAAAAGUUGGAGUCACCACUUAUUUUAUUUUAUUUUAAAAAGGAAAGUAAAACAAGAAAGAGAACUCUAAAGAAGUGACUUCAUAGUUUUGGAAAAGUUAGUCUUAAAAAAUCCAAGUCUUGGUCCGGAGAUCAGGUUACUUAUUGGGAAGAUACCUCUAAGAGGUAAUACCCCUCUAAACCCUAAAGAAGUCUCUAAUGACUAAGUUGAGGAGAAUGUGGUAAUUAAUUAAUUGAUUGAGGGUACCUAGGUAGACUAAGGUGAUUUCAGAAUUAACAUACCAAGCUAGAAAGUCCAAUCAUGAUCAUAAAAGAGAGUCAAAGUAUGUACCUGAACUGCUUCUCAAACGCUAUCAUAAAACAUCAAAGUUAGUAUAGAAAUAUAACACAUAAUAUUUGUUUUAUCCAAGCAAAUAAAGCAUACAUCUAAGCACCCAAGAAUCACAUCAAGUAUGGAUAUAGUCAUCAAUAGCAUACGUGUCCAUAGAACUAUCGAAAGUAAAUGUGGAGGAGCGUAUCUGGACAACAUAGAUAACUUAUAAUGUGCUUCCACAAGACAUGGGGGUUAGAUAAAAGUUAUAAUAAUAAUUAGUAAAUGAAAGAAUUCUAGCAUGUUUGGUAUCUAAAUAACAUAGCAAAAAUGAACAAGAGUACACGAAAACAUCAAUUAUCACACGAGUCAUAUUGGCUAGUAUUUAAUCAAUAAACCAACAAUAAAUGACUAUAAACAUAUAAAAUGACAUAUUCAAAGAGACCCAAACAUAAAGAGCCUAGAACACAAGCUUACACUAAAUUUAGAAAACUAAAACAUGGAAUUUUAAAAGCAUAAAUUAGCAAACAAAUUGAUGGAAACUAAAUUUAGAUAACUUAAGAAUAUUUUUCUUAUCCUUCAAUUUAAAUCAGUAAGCCAACAAUAAAAAAUUAUAGAAACAUGGAAUAUCAAGAUCAAUGGGAUACCUAAACUAUAAUUUUUAAAAGAAAAUAAACUAAGCAUAAUAUCUACAAAGCAACUAAACUAACAUUUUUUUAAAAAUAAAUUAAACAUGACAUUAAUGGAGUAACCAAACUAAAUUAAAGUAAACUAAAAACAUUUAUGAAUUUUCAAACAUGGAAUCAGCUUUCUUAGUAAAUUAAAAUUAUUAAAAUAAAAUCUAAGCUUAAAAAUGAAUUAAAUACUAACUAAAGCAAAUCUAAAACCAAAUAUUUAACACAUAGGAUCAAUUAUAUUAACAAACUAAAAUUUUAUAAGAACACUUAAACCUAAAGUUGAAUUAAAAACUAACCAAUUUUUAAAACUAGAUCUUUAACCCAUAGGAUCAAUUAUAUUAACAAAUAAAUAAUAAAUAAUAAAUAAAUAAAACUCAAACCUAAAGAUGAACUAGAAAUGUACCAAAGUAAAUUCAAAACAAGAUCUUUAACACAUUAGAUCAAUUAUAUUGACUAACUAAAAAAAAAAAAAAAAAACACUCAAACCUGAAACGAUGUAUUAGAAACUAACCAAAGCAAAUUUAAAAUAGAGUCUUUAACACAUAGGAUCAAUUAUAAUCACUAACUUAAAUUACAAUUUUUGAAACAUGAACUAAUUAGUGUUGGAUUAAUUAAACUAAUUAACUAAAAAAAACUAUAAACUAGAAUACGGUGAAUCAAGAAUUCAAAUCAACAAACAUAAAAUAUGGGUACAAUGAAAUGAAAAUCUAUUAAACUAAUAAGACGGAAAUAUGACAAACUCAUGAACCCACAUUUUGAUCAACUAGGAAAUAGAAAUUAAUAGACCUGUAGCAUGGAUACAAUGAAAUGAGAUCAGUUAAAUUUAUUUGCCGAAAUUCUAAAAAACACAUACACUCAAAUAAGAUCUAAAUCUAAGACCAAGCAAAACUCAAACUUUCUCAAUCUAAUGCAAUGAAUCAAAACUAAAAUUAAAUAGAAAUCAAACCAUUUUUUUUUUAUCUAAUAUAAUAAAUCAAAGCUAAAACUAAACAAAAUCGAAUUUUCUUAAUUUAAUAUGAUGAGUCAAAGCUAAAAUUGAACAAAGUUCAAACCUUUAUAUAAUGGAUCAAAGUUAAAUCUAAAUGAAAUCCAUACUUCCACAAUUUGAUAUAACAAAUCAAAAAUAAAACUAGAUAAAAAAAAAGUCAAAGCCUUUCAACUUGACAUAGUGAAUCCAAACUGAAACGAAACAAAAUUUUAACUUUUCCAAUGAAACCCAAUAUAGAAAAAAUUAGCUUACCUUCUUUAGAAUAUAUGUAUGGGCCAUAAAGAAGUCACCUUGGUGCAUGUGUUCCUCACUUUGACGCCAAUGGACGACUUUCUAUGGUAGCAAAUGGAGAUCCUUUUUGGUGGUAACUUGCGUGUGGAAACCUAUGGUACAACCAAUGUCAUCUUUUAUUGUGCGUGUGGACCAAUUUCUUCUCGAGAACUCAUGUGUGUUGUGCUCAAAAUAUGUUGCCUGUGAGAAUCUAUUGGUAUACCCCACAUAUGGUUUCCUUGAGAGAAUCUGUGGUUGUGUGUGGGCGUUUUCUUCAUGACAGCAUGUGGAUGUUCCCAUCUAUGGUAGAUUGGUUGUGAUGCUUUAGUGCAUGGUCUCCAUAGGAAUAGUGUGUUAUGGAAAUUUGGUUUUUUUAUUGGUGCAUGUUGUCUAGACUUUCCCAUAUGCGUGGACUGUGUGUUCAUGCUUUUCUUUUCGGAUGGUCGCCUGUGUUAAUGUGUGGCGGUGUCUACAAUGAAAGAUACAACCCUUUCUCUCCUUCUGCGUGAUAGAAAAGUCAAUCCCCCAUGGUGCGACUAUGUUCCCUCGUCCUUUUUGAAAAAUUUUGGUGUUUUCCCCCCAAAAAAUCCCCUCCAAAAAUCUAAUUAUAAAUGUCUGCUUUGGCCUAAUGUGUGUGCUACUUUUUUUUUCCUUCUUUUUAUGGUUGUGCGUGCUUUUCUUGAUACGUGGCUUAUUUCUUAAGGAUAUGAUUCGCUCCCAAUUGGUGUCUCAGCUGAUUCAUGUCCUUUCAAUGGUCCCUGACAGUGGUGCCAUUUGAUUCGUGUCCAGCUGGUGUCCCUUGAUUGUGGUCCUCAGAAGGGAGUAAUCAAUAAAAUUUAUAACCUAUUACACCAUGUAUUAGGAUAGCCUUAGCUAGCAUAGCAUAGUGGCUCUAGGGUCGUUUAUUGGGAUGAGUUUUCACUUCACAAUUGAUAUUAAUUCAAGAGCUGAAUUGGUGCCUUUUCAUUUCAAGGUUAGCUUUAAAAGAAAACAUAAUCUUUGGUGGAAAAAGGUUUGGUUUUAAACUAACCAAAAAUAGUAACUGAUUUUACUUACAAAGAAAAGUGUUCUUUGGAGUUUAGAUCACUAGGCUCAGGUUCCUCAUACAAAAAGGAGAGUUCCGAUCAUUUGUUUCUUUUCCUCGCAUUAGAGAAUUAACAUAUAGUUAAUUCUCUAACCGGUGCGGUACAUAUGCUUCCCAUUAAUGGGUUCAAACACUAAAUACCUCUCACUGAUGCACCUUGCAAUGGCUCGUGCCUCUCACCUAGCAUUUAUCAUUCAAGGUGAUCUUUAACCUUGGAUUACCCAUCAAAAGCUCGCAAGAGAUAACUAAAGGAUGUCUCCUUAGAGUCCAAAAGCUUACCAAGUGUUGGUUAUUCUAGAAAAUCCUACCUUCAAACCACCUCCCAAAGGCUCGCAAGAGAUAAACAAGUGCAUCUCAAUGGAUGAAGAUCACUUGCCUUACCAAGUUUUGGCCCAGAUGAUUUAAUGACAUUUUAAGUUAACUAAAAAGAUAAAAACCAUUAACGGGUCACACUUUCUCUUCAUUAAAAACUAAAACAACAAAACUUCCAAUUUAUGCAUGAGGAAACUUACCUGGCUUUCUUCACUUCAAGAGAUGAAGAGCCUAGCCACUCAUCAUUUGAGGAAAAAUCCUCAGAGUUUGAUUUGCUAGAAAUAAAAAUAAUGAGAAAACAAAAAUAUAUAUAUGAAAAACAGAGCAAGUUCUCUGUAAUAUAUUUUUCUUCCUUAUACAAAAGGUUGUCUCUAAGAACAAGUUCCCGAGAUCUAUCUGAUUGUAAAUAAAAUUACAACUAUAUAUAAGAGGUUAUUCACCCCUUUGUUCUUUCUUAAAGACUAAGGAAUCCUAUGAUAGGUGGGUUACAAGGAGAGUUUGGGGAUUUAGACAUCAAAUAUCUAAAGCAAAAUAUCUCAAGAUGUUAGUCGGAAAUAUCAGGAAGCUUCAGGAGAACACCGCGACACUGUAUACUGAGAGAAAAACUCUCCGGGUAAGCUCUAUCAAAGGAUCCAGACAUGUCUGACUGGGAAAGUUGAAACGUCCUUCUCUCCCAUCCGGAUGUGAGAUAUCCGGAGAAAGUGAAAUGUCGGUCGGACAGAAUUCUUUCCCCGGGUGGAAUGAGUUGUGUUGCGCGUCGCAAGGGGGACCGUCUGCGUGUACAAGUUGUAGGGACCCCUCUCCCGGAUGACACCGAGCGCGUAAGGCUAUCCGGAUCAACUCCAUUCGGAUUCCCCAAGAGGACAUGUGGCGUGCUCCCCUAUCAGGACUCCCUUAGGGAGAAGCACACGACACUCGUGAACAUCAUACCCGGACGAUAGCAUGUCCUAUCCGGAUGUGUUGUCCGGAUCAUUGACUAAAGUGAGCAAGCCUUGCUACGUCAUUCGGACAGCUUGCCACAUACCAUGUUCCGUCGCCAUCUGAUGGUGUGUCCGAACGCCUUGUCCGGACAUCUUUUGCUCCUUGCAUUCCGGAUUUGCUUAUGACAAAGGACUUCAAAGCUUCGGUUCUUCAUGUUUCUGAGCUUUCCAUUGCUUUGCCAUGGAUUCCAAAGAACUCUCCUUAAUCACGGAUUGCUUUGGUGAUCAAAAAGUUAUCAAAACACAAAAACUUAACAUAGUUUGAUUAGAAUUGAUUGCAAGGGUUCUUAAUAUGUUAAUUGGGUUAAAAGGUGAUAACUACUACUCAAAAGUGUUUAUAAGAAUUAAUUACAAGCUAUGAAAUAACACUUUUUGAGUAGUAAUCAGGAUACAUCCUAGUUUUUCAUGGAAUUGAUAGUGGGUUGUUGUGCAUGAAUGCCACCAUUUCAACUAUGCUGUUGUUAUUUUUAAAAAAAAUAUGGAUUAUGCGCGAGUGGCAAUUCUCCACUAUGGAAAGUGGAUUGCUCCUUCAACCCAUGCAUGGCUACGUAUUCCUAUGUCUUUCUACUUGUGUUUGAUCCUCCAAAAAAAAUUUCGGUUUAGUGCUAGUAGAUUUUAAGUGGUGGAUCCCCAUUUUUUGAAAAUGAAGUGGCAGCCUCCCAUUUCAAGACAAAAUGGUAGCCUGCCUUUAAUCUUUGGAGAAAAAUCUGUGCAUGACCUUUUUUUUUCCCAAAAAAUCCGUGCAUGGUGUCCUUUAAUAUUUGGAGAAAAAUCUAUGUUGGAUCUUUUCUUUUCUAGAAACAUUUGUGUGGUCUUUUUUGUUAGCCCAAGGGUUCUUCUAAUCAAGUUUUGAUGAUAACAAACCAUGGUUAAGUGACUAAUUGGUUUAAUGAUUAAGAAUCUCAAACAUAAAAUCGAAAAUUCAUCAAAGGACCAAAUGGAUACAAGAUCGAGACGCUUGGAAGACUUGUAAUCAUAGGAAACUAAUGUAAGAUGAAUGCAUGAGUGCACUUAGGAUUUUCACACGUUUCAUGCAACUUAGAAAACCCAGUUUAUUCUUUAAAACUUCAUCCCAGUUUAUUCUUUUUAUGGUUGUGUGUGCUUUCCUUGAUACGUGGCUUAUUUAUUAAGGAUACAUCCCAGUUUUUCAUGGAAUUGACAGUGGGUUGUUGUGUGUGAAUGCCACCAUUUCAACUGUGCUGUUGUUAUUUAAAAAAAAAAAAAAUGGAUUGUGCGCGAGUGGCAAUUCUCCACUAUGGAAAGUGGAUUGCUCCUUCAACCCAUGCAUGGCUACGUAUUCCUAUGUCUUUCUGCUUGUGUGUGAUCCUCCAAAAAAAAUUUUGGUUUAGUGCUAGUAGAUUUUAAGUGGUGGAUCCCCUUUUUUUGAAAACUAAGUGGCAGCCUCCCAUUUCAAAACGAAGUGGUAGCCUGCCUUUAGUCUUUGGAGAAAAAUCUGUGCAUGACUUUUUUUUUCCCAAAAAAUCCAUGCAUGGUGUCCUUUAAUAUUUGGAGAAAAAUCUAUGUGGGAUCUUUUAUUUUCUAGAAAAAUUUGUGUGGUCUUUUUUGUUAGCCCAAGGGUUCUCCUAAUCAGGUUUUGAUGAUAACAAAUCAUGGUUAAGUGACUAAUUGGUUUAAUGAUUAAGAAUCUCAAACAUAAACUCGAAAAUUCAUCAAAUGACCAAAUGGAUACAAGAUCGAGACGCUUGGAAGACUUGUGAUCAUAGGAAACUAAUGUAAGAUGAAUGCAUGAGUGCACUUAGGAUUUUCACACGUUUCAUGCAAUUUAGAAAACCCAGUUUAUUCUUUAAAACUUCAAUUUCAUUAAAACCCGAGUUUUUAACUAAUGUACCUUAGGCAAAAUGUUUUAUAAUUGGCUUAAUAAUUCACCUAAAUACAUUUUCUAAGUGUUAGAAAAGAAAGGAAUUAAAAAAAGGUUUUCGGGGCAAAAAAGGCUCAACCGGUCGAGGCUAUGGUCAACCGGCUCAACCGGUUGAGGAACCAAUCGAUCGGUUGUGCUUGUCCGAUCGAAGACCAAUCGAGGGAUGCCAAAAAAUUUCUCUCUCUCCUAGUGGCCUUCUCUUCCCGGUCGAGGUUCGGUCUAGGCAACGGUAACAUGUCAAGCAUUAAAUGCUCCGACGACUAGUGAAUCGGUCGACCCCUAGCCCGAUCGGACGAGGUUGCCUUUUGCUGUUUUUGACUCCCGAGCUUAGAAACCUAUAAAUUGAGAGCUCCACUUCAUUUAUUGAUAAAAGAGAACACUUGCAUUCAAUAGUCUACCUACCUUUUCUUGAUCAAAAAGCUCUCAUUUCCUUCAUAGUGCAUUAAAUCAUCACUUGCAUAUCCUUUAGUGCACUAUUGUGUGUCAUCCUAGCUUUGUUUUGUAUUUGAGCUAUCCUUAAGCUAGGUUGAGGGAUUAUUUCUUAUAAAAAUCUGAGUGUUAAAGCCUUCAAGAGAUUUGAAUCUUGAAGAGAUUGUGUAAGAGCCCAUUGGAGCCGGAGUCCAAGUGUAAGAAGAUUGGAAGCUUGGUUGAAGCUUCAAGUUAGUGGAACCCUCACUCGGUUAGGAGGUUGAGGAGAGUGGACGUAGGUAAGGAAGUGUCGAACCAUUAUAAACCCGAGUUUGAAUUCUCUAACUCUAUCUCUUUAUUUUGCUUAUAUUGUGUUUGAAUUUGUUGUGAUUGAAAAGAUUUUAAAAACCUAAUUCACCCUCCCCCCUUUUGGGUUUUUUUUUCUUAAUUAAGCAUAACCUUUGUUUUCUAAUUUUCUUUUUAGGAAAAUCCAUGCGUGGUAUGUCCAAACUCUCCAAGUGGCAGUCUGCCUUCUUCUAAAAAAUUUGUUUCUAUUUCUUUAUUCGACUACCUUCCAUGUCUUCCUAAUGAGUGCUUGUGCUCAAUGGUCAAUCCCUGGUGGUUGCCUCCUUUUCCCAUAUAUACGUGUUGCAAAAUCAACAUCCCACUAUAUGUGGGUUGCCUCUAUGGCAAGUUCACAUUUCCCACAUGAAACCUAUGAGUUUCCACCAAAAAUUGCCAUGAAAAAGUCUUUAUAUGCAUCUCAUGCAAUAAAAAGUCAAGCCAAUACUCAUCUUAUCUCGAAAAAUAAGUAACCAAAAUCAAGAUCAUGCCUAAGUGAACUAUGCCAAAAGAAGUGUCCAAGUGACCUAUUAUGAAAAAAGUGCCUAAGUGACCUAAGGUGAAUGUGUGUAAGCUGGAAGGUGUCUAGGAUGUUUAGGACAAUGCCUAAGCCUAAAAUAGGGUUGCCAAGGGUCACAAUGGGGUUAGAUAAAUCUCUCAAUCAGAGUCUCCAAGGUGGCUCAUAAAAGAUAAGCUACACGAGUAAUGAUGGGCCACCAGGGAAUUAUUGUAAAGCACCAAACGAACACAUAAUAGGACAUGUGUUAGAAUGAAAAAAUGGAGGGUUUACAAGUGGUCUCAUGGAUGAGCUUGAUAAUUUAAAUGACUCACAUAAUGAACGUAUGUGAUGUUUCUCUCCAAUAACAAGCAAAACAUCACUAGCAAUAUGAUGAAUGUCUCCUAAAUCACUUGAAGUAGUCCUAGCAAAUCAAUUAGAAAAAUCACACAUAUUGCUCUAAUGUAAUAUUAUAUACAUCUGUCAAUGAAUGGGAGAACUAAUGACACAACCAUCAUGUUGAUAUCUCGAACCCUCUAAUCUCAUAUGUAGGUGGGAUCACACUUAGAAACUCAUAACACAGUAAUGACCAAUCUAAGUCAAAAUGUGUUGGUGAUCGGAGGCCCAUGAAUAUGAAGUUCUAGGAUGAUAAUGACAUCUUAUAAAGUAAUGAUCAUCUCCUUAAUAGAUAGGUGAAAUGUGUGUGUCUUAGGACACCAUCUCUCAACAAGACUUGUGAUCAAUCCCCAGUCUAGUGUAACAUGCCUAUUAUGACAUCCAUCGUAAAAUCUAGACUAGAUAAUAUAAGGACAAAUGUGAGGGUUCAUCUCCCUUUCCCACAUAAAUUUAAAAAAUUAUUAUUGACAAGUUAAGACCAAACUAAGUUGCAAAAUAUAAAUAAGUCCAUUAGAUAACAAAUUUAUGUUUUCUCAUUUUCUCAUUUUUAAAGAGAUAUUAUGUGCUUCCAUGUACAUACAUGCUAAAGUCAAUUAUACGAGACUUAUAUCCAUCUUGUAGAACCAAAUCGAACCUAUCUAAUAGAUCCAGAUUAGAAGUAUGUCCUCUAUACUCCAUAUUUAUAACACAUUUAUAAAGAUAAAUGCUAAAAAAAUGUUAAAGAUAUAAAUUUAAUGAACCAUACUUUAUGAUUUUAAUUCUCAAUUAUUGUUCAUAUUUAUAAGAGAAAAGUUAAAAAAAUUGAUAGAGUUUUCCCUCUAUCAUGGACAUUAUCCCAAAUAAAAAUAAAUUGAUUAUGCAAAUUACAUUAAUAUUUGUAACCAAAUGAUCAAUAACUAUCUUGUAUCAAUUUAGUAAAUAAAUUUAAGUAUAUCUUUUCAUUUAUGACUAACAAAUAACUCAUACUUGUCCAAUAAAAGCCACACCUAAUUUCUAAAAUUUUGUCUUCACCUCAAGUGAGUGUUACAUUGAGAAAGAAAAAAUAUGAAAGAAAAAAUGAACACCUUUUUCUUUUAAUAAAAAAAGGCCAUAACGAAACAUUAAAUCUCACUGUUACACCUAUCUUCAAUGGAAACAUGAGGAUGUGAAUGGUGGCGGUGAUAUUCUUUGCUUGAAGCUCAUAAACAAAUAUUCCUUACUAAGCCUAUGCCAUUUAGUAUUUCAAUAGUGGACCCCCCCCCCCCCCCCCCCCCCCUCCUUGCAUUUCAGAUUUAGCAAACUUAGAACCAAAUAACAAAGUGCAUUUGAACCCAUAAAGAAGUAAUGAGACUCUCCUAUAUUGGCAAUAGAAGAAAUUUUUGGAGGUAUAGGAGAUUCACGGAUGAAGAAGUUGGGCCCCAAUUGAGAUAAGACCCAAGAAAAGAUGGGGUAGAGAGGGAUGGUUGGAAAUUGUAAAGUAAGAUUUUCAAAAUGUAGUUGAUGACUAAGAUUUUGACAAUUUAAAAAAGGUUUAAAAAUGUAGUUAGCAAUCGGGGUUUUGUAACAUUUAAAAAAUAAAAUAAAAUCUCAGGCCACAUGGUAGCCCAUGUGAUUCAGAAGCUUGAGAAUUAUUUUAUAAGAAGACUUAAUUUGUGAUUUUUUUAUAACUAUAUUAUUUUUUUUCUUAACACACGAAAAAAAUUAUGAAAUAAGACAAUUUUCCUAAGAAAGCAUGUAAGUGACUCUUGGUUAUUUUAUUUAACUUCUUCUAGUUUGGAGAGGAUUAAUACCUUUGCUUUUACUCACUUGCUUGGAUAUGUACACGUUGUUCAUGUCACUUUUCAUUUAAUUUUCUGAUUAAGGGAAUUGGAACCGUACGUAACUGUCUUUAUUCCCUCUGAAACUUGGACUUGGAGUUGGACUUUCAAUCUCAUCAGUCGUGUUUCCAUAAAAAAGAAGAUGGAUUAACCAAUUUUCCUAUGCCUACUAAUCAUACACAAAACUCCACUUCCAAAUAAAAAGGAAUGGGAUAUCACUUGUUAAUAGUGGCUAAAGACUAUUAAUAACCAUGCAAAGAAAUGUCACAUUUUUUGUUCUACGCAAAUUUUAUUCAUCAACUACUAGAACCAUUUCAUACAAUAGUAGCUUUUCGAUCCUUUGAUAAAUGGACACUUGAUGUGAUAACACCAACUACACCUAUAUAUUCAAGCAAUCAUGCGUAUAUAAUAGUGGAUAUGGAUUACUUCUCUAAAUGGGCAAAAGUUUUGUCAUUCAAGGAAAGUGAACGAGGAAACACAAGUUUACUUUCAUCGGAACUAAUAUUAUAUAUUGAUAUGACUUCCCAUUAUUACUUACGAUGGAAUAUGCUUCCAUAAAAUGGCCUAGAUGAACAAACUAUCCAAGAAGUUUGGGAUCAAAUAAUAUAUAUAUAGUUCAUGUGUGAUUCUUUGGUUGACAACCUUGUUAAGGGGUGAGUGAAGCACUUUGGGCAUACCACAUACUACAUGCUAGACUUCCACCCAAGCUACCCUAUAUUCCUUAUGAACAAAGUAGAAGUUGUCAUCUCUCUUGAAUACCAAAUCCUUUCACCUAAUAAUGCUAUCUAAAAAGGUCUUAAAAAGGAUAAAAAUGCGCAUAUUUGAAUUUUUGAAUUAGGAGUGCUACUUAAAAAGAAGCUAGAUAUACAAUAAUAGAAUGUUAUCAAGCAUAUCUCUUCAAAGUUUUUGACCAAAAAAUAUAUGAUUUCUCAUUUUAGGUAGGAGACUUAGUACUCACUAUUCAAAAACCAAUUAUCAUUACUCAUAAAAACUAAUAGAAAGUUUGGGCCAAAGUAGGAUGGACCUUAUAUUAUGCAACAAUUAUGCCUAUAAAAUUGUUGCAAAAGAGGUUUUAGAAUCAAAUCAAUGAAUGAAAAAUUAUUAAAGCAUUACUAUGCUUGAAGGCUAGUCAUUUUCCCUUAAAGUGCAAUAUUAAGUUGCAUAGUACUAUGUGGAUCCGCAUUUUUCACAUGCGUUCCCACUCAUUGUCGAGACUCACUUUUUAGAAGUGAAAAAUUAGUUUUAUUAAAGUCGAAGUUGCCACUGGGGAUUUGAACCCUAACAAAAGGUUCAAUUUAAGGAUAAAAAUAUCGAUAAUCACAUAUAUAUAUAUUGGUACUUUGAUUUUAUGAAUAUAUUGAAGAAAUAUGGACAAAUAUUUUGACACAAAAUAUGUACAAAAUAAAAAUUAUAUAAAAAGUAAAAAUAAAUAUUUUAAAAUUAUUUUUUUAAAUAUAUAUAUAUAUAAUUUGACAUAUUUGAUAAUAAUAUAUAAGGGUCUCCAAAAAGCCCGUGGCCCGCUUUAGGCCCGGUCCGACCCGACAGGCUAAAGCCCGGCCCAAGCCCGCCGGGCCCAAGCUCGGCCCGAGCCCGUUUAUGGGUGGGCCGGGCCGCGAGCCCGUAGGCCUGCUCCUUUAAAAAAAAACUACAAAAAUAAAAAGUAUUAAAAAAAAUAUUCAUUUCAAAAUUUUAUUCAUUGAAUGUAUAAUUACAUUUGAAAAUGUGGGAAAAGUUUACAUCACUACAAAAUAAAUACAUCCCAACUAGGUUGGCACCUAUUUAUUUGUCAAUCAUCUGUAUUUUUCAACCACAAAAAAUAAAAAUAAAAAUAUAAUAUACAUUUAGUCAUUAUUUUCUGGCGGUGAUGGCGAACUAUCAUGCAUCCAUGAAGAUCUUGAUAAUUUUAAAGAUUCCAUAUCGGUAAGCAUCUUUGUUUCUCGAAUGGAAUCAUACAUCCUUUUAUCUGCUAUUUCCCAAUCUUUCACACAUAUCCCUGCUUUAAUAACAUCUGACGCUAAGUUGCAUCGUUUUUUACUAACUACUCUUCCACCUGCACUAAAAGCAGCUUCUGAUGCAACUGUACUCACAGGAACUGUUAGUACAUCACGAGCAAUUAUAGAAAGCACAGGAUAUUUGUGUUGAUGUGAUUUCCACCAUAUUAAAAUAUUAAAAUCUUCUUGAUCUUCAAAUGAAAUUAUAUCAGUAUUAAGAUAUUUAUCUAAAUCAGAUGUAUUAUUUGGAGAAUUAUUUGUUGUCUUUUUUCGACUUUUCAACAUUUCUAGAGCUCCUUUAUAAAAAGAUGAGGAGUUUGUAGAUGUAGGUGGUAAUUUAAUAGUAUUAAUAUCAUUACCAUAUUUUUCUUUAUAAUAGUUAUAUAAAUUAUAUAAUAAUGAAUUUAUUUCAUUUUUAAUUUCUUCAAUUUUUAUUUGGUCAUUAAAAUAAAUAAUUGUUAACCAUUCAUCCAAAGCUUCAAAUUUCAAUCUAGGGUCCACAAUUAAAGCAAUAUAAAAAAUUAAAGGUAUUUCUCCCCAAUAUUUUCUAAAUUUUUAUAUCAUUACAAAUAUUGUAUCAUUAAAUAUUUCAAAACUUAAAUAUUUUUGAAGUACAAUAAAAAUAUUAGUUAUUUGCGUAAUAACUCGAUUUGAAGUUGGAUAAUAUACACCACAAAAAAUGUUUGUUGAAGUAUCAAAAAUUUCAAAAAGAUCUCUUAAAACAUCCGCAAUAUGCCAAUCAUAAUCAUUUAAUGCAUAAAUAUCUGCUUCAUAAUCAUUGUUAAUUAAUUGUAUUUCAUAUAAUUCGACUACUUUUCUAUAUUUUGUAAUAUUUUCUAAAAGUUUAUAUGUGGAAUUCCAUCUAAUAGCCAUAUCCAAAUUUAUAUUUUUUCUUUUCAUAUUUAACAUUUUGCAACAAUCAAAAAAUAAUUCAUGUUUUGCUUGAAAACUAUUAAUACUAUAUGCAAUGCCUCUAAUUUUUUUCCAAUGUACUAUCAACAUUUUUUAAUCCAUCCUUUACAAUUAAAUUUAAAAUAUGUGCACAACAACGCACAUGAAAUAUUUUAGCAUGAUCUUCUUUUACUUGCCAAUAUCGUUUUAGUCUAUGUAUUGCUGCAUCAUUAUUAGCAGCAUUAUCUAAUGUUAUUGUCAAUAUUUUAUCACGAAUGCCUAAAUCUAUAAUUUCAUCAUUUAUUAAAGAUGCUAUAUUUUUACCACUAUGUGGAGUAUUUAUUAAUUUAAAUAAAAUUAUUCUUUUAUUUAAUUUCCAUUCAUUAUCAAUGUAGUGAACAAUUAUAUAUAAAAAACCAGUAUGAGUUAAAGAUGUCCAAAUGUCAGAUGUUAAACGAAUAUUUCCUUCAAAAUUUGCAAAAUUUUUUUUUAAAAUUUCUUUUUGUGUAUAAAUUUUUUUCAUAAUAUCUCUUUUAACUGUAUUUCCAGAUCAACCUUUAAAUUGAGGAUUAAUACCUCGUUGAAUUGUUCUUGCAAAAUCAUGAGUUUCCAUCAUGUUGAAAGGUUGUUCUGCUCUUAUUAUAUAAUCAAUCAUUUCUUCACAACAGUUAGAUUCAUCAUAAGAAAAUGUUUUUAAAUUUCCACUUUCAUUUUUACUUAAUUGCAUAUAAUUUCUAAUAUCUACAUUAUUUUUAGUUUUACAAUUUUCAUGAUGUCUUUUUAAAUGACUUGUAUCUGCAUUUGAGCCACCAGUAAGAAAUUUAUUACAAAUUUUACAUUUUGCUUUUAUUUUUUUUUUAUUAUUUUCUAAAAUUAUUUCUAUUCUAUCAAAAAAAUUCCAUAUAUUUAAAGUAAAUUUUUUGUUUGAUGAUAUUUCAUCACAUGGACUAGACGAAGAAGCACUUGUCAUAUUAUAAUUAUUGAUAAAAUAUUAUGCCAAAAAUAAUAAAGUAAUAAAUAUAAAAAAAAAUGUAACAAAAAAAAUAAAGUAGUAGGGGUGAAGUAUGUUACUCAAUUAGAGAACCUAUGCAGAAAUUCCUAGCAAAUUUGAACUCUUGGAGCCACCAAUGCUUGUUUUGCACCAUCAACAAUAUUGUAUAAUUUGAGGGAAAAAUAAAAGAAUUUAAAAUAUUGUAGAAUGUGAGAGAAAUAGAGAGAAUUUGAUGAAAAAAUGAAAAGGAAGAAAAUGUAUUUAUAGGAAGGUUAAAAAUAAUAAUAAUAAUAAUAAUAAUAAUAAUAAUAAUAAUAAUAAUAAUAAUAAUAAUAAUAAUUGGCCAUGUGACCGUUGGAGGCUUAGCUCCAACGGUCACAUGGGCUGGAGCUAGGCUCCAACAGUCACAUGACCGUUGGAGCCUUUAAUUUUUUUUUUUAAAAUAAUAUACUUUAUUUUUAUAUAUAUAUAACUAACUCAAUUAAUAAACAUAAAAAGAAUAUAGUUCAGUUGGUUAGAACCUUGAAGUUUAAACAUGAGGGGAGGGGUUUGAAUCCCUCCCUCUCCCUUAGGGGCUUUUUUAAAAGCCAUUUUGGCUUAUUUCAAAAAGCCUGUCGGCCCGACCCGCCCUGCAGCCCGCGGGCCUAGCAUUUUAGCAUGGCCUGGUCUGUUGACUAGUCAAAUGGCUCAUAGGCUCGGCCCGAACUGGGCCGCGGGCCUCUUAUUUACGGACCGGCCCGACCCGGCCCGCCCGUUGGAGACCCUUGAUAAUAUCUUCUAUAUUAAGUUACAUUAUAGUUUAUUUUACAAUAUUAUUAUGAUAAUAUGUCUAAUUUUAAAAUAUAUUUAAUAUUAAAAUUAUGAUCUAUUUUAAUUUAAAUGUAUUCAAUGAUAUCAAAUAAAUAAUAAUAUAUGUAUAAUUCUUUUAUUAUUUAUAUUUAUUAUUUUUAAUAAAUAUAUAGAUUAUAUAAAAAAGACCGGAUAUAUCUUUUCAAAUUUUGUAUCGCUCUCCAAGGAUAUUAGAUGUAUGGGAAUUUGUAUUGCUAUCUACGGAUACGUUGAUAUAUGGGUGAUUUAUCAGGAUAAUUAGAAAUUCUAAUUAUGUAAGCAGGUACGGAGUUCUGUGUCGGUGCGAUCUUGUCGACAACAGCUCCAAAUUGUGCAUCUUGCUCAUAGAGAGUAGCGGAAUGCACCAAUCGUAGGCUCAGAGUACCACUGAGUCGUCUGGCAGAGACCCAACUGAAGGUGCCUGUGUUGUUCCUGAUCUGAUCAGGCUUCAAACUACAAGGUGGAAUACUGGUUCCCCUAUAUCAGAAGCUGGAGAUACCCACCCCAUAUGCUCGUCUGGAUGUGCUCCUACCCUUUGAAGCCUUCUUCCGAGUCAAGUCCGAAUUGAUAAGGCUAGUGAGUUCCCAACCAACUGUACUCAGCAUGCUGCCAGGUGGAGACCCUCCAUAUUUGAUGGCUUCCUAAUAUUAAAAUGCUGACCACUGGUCUUCAUGUUCCACAGGCUUAAUUGUGUCCUUUGCUGAAAGAAUGGAUAGUGAUCCAUUUUAACACAUGAUUCACGCCGUCUUUGCCAUUCUUCAUGGUCUAGCCCUUUUAUAUAUAUGCUUCCUGAACUGUUGCUAUUAAUAAAAUGUGGUAUCUAUCCCGUACACCUUCCUGAUGGCCAGCGAAUGCAGAAGCUACAGAAACGGUUCCAUCUUUUGCUUCCGCCACUUUGGCAUCCUCCAUGAUGAGAUCGAAGGUGAAUAAUCAUAUUCUGGGGAUUUAUGUCCUGGAUAUUCUCAGUAAUGCCCAAUUUCCUGGUGCCGGCCUCAUUUCCAUGGGAACUGAUGGAUAACUUAAGGCUUCUACCAUCUGCGUGGUUCGCUUCUAACACAGGAAACUUCACGGCUAAAAGCAAGAUACCAAGAACAUCAAGGCUGUGACAAAAAUUAGUAUUUUUAACUUGUAGGAAUUUGAAAGGCAACCAACCAUCUAGCUCUGUUCUUAAAGCUCCCAUAGGAGGAUCAGAGGCUGGAUUGCUCAAGAUGAACUCAUCCAUUGUUGCACUUAAAAAGAAUUGGCAUGAAUUGUGGCCGCUCUAAUAGGUUCCCUAAACCAUCAUCCAAGUGGGCUUGCGGAAGGUAGCGAGUUUAAAACACCUAGGGCGAUGAACAGUGGACUGUGAUGCUCACAAAAGAGAAAAGGAAGAAUUCAAUAAUUCCUAAGAAUCCAUUUGCCUGUCAUCCAAAUUUUUAUAUUCUCUUCAGUCUGACGCGUUAUGCCAUAUAUUAAAAAUAGCGGCUUCUUCCAAGCCGAGACAGACUGUGCAAAGUUCGCAAGGCCAAUCAUCACCAUAAUCUGAAGUUGGCCUCCUCAAUCGCAGCUUGUAUCCGAAUGCUCACUUCACGGGAUGGAUUGUAAUGAAAACUAAUCUCAGUCCCAGCUAUGGCAGCAUCCUCACUUGACAGCAUUUUCUGCAUAUUCUAGAACAAAGCAAUAAACCCUCAAAGGCUCCUUCGGAUCAGAGUUAGAAGACUGUCCCUCAGGAACGUGAACACUAUGGUGGUUCUGAUAAGCAGUGAUAUUGCAUUAGAGCCUUUUGGAACAAGAGGAUCUUUUCAGGUGGAAACUGUAAACUGCUUCAUGUUGGGCUGCAACCUUUUCUUCAAGCAAUACUUUCUUUCUGUAUCACGACUUAUGUUGCUUCCGGAGCCAUCCCGUGUGGACUGCCCUUCAGUGAAAGAAUAUGUGUGUUGACAUGUUGGAUUGUAAUCUUUGUUCCACUCUAAUGGCUUUUGGUCCUCCUCUUUCUCUUUAUGACAGAGAACCAUUUAGUGAUCCAUCUCUAUAUUGUAGCAUUGCUGGUGCUUUGCAAUACUACACUCUCACCAAGCAUAACAUCUAUUUUUCCGUGACCAAAGUAUGUCGGUUUAUGCAUGCGCAAACUCUUAUUCAUUGGCAAGUUGUCAAGCGUAUCUCAUGAUUUCCCAAAGCCACAAGUUCUUAUGGUCUUUCUGUUCAAGCUUACAAUGAUCUAUCUUUUCUUGGUUAUACUGAUGUCGAUUGGGCUAGUUGCCCUGAUAACAAGCACAAUACUAGUGGGUACAACACUUUUCCUGGUCCUAAUCUCAUUUCAUGGGCAUUUUCAAAGCAGAAGGUUGUGUCUCACUCCAAUAACGAAUCUGAAUAUAGGGGACUCACUAAUUAAUGUUGUUGCCAAGGUCACUUGGAUUGAAUCUGUCUUACGUGAGUUGCGUGUUUCUCUACCCCAACCACCAAUUUUGUUGUGUGACAACAUUAGUGCUACACACUUGGACAAACCAUGUUGAAAUACACUAUCAUUUUAUCCAUGAAAGGCUUAUGCAUCACACACUCAAAAUUCAAUACACCUCUUCUAUAGACCAACUAGUCAAUGCUAUGACCAAAGCUCUUCCUUCAUCUCACUUGUACAAUCUUCAGUGCAAGCUGAUUGUUCUUCCCAAACCACUCAACUUGAGGGGAGAUGUUAAGCCAAUUUAAUAAAUUGAUUUCUUUUGGUUAAUUUGUUAGAAUCAUUUUUAUUAGAGGUUUGUUUGUACAAUUACAUCCAUUUAUCAGGAGAGUACACGUGUACAACUCCUCUUUUAAUCUCACCAUUGUAUAUAUAUGAUACACGACCUUACUCAGAAUUGCAUAACAUUUCCUCUGCUCAUUCCUUUUCUUCUUUGAAUUUUCCCUUACCUCACUGAUUUUGAUUUAUACCUGGUGUUUUCACCUUUGGUCUCUACCUUUCUAGCCAGUUUUCUAAUUAAUCCGUAUAUGGUAUACCUGUCAACUAAUGAGGAGAAAGAGAAAAGGGGAUUGCUGUUCCACCAGCUACAUAUAAUAAUUAAUUACAAUCAUGGUAAUGGAUCCUGAAAUCCAUCCUUUGUGGAUUUUGUACGGAAUAUUGUUGUUAUGUAUGUGGGCUCACUUAGAUGUAUAUUGCUAGCCUGUCUGGGAAAUGUGAUUGCAGGUCCAGAUUAUGAUGUUGAUAUUAGUGGGAUAAGCAAGAGAUGCAGUUAACACGUAUGUGAUGGACUUGAGUAACUUUUCCAUUUCAGUCCAUUUUUUAAGAUUAUGCUUAGUCUUAUUACAAGGAAAGACCAUAAGAAUCAUGAGUCAUUGGCAAGGUAAUAUCAUUCCCUCUUUACAGGCUUCUUCACCUUUUGGUUUUUUUAAUAUCCAUCAAGAUCUUUUAAUUGGAGGACAAUUACAAGUAUAUAUAUAUGUAUUAAAAGGGGAAAAUAUUAAAACAGGAAAUUUUAGGGAAAAUAUAAUAAUUAUUUCUUCCUUCUUUCCCAUAUAGAACUACACAAAAUAAAACUUUAAUAAUUUUUUCUUAUCUUUUUUAUUAUUAUUUUUUCUUAGAAACAUCCGUGGUCUCACAAGCUUGUAAUCCUAGAUUGUUAGGCUCCUUUAACAGUGCCCCAACAUCGUGGUCCAAUGACAAGCUUCCACGCCUUAAAAUCAGAAAAUGCCAUUAAACUUUAUCAGACAUUACAGUUCAAGACAAAGCUUUCAUUUGCUUAAUGUGAUAAUGAAAUUGUUAAUUUCAUUUCGUGGGCAUCUAAAUUUGGACGAGCAAGACCUCUGAAUUCCCUGUUUUUAUCACCAGCAGAGGAGAUAAAAUCUUAAUGGUGAGAAUCUCCACGUGAAAUUUAUGUGUACUGUCAACAUAUUUUUGUUUAUAUAGUCCAGUAGCUGCAGGAAGUCUAGAUUAUAUAGGUAGCAGUAGCACUAUUUAUAGCACUCGAUAUUCGCUGUAUGAAUACAUUAAACCUUGUUUUCAAUACGCAUCACAAGCAAGUACUAGAUACUACAAGGAGUGACAGUCGCAUCAACAUUUCUUGAUAAUAGCAGUGACUGAUUUAUACACAGAACAGUACUGUACACGUACCAGUCACCAGAGAUAGGAUCUUAUUCCUACAUACGACUCUUAUUGAUCGAAGUCACUCAGUUGGGGUAGCCUGGAGUUGGAGGUUUGUGUGGUGGCUUCUUCUUUGGAGGAGGCUUUAUCUUUGGAGGCAUCAUCUUUGGAGGCAUCUUGUGUGAGUCUUCUUCAGCAUUCUCUACAGGAGGAUGGCCAGGCUUAUGACCCUUAGGUGGUUUGCCAACUGGGAUUGGUGGCUUGUGUCCUGAGAGUGGCUCCUCUUCUUCGGGAGGUUUGCCAACUGACGUUGGUGGCCCGUGUCCUGGGGGUGGCUUGUGUUUUGGGGGUGGUUUCACUCCACCGGGAGGUUUACCAAUUGGUGUUGGUGGUUUGUGCUCAAUCGGUGGCCUCUCAACUGGGGGGCGCUUGGGGUAAUCAGCGAGUGAAGAAGUGGUGAGAACCACCACUCCAAGCAACAACACUAGCAAGUAUGUGGAAGACAUCUUUGAGUUUGGCUCAGAUGGUGUAGAACUAGAAUCCUGGGUGGCCUUUUAUAUUAGUUGGGCCCUAUGCCCGAACGACAAGUGUCAUGGUGACACAUAAAGUGAUGGGGUCGAUUUGGGCCUACCGGAUUUGAAAACUUGGACAAUUCGAGAAGCGUCUCCUGACUCCGGGUUGUAAAGUGAAAGAUUAGGUAUCGACCAUUGAAGUAUGAUCACAACUUUUGGCCUUUGGCUCUCUCUACUGCCGUAUAGCUUUUUUCCUUUGGAUAUUUUUCUUAGCUAGACACAAUUAUUGAGCAGUCUAAUCUCGAAAUGGGAUUAGUAUAGCUUUAAGCAAAUUUAUUAUAGUUAGUGGAGGACUUUUAAGAGUGCAGACGACAUUUAACACAUGCAUGCAGUAGUAUAGGGGACAUAACACUAUUCUUUUUCCAAAGAUUCACAUGAUUUUUAUAUUAUAGUAUUGGCACAUUGUAUGUAGCUGGUUUUGUGGUUAAAAUUCCAUAUGUAGACACUGGCGUUUCUCCAUUUCUCACAAUUGAUGUUUACCUCCACGAUUACUAGAUUAGAUAUACCAAACAAUAACACAUUGUAUAAUCUAUCCGCCCUUCAAAAUCUACUGUAUGAUGAAAUGUUUCAUGUGUGUGUGAAGUGUUAGAAAUGCACUAUAGGCAACAUCAUCUUCUUUUGUCUAGGCUUGGGCCUCAAAUUAUACUCCCAUGCCAUGAUAAAUUUUCAUGUGCAUUCUCUAAAGAAGAGUGUCUUGAAUGUGCCAAAUCAUUUUGAUUGAUUUUAUGAUGUUAAUUGCUCCGCAUAUGGAUGGGUAUGUGCUUUAUUUGCUUAUUCAAUCCACAAUUACCUUGAACUGAAGUCCUAUUGGAGCUCUAUUAUUUUAGCAACGUCCUGUCAAAUAGGCUGCUAACUUGGGGUGGUAUGGACCCAAUGAUCCAUCUUAAUCUUGGGUUGAUUUUGUCUGACUCUAUCUAUCUCAGAGAGAACCAGGAUCACCAGUGCUGGUCUGCUUAAAGAAGACUCAGUACUGGAUUAAUAUUGGUUUGGGUCAAUAGCUUAUAAUGCAUUGAAUGCAGAAUAAACAAGAUCAAUGAAACCCAAAACACACUGCCCACACAACUUCACUCUGGUGUCUGUUAUUCAUCAAUUCUAUUCCCACAUGAACUGGUUCAAGUUUAAGAAAAUGACAACGGAUCCACUGUAUUAACUUGGUUUUGCUUGGUUUUGAGCUAGUUGCCAAACCAGCCAUGAGUUUUACCUCUAAUGUCAAUGAACAAACCCCAAAUGAACAACUGCAACAGCUUAAAGAGAAGGAAUGGAGAUGAAAAUCCCUGUUUCUUCUCAUUCUGGGGACAAAUUAGAACAUAACUACAAAGGUUCUAUUAAUUGACUUACUCUACCAUGAAUUAUGGUUCUUUGGUUUUCCAAAUUUAAAUUGUACAUGAGAUUAUUUUUUUCCUUUAUAUAUAAACAUAUUAAGGUUUUCUUAUUUCGUGGGCAAAUGCGCUAAGGAUGAAAGUCAUUUCAUUUGGCUGCAACAGCAUCUUAUAAUCAACAUGCAUAAGCAGCAGUUUUAAUUGAUCGAUUGAACACCGACUCACAAGAAUAGAUAGAAUGGUACAAGACAGCUCUUAUUAAUUUAUACUCGUUACUCAUUUUAUGUAGCCCCAUUAAGAUGGCUGGCUGGACCACCGAGGUCUGGGGGUGGUGUUGCUUGUGUGAUGCAGCGGGCCGGGCAGACACUUCUCUAGUUGCUUCUAUUUGGAGUUAGAGGAUCAGUCUCUGCCAACCUUGAGGACUCUCUACCUCAGAGGGUCCAGGUGGUGGACUCUGGUGUCGGUAGCUUUGAACUCUCAGUAGACUAGUGUGUCUUAAUCAGUCACUGCCAGAGGCUGGCGUAGGCAGUGACGAUAAGGUGAGACAAAUUACCGAAUAGUCAAUAUCGACUGCACUUGACCAUUAUAGAUUUGUUCUGACAAAAGUGAGAAAAGGGAGAAAAUCGGAUGUUGACCUUUAUAGAAAAAGAUAAGAUUUACUGCAACACAGAGCACUGAUUUGUUACUUGGAAACCAAGUUAUGCUAUUAGCUAGCCUCCAUUAGCAGCAGGGUACCUUGCUGCCUGAUCCUAAUCUGAGUUCCCAAGGUUUCAAUCUUCGUUUGUUAACGCUUCAGGAUUUGGAUAUUUCAGCUUCGUUUCUCCAUUUAGCCAACGCUGCCUGGUUUGGAUUUCAAUCCUCAUCUGGAACAUUCUUUUUUCGGUCUGAUUCAGGAAGUGUUUGGUGAUAGUUGAUUAAAAUUAAACAGUACUAUCAUACAAAUAAAGCUGAUCUAAUUUUGGUGGGCAAUAUACCAACUCAUUUAUUCUUGAAAACACCAUGGGGAAUUGGAGGUCCAUCCGAAGUACUAUUUGAUGGGACUCACAAAAAGAACAGGUGCACAUUUAUGAGAUCCGUGGAAGAGAUAACUAUGACAGCUAUGCAUGUACAACAGAUUUAUGUCGAGUUCACCUCGUAGAUAUUUUGUUUUCAGUGUCGGUGGACCCCAAAAUGGAAAUCGGAAAUUAAGGUUAUAUUUAUUUUUUUAUUUAAUUUUAAAUAGAAUUUUAAUUUUUAAUAAUAUUAAGUAUUAAAUUAUUUUUUUAAGGGUAUUUUAUUUUUAUUAAGUAUUAAAAAGUAAAAAAAAUUAAUAUGUUGCUUUUUUAUUUUAAAAAAAUUAUAUAUUUUAAUUUUUUCUAUUUACUAAAAAGUUUAUAAUAAAUUAUAAAAAAAUAAAAAAAUAAAAAACUUAAAUUCUGAAAAUAAAUUAUUUUUAAUAAAAAAAUCCAAAAAAGCAAACACCACCUAAAUUUGAGAUGACUCAAAAUUUUAUAUUUUUUUUCACCUAAAUUAUAUUCAUAAAUUUAAAAUUAAAAAAUUAGGAAGUUGAAUUUUAUUUUGGAUAAUUGGAAACUACAAGAAAUCAAUAAAAAUAUUUGGAAAAAAAAGAAAAAGAAAAACUAUCUAUAUAUUCACCCCCUUCUAAGAAACAUAACUUUAGUUUUUAACUAUUUUUUAAAAUAAUUUUUGAAAAAUGUUAUAUAAUAUUUUAUAAAACAAAAAAUCUGUUUGACAAUUUGAUAUGUCUUUAACUUAUUUUUAAUAUUUAUAUAUAUAUAUUUUAAAAAUAAUUUUAUAUUUAGAACUUUAUCUUUAAUUAUUAUAUAUAUUUAUAUAAUUAUUUUUUUUAAAACAACUCUUAAAAAAUAAGUGAAAGUAAUUGAAAACAACUCAAAGAUAUUUGAUGAAAACACUCUAAUUUGUAUUUUUGAGAAUAAAAAAAUAAAUAAAUAAAUUUCUAGUUAUCAAAUGUAUUUUUUAAUUCUUUUAUUCUAAAAAAUAGAAAAUCGUUUUUGAAAAUAAUUAUUAAACAACAUUCUUAAAAAUUCACUCGUUACAAUCUAGAUUUAAUGCAAGAAUGAUUGAAGGAGUCCUCCAAUAGAACCCAAAGUUAUAAACAUGAACAAGAAGCCCUAGAAACACCAAAGAUCUCAUAUGGUAUAUAUAUGAGCUUGAUUGAGAACUGUUUUAAAUUCAGUUUUUUUUUUUUUUUUUUUUUUUUGUUUUCAAAGUCAAAACAAGUUUACUUUUAAUUUUUACUUCUUUUUUUUAAUUUUAUAAAUAACAGUUUUUUAAUAAUUUAUUUUGAAAACAUGAUUAUUUUUAAAACUUAUAAUGAAAAUAGGAAUUUUUUUUUUAAUAUCAUGGUUAUUUUCCCUUCUUUUAAGGAGGGCUAUUUUAAAAAUAAAUUUACAAAUAUGAAAAAUGAUUCAAACUAAAGCAGUACAAAUAAAAAACAUUUUUAAGAAAUAUUUAAAAAUAGAGAAAAUUAUUUGAGAACAUUUGAAGUCCUUAAAUAGACUUUUGUUUUAGAAAAGGCAAGAUAAUUAUUUUUGAAAAUUGUUUUCAUAAUGAUAUGCAAAAACCUACGUAAAAACCAUAAUUAUAAUCGGCCACAUAUCAAAUCUACUAAAUAUGAAAAGUAAGUACAUAAUUAUAUUUGACUUAGAUGCAAGGAGGAAAAUGUCGCGAUAUUAUCGCCGAAAUAUCGUGUGUCGAAGGGUAUCGACACGAUUUUUCUUGCAGAAAUAUCGGCCAGUCGAUUUUUCGGGAUAAAUCUCGAGAAAUCGGCAAUUUAUCGCGAUAUAUCGGCGAUUUUUCCUCGAUAUAUCUUCUGGUCAACGCGGGUCAACGGAGUCAACACGCUACAGUGAAAGUCAAAUGUGCUACAAUGUCCCCGCUACAAUCACCUCCCCAAACAAAUUGCCAAAUUGCUUCCGAGGGGAUUUGAACCAGCCUUCUUGCCAUUUGGGCUAACUCGCCCUUAUGAUAUAUAUUGCAUUAAACAUAUAUAUACUUAAAGUCCUUAUAUAAAGAAAAUGUUAAAAAAAUAUUUUAAAGAGCAAAUUAAUUAUAAUUAUUUUAUAAUUAAAAGCAAAAUUUUCUUUUAAUUAAUUACCAAAAAUAUAAAAAUUAUAUAAUUUUCUUCAUAAUGUUUUUAAUAUCAUUAAUAAUUAAUUAAAUAUUAAAAAAUUAUAUAUAUAUAUAUAUAUAUAUAUAUAUAUAUUAUAAUUUAUUUUAUAUUGUUUAAUACAAUUGAAUUAAAUGGAUCAUAUUUUAAUAUUAAUAUAUAUUUUAAAAUUAGACAUAUUGUAAUCAAAUAUCAUAAUAUUAUAUGUAAUUUAAUAAUAAAUGUACACUUAUAAAAUUCAUAUUUUUAUCGAUGCAUACAAUAUUAUUAUCAAAUAUGAUAAAUCAUGUUAUACAUAUAUCAAAAUUUUCAAUAAAAUAACUUUAAAAUGUCUAUUAUACUUCUAAUUAUAUUAUUAUGAGGUUUUCUUUACAUUUUCAUGAGUUUUAAACAAUUUUAAGCACCAAUAUUUUUUUCCAAAAUAUCCACCGAUAUAUCUCCGAUAUAUCCAAUAUAUCUCCGAUAUCUCCGAUAUAUCCGUAAAAUCGAAGUACCGAUAUAUCCGUGAUUACCGAUAUUUUCAUCAUUGCUUAGAUGCAACCUUCUUCCAAAUGACAUACUUUAGUCAAUACUUAUAUUUUUUCGUUUCACUUCUUUGAUACAACACCUCAUGGAUUUAUUGUUUAAUUUAUUUGUAAUUAUAAAACUAUUUUUCAUUUUUAAUAAGACUUGAAUUAAUUUAAUAAAUAUUAUAUAAUUUGAAUUUAUAAUUCUUUUUAUAAAAUCAAAGUAUAUUAAAAAAAAAACAAUUUAUCCGAAGAAAGUUUUUUAUUUUUUAUUUUUUAAAACCGAUUUUAAAAAUAACUAGCUAGACACCCUUAUUUUGAUAAAAUACGAAAUAAAAGUGUAAAAACAACAUGGCCAAAUAGGGGCUUAAAUUUUAUUUUUAAAACAUUUUUUUACACUAAAGUGCAUUUUAAAAACACCAUCAAAACCAACUACAAGUUAUGCUUCUUCCCGUAAUAGAAAUAUUUUAGGCCAAAAUAGAACCUCCCCAAAUAAAGACCCUAUACUAAACUCCUUUUCAUUUUAUUAAUACAAAAGUGGGGAAAAAAGGUCUAUGCUCACCUAAAAAACAUGAAUAUUGUGAAUUCACCAUUUCUAUAAGGAAGUUGAAAACUUCAAAAUUUUAUCAACAAAUUCUCUAAAAUCCUCAAAAUAUAUAGGGCCUGUUUCACAAAGUUUUUUAAAAUUUGUUUUUAUAAAUUGCUUUUAAAAUAUAGAAUAAAUAACAGUUUUUUAGAUUUUUUGAAAAAUAAGAGUGUUUGGUAAGAUGUUUUUUUUUUUUUUUUUUUUUUUAAGAAUUAAAUAAAAAAUAAAAAAAUUGUUUAGAUAAAAGAAUUUGUAUUGUUUUUAAAAACAAUGUCUUACUUUUAUGUUAUAAAAAUUUUAUUAAUUUAAUUUAUAAUAAUAUGAAAUGAAAUUCAAGUUAAGUCUUAUUAAAAAAUACAAAUUAAAUCUAUAAUUAUGCAUGAGUUAAAGAUAAAUAUAUAUUUUUUAAAACUAUAAAAUAAAUUUUCUAUUAUAGUGAAACAAAAAUUACUAUAAAAUAAAAAUAAUUUUAAUAUUCAUUUUUAAUACAAGUCAAAUAAGUACUUUAAUUAAUUUUUUUUAUCAUGAUUUCUUAUGUUUUUUUUUUUUUCUAGAAAUUAUUUUAAGUAAUAUAACUAAUUUUUUUUUUAAUGUUUUAUAAAAAUAAGGAUAUUUGGCAAGUUGUUUUUAUAAAAGGAUUUUAAAAAUAAAUGGAUUUUUUUUUUUUUUAAAAAAAGAACAAAAUGAUUUGUUUGAAUAAAUUGUUUUGAUUUUGUAAAAACAUUUUAAAUUCAAUUUAUAUAAUAUUAAUUAAUUAAAUUAAAUUGAAGUUUUAUUGAAAAUAAAAAUAAUUUUGUAAUUAAAAUUAGAUUAAAAAAUAUAUAGGUUUUAAUAAAUCGUAAAUAGUAAUAUUAUAAUAAAAUUAUAAAUUAUAUUUUUAACAUAAAAUAUACUAUUUAUUACAUAUUAAAAAAAAUAUUUUAUUAUAUUAAUAAUUUUAUGGUAUUAAUGAGUUUAUUAUUUAAGUUUUAAAUUAUUUUUAAAAAUUAAUAAAUUUGUUAACAAAUGCAAUGUACUAAAUGUGGUUUAAUUUGGAGUUAAUUUGUUUAGGGAAAAAAAUAAAAAAUAAAAAUCUUAUGUAAAAGAGAAAUAAUAGAGUGUGUGUGUUUUUUUUUAUUAUUUUUAAAAAUCAGUAAAAAGAACUUUUACUUAUUGCCUAAAAAUUAUUCUCUAUUUUAUUUUAUUUUUUAAAUCUAGAAAUAGAUAACAAUAAUAAAAAAAAUUAAAAAAGAAAAAUGUUUUUUAAAACUCAGACUUAUAAUUGCUUUUGUUUCUCAUUCGCACCCCUGGAUUCCUGGAUUCUAAACACAAAAUUAAGUUGAAUCGUCCAUCUAUCUUGUAAGCCAAGAAUUCACAUAGAAGAAAUAAUCGGAAUUUGAUUUGAUAUCAGAUUUAGAGUGGCUCACUACUCAUGCAUUGUCCCACAAUAGUAAUGCUUUGGGCCGAGAUAAACCCAUUUGUGGGCCCAAAUAAAACCCCUGGUUUGAAAACAUCGAUUUUACAGUGGCCCAAAAGAUUAUCUAUGAGGGGAAGAUAACUUGGAAGUCAAGCAAACACAUUUAUCGCUAACUUUUCUCUAAUUAUAAAAUUAUAACUUGGUCUUCUACACGUCUCACUUAAGAGGCGGAGCCACUUGGCACUACCUUUCCAUAUUGUAAAAGGAGAAGAAGCAGAAGGAGAAGAUUCUUAUGCCAUUCCACACACCAUGGCUAGUACUGCUAUGCUGCUUGGCCCGCCGGCUCUCCGCCAUCCUAAUUCUCCCGCCGGCACUGUCUUUGAAGAUGGGGUCAUUCUAACGGAUUCCCUGAUCGUCCGCACCAGUAAUCUGGAGCUUUCUGAAAAACCGCCACUGGAAUCCCUGGCGUAGUGCUCUGUCAGUGGGGAUAUUGCUAUGGAUUGUUUGGAUUCCCAAGCCCACAAUCUUCAUCUUCCCGGGAAACCGCCGAUGGGCUUAACGGAAAACAAGUCUCCGACCUUUUUGUCUUCCGGGAACCCGUGCUUGGACUUCUUCUUCCAUGUGGUUCCCGAUACGUCGUCUGAUGAUCUGAUCCGACGGUUUGAGUUGGCUUGGGAAUUCAAUCCGCUGACGACGUUAAAACUGAUAUGCAACUUGAGAGAGGUGAGAGGCACCGGAAAAUCUGACAAAGAGGGUUUCUACACGGCGGUUCUCUGGCUCCACGACCACCAUCCCAAAACCCUAGCCUGCAAUGCUAGGGUGUUGGCCAGCUUCGGUUAUUUCAAGGAUUUUCUCGAGAUUCUCUACCGGCUUCUGGAGGGCCCUAAAAUUCGAAGAAUCGAAAAGAAAGACUGGCUGGAUCGAAAAGGAAGGAAGAAAAAUUCCCGGAAAAGGAACUCAAUAUUCAAGCGAGAAAAUAGGCCUGGAGUUGAAUUUCCUGUAGAAGAGAAGGAUGUGGAGUAUAUGGUGGAAGAAUUUGUGGAUAAAGAAAAGGCUAGGGUACUGAGAAAGGAGAGAGAACUUGCUCUUGCCAAAAGAGCCCUGCACAAGUAUUCUACUGAUUCUAAUUAUCAGUUCUUACAUGAUCAGAUUUCAGAUUUAUUUGCUGAACUUCUGAAAUCUGAUAUUCAGUAUUUAAACUCCGGUGAGCUUUACAAGAUUAGUCUCGCAUCCAAAUGGUGUCCCACAAUUGAUUCUUCUUAUGAUAAAUCCACCUUGAUAUGUGAAAAUAUUGCUCGAAAGGUUUAUUCUCGCGAGGAAUAUAUAUCCAGAAUACCAAGGAAUUGAGGAGGCUCACUAUGUUAAUAGAGUCAGGGAUAGGUUGAGAAAACAAGUACUUGUUCCAUUACGUAAGGCCCUGGAGUUGCCAGAGGUUUUCAUGUGUUCGAACCAGUGGGGAUCACUUCCCUACAACCGUGUGGCUUCAGUGGCCAUGAAAUCAUACAAGAGCCUCUUCUCAAAACAUGAUACAGAGCGGUUUGGUGUGUAUCUUGAGAAAGUGCAAACUGGGAAGGCUAAGAUUGCAGCUGGUGCAUUACUUCCCCAUGAGAUUAUAGCUUCAUUGAAUGAGGAGGAUGGCGAGAAAGUUGCAGAGCUUCAGUGGGCGAGAAUGGUGGAAGAUUUAUCAAAGAAUGGGAGGCUCACAAAUUGCAGUGCGGUAUGUGACGUAUCAGGAAGUAUGAGUGGAACUCCAAUGAAGGUGUGUGUGGCUCUGGGGCUGUUAGUUUCAGAGCUCAGUGAAGAUCCAUGGAAAGGUAAUGUAAUUACUUUCAGUGCAAGUCCUGAGCUUCACAAGAUCCAAGGAGACAGCCUUGUAUCCAAGACUGAAUUUGUGAGGAUGAUGGAAUGGGGUGCGAACACUGAUUUUCAGAAAGUUUUUGACAGAAUCUUACAAGUAGCAGUGGAGGGAAAUCUGAGUGAAGAUCAAAUGAUAAAGAGGGUUUUCGUUUUCACUGAUAUGGAGUUUGAUGAAGCUUGUGGGAGGUAUAACUAUUGUGAAUAUGACUAUGAUAUGGAGGAAAUUGAUGAGAGUCAGAAGGCAUCUCAGAAGUGGGAGACAGAUUAUGAAGUGAUACAGCGGAAAUUCCAGGACAAAGGAUAUGGAAAAGUUCCGGAGAUAGUGUUUUGGAACCUUAGAAACUCAUCAGAGACUCCAGUGAUGGCCACAGAGAACGGGGUGGCCUUAGUAAGCGGGUUUUCGAAGAAUCUGUUAGACCUUGUUUUUGGAAGGAGGUGGAAUUCUGACCCCUCAGGAUGUGAUGGAAUUAGCCAUCUCUGGUGAAGAUUACAAGAAACUUGUUCUAUUUGAUUAAGAUAUCAAGAGAUUUAUCAAUAAUAAUAUGUUUUUUUUUUUCUAUGUGAAAUACAUGUAAUAUUAACUAUGGAGUUAUCAAAGUUCUGGAAAUUUAAUUAUUUCUUCUUUUCAAGUUUUGUUUGUCUUUGUUAGGAAUUCCCCUUGGGCGGACCCAGCUGGGGACUUGGAUUGAGGAAGUAAGGAGGCGAAAUUGUGUUCUUCUAUGGACAGAGAAAAAAGAUAAAAAUAAAAAAUAAAAAAGGAGGUUAUUUGCAUUUGGAUGUCAUGUGGUUUCAGGGUACAACUACAAGUUCGAAAUUGUACAUAAUGUGAAAAUUCCUGUGUGGAGAACAGCAUAAAUAUGUAUCUCAGUGUGUUUUGUUUGAGCUAAUUGGCAAAUUCGCUUUAAACAUGGUCACAUGGAUGCAUAUUUAUUUGUGAAAUGAUAGUAGUCGAUUACUUGGUCAGUAAGGUUUGUAUCUCUAACUCCAACAUCUUAUUGUAGUCUUUUAAAAUGUCAAAAGUUUAAUGCUAGCUUGAGAAAUUUUGGAAUGGAGACAUUCUAAACAAAGUUAAUAAUCCAUGAGACUUGGUAAAACCGAUCAGAUGAUGCUUACGUACAUGAAUGCCUUCUUUAAGCCGUAUCCUAUUUUCAUUGAAUGAGACGUGCCAUCUAGUUUUGUUCUUGUCUUGAUUGGAUCAUGAUCCCGGGAAUUGAUUACUGUUCUGAAUUUGCGAAUGUUCAAGGUAUUAGAGAAAGUUAAUAUUAUCGUUAAUUUACAUAUUAGUAUUUAUCUAGUUAUUAUAUAUUAGUUUGAAUUAUAAUAUAAUAUAGAAUUUGAAUCAAGUUUACUAUUAGUUUGAAUUACAAUAGGAAAUAAAGUUUGAAUUAUAGUAUAACUCAAAUAUAUUUGUAUAUAAAUAUCCAUCUUUAUCAAUGAGAAUAGUAAACCAUAUUUUUCUCUAUCUUCUUCUUUCUCUAUAUAUAUGGUAUCAAAGCCUCCAAAUCCUAAACCUAGUCUCAACUUAGAGCAAAUUUAGGGUGCAGGGUUUAGGCCCCGCCUCCCCCAACCCUUACCACAAAUGGUAGUGACCUUGUUAUGCCUAUGUAUUGUCAAUGCCUCAUUUUCUAUGGUCUUCAAUACAAUAUCUAGUUUCAAUGUCUCUUUCCUUACUAUCUCCAAUGCAAUAUAUUGAUUUCAAUAUCUCUUUACAACCAAGAGCUCCAAAUUUUCCUGGUUCAAAUCUACCAUAAUUUUUAUUCUCCUUUGCUUUUUACCAAUAUUAGUUCCCCUAAUUUAAUAUAUAUCUCUUUAUUACCUUCAACUCUACCUCUCUCUUUCUUUAAAAGCUUCCUCAAAGAUUUGAUUGCUUUCUUGCAUGUUUUGGGAAAACAAACAUGCUCAUAUUCUAUUACCUCUACUUGAGAUCUGCCUUAUACUCUACCUUCUUCUUUACCUCCUAUAUCAUCUACUACAUUAGCUUCAAAAACAUUAUUUAGUUUGAUGCUAAAUAAGGCUCCUAAUCCUACCCUUCCUUCAACUAACUUUCUUUUACAAGUCCCUCAAAGUUUUUUUUUUUUUUUUUUUGGAAAUUUGGCUUAGAAAGAUUUCAUUACUCUUACCUAAUCUUUCAACCAUCAAGUCGAAUCCACUUAUCUCUUGAAUCCAAGGAGACUACCCUCCACAAAAACAAGGAGAUUGACCCCCACAAUAACAAAGAGAUUGUCCUCCAUAGAAACAAAGAGAGCUUCCUUCAUGGAAGCCGAAUACAUCGCAAUCUAUUUUCUUUCUCUCAAGAUCAAAUCUCCAAUCGGAGCUCCAUCUUGUGGGGAUAUAUUAGAAAAAGUUAAUAUUAUCCUUAAUUUACAUAUUAGUAUUUAUCUAUAUUAUAUAUUGAAUUAGAAUAGAAUAUAGAAUUUGAAUUAAGUUUACUAUUAGUUUAAAUUACAAUAGGAAAUAGAGUUUGAAUUAUAGUAGAACUCAAAUAUAUUUAUAUAUAAAUAUCCAUCAUUAUCAAUGAGAAUAGUAUUCCAUAUUUUUCUCUUUCCCUGAGGCUUCAGAAUGUGAUCUUGAACAUUUGAUCUUUUGGAUUCUUCUUGUUUCGGUGGUUUAAUAUAAUGGAAUGUUUAAUUAUAGCCUACUUUAUCACCAUGGAUGUGCUCCUGCAGAUUUCUUGAGGGUGAUGGUUAUUUUGUCAUGUUUCUUGAAUGGUUUGCAUCAGCUGCCUGAGCUGUUGUUGCUGGUCACUUUUGCAACCAGGGAAAGAAUCAUGGCUUUGGAGAAGCCAGCUUCUGUUUUUGUUGCCCAGCUGUUAGUUCACUAAGAUUGGGGGUCCUAACAUGUAUGUAUAAUCAUAAGCAAGGAAAUUUUAUGUCUUACGCUAGAUAGGUACCAUGAUAUGAUGUUUGAUUGAUUUAUUAACUCUACCUGUUUCAAAAGGCAUCAACAUUAAUUUUACCCUUUUAACACAUUGGAUUGUUUGACCUUACGAGAUUUUCUAUUUCUGUACUAUUUGAACUGCAAUCGUUAUGGUCCUUAGGUCUCUAAACCUUCGUUUAAAAUAAAAGUAAGGAGCACACAUAGUAAAAGUUAAUUUUGGGUAACUUUUAAAACAAAGAGAAAAGUAAAAGUUGUUUUUGAGAAAAACAUAUAGAAAUUGAAAGAUUUUUUAUUUUGAGAAAAAAAAGUCAUAGAAAAGAAAUAAUAUCCCCAUAUAAGUAGAUAUGAUCUAUCCGAAGUGUAGCUACUCUCCUGGAUUUAUUCUAACAUUUUAAAAUUUUUCUCAAUGGGCAAAGGAAUAUCAAAUCAAGCUUGAGUAGGAUUAAUUUCUUAAUUUUUAAAAUAACUUAUAAUUAAAAUUUUUUGGUGUUUUCUUUUUUGGACAAUUUUUUAUGAAGACUCUGAAUCAUGCAAGAGAUAUGGUUAUUUUAAAAAAAAAAAUAAUUUAAAACUCAAAUACAUAAUCAAUGUCACAAAUUUAUAAACAAAAGGUUUUUAAAAAAUACUAUUAUUUCCCCUCUACACAUAAUUUUACUUUUCCGAUUUAUUUAUUUUUGUUGGAAAACAGUCUUCAAAUCAAGUAAAAUUAAUAUGUUAAAUUUGUUAAACAAAUAAAUUUUAAAAUACAAUUUGGAACUCAAAAAUCAAUUCAAGUAAUGCUAAAAUUCAAAAAAUCAAAUUUGGAAUAAAAUGACUUUGUAAAUUUUUUUACUAAACAAAUGAAUUUUAAAUCAAGUGAGAUUUAAUACAUUGGAUUUUUAUGAGAAUAGUAAUUUUAAAAAUUAAUUUGGAACUCAAAAAUAGACACAAUAAAUACCAAAAAUCAAUGAACCAAAAUUGGUUUGGAAUAACUCCAUAAUUUUUUAUUUAUUUAUAUAUUUAUUUUUUUGUGCACACGAAUUUCUUACUAAGCAUAUUGCUUCCAAAUUGAGAAAAAUUUACUAUUUAGAUUUUUUUAAUGAGUUUAAUGGUAUUUAAAAAUAAUUCAAAAAUUCGAAAAUUGACUAAUUUAAUAUUAUAAAUUCAUAAACCAAGACUAAUUCAAAAUGCAUUGGGGGCUAAGGGGGUUGAAAUUAAUGCUCCAUUUGGUUGUGGCCACCAAUUGGCAAUGGCCACCAAUCAACCAAUCAAGGUGGCUAAGGGGGUUGAAAAUAGGGACAAUGGGGUGGGUUUGGGACAGGACACUCAUAUCCCAUUCCCAUCCCAAUUACACAGUUAUUUCCCAUCCUUAUUCCAAACUUGUGUUGGGGCAAGUUGAUUUGUUCCCAUCUUUGUUAACGAAAUGACUAAUAACCUCAUCCUCUCCUUGUCUUAGAUGUACAUUUUCUCAAAUUUGGUCAGGUAUGAUUGAUUCAAGCCCUAACCUUAAUUGGUAAUGAGUGGAUACCACACCUAAUUGCAUUCUUCUUUCGUUGCAAAAUAAUGAGAUUAUAAUAAUCUAGCAAAUAAGAAAAAAUAGUAUGGAAGUUCAAAUUAACACCAUAACUAUCAAUAAUUUUAAGCUUAUAGAUGACUUAAAUGAUUGAAAACUAAUGCAAAAUACUAAAAAAAAAAAAAAUCAUCUAAAGAAUUCACAAGAGAAUAGAACGAACAAAACCAAAUAGGAACAUGGGUCAACAUUAGUUACAGAUUUUGAUCCCUUUCAAGGCCAAUCUUUGAACCAAGACUUCAUCAAAUCUACUACUUCAAAGGCUUUUGUGUUCUUCUUGAGUUGUACUCUGGAACAAAGACUUCGAGGUGAUGCUUUAGAUGAUUGCAUUACACAUAUUUAGGGUAGGGAGAUUGGAGAAGCUUGAAGAUGCCAACGAUGGGUACAAUUGAGUGGUCAAUAAGAACAAUGUGGCCUAUGACUAGUUUGAUGUCAUGGUAUAGGAGUUUUGGGCAUUGAGGUGAAAGCAAGAGCAACAUGGAAUUGAUUUCAAAGUCUUUCAAUUAGUGUAAAGGAGGAAGAAGAAGUGGUAUUGAUCCUAGAAAUAGUGUUUUAGGUGUUGCAUUAGAGGAAAAGAAAAAGAAAAAGAAGGAACCAUUGGAAUUAGUACGAGUGUGAAGAGAGAAGUGUAUACAUAAGGGGAAGUAAAAGCAAAGUUCUAAAAAUUUAUUUUUUUAUUGGUGGUGUAUGGUUGCAUGAUUAUCCCUAUAAAUAAUAGGAGUUUUUUGGUGUUCUACUAGUAGUUGAAGGAUAAUUUCAUAAGAUAAUAUUUAGAGCGGGGUGGGGUGAGUUGUGACAAAAUCCAUACCCGUCCCAAACAUUGGUUCAGGUUUUUAAAAUAUUUUCAAACUUAUCAUAUACCCAAUUUUAUAUUUCAUACUUGUCCUAAUAGAGACAGGUUAGUCAGGGUUACUUGAGUAGCCUACAAAACUAUCAUCCCUAGUUGAAAUGCUCUUUUUGGCAGUGGCAGCUAGAAGCUCGAUCGAUUGACCUACAAGACUAGUUGUCAUCAUUUUAAAAAGAGUUUUGGCUUUGGUUGUGAGUGCAAUUGAAUCUAAACUAACAUUUCCUUAAUGCAUCUACUUCAAUCCUAAACUUCUUACUUAAGCCUCAAUUGUUGUUAAGAUUUUGGAAAACCCAUUUCCUUAAAUUGUAAAUUUAAGAAAAAAAAAAUUAAAAGUGAGACAUUUCUUGAUUGAAUGUUGUUAAAGGUCCCUUGGAAUUAAGACUUGGUUGAAGCCUUGGAAGAUUAGCAGAACUCUCAACUUAUGUUUGAACCUUGAGGAGAGUGGACGUAGGCCAAAAUUUUGUCAAACCAUUAUACAAAUUGAGUUUGAAUUCUCAUUUCUUGAUUUCUUAUUUAUUUGCUUUUUCUUAUUAUUACUUGAAUUGUCAUUUGCAUUCAUUAAUGUUAAAAUUGGUUAUAAUUAGCCAACACUAAUUCUCUUUCCCCUUCCCUUAAUUUCUUGGGUGUAAACCUAGGUUGGAUUAACUAGAUUUUAUCAAAUCUAUUAAGAUGGUAAAAGAAUAAUUAUUCUUAACAUACAUAAGAUCAUCUUCAAUCAAAUGACUCAUUGGCUGAUAUGUUGAAUUUGCUUAUUACUUGCAACUCAAAAUUGUGUUCUAGUUGAUAUGUCAAGUCCUGAGUGUAUGGACAUUAAAUUUGUAGUACGUGAUGAGUAUUUAGAUGGUCCAAUUCCAAGAAAGUGAUUGAAAACUAGUUCAAGAAAGGUGCAAAAGGGAAUUGUUUUGGUAUUUUCGUUUUUAUUCUUGAAGGUGGCAGAGCUAAAAUUUGAGAAAUCAAGCAAAACAUACUGAAAUUACAUUGAAAGAAAGAAAAUGGGAGUUAAUGUCUUGCAGUACAUGAUAAGGACUUCAUGCAUGUAGUGUGACCCAUGUCUUGGACUGAUGCCACACUCACGGUUACACUUAUACCCUUAGUUCUCUCUUUACUACCUUAGCUAACCUAGAUCAGGUUAUGAGAUAGGCACCUCACCACACCAUUACUUGCCCAUUAAUUAGUGACAUUUUCAAGCAAUGAGGUAACAUGGUGACACCAAGAGGGUAUAUUCCUCACCCCCAACAAGCCUAGACCUGGUCUAAAAAAAAUGGAGAAAAAUGACGUGUUGUUAUGCAGAAAUAUAGCAACCAUGCCUUCCUCAUUACUUAGAUUCAGAAUGUGAAGGUGAAAUUGAGAAACAGAAACUCUUGAAACCAAAAUGAAAAUUGAUACUUUUACGAAGAAUUACAACAACAUUAGAGGAAGACUACAUUCUUCCUCUUUAUUCCUACAUUUCUACACUACUUCUACUCCACUCCAUAUUUCUACAUACAUCUUUAAUCAGUCUUCCCUCCUUUAUAUAGAGCCAUCUUCACACAAAUUCCGCAAGGUAGAAAAGAGGAAUGAAACUUGGAGCAAGGUUCGACUACUGGCUGUAGCUUGUCAAGGCUGAAAGUGAACUUUUUUUCUUGGCUUUUCUGGGCAUAGGUAGUAACUUGUAGGUUCCUUUUUGGAAUGAAAAUGGUACGGCUAGAACAUGUGGCACUCUCUUGUUGGAUGAUGUGUCAAGCAUGUGGCAGCCAUCUAGUGGAGAUUAUGUCAAUUUUGGGAUGGAGAGUUGGCAUCCAAUUGCAAAGAAAUAUGACAUCUACCAACAUGCAAUGUCAACCUAUGUAGAUCAUAUGAAGAUAGAGAGGAAAAAUAUAGAAAUGGAUAUAUAACUAGAACUAGCUUUUUAUUAAAUGAGACGGAGAGCCAACAAUGAAGGAAAAUCAAAAUUUUUGGCUCAUAUCAAAGAAUUCACAUUGUGUUACCCUAGGUUUUCUUAAAACUUACUUUUAUGAUAAUAAAAAAUCAUUAUUGUUUAAUCCUUUGUUUUAAACGCAUGUUUAGCAGGUUGUAAAAUGUAAAUAUCUUUCGAAAUUCAAAUAUGAAGAUAUGACAUCAUUUCAAGCAAUAUAGUCUCUAGGAAUUAAUGUAAAGCUAAAUUAAGGUGCAAUUAAGUUAGUUCAAUGCAUUAUUUUAAGAAACUUGACCUAUCAAAACCUUGUCUUACUUCAAAGCCUCUUUUUCUUUUCUUCCAACUAACAUUUUAAUAAGUGAUCGCAAAAGUACAAAAUUAGAUGAAAUCCAUUUCAAUGGUUAAAAUGAUCAAAUUCAAACUUUUUCUAAGUAUCUUUUAAAAGCAUCAAUAUUGAAAGACAAUUUUAUAUUUAGUCAAAGCUUGGACAGAGCCAAAAAGCACACAAAAAUUUAUAUUUUCUAGCUCUCUACCUUGGAUGGUCUCUUGAUCCUACUUGGAGAUGUGCAUAAAUAAAAGGAUUUGAAAAUGACAAUUGACUAAGUAUGUAGUCAAUCAAUUACUCAUUGAUUGACUAGUUGAUCAAUUAACUUUGCAACAUCAUAUGCAAUCCUAAUAGCUAGUCAUCUAAUCAACUAGGUAGUAAAUCAAUAGGCCAAAAAUAUGUUUAUAAUGACUAUUUUGUACAAAAACCACUUAUAUAGUUAAAUAUAAUGCAUUUCAUUUAUAAAUCUUCUAAUUCUUGAAUAACAAUCCUAUCAUCCUUUGAAAGUUUUUAUUACACCUUUUCUACAUUUGUUCUAAAACUUAUACAUCACCCUUAAUUGUACCAUGAGAACCUAGCAUUUUUUUUUUUUUUUUUGUAUUUCAUCAAAGUUAGCUCUUGUACUCAUUGUUGUAUUAUUUUUAUUGUAACUUAGAGAGCGAGUGUUUUCAAGUGAGUGAAAUUGACUUGUAAAUAUUGUAAAGAUUCAUUGAUAUGUAUCUCAAACUAGGUGUACAAGUUGAAACAUUUGCUAGUAGAUUUUCUCAAGAUUUAGAAUGAGCUUAAGGCUAUCGAAUUAGGUGGGGUUGCGCCAAACCAUAUCACAUCGUUGUUUGCACCUUUUUUUUCACUCUCUUUUACUUAGUUGCUCUAUAUAUAUUGUCUAGCAAUAUCCUAAAGGCUUGAUGGGCUAGGGAGCAUCCCUCUGAAUGAAAAAUUUUCAUUCAAUUCUUAGUUGUAUUACGCAUAUAUAAAAUGCCUCAUUGUUUUAAUGGUAUUCAGUCGUGGCACCACAGAUAUGGACAUCUAAAUUUUAAAAGUUUGAAACUUUUAGCUAAAGAAAAUAUGGUGCUUUGCCUUUUUGGAAAGCAUGUUGAUGAAAUCCAUGAGAAUUGUAUACUUGGAGAGCAACAUCGAGAUAACUUUUUUUUUUUCUUUUUUUAUAAUGCAUUGUUUGUCCAAAUUCCGUACAAAUUAGGCCACCACAUGUUCAUAAUUCUCCCUUCUUGAAUUUGAAAACUCGGACAAUUUGACAAUGCGACACCUAAGUCCGGUUUUUAAAUGCUAAAGUGAAAGGGCAGGUAUGGACCAUUGAAAUGUGAUAACAACUUUUGGCCUUUUCCUUUUCUCUGUAGCCAUGUUGUCUCUUUUUAAUUUCUUUUGCAUGAUUUUCUUACCUAAACAGAAUCAUAGACUUGUUUAAUCUCUAAGUGGGAUUUCAUCCACCUUAAGCUACUGUAUUAUAUCUCGGUGGAGGACAACCGACAUAGAGCACAUGCAAGUGGGUAUAUGGGACAUGAAAUAUCUUCUUAUAAAGCUUGUUUUGCAGUUAAAUUAAUUGGAUAAGUAGACACUGGCGUUUCUAAAUUUCCCACCUAAGAUAAUGACCUUAUCCUUGACUGCUAGAUACACAAACAAUUAUACCUUCAAAAUCUACUGUGAAGUGCUUCAUGUAUGUGUGAAGUAUUAGAAAUUUCUUUCUUGGCAACUUGUUUUUUUCUUUGCGGUCUACUGAUAGGUUUGACUAAAAUUAUAUUCCCUGUCCUGCUAAUUAAUUUUCACGUGCAUGCUCAAAAGAAGAGUAUGACCUUAGUGCACCAAAAUCACUUUCAAUAAUUUGUGAUAAGUUUUUUUGCAUGACAUUAACCUUAUUCAUUUAGAUAAUGUUUAGUUCUCAUAAAUAUUAAGAAAAUGAAAAUAAAUAUUAAGAAAAAUAUUCUUAUAUUUGAUUGUAUUAUGAAAAAUAUCAUAAAAAAUCAAAUAUAAUUAAAAUUAAUUAAUAAUUUAUAUAUUUUAAAAUUAUUUAAUUUUUAUAUUAAAGAUAUAAUAUAAAUGAAAUGAGUUUUAAGUAUUAUAUAAAAAUGAUUUAUUUAUUUAUUUAUAUAUAUAUAUAUAUAUAUAUUUAGUUUUUCUCUUUAUUUUAUUUUCCUUAUGUUUUCCUCACAUUUUCCGGAAUCAAAGAUAGGGAAAUCCACAAUUACCUUCAACUGAGUAGAUUCUAUUGUUUUAGCAAUGUUAGGCUGCUAACUUGUGGUGGUACGAACCAAAUGAUCCAUGUUAAUCUUGGCUUGAUUUAAUUUGGCUCUAUCUCAGAGAACUCAAGGAUCACGUCAACUCUGGUUUCUACUAUUCAGGUCCAUUCCCAGAUGAACUGGUUCAAAUUUGAGAAAAUGGUAACAGACCUUUAGUGAUAUUGGUUUGGAGCCAGUUGCCAAACCUGCCCUGAGCUUUACCACUAAUGUCAAGGGACAAAGCCAUUUGAACAAAAACAAUAGCUUCAAGAGACUGAAUCGUGGAUGAAAUCUGAUCCACAUUUCUUCUCAUUUUGGGAAAAAAUGAGGACUUAACCACAAAGAUUCUACUGCCUCAUAGUGCUUUUCCUGAUCUAAGGUUGGCUCGUUUCCCAAAUUGUGAGGUGCACGUGCCACUCUCACGCUCAGGAGUGUAUCCACGUGGUGGACAUAAGAUGGUGGCUUAAUAUCUGGUGUCGGUGGCUUUACUUUACUAGGAGAGUAGUGUGUCUUCAUCUCAUUCACUGCCAGAGGGUGGCGUAAGCAGUGACGCUAAGGUGGGGCACAGUCAAUAUCAUUUGCAUUUGACCAUUAUAAUUUUCUCCCGGCUUUAAAGUAACCUUAUCGUGAUAAUGGAUUACUAGCACUAGUUCAGAUGACAGUCAUGUUAAAUUCGGACCAUGUUUGUGUCACAUUAUCAGCAACCAUGUGCUUGUGGUUCAUGCUAUCUGCAACUAAACUUGAUAUAUAACCAGGUGAACUUCAAUCUAAAUUCUGGAAGUACUCAUGUGAUAGAUGGUGCCUGUCUGCAGUGAGUGUAUCUAUAAGAGGGAAGGCUUGGCAAAUGUUCAGUUUUCUGGGAAUUCAACAGGGAUCUAAAAUAGAUUGUUUUCUUUGCUGAUUUCAAUGGUUGAAAUUUGAGAAGAUUGUGUCCACAUAACACAACUAUUACUGGUCCUUCUGUUGCAAUUUAUCCUCUAAGGCUCUAACAUGUCUUCCAAUUCCCACUUCCCACUUCCCUGUUACUCCAGGAAAGCUGUUUCUGUCAUUGUGAAGAAGAAAAGAGACUGUACAUAUCGAUGCUUUUAAGUGGACUGGAGAAUUCAUAUCAGGUGGUCUGCAGCCAUACAUGCCACUUUGUGAAGGUUGGAACAGUCAAUCACUAGGCUAUAUUAGUGGGGCCCAGCCACUUCAAUCAAGGACAAGUCUUCAUACUUAAAGUCAAAUUCUGCCUUUAGUCUCAUUAUAAAUUGCUGUUUAAAUAUCAAGCAAACAUUUGUUUAAUGCGAUUAAGACAGCACUAACUCAAUACUUGUUCUAUUUUUGGAUGCAAAUGCUUGAUAGUUUCAUCAUUGGAGGGGAUAAAGGUGCAUUCAUGAUUAUGAAUACUUGUAGUUAUAUUUUCAUUCUCUUUUUUCUCAAUGGGACUUGUUGGCACAAUUUUGCUGUUCAGAAACCUACCUCUCCAUGGAAAAUCAGUUGUGAUUGAUAUUACUGGAUAUAUUCAAGAAAGCUAAAUGUAGAUAGCACAAAAUAUUAUCGACAUAAAUAGCAUUAACAGCGUACGUAUGUCUCAAUGCUCAUCAGCUAUAAGCAAGGGGCAAACACUUACUAUGAGCAACUUACGUCAAAAUUCCGGAAUAGGACAUAGAAGUGACAGGUCAGUAAAUAUAGAACACUGCAUAUGAGUCACAAGAAAGGAAAUUACGGGUACAUAGCAGCUCUUAUUUUACAUCCUACUCAUACUGAUCAAAGUCACUCAGUUGGGAUGGGUGGGAGUGGGAGGUUUGUGGGGUGGCUUGUGCGGAGGAGUUGGCAGCUUCUUUCCAGGACCUGGUUGCUUCUCUGCUGGAGUUGAAGGAGGCUUAAUCUUCCGAGGUGGCUUGUAUGAGUCUUCAGCAUUCUCAGCAGGAGGGUGACCAGGGUUGUGACCACAAUGUGGUGGCUUCUCUCCCUUAGGUGGUUUGCCAACUGGGGUUGGUGGCUUGUGUUCCGGAAGUGGCUUCUCUUUGUGUUCAGGAGGUGGCUUCUCCACUGGAGGCUUGUGUUCAGGAGGUGGCUUCUCCACCGGAGGCUUGUGUUCAGGAGGUGGCUUCUCCACCGGAGGCUUGUGUUCAGGAGGUGGCUUCUCCACCGGAGGCUUAUGCUCUGGUGGUGGCUUCUCCACCGGAGGCUUAUGCUCUGGUGGUGGCUUCUCCACCGGAGGCUUAUGCAAUGGUGGUGGCUUCUCCACCGGAGGCUUGUGUUCAGGAGGUGGCUUCUCUACCGGAGGCUUAUGCUCUGGUGGUGGCUUCUCCACCGGAGGCUUAUGCUCUGGUGGUGGCUUCUCCACCGGAGGCUUGUGUUCAGGAGGUGGCUUCUCCACCGGAGGCUUGUGUUCAGGAGGUGGCUUCUCCACCGGAGGCUUGUGCUCUGGUGGUGGCUUCUCCACCGGAGGCUUAUGCUCUGGUGGUGGCUUCUCCACCGGAGGCUUGUGUUCAGGAGGUGGCUUCUCCACCGGAGGCUUAUGCUCUGGUGGUGGCUUCUCCACCGGAGGCUUGUGUUCAGGAGGUGGCUUCUCCACCGGAGGCUUAUGCUCUGGUGGUGGCUUCUCCACAGGAGGCUUGUGUUCAGGAGGUGGCUUCUCCACCGGAGGCUUAUGCUCUGGUGGUGGCUUCUCGAAUGGGGGAUGCGUAGGGUAAUCAGCUAGUGAGGGGGCGGUGAGAACCACCAGGCCAAGCAACACUACUAGCAAGUAUGUAGGAGACAUCUUUGGGUUUGGGCUCAGAUGGUGCAAAACUAGGAGAAUUGGCUAGCCUUUUAUAGCGGAUCGUACCCAAUAAUGAAAUGACACGUGUCAUUAUGACCCAUGUGUCAUGUGGUCGAUUUGGGUCCUACAGUGUUGAAAACUUCGACAUCCACUUUUUUGGCCUUUUGCUUUCUCUACAGUCGCCUUGCUUUUUCCCUCUUUUCUUUUGUUUUCCUCCUGCCCCAUUCUAUCAACUAAUCACAAUUAUGUAGUUGUUUAAUUCUUAAAUGAGAUAUUAUCCGUCAAUCAUAUUAUCUUUUAUCAAGAGAGAACGGAGUGAAAAGUGGCAAUCCAAAGAAAGAAGAUCCAUAAUGCAGCUGUAAUUUUAUCGUUUACUUUUAUCUCUAGGACCACUGCAUUUUUGUUGAGAGGUGCAAUAAUACACGUCUUUAUCUGCCAUUCAAUGUUUACAGUAAAGAGAGGGCACAAAACUCUUCACUGCUCUGCAUGUGCCCCAAAAAUGCAAUUGGACAAAUUAUGAUUUGCAUGCUAAAAAGAGGCAAAUGAGGUUAAUUAGCACCAAAAUUAUUUUGUUUUCUGGACACCCCGGGGCCCUUUGGUUGGUUUGGGGGUCAGAAAAUGAACAUCAUAGGGGGUUUUUCCCUAAUGUGCAUUUGCAUUUGUAUCUGAUGGCUUUAACUCGCCUUGUUACUACAAAGAAAUUGUCACAGAUAGGAACUUAUUCCAGGCUGAGUAUCUCCGCAUGGACCCUAUAAAAGAAGACAAGUCAUAAUGAACAUCUAACCUUUGUUCAAUUUGAUUCAAUGCCCCUAUUGUGUCCAUCUCACAAAUCUGAAUUAUUAUAUCCAUUGAAUACAUAAAUUAAUGAAGAAAAUAUGAAACCCAAGAUACAUCUCUGCACAACCUCAACCCUGGUUGCUAUGUUUCACUUCUAUUCACAUGAGGAUAUUGAUUACGGAAUAAGGAAACCUAGCAAGGGUUUACUCGGCUCUGGUUUGAUGCUAAUUGCCAAACUUGCAACAAGCCCUGAGUUUGACACCUAAUCGAUGGGCGAAUUAAAAGUCUCCUCCAAACAUAUAUUCCACAGCUUGAAGCUCACAGAAGAUGCUAUACAGGCAGGGAAAAACCUUCAGAGUUAGCUACCAAAGAUAAUUAUCAAGGAGAUAUCACCAAGAGAAUUCCAUGGAGUCUGAAUCAAAGACAAAUUGCUCGCUCGUGGGGGUUCUUACUUAAUUUCUUUUGGGUAUAACUCACUGAGGGCACUGGCUUUGUUAUUUGCAUUUCGCAUUUAGAGUUCUGUUCUGGAAGGUUUGUUCUGGAAACAUAUAAAAGGAGCAUCAUUUUGUUCUAGGGUAACCCAUAGUUGUGAGUGGGUCCAUUUGCAUGCUACUUAGUUGAAAAGUUGGACAAUUUGCUCCGACGCCUACCUCCUGGAUUCCAUGCUCGGAUAAAGCAAGAAUAAUAAAAUAUUUAUAAUUUACAAAUGGGGGAAAGAAAAAAAUGUCAACAACAAACUAGGAAAAAAGAGUAGUAAAAUUUAUGCCACAUGCUAUUGAUAGAAGGGGCAUGUAUUAGAUCCAUCACCAUUUGGUAAGAUUUUAGUAUUAUAUUUUUCAAGGUUCAUUAUUUGAGGGUGUGUUCUUCAUCUCUGUUGCAUUGCUUCUUACUAGGCCCACUGAGGUGGGUUCUUCACCUUUUGUAUAUUCUCUGCACUAGAUCAAUGAGAAAGGGGGAAUUUUGGUGAAUUUGCAGCCGUUGGAUGAUUGAUUCUAGGCUCAGUCCACCAAUGAUGCUCUCUUCACUCUUUCUCAUCUAGUGUCAUUCACAACUAUGUUUUGAUUCAUAUUUGUACUAUCAAAGAUAUCUCAUUAUUCUAGCUCAUUAGGUAGAGUUCCUAAUCUUCCUCCUUUUUGGUCUAUGGACAGUAUUGGCUUCAUAUUAAGAUCAUGUUUCAAUAAUUGCACAUUAAUGAAUGGAUCAUGACCCACAUAAACAGAGUCAGGGUUGAGUCAGUGAACCCUAAAAUUUCACAAUUCUAAAUUUGGGUUCUUUAACAAUGCAGGGUCAAGGACGCGUGGUGAUGAAGGAAAGCUGGUAAGCUCAGUGUUACUUCAAUUCCUGCCAUGUAGGAUGGUGAGGAGAUAUUCACUAUGCAAUUAAUAAUAGACAAUAUUCACUAUGCAAUAAUAAAGCAUAAAUUAAGUUGAAUGAAAAGCAUUUUCUUUGCAAGGAGUUGAUUUUGGUUUCAUAGUUUGUUCAACUGCUAUUUUGGAUAGGAAAGUGUGAGGAGAAGAAAAUAAAAAAUAAAAAUAAAACAAAAAAUAAAAAAUAGAUUUUAUAAAUUCAUUUAAUUUAUUUUUUUUUUAUAAAAAUUAACUAAUUUAAAAUAUAUGUAAAUUUCUAAUUAAUUUAAUUACAUUUUUUUUUUCAGUUUUUCAUAAUAAACCAAAUAUUAGAAAAUUAUUUUUAUUAAGACACCCAAGAUGAGGUAAUAUGCAAUGAAAACAUGAAUUAUAUUAAAAUUCAAAACAAAUUAAGAGAAAUCGGAAAAUAUACAUAGAUAUCUAAACAAAGAAAUUUAAAGAGAAGGAACCACAAACUUUAUUUACAUAAUUUGAAAAUAAAAAACAUAAAACAUACUUAUAGUAAGGAGAAAUUGAAUAUCUUACAAUGGAAGAAGGGAGAAAAGCUUUGAAGAAAGCUUUUGCUUGGAAGCUUACAUGGUGAGAGGUAGAGAAAGGAGAGAGAGAGAAGAAAAUGAAAAAUGAGAAGUGGAGAAAAUUGGAAGUUUUGUGUGCUUACAACUGAGGAUAGAGCCUCCUUAAAUAGCAAAAAAUGGAAUAUUAAAUAGUACCAAUCAGGAGACAAAAUAUUGUUUGCUUUUGAAACCCGUGCAUGAAUAGUAAUCCCGUGAGUGAAUAGUGAAUAAUAAAAGUGAAUAGUAAAAGUCACUUUCUACUAUAGCACUUUAGACUUUUUCAUCGAGAAUCUUACUUUCGGCUGAGUGAUGAUAGCUGAUAGGUUGCUUUGGAUUGUGGAGUCAUAUGUUUGAUGUUUUCGGUGCUGAAACCGCUUAGUUGGAGAAUAAUCUCGUCAGUAGAGCAUCAUGAGAAGCUUGAAUGGAGAGAGCUUAAUGAUGCCAUAUGAUUGGAAGGAAUCCUAUUUUAAUUUCCUUAUUGGAGGGAGAAUACCCUCACAAUCAUCUUCAUUAUCUUGAAGGUAGUUUGAUAUAGAGUCAUCUGACUCAGCAUAAGAGUCCUCUUGGGAGAAGCUUGAACUGCUUUUGUCAAGGAUUUUCUGAAAUUCUUGAGGGGUUUUUGCUAUUGCUAACAUGGUUUGGAGUUGCUGUUUCUUAAGAAGAAACUGUGCAAUAUCAUAAGAUGAUGAAGCUUGUGUAGGAUGCUUUAGGAAAUAUUGCUUUAUUGCUUGUAGUGAGGUAUCAUUUUUCAAGGCAUCCCACCACUUAGACUUGAAAGUCCUUCCAAGGGUUGGAAAGGCUGCUGAUUCAUCUGCUAUAAUGAUAUAAUCCCACUGGACUAUCCAGGCAAGGCCAAAUUCACUAAAAAAGAAUAAUAAUUGGGGAAAACUGAAAGUUCUCUAGGGAUAACAAAAGAACUUUGGAAUAGCUCAAAGCCAUCCAAAAUGGGUUUUGGGAGAAUUUUAAUAGUUGGACCAAAAUAUGUCCACCAAUUGUGGAACCAAAAUGGAAAAGAGGGGAGUUGAUGCUUAGAUGGGAAAUAGAACAUCCCUGAAUGAUGGAAGUCCUUGUUCUGGAUCAGAAAAGCAUUGAACCAUACUCUUUGGUAGUCUCAAUAAUUGAAAAUUUUAGGUUUUGAAGGCUUAGAAAAUUCUCUUGAAAAAUUAGGAUUCCCACCCCACUGCUUAACUGUAAGGAUUUUAUAAAUAUGGUAAGUGGAGAAUGCCAAAUCCAAAUUGCUGAAUUUAUCAGCAUUGUGCUUGAUUUUAACAGAGCCGGUUUCCAUAAGGAUUGCUUCAUAAAAUUCUCUUGUUUUUAAAAGAUCACCAAAGGGAUAAUGAAAAUUUUCAUGAAAAGCUUUUGCUGCAAUAUCUCUAGGGUUUUUAGAGAAAAACUCUUUUUCAAUAACCAAAAGAGGUUGAUUUAAAUCUUUUUGCCAAUAUCUUGCUUUUGCUGAAAGAGGUGUGGGGUUGGCUACCACCACAAUUUGCUUAUUUGAAAAAGAAGAGCUUGAUGCUAAUUCAUUUUGAGAGGGAUUAGCUUUAGUAACCUGCUUAAAGGUCUGAGACACAGUAAUAGUUGGAUACUGAGUAGCCUUGACUGGUUUAGAAGGAUUCGAAGGAUCAUAGUACAAGGACAAAAUCUUAUUAGGCAUAUGGUCAGAAGAAUGAAGCCUUGCUUCUUCUUCUAGCUCAACUUGUUGGCUCCAAAGUAUUUUAUGGGGAGAAGGUUCUUUGCUGGUUUUAGAAGACUAGGAUUCUGGAAGUUUAGGAGCUUGGGUAUUCUUUUUAGGGGCCAUGGUUUCGUGAAUCCUGUAAAAUUCACAAGUUAAGAAAUCAGGGCUCGAAGAAUGUUCUCCUUUAAUAUACUCAAUUUGUAAAUUAAAAUUGCUUAAAAUAGCUUGAUAUAUAGCAAAAAUAUGCUUAGAAGUUAUAUUCUUAACAUCCUUUUGUAAAACUAAUUUUGCAAAUUUACAAUCAACUCUUAAUAAAAACUUUUGAUUCAAAAGAUCAUCUUGAAAUUUUGAAAUGCAUAAAACAACGCUUAAAGUCUCUUUUUUAAUGAUGUUAUGAAUGAGUUGGGUAGUAUUCCAGGUUCUUGAAGUAUACCUAACUAACAUCUCAAGGUUACCAACACUUUGCUUAAGAAUCCCACCAUAACCUAUGUCUGAGGUAUCGAUCCCAACAAACUCAAAGGUUUCUGGAUUGAUAGAGCCUAAACAUGGUAGGGUCUUGACUUUGGACUUAACAUCAAUAAUGAAAACAAUGGUGAAAACAGAAAACUGGUUAAAGUUUUCAUCCAUUAUAUUCUGGAAUUCUGAGGUGCAUUCUUAAGAUCAAAGGGCAUUAUGAACCAUUCAUAAUGUCCAAGAGAUACCACAAAGGUGGUCUUAUUUGGAAUAGGACACCUAAUCCAACUUAAUGUAUCAUUAAGAGGCAUGUAGUUGACGACUAGUCUAGGUGUUCCUUUUUCUGAUUCAACUUGUUCCUGAACAUAGAAGGUUGAACAACUCCAAAGGGACUUAGACUUCCUUAUCAACUUUUUAUCAAGAAGAUCCCAAAUCUCCUUAUCACAAUAGCUUAACAAACCCUUGUUCAUCUGGAUAGGUCUUGAUUUAGUGGGAAUAUUCUUGUCACUAAAGUCUAGUUCAUAAGGUAAUUCUACCUCAUGUUGUUUCCUAUGCCAAAAUGCAUUAGGAAUGUUAGAGCAAACUUCUUCAACAAUCAGAUUAAUUUCUUGCUCAUGACUUUCCUUAGCUUGAAUCACCUGAUCCCUUAAGGUGUUUAUAUUUUUCUUAUUAGGUGGUUGGCAAAUUCAAAAAUAAUUUCCUUAUCUAAGAGCUUUGUUCUUAUACUUUGGUCAUCUACCCACAUGGGAUAGAUGGAGCUUAAAAAGGGGAUUCCAAGGAGAGCUUUCUCCUUAAGAUCCUUAACUAGAAUGAAGGUUUGCUUGAUGCAAAUGCCUUGGUUAUUUAUGUGAGCAUCUGACAGCUUAUACUCAAUGUCAAGCCUUUUACCAUUAGCUCCAAAGAGAGAUUCUUUGGUUUUCUUACAAAACUUAAUAGGACCUAGACCUUCUUGUAGGCAAUUCAAAGCUGUUCCUGAAUCAAUCAAAGCAACAAUAUCAAUGACAAAUUUACUCUUAAUUACUAUAGUAAGGGAGACUUUCCACCUCUGGAAAAUAACCCUACUAACAGUAUUUAAGUAUCCAUCCGUCUUUUCAUCAUUAGCAUGUGAAGAUUCUAGAACCUCUUCAAGGUUUUCCUAGUUAUCAACAAGAUUUUCUAUAACAAUCCUAUUUAUUUGUUCUUGGAGAUCUGAAAAACCUAAGCUUGUGUAUUGUCUUAAAUCUUUAAUUUCCUUCUUAUACUGUCUUACUUCUUCUUGAAGAUCCUUAAUGGUUACGUCUUUGGUAGACUACUGGUUAAAUCUUCCUAAGAUUUCAUUUAAGUUAUAAGAAUUUACUGUCUUCUUAAUCUCUUGCUUAUCGACAAAUUUCUUAAAAACUUCAUAAAGAUCUUGUUUAGUUUUUUCAUCUUCAACUUUCCUUAAAACAUCUAGGACAAGUUCUUGAUCUUGGCUUAUGACAUUUAUAGUCUUAGGUUGGCAAUCACAAUUAUCCUUAAUGUAUUCUUCUUGGUCACUAGAAGUUUGGCUUGAGAUUUCCUCACCACUACUAUCUAGUUGGUUAAUACCAUUUUCAUUAUCUGAAUCAAUCCUUGAUUCAGACUCUGUGGAAUUUAACAUUACUUUACAAAGCAUAUCUUUUAAGUCUUCUGUGACAUUUAAGUUAUUAAUUUUCUGCUUAACCCUACAAUCUUUCUUAUAGUGGCCUAUCUUACCACACUUAAAACAAACUGGCUUAGAUUGUGAAGGAGCUUCUAGCUUUUUAUGGGCUUCUUUGUUCAUCAUUCUUUGGAUGUGCCUUUGUUUCUUAGUUUCAUUCAUCCUAUAGUUGCCAUGAGUUCCUCUCUUGUUGUGAUAGGACUUUUCCUUACUAGGCUUUGUACUUACUUGUUUCUUACGUUGCUUAGAGGGGGGCUUAGUUUCUUUUUGGUUGAAUCCAAACUAGCUACAAAAUGAACCAAACUCAUUCUUGUAGAUCCUUUGUUCAUUUUUCAUCUGUUGCUUAAGCUUAAAGUCAUUGCACAGUUUAAUUGCUUCUGAUGUGACAAUGCUUAUAAUUUCUCCAUAAGAAAGCUUAUCAUAAGGGAUUUGUCCAUUAAACUGUUCCCUUAUCUUAAUCCUAAUCCUCUCAGAGAAAAGUCUAGGUAGUCCUAAGAUGAAUUUUUCUUUCCAAAAAGACUGGUUAUAGUUUGAUCUUAGUAUGACUUUGGUUAGGAAAACUUCUCUAUACCAUCUAAAGUCAUGAAGCUUGGGACACUUAAGGUUGGUUAAGAGAUCUACAAUCUUAUCCUUAAUCUUUGCAGGAUCUCCAAUGAAGUGCUUUGAAAUUGAAUAGAUUAGAGUAGCCACUACAUCCUCUAUAUCUUGUCCAUCUUCAUCCUUAACCACUUCAUUUUCCUCAUUAAUCCUAUAGGCUUUUAGGAUACCAUUUCUAUCCUCAAAGGUGAGAUAAUUAUCCCACCAACCCUAAAGUUGACCUGUAAACCCAACAACAAUUGUUUGAGCUACAGCAUGGCCUGACAAUCUAUUGUUUAACUUAUAGGUUGUACUAACCAUGGUCAUUUCUUGAAGCUUAGUGAGUAUGUUGUACUCAAUCAUACCAUCUAUGUUCCAUUCAUAGAUAGUGUCACUAGUGUAGGAAGCUUGAGUAUGCUGGUUUCUUUCCUCAUACUACAUAUCAGGAAAAGUUGGUCUAGGGUAGUAAUUCCUAGUUCUUGGUUGUUGAUAAUCCUCAUAACUGUUUGGUUAGGAGGUUCCUUAAAAAUCUUAAUUAGUUCAUCAGCCUCUGCUUCAGAACUAAUUUCUCCUUUAACCAUAUUGAUUCUCUUGUGAGAUGGUUGAGGUGUCUCAGAGACAACAAGGCUAUCCUUAACCUUUUGGCUUAUCCUAUCAAUGAGGGCUUGAUCAAUAUGGAGAUUCUCUAGGAAUUUCUUAGAGAAUUCAAAAGGCUUAAAUAAAGACUUAUUAUCUUUCUUAACAAACGUAGUCUUAAUGUAGUCUUGUGUUUCAAUGAUAUCCUCAAACUUGUUGAGUUGAUCGCCUGUAGUCUUAAGAAACAUGUUAGUGUAGUUGUUUUGUUCCAUGAUUCUUCUAACGUCAACAACACUAUCAAUUCCUUUAUUCUUUGGCCUAGUCUUAAAAGGUGAAGCUUUGACUAUGGUUCAAUUAAUGUUCUUUUAUAUCUUAGCUUCUAGAGGGUGGAUGGAUUCUAUGAUAGUAUCGUCACUAGUUUUCCAUAUCUUAGUUUUUUUGGAUGUGUCAUUGACACGCUUACUAGGGUAAUCUAGAUAUUCCUCUUGUUUGAAGAGUUCAAACCAGAUCCAAUACUUAAUGUUCUUCUUUUCUUGUCUUAAGUAUGUGUAGAAUUCUUCUUGGUAGAGGGUUCUAAUGUCUUUAAGGACCUUGCUAAAGAACCAAACUCUCCUUUUCUUAUUGACUUCAGAAUAGAAGUCUUUCCUUAAGAGGUCCUUGUUGAUUCAAAGUCUUCGUUAAUUAGGCUUACAGUGUUAAUCAACUGAGAAUAAGUAGGAGACAUAUCAGGAGAUUCGUCCUGAUGUGAUUCUUGAGUAAACUCAUUUUCCUCCAUGUAAAAGGGUUUGGCCACGUUGGUGUGACUUCUAACACCUGUUAGCUUAAUAUUCUUAGGAUUUGCUGAACUAGAUCCUUCCUCUAUCCUAGUGGUUCUUAUUGGGAUAGAUGAACUUGAAGCUCUAGAGGGCUCAUAAUAUGAAAUUCUAAGGCUGCUAGAAUGAUGAAAAGAGUUGGAGAAAAUUAGAUCUCGUUCUCCAUCAGGAUAUUGAACAAUCUGUUCAAUUCUUUCAGAUCUUUGCUCUAUGGCUGGGACAACAUUAGCAAAAUGCCAAUUUUCUGGAAACUCAACCUCAUUCCACUUGAUUUUCAUGGGGACUAUGAAAUUAGACUUGUUUAUCAUAUCUAAGUGGAAGAUAGUGGUUUCACCCUUGGGACUGGUGCACAAUGCUCCAAAUCCAACGCUUAUGGUCAUGCUCUUAUAGGCAAAUCUGGUGAUGAUGGAAACAUGAUUGUUUCCUUGCUUGAACUUAAAGUCAUGGGUCUUAACAUGAAGGACAACUGAAUCUAAGAUGUUGACAUCUCUUAGUCUAACUGUGAAGUUAGGGAAACACUGGAAAUAAACAGGACCAUCAUUUAAUCCUGCUUGGGUAGCUCCAAUAAUAGAAUCUCGGUAAUCAAGAUGUCUAUUAUCUCUUAAACACAUGACAAUAAAGGUGUUUAGACCUAGUCUUGUCAAGGGCUUAGCUGCAACUUGAAUCAUGCCAAAGUGUAUGAAGUUGUAGUCUCGCUUAUGCUUAUCAAUGGACUUACUAUCCAAGAGUCUUAUGACUUGAUCGUCGUGUUCUAAACUUACUGACAUUUCAGGGGUUUUAAUGGUGUAAUCUGUAAAGAACUUAAAGGUUCCUUUCUUAUAAAUUUCUUGAUUAGGUACCUUGGGUAACUUCCAAUCAUCUAAAUCAUCUUGGAUCUUAGGAUAAUUGAUCUCUUCAUUGUUUACUCUUGAGAAUUUGUGGAUUUCCUAGACAUGGUUCUGAAAAUCAAACUCAUUUUAAGGUUUUAAUCUAGAGCCUAAUAGCAGAUUAACAGACCUAGUGAGUAAUCACCCCAACCCUUUUCCAACCUUAACAAACGCCUAUCUCCAGCUAACAAUGGGCUCAACUCGGCAAGGAUCGCACUCAGGCACACUACUAUCUUUCCUAGGAUAGAUCAAAACACCCAAAACAAACCCGACUUCCUUUUCCUAGGAUAUAUAUAGUAUUUUGGGUUUGAGUAGGAGUUCAUGUUUUGUAUGUAAUUGUAGUCUACGUUGGACUAGGUUGUUUGCUCCUAAUUGAAAUAGGAAUGGUUGGUGUCACAUCUCAUUCAUUUUCUCAUCUAUUUCCAUGUUUAGAUAACUCAAGUAAUCAUAGGAAUGAAAUUAAGAAUGAUUUGAGGGAAAUGAAAUCUCACUUGUAAGUGGGAUCUCAAUUCAUCAUUAAUAGAAGGUAUUUUGAUUACAUAGUGCAAGUUAUUUUUAAAAACACUUUUCAAAAAUUGAAAAACCAAAAACUCUCUUGGAUAAGUUGUUUUUAAAAAGAAUUUUUGUAUUUUUAUUUUGUAAAAAAAAAAAAUAGUAAUUCAAUUUAUAUAAUAUAAAUAGACUUUAAUUUUAUUAAAAAUAAAAAUAAUUUUUUAAUUACAAAUAAAUUAAAAAAUAAAUAUUUGUAAUAAAAUAUGAAUAGUAAUAUUAUAAUAAAAUCAUAAAUAAAUUAAAAAUAUUUUUAAAAACAAAUAAGUUUAAUUUUUUUGAGGUACAAAUGAGCCAAAUUUUUCAUUAGGUACACAACCAACAAUUUUUAUUGGAAACAUUCCUCAAAAAAGAAUUCGUUUCCCAUAUAGCAAAGAUAUUUAUUAUUUAGUAUCUAACCAUCCGUAGUAAUCAUAUCAAUUCUACUAAGUUAUUUAAUAAUUCAUUUAUAUAUAGUACUCAAUUAUGAAUUUUUUUAUUUGAUGUAUAAUUAAUUAAUCAAUGUUUUGAAUUUUGAAUUAUUCUUAAAAUUUAAAACAUUAAUUAUGUCUAUUACUUUUUAUAGUCAUUAUAUAUAUAUAUAUAUAUAUAUAUAGAGAGAGAGAGAGAGAGAGAGAGAGAGAGCUUAAAUUUAUCUUUAAAAAUUAUUAAAUUUAUUAAUAAAUUCAAUACAAAGACUCAUUUGAUUUGAAAUUCAUUUCUUUAGUGAAAAUUUUGAAACUAAAUAGUACUUUGUUUUACUUUGUUUUUAAAUCAUACUCACAAAUAAGUUUUUAUCAUUUAGCCAAAAAAUCUCAAAGAUGUUUCUAAUUUUAUUUAUUUAUUUAUUUGUAAAUGAAAAUAAAAAAUUAGUUUAAACUAAAUAUGCGGAUAUUAUUGUUAAUUUAUUUCAUUUUUUAUUUCCAUUGUUAUUUAACAUUGAAACGGAAACAAAUAAUCAUUCCAAUCUUACAUUCUUAUAUGCAUCUAAACACAAGAAUUGAAAUCACCAAAUUCAUAUUCAAGGCAAAAUAGAAAUGGAAAAAAAAUAUUCAUUUUCAUUCCUCAUUCUCAUGUGCUAAACAUGACAUUAGUUCUACUACCUAUUUCACCAUUCUUCUUGAUAAAUUUGGUAUAUGCAAUAUUGAUCUAAGUGUGAGGUGAAUAAGAAUGAUGAUGGGAUGGGCUUGGAAAUAAGGGCAAAGUUUCUAGGUGCUAUCUAGAGGGGCAACGCGACUUUUUCAAAUUUCGAAUAUUUGUUCUCAACAUAAAGCAAAACUUUACUCACACAAUAGAUAAGACUCUGUUUGUUUUCUUCAUCCACGACUAUAUAAUGUAUAGCUCUUACUCAAGGGAUGAGCUACUUACUAUUAAGGAUUGGGUAAGAUAUUGCCUAAUGGCCAAGAAGGCAUGUCAAAAAAUAAAUCUAAUCACCAUAAAAAAUAAUAGGGGAAAAUUAAUAUAUUAUGAAUGAUGACUUUACUAUUUCUCUAUAUACAUAAUUAUAUAUUUUGAAUUUUCUCACUAGGUAAUGAGAUUCUAAAUCAACUGAAACAUAAUUAAUAAUUUAUAUUUUUAAUGAAUCUUUUAAUUUUUAAAAAUAAUUUAAAAUUUUAAAAAACAAUUCAAUUAAUUACAUAUUAAAUCAAAACAUUUCAAAAUAUUGUGUUUGUAGAUGAGUACUAAAUGCUUGCAUAUAAUAAUAAUAAUAAAAAAAUUGACUCAUUUAGAUGUUAAAAAAGUUAAAUGUUUUUCAUUAUUCAUUUUAAGUAAAAUAUUAUUGACAUUAUUAUUAUAAAAUUAUUAUUAUUCAUUUUUAACAAAAAACAAAAUAAGUUAUUCUUUUACCAAGAUGUCAAUAUCUAUAUUUUUCUAACAUAUAUUAAAAUAGUAUACUUUUCUUUUAUUAAAAAUAAUAAUUAUUAUUAUAUUAUUAUUCAAGUUUUAUUAAAAAAAUUUAUCUUUUAAUUCAUUUGUAAUUACAAAAUAAUUUUAUUUUAUUAAGAAUUUAAUUUAAUUACGCUUUUUUUUUUUAUAAAAAAAACAGUUAUGCUUUUACCAAGAUGUUAAUAUUCAUAUUUUUCUAGCUAACAUAAAUAGAAUAGUACACUUUUUCAUAUAAAAAAAUAAUUUAUGAUUUUAUUAUAAUGUUACUAUUCACAUUUUACUAAAAAUAUUUAUUUAUUUUAUUUAUUUUUAAUUAUAAAAUAAUUUUAUUUUCAAGAAUUUAAUUUUAAAAAAAUAGAAAUCAUUUAUUCUUUUACCAAGAUGUUAAUAAACAUAUUUUUCUAACAUAUACUAAAAUAAAAAAGUUUACUUGUUCAUUAAAAAAUAUAAUUUAUGUUUUUAUUAUAAUACUACUAUCUAUGUUCUACUAAAAAUAUUUAUUUAUAAUUAAAAAAUAAUUUCAUUUUUAAUAAGACUUGAACUAAAUUAAAUUUAUAAUUUUUUUUUAAAAUAAAAUAGAAAAUUAUUUUUUAAAAACAACUUAUUGAAAGAAAUUUUUUAUUCUUUACUUUUAAGAACUGUUUUUAAAAGCAACCUAUAAACCCCUUUGGGUCUGUUUGGCUAUGUUUCAUGCAACUUGUUUUUAAAAAUUGUUUUUUAUUCUUUAAUUUAAUUUUUUUUAAGUUAAAGAAUAAAAAACAACUUUCUAGUGUUUUAUAAAAAUGAGAGCUUUUGACAAGUUGUUUUUAAAAACCAUUUUUAAAAAUAAAAAAUAAAAAACUUAUUUAGAUAAAUUGUUAUAUAUAUAUAUAUAUAUAUAUUUGUAAAAACAUUUUAAAUUCAAUUUAUAUAAUAUAAAUUUAAUUUAAUUUAAGUCUUAUUAAAAAAAAAUUGUUUGGAUAAGUUUUUUUUUUUAAAUAGUUUAUUAUUUUUGUUUUGUAAAAACAUUGCAAAUUCAAUUUAUAUAAUAUAAAUUAAUUUAAUUCAAGUCUUAUUAAAACCAAAAUAAUUUUAUAAUUACAAAUAAAUUUAAAAAUAAUUUUUUUAGUAAAACAUGAAUAAUAAAAUUAUAAAUUAUAUUAUUGUGGACCCUGCAUUUAUGCUCAUGCGCUUCCACUUGUUGGCGAACUCAUUUUUUAUUUGAAAAUGAUUUAUUUUUUUAGAAAAUGACUUAGAGUCGCCACUUAUUUUUGUUUUAUUUUUAAAGGGCAAGCAAAAUAAGAAAGAAAACCCUAAGUGUGACUCCUUAUUCGAAAAAGGUAGUCUGUGUAAAACCGGAUCAGGGUUCAGGGAUCAGGUUACUUAUUGGGAAGGUAUGACAAUGACCGUAGCACUCCUCUAAGUCCUUAAAAACGGGCCUCUACUAAAAAAAAUAAAGUAAUCAUGGCAAUCAGUAAGGAAAUCACUGGAUACCCAGAACAAUUAUGCACAUGUGAGAAUUAAAACAUGCAUAAGAAUGGACAAAGUGAGAGUGGGUGCGUACCUUGACAACGAACCACAAUGCGUUAUCAAGAAAUGGGGUUAGUGCACGAUCAAUGAACAUAAAACACGUCACACAUGUCACUAAGCAGAGUGAGAAAUCAUCAGAUAUUACAAUUCAAUCAAAUUUAUUUUUAGAAGAAACAUCUGUUGAUGUAGAGCCCCUACCAAAGCCUAAUUUAUUUUUGCAUGAAUCAAUUUCAUAAAUUCAAUCGCUUGGAAUUACAGAAUUAAAUUCAUGCUUAUUUUAAAACAUCUUUUUAAAAUCAUGGAAGAUGUGAAAAUGGUUUUCCAAAGAGAAAAUGACAACUGAUUUUAUUGAAAAUGGGAUUUUGGGGACCUAAACGUUAAAGAGGGAUUAGGAAUUGAAAAUUAAAUCAUUUGAAAAUUGAAUUUUUCAAAAAUCAGUUUUGAAAGCAUGCAUGCAAGUAUGGACUGUGAAAGUGGGCCUAGGGAGGGUGGCCAUGCAAAAUGAGGUCAUACACGUGGGCCUUGGGUACAAUUGGGACUACUUUGCUGGUGCCAGUGGUGCUUGCAGCUGUCAUCCAUGAUUUCUUCAUUGGGAUCAAUUUCCAUUCUUACUGCCAAACAUUCCAUAACAAUUGACCAAACUAGUAACCCUGACCUUGCAUGAAAAUGAACGUUACCUAGAAACUCACUGCCAGUGAGAUUCAUUGCUCUUUCAAAAGGUCUCAUUUUCUUUCUCAUCCAAUUGCUUUAAGGAGCAUUCUAGCGUCACGAUUGGUGACUGCGCAUCAUCUAGAGCCUUCUUUCUUCUCAGAAUCAGGUUUGCGUGCAGAGGCCUGUGCUUGUUCAAGGUUGACCUAAAUUCAUCUAGGUUUAGAACCGACCAGUUGAGCUUGGGGAGCAACGACAAGAAUAUCAGUCACUUGCGAAGAGAAAACUCGAGAUCUUUCAAGUAAUGCCUGACAUAGAUUCCUCCAACCUGUGGCCAAUAUCUCAUUCCUUGUUGGCCAGACGCCUAUUAGGGCGUAUCUCAAUCAAUAAUAUGAUUUUUCGUUUGUUCACAAUAAAGACCGGAAGCCAUGGUUGUGAUUUAUGCAGUACAGAAGAAGUUGCCAUGGCUGGUAUCCUUACAAAUUCUGGUGUUUCUGCUAUCUGUUCAAGUGCAAAACACAACAGCUUUAUCAAGUUUGUCCCUAACAACUGAUAUUGAGCCCUCUGGAGGAAACCUUGAUAAAUUCAUAAUCACUUUUGACUCAUGCAUGGGCUGCCCAUCAAAUUUUCCUAGCAACGAGACGACUGCUGUCAUCUACUGCAAAGAGAAUUUCUUCUCGCAAAGACAAGAGGAGUUUAAGAAUACACACUAUUCUGCCAUUUCAUUUCCUCUUUCUCCACAACCAACAUAAACCAUAGUGUCUACAUUAGAGUACUUAGAAAGAGCUUAACUGAUGACCGUUUUUCCACAACCAAAUGCCCCAGGUAUGGCACAAAUUUCACCGAAAACAGAAGGGAAAAGGGCAUCAAGAACACGCUGUCCUGUAAGUAGUGGGGUAUCAGGACUACUCUAGGGAAGUUAUUUCUGUCAUUUUGAAAAAGAAAAAUUAAAGAAUGUACACAUGCUUUCAAGUGGACUGGAGCAUUCUACAUAUCAGGUGGUCUGUAGCCACAUGUGCCACUUUGUGGAAGUUGGAACAGUCGAUCACUAGGCUAUUUAGUGUGGCCAAGCCACGUUAAUCAAGGACAAGUCUUCAUACUUAAAAGUCAAAUGGUGCCUUUAGUCUCAUUACACAUGGCUAUUUAAAGAUGAACUAAUCUUUAGUGUAAUGUGAUUAAGACAGUACUAACUGAUCAAUAUUUUUUCUAAUUUUGGAUGCAAAUGCUUGCUGGCUUCAUCAUUGGAUGGGAUAAAGGUGCAUUCAUGACUCUGAAUACUUGCAGUAAUACUUGCAGUAAUACUUCAUUCUCUUUUUUCUCGAUGAGACUUCUUGGCACAAUUUUGCUUCUCAGCAACCUACCUCUCCAUGGAAAAUGAGUUGCGAUUGAUGGUACUGGAUAUUUUCUAGGAAGCUAAAUAUAGAUAUAUAGCACUCAAUGUCAACGAUAUAUAUAGCAUUAACAGUAUAUGUCUCAAUGCUCAUCAGCUACAAGCAAGGGACAAACACUUACAAUGAAUAACUCACGUCAACAUUCCUAAACAGGACAUAGAAGUGACAGAUCUAUAUAUAGAACACUGCAUAUGAGUCACAAGAAAAGAUAAUACGGGUGCAUAGCAGCUCUUAUAUUACAUAUUACUCAUACCGUUCAAAUUCACUCAGUUGGGAUGGGUGGGAGAAGGAGGCCUCUGGGGUGGCUUGUGCGUGUGAGAAGUGGAAGAAAGUUGAAUGGAAUGAAACUGAAAAACAGGGUAGAAUAGAGGUUUCUUGAAUCUUCUGAAAUCUUUAUUUUUCUGAGAUUUAUUCUCUGUUUUUGUGAGUCGUGACUCUACAUAUAUACAUGUAUUUAAAGUUAGUUAUGCCUUAUAACUAAUUAUCUAACAGUACCAAAACUAAUCAUCUAGUUGCAUGUUUCUAAUUAAUGCUAUUUAGUUACAACUAUAUAUGGCUUAACAUCCUCUCUCAAACUCAAAAGUCUAGCUAGAACAGUGAGUUUGCUUCAUAGAUUGAGAAAUUGUUGAAUAGGUAAGGCUUUGGUAAGAGCAUUAGCAAUCUGGUCAUAAGAAGGAAUGUGUUGAACCACCAAAGUCUUAUUGAGCACCUUUUCCUGAACAAAAUGGCAAUCUAGUUCCACAUGCUUAACUCGAGAAUGAAAAUAGGAUUGGCAGCAAGAAAGGUGGCUGAAAGAUUGUCAUAGAACAAAACAAAAUAGGAGAAUAAGAAGAUGAGAUAGAAAACUCCUGAAGAAGAUGUUGAAUCCAUUGAAGUUCAAAAGCAACAUUUGCUAAGGCCCUAUACUCAGCUUCAUUGCUGGAACGAGACACAACUUUCUGCUUACUGGAGUUCCAGGAGACUAGAUUAGAGCUAAAAAAGAUGCAAUGACCACUUGUACUUCGACGAUCAUCAGGGCAACCAACCCAAUCAACAUCAGCAUAAGCAGUAAGUUGAAAAUCAGGAGAAGAAUAAAAGGAAAGACCAAAGGAAGUAGUGCCCUUAAGAUAAUGCAACAAUCGUUUAACAACUUGCCAAUGAAGAUCAGUUGGUUAUUGCAUGAAUUGGCAAAGUUUAUUGAUAGAGAAAGAGAUGUCAGGCCUUGUAAUGGUACAAUAUUGCAGGGCUUCAACAAUGUUGCGAUAUUGAGAAGGGUCAGCCAAGAGGGAACCUUUAGAGGCAGAUAAAGUGUGAGAGGUAGUCAUUGGUGUAUCAAUAGGUUUAAAAUAUGGAAGACCAGCACGAGUUAACAAGUCCUGAAUAUAUUUGGUUUGGGAAAGAUGAAGAGAAGAUCCUUGCCAACAUACUUCUACACCCAAGAAGUAAUUCAGAAUACCAAGGUCCUUGAGAGCAAACUGAAAGUGUAAAGACGAAACCAUUUGGUGGACUAGCACGGUAUUAAGACCACUAACAAUAAUGUCAUCAACAUAGAUGAGAAUAAUGAUCAUGUCAGUCCCUUUCCGAAGAGGAGCUUGCUUCAGACCCUACAAGGCUUUGCGAAGUUUACAGAAAAAACCGGGUUUAGAAUGAUCAACAAAGCCUGGAGGUUGAACCAUGUAAACCUCUUCUUCUAACUCACCAUUGAGAAAGGCAUUAUUAACAUCUAAUUGUUCCACUAACCAACCAUGAGAAAUAGCAAGAGAAAGAACAAUUCAUAUAGUAGUUGGUUUAACAACAAGGCAAAAGGUUUCAAAAUAAUCAAUACCAUAUGUUUGAUUAAAACCCUUUGCAACUAAGUAGGCUUUAAAACGAUCAAUUGAGCCAUUAGCUUUGAGUUUCAGCUUGUAUAUCCAUUUACAACUAAUAAUGCGUGUAUUAACAGGUUUAGGAACCAAUGUCCAUGUGGAAUUGGUGAGAAGAGCAUCAUACUCAGUCUUCAUAGCAGCUUGCCAAUUAGGAUGCAAUAUUGCUUCUUUGAAAGAGGAGGGUUCGACAACAGUAGUUUGGAUAGCAAGGCUAAAUAUUUUUUUGGGUUUAAAAAUACCAUUUUGGCUACGAGUAACAAUAGUUCGGUUUGGAAGUGAAAGAGGAUCAGUGGAGGAGGCUGGAACAAGGGAUUGUGGUAAAGUAGGAAAGGAAGGUGGAUGAGAUGGAACAAAAUCAGUAGGGACAAUAAUGGGAGAAGAAAAAUUAGGUGGAGAAUGAUGAGGAUUCCUUGAAGAUGGUGUAGGAAUAGAGAGAAUACCAGAAUCAAGAAGUGUUAAAGAAGAGUUGGAUGAUGAUACUGGUUGACAGGAUAAAGACUUUGUUAAAAAUGGAAAUCGAGUUUCAUCAAAUACAACAUGACGAGAAGCAUAUAUCCGAGAGGAAGCCAUAUCCAAACAGAGGAAUCCCUUGUGUUUAGCACUAUAACCCAAAAAACAGCAAACAACAAAUAUAUUUGCUAGCUUGUGAGAAGCAUAAGGGCGAAGAUAAGGAAAACACAAGCAUCCAAAACUUCAAAGAGAUGUAUAAUAAGGUAAACGAUUAUAAAGAACUCCAUAAGGAGAAUUUUGUGAAAGAACAGCAGAGGGAAGGCAAUUUAUGAGAAAAAUGGCAGUUUGAAAUGCAAAUGACCAAUAUUUGAGAGGGUAUACCAGCUUGUAUUAACAAAGAAAGACCAACUUCCACAACAUGACGAUUCUUUCUUUCAACUCUUCAAUUUUGCUAAGGAGUAUAAUGACAAGAGACUUGAUGAAGAAGACCAUUUGUAGCCAAAUAAUUCUGAAAAGCUGAAACUGAAACUCAUCAAAUUGAUUUUUAGUAUCAAAUUUUCUUCAGACUGAACACAUUGAUUUUUAGUAUCAAAUUUUCUUUCAACCAUGGCUUGAAAAUGUUGGAACAUAAGUAAAGCUUCAUCUUUAGUUUCCAAAAGGUACAACCAUGAGAAUAUGCUAAAAUCAUCAAUUAGCAAGAGGAAAUAUUGAGCAUUACCAUUGACAGAAACUAUAGGAGUUGCACCCCAAAGAUCAACAUGGAUGAGACCGAAUGGUUUUAUUGCUCUAGAAGUGGAUAUUUCAAAUGGAAAACGAUGGCUUUUAGCCAACUGACAAGACUCACAUACAGAGUUAUUAUUGUCAUGUUUCAAAGGUAUUUUAUAAAGAGAUAAGAUUUUGGAAACUACAUUAAUAGAGGGAUGACCAAGUCUAUUAUGCCAAAGCCUCAAAGAACCAACGGCUAAAGUACUACUAGUAGAGUAAAAUACUAGUGGAUGACCAACAACUCUUGGUGUAGCAAGAAGUUUAUAGAGACCCUUCUCAAUUUUUCCUUGAAGAAGAGCAAGUCUCGUUUCCUGAUCCUUUACCACAAAAUGAGAAGAACGAAAUUCAAUAAAGGUGCCAUUGUUUGAGUAAAAUCGUUGCACGCUAACUAAGUUGGUGGUAAUAGAAGGAACAUGUAAGACAUCAUUGAAAAACAAAGAACCACUUGAAGAGGCAAGAGAAAAUUUACCAAUAUUUGCAAUGGAUAAACCCUUACCAUCUCCAACAAUUACUUUGUCACCACUGGUAAAUGGAUUAUGGAUUGUUAAAUUGUUAAGAUCAGAUGUGAGAUGAUGGGUAGCCUUUGUAUCAAGAAACCAAUAAGUGUCUCCCAUUGUUGCAGAAGUUGUAGUCAUAGCCUCAGGAUUGUUAGAGGUGGAAUGUUUAGAAUCUUUUGGCUGAUAAUCAGAGUUAAACCGAUACCAGCAUUGUAAAGCGGUGUGUCCGAACUUACAACCGAGAGAAAUAAUCUUUACUUAUUCUCUAAAAACUGUUCUUUAUUCCACACAUUAUUUCUAAAAACUGUUUCUAGAUAACAAUGACAAAAUAGUAUUAGGAAUUUUUAAAAAUAAAAAUUGUUUUUAAAUUACAUGAUCUAUAUCAUUCACAUUUGACCAUUAUAGCUUUGUUCAGGAAAACACUUGAAAGUAACCUUAUCGUGAUAAGAGAUAUAAGUUGGCUGUAGUUUCAAACUGAAAACAGAGGAUGGCAAUAGAAAGCAAAGCAUUAGUUAUCUGCAAUCAGUGGUGAUCAUGCCCCAUGUCAAUUUCGGACCCAUAUCUUAAAACCGUAUAAUUUGCAUUUCAACAUUUCUGAUUUCUCAGAUGUUUCAUACUCCACAGAAGAACAUUGUUUGUGAAAGCAUGCAUUUAUGCUGGAUUUUGGAUGAUGUGGGAACUGGGGCAAGGAUCAUAUGGAAGAGUGGUCGAUUUUUUCUGUACUUUAACAUUUGAAAUAGGAGCAGCACGGGCAUUUGUGGGGCUUAAUUGAUUUUGAAGCCUGAAAUUGCGUUUCUGUCAUUUUGUAAAAAAUAUGGCAGAUUCCAUGCUCUCAUAUGUUUGGUCUGUGGCCAUGUAUAGAUGCCACUUAGUGACCAGUUUGUAACUGUCAAUCAUAGUGUUUUGACUCUGGCUCAACAACAUCAGCCAUUGACGGAUUUUCAUACAUGCAAAUCAAAUAGUCUUCUUCCUCCCUUAGGAAUUUCGGUUUAAAUGUUAUUAAGCAUACAUUUGGCUGACAAUUAUUAACCACUUCAUGAUAUGGUUUCUUACCCUUAAUCAAUGGUUUCUAAGUGAAUAUAUGCAGAAGGAAAUCUGAACUGUAGACAGCAGUAUUGAUAAUUAUCAAUAUUCUUUAUAUAAGAGAAUAAACAACGUCAUAGUGAUCGUCGCCUACAAGAAAGGUACAUUUCCCAACAAGAUGUAGUUGUGACUGGUACAUGGACGUAAUUAACUCGUAGAAAAGGAUAAGACCAGUGCACGGCAGCUCUUAUUUUACAUGCUAAUUAUGCUAACCAAAGUCACUCAGUUGGGAUGGGAGGGAGAUGGAGGUUUGUGCGGUGGCUUGUGGGGCGGAGUUGGUGGCUUCUUUUCAGGAGCUUGUGGCUUUUUCGGAGCUGAAGGAGGCUCAAUCUUAUGAGGCGGCUUGUACGAGUCUUCUUUACUCUCGACAGGAGGGUGGCCAGGGUUGUGACCAUAAUGUGGUGGCUUCUCUCCCUUAGGUGGCUUGCCAACUGGGGUUGGUGGCUUGUGUUCAGGAAGUGGUUUCUCUCCCUUGGGAGGUUUACCAAUUGGGGUUGGUGGCUUGUGUUCUGGGAGUGGUUUCUCUCCCUUGGGAGGUUUAGUGGGUGACUUGUGUUCUGGAGGUGGCUUCUCCACCGGAGGCUUGUGCUCCGGUGGUGGCUUCUUGGUUGGAGGGGGCUUGGGGUAAUCAGCAAGAGAUGGGGGGGUGAGAACCACCACUCCAAGGAACAACACUAGCAAGUAUGUGGGAGACAUUUCUGAGUUUGAGCUGAUCAGAUGAUGCAAAACUAGAAGAAUUACGUGACCUUUUAUAGCAAGUAGCUCCCAAUACCCACAUGACACGUGUUACUGUGACCAUAAAUAUUAUAGGGUCCAUUUGUGCCCUACCGGGUUGAAAACUUGGACGCUUGGCCGAGGACACACCGAACUAUGGAGGACUAUUGACGUGUGAUCACAGCUUUUGGAUUUUUCUUCCUGUGCAGCUGUCUAGCGGUUGGCAUUAUUUUUUUAAUCUUAAAUAAAGGCAUAGUUAUAGAGUACAUUUAUAUAUCUUCAGAUAGCCAUUAAUAUAUUUGAUGAAGAAAGACAAGUGCAUACAACAUGUAUACGGCUUGCUUCAAUCGAGUACAUUUAUGAUCAGUUUUCCAGUGCAAGUAAACCAGUUUUUUGUUCCACAACUAUUUUGGAAUCUUGUUUAUCAGUUUCUAUCAUUAUAAUGUCACAUAGGCUGCAAACUUGGGCACCCAAAGAUCUAGUUGGGCAAAUUUGUUUCAGAAUUUCAAUGGUGGAUUCAGUAAUUGUUAAAAGGUGUUUCUUCAUUAAGGAAAGAGUCCUGUAAAAAUAUUGUUAAAAGGUGUCAUAGAAACUAUAAUAAUUAAAUAACUUCUUUUCCCCGUGGGUGGUGUUUCUUCUGGGGAUACCCAAAAUGAGUUCAGAUUAAAAUUGGUUCGAGUCAAAGCUGUCUCUUUUGUCCAGAAAUCAACUAUUUUGCGCAUUGCAUGAAUCGAUAAAGAAAAAAUGAAAGCCAAAUCACACCUCCCCUGCAAAACCUAAACCCCGGUUGCUAACUUUCUAUGUUUCAGUCCUAUUCAUACAGGAAUAUUGGUUCAAGUUUGAGAAAAAUGGCAACUUACCUAGGGAUUACUUGGUUGUGGUUUGCGACGACUAUUUACGCAACCAACCAUGAGUUUGACUUUAACGUCAUGGGUUGAAGCCUCCUACAAUCGUGUAUGAUAGUUCAAAGCUCGUAGUAGAAAUUAUACAGGAAGGAAGAAACCUCCAAAGCUAGCUCCAAAAGAGAAUUAUCACAUCGAUAGCUCCAGAGAUUCCCAAGGGGACUGAAUCAAAGACAAGUUCCUCACUUUUUCUUCUUUUGAGGCCAAAUAUGAACCAAGGAUCACACGACCUCAUUCAACUUCAUAAGUUUGAUUUCAUGCAGUUGAACACUGGGUGAAGGCCAUGACAAGAAUUGAUUAAAAAAUUCUACCACUGUUUUAAGUAAUGGAAGAUUAUUAUCUCUGAUUGGCACCACAACAGCACAUGCUGCUAGAUCUUUCUAGACACUCCAUGCAAUGAAAGUACAAUGGAUCUUGUAACGAUAGAAACUAAGCCAUGCUACAGUACUAGAUGACGAGGUAAAACUAUUAGACAUGGGUGGCAGCCUAUAUGGGAGGGACACAAGUCUAAUUGAUUUGCAUUUCAGCGUUCUAGAUGGGUAUGUUUUGGAAGAUUUGUUCUGGAAAUACCGCACCAAGUAGGAUUCUUUUUUCUCUUGAGUGGGUCCACUUGCAUGCCAAUUAUCGAGUUGAAAAGUAGAGCACCUACCUCGUGCUCGUGGAACCGAAGGUCAGUGAAGUGGGGCUCCUUUUGGCCUCUUGUGUUUCUGUUCCAACCAAGGCGGCGGAGGGAAAAACAGCAAUAUGUCUCCGCUAAAUAUCAACGCAUGAUAGCGAAUGAGGGAGAAAAAAAGUAAUUGGCAUCUCAAUCUCACAAACUUGGUACAGUAGUGACAUUAAUAGUCUUCCACAUGGUUUUUAUUUUAUUUUAUUUUAUAUUUUAUAUUUUCCAUUUUUUUAUUUUUUUGUAUGUCAAGGCUAAUGAAUAAAAUGCGUUAGCUUGUUUUGUGAUUGGAACUGCAAAUGUCCAAAUUGGAGUUUCUCCAUUUCUCAGUUCGGAUGGUUAACUUUAUAAACAAGAUAUAGGAAACAUGUGAACGUCUUGAGGAACAAUUCGAAUUAUUGAUUAGAACUCCUAGGUUGAGUUCCAAGAUUUAAAUCAGACCCCUCUAGCAGCUUCAGGGGUACCUAGCAAUUAGAACAUAUUAAUGAAGAUUUAGGAUUUAGACUCCGGAAUACAAAUUAAUAUGUAUCUUAUGCUCUGACUAGCUUCCCUGCAUAUGCACAAAAUGGAGAUGACCCAAAAAAUAGCAGAAUCGCCUUAGUUUAUGUGGUUAAGGUGAUUCUCCGGUUAAUAUCCACAUUGGCUCAUUAUGCAAAUCAACUGAGCUAUUUUUUUUUUAAUGUCAAAUAGGAACUCCUAAUUAACCUAACCAUUGGCCUGUGUAAAUUGAUUUCACAUGCACAAUGUUGUAGUAGAAGUCCACAUUUUGAAUUUUAUUUUUGGAAAGGUAAGGAAAAUGAAGCAUUGUGUAAUUAUAAAAAUAACUUCAUUGGAAUUCACAAGGUUCACCCAAAAUGGAGCUACAUCCGUAUUCUAUCUUACAGUAGACUAUAUAGAUUGUACAAUAGUAAAUUGCAAAUACAAUUAAUAAGUCUUGUGUUUCCUUACUAAUAAUCCUUUGACAUAAACAUUGCAGCACUAAGGUCCUCUUGGGCAGACACCUUGCACCCAUGAGAGCACUAAGAGGAAGCAAGGCGGAGUCAUGGGUGCAAUGUCAUGACUUGUUGCACUAAGAGAGGCUUGGUGAUGGCAUAGUGCUGCAGUAGCAAGAAUGUUGCCUUGGCAGGGACACGAUCUAGGGACAGAUGCCAAGAAAGGCUUAGCACUCACAUGAGUUGCACAAAGAUGAAUGAAAUAGAACAUCAAAGAGACAUCUUGGCAAGCUCAAGAAAGACAUGUGGGUUGGUAAAUGAAUGGAUGCAAGAGGCAACAACAUGAGGAGUUUCAAAUGGAUAGGGAAUGAGUCAAAGACAUUUGAAAGCUACAAGUUGGAUUCUAAUUACGAUUGCAAUUUGAGUUUGAGUAGGAGUUUAUAUUAUGAUUGUAAUUGUAGUAUGAGUUGGACUAGGAUUGCUUAUCCCUAGUCAAAAUAGGAGUUGUUCAUGCCACACCCUAUGAAAAGAGUUUGAGUAGGGACUAGGAUUGCUUGCUCCUAGUCAAAUAUGGAGUAGGUGGUGCCACACCUAUAAAAAAAAAAGGGACAACAUGAGAGAGAGAGAGAAUGAAUUCACCAAAGAUAUUGUGGGAGUUUUGCUUUGUUACAUCUUGUAUUAUUAUUUAGAAUAGUAAUAAAAUACAAGUUGGGGCUAGAGCCCCAUAAUCUCGUGUGCCUUUGUGGGUUAUUCUUUAUUUGCCAUCUCGUGUGGAUUGGAUUAGAUUGAUGAGGCGAAAUAUUAUGUGGGAAAUUUAUGUUGGGACACUUACCAUAACCAGGUAAAAUCUACCAAGUCUUUUGUAAUAUCUUCUACAAAUAUUUUAGACCAGUUCUUCACAAAACAUCAUAAUAUGUUUUGUGUUUCUCUUGGAUUUUGAGUUGAAUUGUCUUAGAUCAAUUGAAUGCAUCUCAAUAUUAUUAUCUUGUUUGAAGGCUUGAUGAUUUUCCAUUUAACUUUACUUUCUUUAGGUUAUGCUUGAUUCCUUAAAAGUACUAAGGAAAACAAAAAAUAAAAAAAAAUAAAAAAUGCAGAGGGUUAGGACAUGUGUUAUCUAAUUGUCCUAUCCAAAGAUAUUAAGAAAGUCAUGUAGGAAAGUAAUUGAAAACUAGGUCAAGAAAGGAGCAAAAGGGAAUUGUUUUGGUAUUUUCUUUUUUAUUCUUGAAGGUGGCAGAGCUAAAAUUUGAGAAAUCAAGCAAAACAUACUGAAAUUACAUUGAAAGAAAGAAAAUGGUAGUUAAUGUCUUGCAGUACAUGAUAAGGACUUCAUGCAUGUAGUGUGACGACCCAUGUCUUGGACUGAUGCCACACUCACGGUUACACUUAUACCCUUGGUUCUCUCUUUACUACCUUGGCUAACCUAGAUCAGGCUAUGAGAUAGGCUCCUCACCACACCAUCACUUGCCCAGUAAUUAGUGACAUUUUCAAGCAAUGAGGUAACAUGGUGACACCAAGAGGGUUUAUCCCUCGCCCCAACAAGUCUAGACUCGGUCUCAAAAAAAUGGAGAAAAAUGAGGUGUCGUUAUGCAGAAAUACAACAACCAUGCCUUCCUUAUUACUUAGAUUCAGAAUGUGAAGGUGAAAUUGAGAAACAGAAACUCUUGAAACCAGAAUGAAAAUUGAUACUUUUACGAAGAAUUACAACAUUAGAGGAAGACUACAUUCUUCCUCUAUAUUCCUACGUUUCUACACUACUUCUACUCCACUCCAUAUUUCUACAUACAUCUUUAAUCAGUUUUCCCUCCUUUAUAUAGAGCCAUCUUCACACAAAUUCCGCAAGGUAGAAAAGAGGAAUGAAACUUGGAGCAAGGUUCGACUACUGGUUGUCGCUUGUCAAGGCUGGAAUUGAACUUUUUUUCUUGGCUUUUCUGGGCAUAGGUAGUAACUUGUGGUUCCUUUUUGGAAUGAAAAUGGUACAGCUAGAACAUGUGGCACUCUCUUGUUGGAUUAUGUGUCAAACAUGUGGCAGCCAUCUAGUGGAGAUUAUUUCAAUUUUGGGAUGGAGAGUUGGCAUCCAAUUGCAAAGAAAUAUGACAUCUACCAACAUGCAAUGUAAACCUAUAUAGAUCAUAUGGAGAUAGAGAGGAAACAUAUAGAAAUGGAUAUAUACCUAGAACUAGCUUUUUAUUAAAUGAGACGGAGAGCCAACAAUGAAGGAAAAUCAAAAUUUUUGGCUCAUAUCAAAGAAUUCACAUUGUGUUACCCUAGGUUUUCUUAAAGCUUGCACAAAGCCAAAAAGCACACAAAAAAUUAUAUUUUCUAGCUCUCUACCUUGGAUGGUCUCUUGAUCCUACUUGGAGAUGUGCAUAAAUAAAAGGAUUUGAAAAUGACAAUUGACUAAGUAUGUAGUCAAUCAAUUACUCAUUAAUUGACUAGUUGAUCAAUUAACUUUGCAACAUCAUAUGCAAUCCUAAUAGCUAGUCAUCUAAUCAACUAGGUAGUAAAUCAAUAGGCCAAAAAUAUGUUUAUAAUGACUAUUUUGUACAAAAACCACCUAUAUGGUUAAAUAUAAUGCAUUUCAUUUAUAAAUCUUCUAAUUCUUGAAUAACGAUCCUAUCAUCCUUUGAAAGUUUUUAUUACACCUUUUAUACUUUUGUUCUAAAACUUACACAUGUACAUCACCCUUAAUUGUACCAUGAGAACCUAGCUUUUUUUUUUUUUUUUUUUGUAAUUCAUCAAAGUUAGCUUUUGUAUUCAUUACUGUACUAUUUUUAUUGUAACUUAGAAAGCGAGUGUUUUCAAGUGAGUGAAAUUGACUUAUAAAUAUUGUAAAGAUUCAUUGAUGUGUAUCUUAAACUAAGUGUACAAGUUGAAACAUUUGCUAGUAGAUUUUCUCAAGAUUUAGAAUAGAGCUUGAGGCUAUUGAAAUAGGUGGGGUUGCACCAAACCACAUCACAUUGUUGUUUGCACCUUUUUUUCACUCUCUUUUACUUAGUUGCUCUAUAUUUGUUGUCUAGUAAUAUCCUAUAGGCUUGAUGGGUUAGGGAGCAUCCCUUUGUGAAAAAUUUUCAUUCAAUCCUUAGUUGUAUCACGCAUAUAUAAAAUGCCUCAUUGUUUUAAUGGUAUUCAGUCGUGGCAUCACAGAUAUGGGCAUCUAAAUUUUAAAAGUUUGAAACUUUUAUCUAAAGAAAAUAUGGUGCUUUGCCUUUUUGUAAAGCAUGUUGAUGAAAUCCAUGAGAAUUGUGUACUUGGGAAGCAACAUCGAGAUGACUUUUUUUUUUUUCAUUUUUUAUAAUGCGACACCUAAGUCCGGUUUCUAAAUGCUGAAGUGAAAGGGUAGGUAUGGACCAUUGAAAUCUGAUCACAACUUUUGGCCUUUUCCUUUCUCUGCAGCCAUGUUGUCUCUUUUUUCUUUUGCAUGAUUUUCUUACCUAAACAGAAUCAUAGACUUGUUUAAUCUCUAAAUGGUAUUUCAUCCAGCUUUAAGCUACUGUAUUAUAUCUUGGUGGAGGACUUUUAAGAGUGAAACCGACAUAGAGCACAUGCAAGUGGGUAUAUGGGACAUGAAAUUUCUUCUUAUAAAGACUGCAUGGUUUUUAUAUUAGAGUUGUUGAGGCGCAAUGUAUUUAGCUUGUUUUGCAGUUAAAUUAAUUGGAUAAGUAGACAUUGUCGUUUCUAAAUUUCCCACCUAAGAUAGUGACCUUAUCCUUGACUGCUUGAUGAGAUACACAAACAAUUAUACCUUCAAAAUCUACUGUGAAGUGCUUCAUGUAUGUGUGAAGUAUUAGAAAUUUCUUUCUUGGCAACUUGUUUUUUCUUUGCCCUCUACUGAUAGGUUUGACUCAAAUUAAAUUCCCUGUCAUGCUAAUUAAUUUUCACGUGCAUGCUCAAAAGGAUCACGUCAACUCUGGUUUCUACUAUUCAGGUCCAUUCCCAGAUAAACUGGUUCAAAUUUGAGAAAAUGGCAACAGCCCUUUAGUGAUGUUGGUUUGGAGCCAGUAGCCAAACCCGCCCUGAGCUUUACCACUAAUGUCAAGGGACAAAGCCAUUUGAACAAAAACAAUAGCUUCAAGAGACUGAAUCGUGGAUGAAAUCUGAUCCACAUUUCUUCUCAUUUUGGGAACAAAUGAGAACUUAACUACAAAGAUUCUACUGCCUCAUAGUGCUUUUCCUGAUCUAAGGUUGGUUCGUUUCCCAAAUUGUGAGGUACGUGCCAUUCUCACGCUCAGGAGUGUAUCCACGUGGUGGACAUAAGAUGGUGGCUUAAUAUCUGGUGUCGGUGGCUUUACUUUACUAGGAGAGUAGUGUGUCUUCAUCUCAUUCACUGCCGGAGGGUGGCGUAAGCAGUGACGCUAAGGUGGGGCACAGUCAAUAUCAUUUGCAUUUGACCAUUAUAGUUUUCUCCCGGCUUGAAAGUAACCUUAUCGUGAUAAAGGAUUACUAGCACUAGUUCAGAUGACAGUCAUGUUAAAUUCGGACCAUGUUUGUGUCACAUUAUCAGCAACCAUGUGUUUAUGGUUCAUGCUAUCUGCAACUAAACUUGAUAUAUAACCACGUGAACUUCAAUCUAAAUUCUGGAAGUACUCUUGUGAUAGAUGGUGCCUGUCUGCAGAGUCCAUCAAUUGAAAAAUGGAGUGAGUGUAUCUAUAAGAGGGAAGGCUUGGCAAAUGUUCAGUUUUCUGGGAACUCAACAAGGAUCUAAAAUAGAUUGUUUUCUUUGCUGAUUUCAAUGGUUGAAAUUUGAGAAGAUUGUGUCCACAUAACACAACUAUUACUGGUCCUUCUGUUGCAAUUUAUCCUCUAAGGCUCUAACAUGUCUUCCAAUUCCCACUUCCCUGUUACUCCAGGAAAGCUAUUUCUGUCAUUGUGAAGAAGAAAAGAGAAUGUACAUAUCGAUGGUUUUAAGUGACUGGGGCAUUCAUAUCAGGUGGUCUGCAGCCAUAUAUGCCACUUUGUGAAGGUUGGAACAGUCAAUCACCAGGCUAUAUUAGUGUGGCCCAGCCACUUCAAUCAAGGACAAGUCUUCAUACUUAAAGUCAAAUUCUGCCUUUAGUCUCAUUAUAAAUUGCUGUUUAAAUAUUAAGCAAACAUUUGUUUAAUGCGAUUAAGACAGUACUAACUCAAUACUUGUUCUAUUUUUGGAUGCAAAUGCUUGAUGGUUUCAUCAUUGGAUGGGAUAAAGGUGCAUUCAUGAUUAUGAAUACUUGUAGUUAUAUUUUCAUUCUCUUUUUUCUCAAUGAGACUUGUUGGCACAAUUUUGCUGUUCAGAAACCUACCUCUCCAUCGAAAAUCAGUUGUGAUUGAUAGUACUGGAUAUAUUCAAGAAAGCUAAAUAUAGAUAGCACCAAAUAUUAUCGAUAUAAAUAGCAUUAACAGCGUACGUAUGUCUCAAUGCUCAUCAGCUAUAAGCAACGGGCAAACACUUACUAUGAGCAACUUGCGUCAAAAUUCCAGAAUAGGACAUAGAAGUGACAGAUCUAUAUAUAUAUAGAACACUGCAUAUGAGUCACAAGAAAGGAAAUUACGGGUGCAUAGCAGCUCUUAUUUUACAUCCUACUCAUACUGAUCAAAGUCACUCAGUUGGGAUGGGUGGGAGUAGGAGGUUUGUGGGGUGGCUUGUGCGGAGGAGUUGGCAGCUUCUUUCCAGGACCUGGUUGCUUCUCUGCUGGAGUUGAAGGAGGCUUAAUCUUCCGAGGUGGCUUGUAUGAGUCUUCAGCAUUCUCAGCAGGAGGGUGACCAGGGUUGUGACCAUAAUGUGGUGGCUUCUCUCCCUUAGGUGGUUUGCCAACUGGGGUUGGUGGCUUGUAUGAGUCUUCAGCAUUCUCAGCAGGAGGGUGACCAGGGUUGCGACCAUAAUGUGGUGGCUUCUCUCCCUUAGGUGGUUUGCCAACUGGGGUUGGUGGCUUGUGUUCUGGGAGUGGCUUCUCCCCCUUGGGAGGUUUUUCCAAUGGGGUUGGUUUGUGUUCAGGAGGUGGCUUCUCCACUGGAGGCUUGUGUUCAGGAGGUGGCUUCUCCACCGGAGGCUUGUGUUCAGGAGGUGGCUUCUCCACCGGAGGCUUGUGUUCAGGAGGUGGCUUCUCGAAUGGGGGAUGCUCAGGGUAAUCAGCAAGUGAGGGGUUGGUGAGAACCACCAUGCCAAGCAACAGGACUAGCAAGUAUGUAGGAGACAUCUUUGGGUUUGGACUUAAGACAGUGGAAAACUGCGAGAAUUCUCUAGCCUUUUAUAGCGGGUCGACCCAGUACUCACAUGACACGUGUCAUUAUGACACAUGUGCCAUGGGGUCGAUUUGGGUCCUACAGUGUUGAAAAGUUGGGCAUUUGAGGUGUGAGCACAACUUUUGGCCUUUGCUUUCUCUACAGCCGCCAUGCUUUUCCCUUUUUUCCUUUUCCUUUUGUUUUCCUCCUGCCUCGUGUUCUCAACUAAACACAAUUAGGUUGUUUAAUUGUUAAAUGAGAUUUUUGUCUGUCAAUCAUAUUAUAUCCUAUCAAGAGAGAACAGAGUGUAAUGUAGUACACAUAACACGAGGCAGUAGUAAUUUUAUCAUUUAUUUUUAUAGCUUGGACCACCGCAUUUUUUCUUCUAAAAUAUUCUGUCUUGUUAAGAGACGCAAUAAUACACAAUUUUAUCUGCCAUUCAACAUUUACUGUAAAGUUCUUUUAUCUCUUUGUAGUUCUAGAAAAGUACAAAAUGGAACAUCAUGUAUAUGGUGCCUUCUGUCCUAAAAAAGAAACUGGACAAAUUAUGAACUGCAUGCUAAAAAGAGGCAAAGGAGCUUAAUUCGCAGCAUAAUUAUUUUGGUUUCUAGAGAGCCCGGGGCCUUUUGGUUGGUUUGGGGUCAGAAAAUGAACAUCAUAGGGAUUGUGCCCUUAACUGGCCUUGUUACUACAAAGAAAUUGCCAUAGAAAUUUAUUCCAGGCUGAGUAUCUCCGGAUAGACCCCAGAAAAGAAGAGUCAUAAUGAGAAUCAACCUUUGUUGAGUUUGAUUCCAUGCCUCCAUUGUGUUCAUUUCAUGAAUCUGAUUUGCAUUUAACAUUACAGUUUUGUUCUGGAAACAAUCAAAGGAGCAUCGUUUGCUUCUUGGGUGACCCAUAGUGGUGGGUGGGUCGAUUUGCUUAGUUGAAAAUUGGACAAUUGGCUCCAUCGCCUACCUCUUGGAUUCCAUGCUCGGAUAAAACGACAACAAAUAAAUAUUUAUAACUUACAACUGGGGAAAGGAAAAAAUAGUACUAAAUUCAUGGUACAUGAUAGUGAGAGAAGGGGGUGUUACACUCAGCUAAAGUUCUUUUCUAAAUAUUGCAUGGUGUUUAAUUUUAUGUGUCGGCGCGCGUGUGAAUGGAACCUGCAAAAGUCCAAAUUGGCGUUUCUCCAUUUUCCACAUAGGAUGGUGACGUUAAUAGACAAAGAUACAAUAUCUGUAGACAUUGCUUAAAAAUCGAUGUGAAGUAUUAGAAAUUACAGGCCACUGUACUGGGGGAGCGGCUGCCCCGCCAAAGGAAGAAUGUAGCAAUUUCUUCUGUUAGCCAGGCCUUAGGAUUUAUGCAUGGGAUGCCUAAUAACAAACAGAGAAAAUAUGCUUUUGGGGAAGGUAUCCAACAACAGACACCAUCAUUCAGAUGGUGGGAAGGUAUCCAACAGAUGCCAUCAUUCAGAUGGUAACAUAUAUAUACAUUUAUUAGUGAGUUUUUUUAAUACCUAUAAAAAAAAUAUACACUUUGAUAUUGUGGCUGAAUCCAUUACAUACUCAACUAACCUUGCUCAUUAGGGAUUUGACGUAACAAGGGCAACGUUGCAGUAAAAGCUCGAAACUUUAUGCAGGUGACAUUACAUUUGGUAAAGAAGAGGAAAAUAAGGAAAGCCAUCCAUAAAAGCAAAAUUCCUCAUGGGAUGAAAUUCACAAACUUCAUUUACGUUAGAGUCGCAUCCAGGCAAUUAAUUCCACAUUAGACCGCCUUUUGACAUGUGUACGGAUCUUUUUUCAAAAAUUAUUUAUAAAUAAUUGAUACUUACAAAAAUAAUUUAAGAUUUAUAAAGGAUAAAAAAAUAUUUUCAAAUCUAUGACAAUUUAUAAAAUAUUAAUAAAAAAUUAUCUCUUAAACUUAGUAUAGUUUUAUCGUAUUAAACUUUUAUUUUGAACAAAUAAUUUUAAUCUAAGUUUUAAAUUCUAAAAUUAUUUCCUUAAAAUAAAAUUUUAAAAUUCAACACUUCAAUUGAAAUUGUCUUUUAAAAAAAAUAUCUUCUUAUUUUAAUCCUUAUAAACUAUAGUUGAUUGAAAAUACUAUUGAAGUUCUCUCUUCAAAAAAAGUCUUAUUUUAAUCUUCAUAAAUUGCCCUUGAUUUGAAAAUAAACUUUGGGUUAUCAUAUUUUAAAUAAUAUAUAUAUAUAUAUAUAUAUAUAUAUAUAUAUAUAACAAAUACUCUAUUUUUUUUUUAAAUGAACUAAUUUUAAUUAUAUUUUAUUUUAUUUUUUUAUAUAUUUUUAAUGAUAAACCAAACAUAGAAAAUCAUUUUUCUAAAUAUUUUAAAAUUUCUAAGCAACCAAACAUAAUCUUCAAAAUAAAAGGAGAAUAAGGAGGGACAAGUGAGAAAUGGCGAUUAAAAAAAAGUGUACAAAAGCUCAAUUAAUUUUCUUCUAGUCUUUUAUAUAAAAAAGUAUUGGUAUGUAAAUUAAUAUUUGGAUUUUAAUAGUAUUUUAUUUGUCUUUCUCUAUCUCAUGUAAAAGAGAAUUUAAGAUAUUUCCUAAAGCAAAGCAUUAGUUAUCUGCAAUCAGUGGUGAUCAUGGUCCAUGUCAAUUUCGGACCCAUAUCUUAAAACCGUAUAAUUUGCGUUUCAACAUUACUGAUUUCUCAGAUGUUUCAUACUCCACAGAAGAGUAUUGUUAGUGAAAGCAUUUUGUAACUGUUACUCAUAGUGUUUUGACUCUGGCUCAACAACAUCAGCCAUUGACGGAUUUUCAUACAUGCAAAUCAAAUAGUCUUCUUCCUCCCUUAGGAAUUUCGGUUUAAAUGUUAUUAAGCAUACAUUUGGCUGACAAUUAUUAACCACUUCAUGAUAUGGUUUCUUACCCUUAAUCAAUGGUUUCUAAGUGAAUAUAUGCAGAAGGAAAUCUGAACUGUAGACAGCAGUAUUGAUAACUCUCAAUAUUCUUUAUAUAAGAGAAUAAACAACGUCAUAGUGAUCGUCGCCUACAAGAAAGGUACAUUUCCCAACAAGAUGUAGUGGUGACUGCUACAUGGACGCAAUUAACUCGUAGAAAAGGAUAAGACCAGUGCACGGCAGCUCUUAUUUUACAUGCUAAUUAUGCUAACCAAAGUCACUCAGUUGGGAUGGGAGGGAGAUGGAGGUUUGUGCGGUGGCUUGUGGGGCGGAGUUGGUGGCUUCUUUUCAGGAGCUUGUGGCUUUUUCGGAGCUGAAGGAGGCUCAAUCUUAUGAGGCGGCUUGUACGAGUCUUCUUUACUCUCGACAGGAGGGUGACCAGGGUUGUGACCAUAAUGUGGUGGCUUCUCUCCCUUAGGUGGCUUGCCAACUGGGGUUGGUGGCUUGUGUUCAGGAAGUUGUUUCUCUCCCUUGGGAGGUUUACCAAUUGGGGUUGGUGGCUUGUGUUCUAGGAGUGGUUUCUCUCCCUUGGGAGGUUUAGUGGGUGACUUGUGUUCUGGAGGUGGCUUCUCCACCGGAGACUUGUGUUCUGGAAUUGAUUAAAAAAAUUCUACCACUCUUUUAAGUAAUGGAAGAUUAUUAUCUCUGAUUGGCACCACAACAGCACAUGCUGCUAGAUCUUUCUAGACACUCCAUGCAAUGAAAGCACAAUGGAUCUUGUAACGAUAGAAACUAAGCCAUGCUACAGUACUAGAUGACGAGGUAAAACUAGUAGACAUGGGUGGUAGUUGAUUACUACUCAAAAAGUACUCUUUUAUAGUUUGAAACUAACUGUUUUAAACACUUUUGAGUAGUAGUUAAUAAAUUUUAACUCAAUUGGCACAUUAAGGAACCUAGCAAGGGUUACUAAUAAACUUUUGGCAAGUUUUGGUGUUUUUGGUAGUUAUUCGAUCAUUGAAACAAGCCAAGAAUGAGGGAGAAUUUUGUGAAGUCCAUGGCAAUGCAAGUUAAAGCUCAAAUACACGAAGAAUCCAAGCUUUGGAGCACUACAUAGCCCUUUGCCAAGCCAAUUAGAGAUGCAAGGAACAAAACCAAAGGAAGAAAUCCAACAACCAACAUUUUCGCAUGGUUGUGUGAAAUUUCGCACACCAUGCGAAACCACAAGAGGUAGCCAAAGAAUUUCACAUGGUAUGCGAAAUCUUCUCAUGCACCGACUCCGUUAGAUUUUUAUCUUCAGAUAUUUUGUGUAAUUUCCUAGUUUCUCCUUGUAACCAACCUAGAUAUUUUCUUUUAUAUCUUUUUUUAUAUUUUUUAGGUAACAUCAUAUAUAAGGGGAGAGACAUAAGGAGGAUAUGGAUGUUUUUCAUAGAACACUUGUAAAUUUUCAGUAGUAAGAAAUAUACAAAGCUUUUUGCUAUGCCUUACCUUCUCAUUUUGUUUUCACCUGUCUUUCUAGCCAAACAACCUCUAAGGAUGAUUUCUCAGGGGAUGAGUGGCUAGGUUUUACGUUUCUUGGAGUGAGGGAAGCUAGGUGAAGGACCUGAAUGCAAAGAUGAGAGUUUUCCUUGCUUUAAAUGAAAGUAGUUGUUAAACAUUAAUGGUUUUUAUUUUAAGGUUUAGCUUUAAAUCCCUUAAAAACACCUUGAAUGACCAAUACUUGGUAAGCUUUUCGGAUUCUAUGGAUGCUUAUUGCUAGAUCCAUGGAUGUCUAUUAGUUAUCAUUUACGAGCCUUUGGAAGGUGAUUCAAGGUGAGGGUCUUUAGUGUUUGAAGCCAUUAAUGGGAAGCAAUUACCAUUUUUUCAUGAAUCCUUUGGAUCAAAUCUUAAUUGCUAAAUAUAAAACCGAUUUGGGAAAUAACCAUCCUUUAUGUUAUUAUCCCCAACGCAAGGAGAAGAUCCGGAAUCUUCCCUUUUGUCUAAGGAACCCGAUCCUAGUGACCUAAAGCUCCAAGAGACCUUUUCUUUGUAGUUAACUUCAUUUAUUGUUUUUGCUUAACUUAAAAUCAAUCUUUGCAACCACAAUUCCAUUUUCUUUAAAAGCUAAUUUUUAUAAGGAAAAACACCAUUUUAUUUCCUUCACUAAGUCAACUGUACGAUGAAAACCCAUCCCUGUGGACGAUCCUAGAGCCAUUAUACUAUGUUAGCUAUGCUACCCUAGUGUGAGGUGAUUUAGGUUUUAUAAAUUUUGUUGAUAACACCCAUCUGAGCCAGAAUCAAAUGGCACAACUGAACCAGGGACGAAUCAAAUGGCGCCGCUAUCGAGGAUGGUGCCAAAGUACAUUGACAUGACUUUUGGUGAACACUUGUGAUCUUCAUCACAAGUUUGGUGAUUUUUCUAUUACUAAUUUUUUUCUUUGUUUUUAUUUUAGCUUAUCUUUUAUUUAGUUUUUAGCUAACCUUAACUUUUUCUUAGAAUUGUAUUUCUUCUAUUUUCUUUGUUUUUGUUUCAGUGAUCUUUAGUUGUGCAUGCCCUAUUGGAUAAGAAAUAUUGAGGGAAUACUUGUGAAGAUUGAAAAUCCUCGAGAAACUGAGUUGGAAGUGUGAUUGAACAUCAUGGAUGUUCCACCUGAAGACCAGAAUAGCCAACAUGGUUAAGAGGAUAAUUUCAAAGCAUACCGAUCCAUGAGGGACUGCAUGCAUCCACCUCGUAUGAGUGCACCGUCAUGCAUAGUGCCUCCCACUGAGCAACUAGUAAUCUGACCUCACAUUGUGCCACUCCUACCUACUUUCCAUGGGAUGGAGAGUGAGAAUCUCUACUCGCAUAUUAAGAAAUUCGAGGAGGUUUGUAAUACAUUCCAAGAAGGAGGAGCUUCAAUUGACUUGAUGAGGCUCAAGCUAUUUCCUUUCACUUUGAAGGAUAAGGCUAAGAUUUGGCUUAAUUCUUUAAGGCCAAGGAGUAUCCGAACUUGGACUAAUUUGCAAGCCGAUUUUCUUAAGAAGUUCUUCCUUACCCAUAGGACCAAUGGUUUGAAAAGGCAAAUUUCGAACUUCUCAGCUAAAGAGAAUGAGAAAUUCUAUGAGUGAUGGGAGAGGUACAUGGAAGCUAUUAAUGCUUGUCCUCACCAUGGCUUUGACACAUGGCUCUUAGUGAGUUAUUUUUACGAUGGUAUGUCUUCUUCAAUGAAGCAACUCCUAGAAACUAUGUGUGGAGGAUACUUCAUGAGUAAGAAUCCGAAGGAAGCCAUGGACUUUUUGAGUUAUGUGGCUGAAGUUUUAAGAGGAUGGGAUGAACCAAAUGCUAGAGAGGUGGAAAGAAUGAAGUCUCAACCUAAUGCUAAGGGUGGGAUGUAUGUUUUGAAUGAAGACAUUGACAUGAAAGCAAAGGUUGUAGCUAUGGCAAGGAGAUUGGAAGAGCUAGAAAUGAAGAAGGCACAAAAAGUGGAAGCCAUUUCUGAGACAUCAGUGCAAGCUAUGCCUUGUUCCAUUUGUCAACCUAAUGCUAAGGGUGGGAUGUAUGUUUUGAAUGAAGACAUUGACAUGAAAGCAAAGGUUGUAGCUAUGGCAAGGAGAUUGGAAGAGCUAGAAAUGAAGAAGGCACAAAAAGUGGAAGCCAUUUCUGAGACAUCAGUGCAAGCUAUGCCUUGUUCCAUUUGUCAAUCUUAUGAGUACCUAGUGGAGGAGUGUCCUACAAUUCCAGUAGUGAGAGAGAUGUCUGGUGAUCAAGCAAAUGUUAUUGAUCAAUUCAAGCCUAAUAAAAAUGCUUCAUAUGGCAACACCUACAAUUCAAAUUGGAUGAACCAUCCAAAUUUCUCUUGGAAACCAAAGCUACCUCAAUACACACAACCUGCUCAAGCACCUUAGCAAUCCUCGAAUCUUGAACAAGCUAUUGUGAACCUUAGUAAGGUUGUGGGAGAUUAAAAGUCCAUCAAUGCUCAACUGAAUCAGAGAAUUGACAGUGUAGAGAGUACAUUGAACAAAAGGAUGGAUGAGAUGCAAAAUGAUCUGUCUCAAAAGAUAGACAAUGUCCAAUAUGCAAUCUCAAGGCUUACCAACCUCAACACAGUGCAAGAGAAAGGAAAGUUUAUUUCUCAACCUCAUCAAAAUCCCAAGGGUAUCCAUGAAGUGGAGGCUCAAGAGAGAGAAUCUUCAAAGGUGAGGGAAGUCAAAGCAGUUAUCACCUUGAGGAGUGGUAAAGAGGUUGAUCAACCCACAUCCAAGCCAAAGCAUAAUGAAGAGAGUUUUGUAGAAAAAGAAAAGAGAGGAAAAUAAAGGAAAGAGAAUAGAGAAAAGUACAAAGAAAGAUGACCAUGAGUCUAGUGUGGAUGAAGAGCCCAAGAGGAUAGUGAUCAAGGAAAAUAUGAUGAAGAAACACAUGCCUCCACCUUUCCCCUAAGCUUUGCAUGACAAAAAAGGAACCAAUAAUACAUCGGAAAUUUUUGAAGUAUUGAGGCAAGUGAAGGUCAAUAUCCCUUUGCUAGAGAUGAUCAAACAAGUGCCGACAUAUGCAAAAUUCUUGAAGGACUUGUGCACUGUAAAGAGAGGGUUGAAUGUGAACAAGAAAGCUUUCUUGACCGAGCAAGUGAGUUCCAUCAUACAGUGCAAGUCUCCAGUGAAGUACAAAUAUCCGGGCUACCCUACCAUCUCAGUGAGUAUUGGAGGUACUUGUGUGGAAAAAGCUUUGUUGGACUUGGGAGCAAGUGUGAAUUUGCUACCCUACUCUGUCUAUAAGUAGUUGGGACUUGGAGAGUUGAAGUCAACAUCCAUCACCCUAUCUCUGGCAGAUAGAUCAGUGAAGAUUCCAAGAGAGAUGAUAGAAGAUGUCUUGGUUCAAGUUGACAAAUUCUACUAUCCAGUGGAUUUUGUUGUUCUUGAUACGGAUCCGAUUGUCAAAGGAACUAAUUAUGUUCCUAUCAUACGAAGACCCUUCCUAGCUACAUCAAAUGCAAUCAUCAAUUGUAGGAAUGGAGUCAUGAAACUCACGUUUGUCAACAUGACAUUAGAGCUCAACAUCUUCCAUUUGUACAAGAAGCAUAUCCAUUCAGAAGAAAAAGAAGGUCUAGAGGAAGUGUGCAUGAUUGACACUUUAGUGGAGGAGCAUUGUGAUCGACAAUGCAAGAAGAUUUAGUUGAGAGUUUUGGGGAUCUUGAUGAAGGGUUACUUGAACCCUCAGAUUUGCUUGCUACCCUACUCCAUUGGAGGAAGAGAGAAGAAAUUCUACCCUUAUUCAAUGAGGAGGAGACACAAAGAGCUGCUAAAGAUAAGCCCCCAAAGCUUAUUCUUAAGCCACUACCCACAGAGUUGAAGUAUGCAUACUUGGAAGAAGACAAGAAGUGCACUGUUGUUAUAUCUUUAGCUCUUACCAUUCAUCAGGAGGAUUGUCUACUUGAAGUCCUUAGAAGAAGUAAGAAGGUAAUAGGGUGGCAAAUUUCUGAUUUGAAAGGGAUCAGCCCUUUUGUCUGCACCCAUCAUAUUUACAUGGAGGAUGAAGCUAAGCCAAUUCAUCAACCUCAGAGAAGGUUGAACCCUCACAUGCAAGAAGUGGUGAGAGUUGAAGUUCUUAAGCUACUUUAGGCUGGUAUUAUUUACCCCAUAUCAGAUAGCCCAUGGGUGAGUCCUACUCAAGUUGUGCCAAAGAAGUCGGGGAUCACGGUGGUGCAAAAUGAUAAGGGAAAAGAUGUCUCUACAUGUCUCACUAUAGGUUGGAGGGUGCGUAUCAAUUACAGGAGGUUGAAUGUAGUGACAAGGAAUGACCAUUUCUCGUUGCCCUUUAUUGAUCAAGUGCUUGAGAGGGUCUCUGGGCAUCCUUUUUAUUGUUUCUUGGAUGGCUACUCGAGGUAAUUUAAGAUAGAAAUUGAUGUUGAAGACCAGGAGAAGACCAUUUUCACAUGCCCAUUUAGAACCUAUGCAUAUAGGAGAAUGUCUUUCGGCUUAUGCAAUGCACCCACAACUUUCCAAAGAUGCAUGUUAAGCAUUUUCAAUGAUAUGGUGGAGCAUAUUAUGGAAGUCUUUAUGGAUGAUAUCACCAUAUAUGGAAGUGCAUUUGAUGAAUGCUUGGUCAACUUAGAAGUUGUUCUGAACCGAUGCAUUGAGAAAGACUUAGUGCUUAAUUGGGAGAAGUGCCAUUUCAUGGUACACCAAGGGAUUGUCCUUGGGCACAUCAUCUCCAAGCAAAGCAUUGAAGUUGACAAAGCAAAGGUUGAACUCAUUGUUAAGUUGCCAUUCCCAACAAAUGUCAAAGGAGUAAGGCAAUUCCUUGGCCAUGCCGGGUUCUAUAGGAGGUUUAUCAAGGAUUUCUCUAAGCUUGCAAGGCCUCUUUGUGAAAUAUUGGUGAAGGAUGUUAAAUUCAUAUGGGAUGAUAGAUGCCAAAGGAGUUUUGAAGAAUUGAAGCUAUUUUUGACAACCUCACCAAUAGUGAGGGCUCCCAACUAGCAACUGCCCUUUGAGGUAAAGUGUGAUGUCAAUGACUUUGCUAUAGGAGCUGUUCUUGGGCAAAGAGAAGAUGGAAAACCUUAUGUGAUCUACUAUGCGAGCAAGACAUUGAAUGAGGUGCAAAGAAACUACAUAACCACCGAGAAAGAAUUGUUAGCUGUAGUUUUUGCCUUGGAUAAGUUUCGUGCUUACUUGGUGGGAUCCUUCAUCGUGGUUUUUAUUGAUCACUUUGCUUUGAAGUAUCUAUUGACUAAGCAAGAUGCUAAAGCAAAACUGAUUAGAUGGAUUUUCUUGCUUCAAGAGUUCAAUCUCCAGAUCAAAGACAAGAAAAAAAUGGAGAAUGUGGUAGUAGACCACAUUUCAAGGCUAGCUAUCGCACAUAAUUCCCAUGCUUUGCCCAUUAAUGACGAUUUUCUAGAGGGGUCUCUCAUGUUGGUGGAAGUUGUCCCUUGGUACGCUCACAUUGCUAACUACCUGGUCACAAGAGAAGUUCCAAGUGAGUGGAAAGCACAAGAUAAGAAGCACUUCUUUGCAAAAAUUCAUGCCUACUAUUGGGAAAAGCCAUUUCUAUUCAAGUAUUGUGCGGAUCAGAUAAUAAGGAAGUGAGUUCCUGAAGAAGAGCAACAGGGGAUCCUCAGUCAUUGCCAUAAAAAUGCAUGUGGAUGCCACUUUGCUUAUCAGAAGACAACCAUGAGGGUGCUGCAAUCGGGUUUCUGUUGGCCAUCACUUUUCAAAGAUGCCCACACCAUGUGCAAGAGUUGUGAUCGAUGCCAGAGGCUUGGGAAGUUAUCAUGUAGGAACAUGAUGCCUUUGAACCCCAUUUUAAUAGUUGAUCUUUUUUAUGUUUGGGGCAUUGACUUCAUGGGACUUUUCCCUAUAUCUUUUGGCUACUCUUACAUCUUGGUGGGAAUAGAUUAUGUUUCUAAGUGGGUUGAGGCAGUCCCAUGCAAACACAAUGACCAUAGAGUGGUUCUCAAGUUUCUUAAGGAGAACAUCUUCUCAAGAUUUGGGGUGCCCAAAGCCAUAAUUAGUGAUGGGGGUACUCAUUUUUGCAACAAGCCUUUUGAAACUCUCCUAGCCAAGUAUGGGGUGAAGCAUAAGGUAGCUACACCUUACCACCCUCAAACUAAUGGGCAAGUUGAGUUAGCAAACAAGGAGAUUAAAAACAUAUUGAUGAAGGUGGUGAACACAAACAGAAAAGAUUGGUCAGUCAAGCUCUUCGAUUCACUAUGGUCAUGUAGAACAGCUUACAAGACCAUUAUCGGGAUGUCUCUUUAUCACCUAGUCUAUGGAAAAAAUGCCAUCUCCUUGUGAAAUUGGAAUACAAAGCUUGGUGGUCAAUCAAGAAGCUCAACAUGGAUUUGAGCAGAGCUGGGUUGAAGAGGUUCUUAGACCACAAUGAGAUGGAGGAAUUGAGAAAUGAUGCCUACAUCAAUUCAAAAAUUGUAAAAGAAAAAUUGAAGAGGUGGCAUGAUCAGUUGAUUUCCCGCAAGAAUUUUCAAAAUGGAUAAAGAGUCUUGCUCUAUGACUCUAAACUCCACAUCUUUCCGAGCAAGCUGAAAUCAAGGUGGAUAGGUCCUUUUACCAUUCACCAAGUGCAUUCAAAUAGAGUAGUGGAACUACUCAACUCCAACAACAUCGGGAGCUUCAAAGUGAAUGACCAUUGUCUCAAGCCCUUUGUAGAGUCUUUUUUCUCGCGACAAGGAGGAAUUCAUCCUCCUUGAUCCACAUCAAGCUUGACAAGACCAGUUUUUUUUUAUGGACUUAGUCUUUCUAAAGACUAUCGAGUCCAUAACUUUUUAUUUUAUUUUUUAUUUGAGAGUUUUUCGGUAUUAUUACUUGUUUUGUUUUUUAUUUUUCGUUUUACUUUUAUUUGGUUUGAUUUAACUUAGAUUUUUUAUGAUCAAUUGCAGGGGGGAUUUCAAAUAGAGGAAAAACCAAGAUAAUUCGCACACCCUGCGAAAAUUUCGCAAGGCAUGCGAAAUUUAUGGCUCAUUUCGCAUGGGAUGCGAAAUUUCGCACACCCUACGAACCAAUUUCGCACACUUUGUGAAAAUAAACCAACCCUACGAAAUCAUUUCAAAUACUCUACGAAAUUUUCGCAGAGCAUGUAAAAAAUUUCGCAGACCAAACACCAUUUCGCAUACUAUGCGAAAAUGUAAGGGGUCUACAAAACCAUUUCGCACCUCCAAAGCCAUUUCGCACAUUGUGCAAAAAUGAAAAGUCGCCCUAUCAUCCAUUUUUAAACCCCUUGAGCCCUGAAAUCCCCAUUUCGCAAGCACCCCUGUCCUUGCGAAUCCCUCAUUUUCCUCUGCCACCUUGCGACCUUGUCCCUCUCCAUUUGAUAUCGUGCCCUGCGCACAUCUCAUUUCAAAGACUCGCACUCUGCGCCCUCUCAAAGCACGAACCCAAGGCUCACAUUCCAUUUCCGACAUGGCACAGACCCGAGGAGCCCUUCCCGCCCCUUCAUCGAGACGCACACCAAGGUAGAGAGCCUCUUUUGCUCAGAUGCCAAGUGAUUCUCCAUUUCAGGCCACGGAGGCCCUGCGGAUUCCACAUUCCAAGGGUAGAACAGCCACUGGUCCUUCCUCUUCUAUUCCUCAGCGUAGAUAUGAGACGAGGAGACCACCUACUACACAAAGGGCGACUACUUCGCGCCAUGAGAAUUCGGUACGACACCCUCCUGCCAAGAGGGCCAGGACUUCAGGCCCAGGCGAGUCAUCCAAAGCUUCACAGCCUGAGCCUCCUGCAGAUUCCGAGGUUCCUACUGACAUAUCAUCGGAGUCUAUUAUCAAACGCCCGAUGCUCACAGCACCGCCCAUUGAGGGCAACUCUGAUUGUAGAGCGAGACCUUUCCACUUGGAGCUAUAUUUUAAUUAAGAGGCCAUGCCACAGCAGCCUGAGCUCCAAGACUCUUAUGGCUUACUACAGAGGUACCAUCUUGAGGACCUUAUGACUCCUCGUGAGUUCUUUUAUCCCAGAGUAGCACUAGACUUUUACCAGUCCAUGACUACUCGUGGCGUCCCGAGUCCUACCGCGAUGCACUUCACCAUUAAUGGACGUCAUGGUAUCCUCGAGGCCAGACAUAUUGGAGAGGCUCUACAGAUUCCUUUCGAGCUAGAGGACCCAUCUGUUUUCUGCCAAUGGUCCCCAAUAUCUCAGAGGGACAUGGUCCAUAUUUUAUCCAGGGGGACAUCUACAUAUUCGAUCCUUCUACGGAAGGAGCUUCGACCUGGGAUACUCCUCGUAGAUGUGGUGCUACUUUCCAACCUCUUUCCCUUUUAGCAUUCGAUACAUAGGCGAGGAGCUAUUUUGGACGCUUUAUUCUGUAUAUCAGAGGGCUUCUACUUUGGCCCGCACCACUUGAUCAUGGUUUCCCUCAUCCAUUUUGAGGAGAAGGUCCAUAGAAAGAAGCUUCAGAGGGCGAACACCAUUCCAUUACUAUUCCCGAGGUUGCUCUACUAGAUCUUGGAGUACAUGGGCUUUCCUACUGAGCCUCGGCUUGUGUGCCGCCGCCUUUGUCAAGAGCGAUCCACUCUCGACAAAUGGAAUCAGUUGGCGGGCUAUUCUACACCUCCAGGAGCCCCUCCCAUGGUAGCACCUCUAGUGUCCCCACAGGCAGAGUAGGGCAAGCUCCCGGUAGAGACUGCACCCCUAGUGCCCACACCUGAGGCUACUUCUGCUGUUCCGCCUACGACUCCUACUGUUCCACCAGUUGGUCCUUUUACAUCUGAGUCUUCCAUCAACAUCUCGACUUCGGAGUUUCGCGCCCUUGUGCAUACCUUUCAGACACUCACCACCACACAUACUGCUCUCUUCUAGAAAAUGGCUGAGAUGCGUGCCCAUCAGGACCAGCAGACUACUAUACUCCGCCAAAUUCAACAGCACCUGGGACUUCUGCCUCUGCCUCAGCUUGACCUUCCCACAUCAUCAGAGCCUCUAGCUCCAGUUGAGGAUACUAUUCCACCUGAGGACACUACCACAGUAGAGGUUCAGAUUCCACCACCUCAGGAGGCCACCACAGCUACAUUAGAGGAUGCAUCAUCUCCACCUGAGGCUCCCACUACUUGAUCAUAGGACAUCUCUUUAUCUUAUUGUAUUUACAUAUUAUAUUACUGGAGAUUUGUCUUUGUUUUGAUACUUUAUAUUCUGGCAUUGAAUGUAUUGCCUAAUGAUAUCUCAAUUGUACUUUCUCAUAUUAAUAUAUAGACAUCAAUUUUUUUUAGUAUACUUAGGAUUUUUCUAUUUACUCUACUCAUUACUCUUUUGUUUUUUUUUUUUUACUCAUGUGGUUUCUCCUAUACGACUCAGACUCCAUUUCACUCAGGAGGUACCACUUCUUCCCUUUAUUUUCAAUUGCUCUUGAAACAUUGAGGGCAAUGUUGAUCUUGGUUGGAGGGAGAGUUGAGGAAGGAAGUGAUUACUACUCAAAAAGUGCUAUUUCAUAGCUUGUAAUUAACUCUUUUAAAACACUUUUGAGUAGUAGUUAUCACCUUUUAACCCAAUUAACAUAUUAAGGACCCUUGCAAUCAAUUCUAAUCAAAUUGUGUUAAGUUUUGGUAUUUUGAUAGCUUUUUUAUCACCAAAGCAAUCCGAGAUUGAGGAUAUUUAUUUGGAAUCCAUGGCAAAAGAUGUUUGGACAGGACGUCCGGACACACCAUCGGAGGGCGGCGGAACGUGGGCUGUGGCAGGCUGUCGGAAUGACGUAGCAAGGCUUGUGCACUUUAGCCAAUGAUCGGGAUAACAUAUCCGAAAUUCUGCUCCGCCGACAUUCCACCCGGAUGUCUCACAUCCGGAAUUCUGCUCCGCCGACAUUACACCCAGAUGUCUCACAUCCAAAAUUCUUCUCCGUCGACAUUCCAUCCGAAUAUUUCACAUCCGACGCUUGACGCCGGAUGGGAGAGGAGGGCGUUUCAACUUCCCCGGUCAGACAUAUCCGAAUCCUUUGAUAACGCUUACCCGGAGAGUUUCGCAGCCAUUUUGCACAGUGCCGCGGUGUUCUCUUGAAGCUUCCCGAUAUGUGCGACCGACAUUUUGAGAUAUUUUGCUUUAGAUAUUUGAUGUCUAAAUCCCCAAACUCUCCUUGUAACCCACCAAUUAUAGGAUUCCUUAGUUAUUAAGUUUGGAAAAAUGGUGAAUAACCCCUUAUAUAUAGUUUGCAAUUUUCAUAAAAAAGAUAUGUAGAAUCUCGGGAGCUUGUUCCCAGAGAGACGCAUCCUUUGUACAGUUUUGGAAGGAAGUAAAAUACAGAGCACUUGCUCUGCUUUUCAUAUAUAUUUUUGUUUUCUCGUUCUUUUUAUUUCUAGCCAAUCAAAGUCUGAGGAUUUUUCCUCAGAGGAUGAGAGGCUAGGCUCUUCGUCUCUUGGAGUGAAGAAAACUAGGUAAGUUUCCACAUGCAUAAAUUGAAAGUUUUGUUGUUUUAGUUUUUAAUGAAGAGAAAGUGUGACCCGUUAAUGGUUUUUAUCUUUUUAGUUAACUUAAAACGCCUUUAAAUCACCCGGGCCAACACUUGAUAAGGCAAGUGGUCUCCAUCCAUUGAGAUGCACUAGUUUAUCUCUUGCGAGCCUUUGGGAGGUGGUUUGAAGGUAGGAUUUUCUAGAAUAACCAACACUUGAUAAGCUUUUGGACUCUAAGGAGACAUCCAUUAGUUAUCUCUUGCGAGCUUUUGACGGGUAAUCCAAGGUUAAAGAUCACCUUGAAUGGCAAGUACUAGGUGAGAGGUAUGAGCCAUUGCAAGAUGCAUUAGUGAGAGGGAUUUAGUGUUUGAACCCAUUAAAGGGAAGCAUCUGUACCACACCGGUUCGGGAAAUAACUAUAUGUUAAAUCCCCAAUGAGAGGAAAAGAAACAAGUGACCGGAACUCCCUUUUUGUAUAAGGAACCUGAGCCUAGUGAUCUAAACUCCAAGAAACACUUUUCUUUGUAAGUAAAAUCAGUUACUAUUUUUGGUUAGUUUAAAACCAAACCUUUUUCAUUCAAACAUCUUUAUGUUUUCUUUUAAAGCUAACCUUGAAAUGAAAAGGCACCAAUUCAUAUUUGAAUUAAUAUCAAUUGUGAAGUGAAAACCCAUCCCAGUGAACGAUCCUAGAGCCACUAUGCUAUAGUAGCUUUGUCUUUGCUACCCUAGUUCAUGGUUUAAUAGGUUAUAAAUUUUGUUGAUUACUCCCACAAUCAAAGGAGCACCAGUUGGACAUGAAUCAACUGAGACACUAAUUGGGCACAAAUCAGGAAGUUUUGUUAAUAAUGCUAGGUUAAUUUGUUAAUUUAGUUACUUUCUGCUUAAUUUUAAAAGUUUUCACUUUACUUUCCAUAGUUAUUAAGGAAAAAUUCUCAAAAUGAAAUGGGAGAAAUUGAAUUCUUACAUUUUUACUUGAAUUUUAGAAUUUGUAUUAUGCUUAUUGAAGCUGAUGAAUUAUUGAAACUCCUAUUGAAUUCAACCUUAUUUCUUCCACUUUAAUCUUACCACACACGGUGCACAUUAGGUUCCGAUUAUAAGAGGUGCGUUCUUAGCCUAUUGGAGGUUGGUCAAUUUGUUAAAGUUUGAGAAAGAUCUAGGUUAGGGGAGAGAGAAUAGUCUGACAUACUAUAAUCGAAAACUAAUAAACUUAACACUUAGAUCUUUGUGGAAGAGUAAGGAUUGGACCUUUGGGAGUGGAAAUUCGUUUGAUGCUUAAAUUUGCAUAAUGCUUACACUUUAUAAAUUGUGAUUAGGCAAGAGAUUUGAUGACUCUUGUUCAAGGUUGGGUUUUGCCUCUUUGAUGUUCCAUGAGAGAGUAUAAUCCUCAUCAUGCCACUUGAAAUUUUUUUUGGAGUGAUUAACAUGAUUUUGUAAAUUACUUUACUGUCUAUUUUUUUUUUAUCUCUCCUUCAUUGCUAAUGGACUAGCAAUAUGUCAGUUGAGGGGAGUGAUUACUACUCAAAAAGUACUCUUUUAUAGCUUGAAACUAACUGUUUUGAACACUUUUGAGUAGUAGUUAAUACCUUUUAACUCAAUUGGCACAUUAAAGAACCUAGCAAGGGUUACUAAUUAGUUUUUGGCAAGUUUUGGUGUUUUUGGUAGCUAUUUGAUCAUUGAAACAAGCCAAGAAUGAGGGAGAAUUUUGUGAAGUCCAUGGCAAUGCAAGUUAAAGCUCAAAUACAUGAAGAAUCCAAGCUUUGGAGCACUUCAUAGCCCUUUCCAAAGCCAAUCAGAGAUGCAAGGAAGAAAACCAGAGGAAGAAAUCCAACAAUUAGCAUUUUCGCAUGGCUGUGCGAAAUUUCGCACACCAUGCGAAACCACAAGAGGCAGCCAAAGAAUUUUGCACACUAUGCGAAAUUUCGCAUGGUAUGCAAAAUCUUCUUGUGCACCAACUCCGUUAUAUUUUUAUCUCAAAUAUUUUGUGUAAUUUCCUAGUUUCUCCUUGUAACCAACCUAGAUAUUUUCUUUUAUAUAUUUUUUAGGUAACAUCAUCUAUAGGGGGAGAGACAUAAGGAGGAUAUGGAUGUUUUUCAUAGAACACUUGUAAAUUUCCGGUAGUAAGAAAUAUACAGAGCUUUUUGCUCUACCUUACCUUCUCAUUUUGUUUUCACUUGUCUUUCUAGCCAAACAACCUCUGAGGAUGAUUUCUUAGGGAAUGAGUGGCUAGGUUUUACGUUUCUUGGAGUGAGGGAAGCUAGGUGAAAGACCCGAAUGCUAAGGUGGGAGUUGUCCUUGCUUUAAAUGAAAGUAGUUGUUAAACAUUAAUGGUUUUUAUUUUAAGGUUUAGCUUUAAAUCCCUUAAAAACAUCUUGAAUGGUCAAUACUUGGUAGGCUUUUUGGAUUCUAUGGAUGCUUAUUGCUAGAUCCCUGGAUGUCUAUUAGUUAUCAUUUAUGAGCCAUUGGAAGGUGGUUCAAGAUGAGGGUCUUUAAUGUUUGAAGCCAUUAAUAGGAAACAAUUACCAUUCUUUCAUGAAUCCUUUGGAUCAAAUCUUAAUUGCUAAAUAUAAAACUAGUUCGGGAGAUAACCAUCCUUUAUGUUAUUAUGCCCAACGCGAGGAGAAGAUUCGGAAUCUUCCCCUUUGUCUAAGGAACCCGAUCCUAGUGACCUAAAGCUCUAAGAGACCUUUUCUUUAUAGUUAACUUCACUUAUUGUUUUUUCUUAACUUAAAAUCAAUCUUUGCAACCACAAUUCCAUUUUCUUUGAAAGCUAAUUUUCAUAAGGAAAAUCACCAUUUUAUUUUCUUCCCUAAGUCAACUGUACGAUGAAAACCCAUUCCCAUGGACGAUCCUAGAGCCACUAUACUAUGUUAGCUAUGCUACCCUAAUGUGAGGUGAUUUAGGUUUUAUAAAUUUUGUUGAUAACACCUGUUUGAGCCAGAAUCAAAUGGCGCAACUGAACCAGGGACGAAUCAACAACUUAUAUGGGAGGGACACAAGUUUAAUUGAUUUGCAUUUCAACGUUAUAUAUAGGUAUGUUUUGGAAGAUUUGUUCUGGAAAUACUGCACCAAGUACGAUUCUUUUUGUCUUGAGUGGGUCUACUUGCAUGCCAAUUAACGAGUGGAAAAGUAGGAGCACCUACCUCAUGCUCGCGGAACCGAAGGUCAGUGAAGUGGGGCUCCUUUUGGCCUCUUGUGUUUCUAUUCCAACCAAGGCGGCGUAAGGAAAAACAACAAUAUGUUUGUGCUAAAUAUCAACGCAUGAUAGAUGUUUUUGUUUUUUGGUAUGUCAAGGCUAAUGAAUGAAAUGCUUUAGCUUGUUUUGUGACUGGAACUGCAAAUGUCCAAAUUGGAGUAUCUCCAUUUCUCACUUCGGAUGGUUAACUUAUAAACAAGAUAUAGGAAACAUGUGAACAUCUUGAGGAACAAUUUGAAUUAUUCAUUAGAAGUCCUGGGUUGAGUUCCAAGAUUUAAAUUAGACCCCUCUAGCAGCUUCAGGGGUACCUAGCAACCUAUAGCAUAUUAAUGAAGAUUUAGGAUUUAGACUCUAGAAUACAAAUUAAUAUGUAUCUCAUGCUUUGACUAGCUUCCCUACAUAUGCACAAAAUGGAGAUGACCUAAAAAAAUAGCAGAAUCUAGCUUCCCUACAUAUGCACAAAAUGGAGAUGACCCAAAAAAUAGCAGAAUUUCCUUAGUUUCUGUGGUUAAGGUGAUUCUCCGCUUAAUAUCACAUUGACUCAUUAUGCAAAAUCAACUGAGCUAAUUUUGUUUAUUUAUUUAAUGUCAAAUAGGAACUCCUAAUUAACCUAACCCUUGGCCUGUGUAAAUUGAUUUCACAUGCCCAAUGUUGAAGUAGAAGUCCAUAUUUUGAAUUUUAUUUUUGUAAAGGUAAGGAAAAUGAAGCAUUGUGUAAUUAUAAAAAUAACUUCAUUGGAAUUCACAAGGUUCACCCAAAAUGGAGCUACAUCCGUAUUCUAUCCUGCAGUAGACUAUAUAGAUUGUACAAUAGUAAAUUGCAAAUACAAUUAAUAAGUCUUGUGCUUCCUUACUAAUAAUCCUUUGACAUGAACAUUGCAGCACUAAGGUCCUCUUGGGAAGACACCUUGCACCCAUGAGAGCACGAAGAGGAAGCAAGGCAGAGUCAUGGGUGCAAUGUCAUGACUUGUUGUUGCACCAAGAGAGGCUUGGUGAUGGCAUGGUGUUGCAGUAGCAAGAAUGUUGCCUUGGUAGGGACAUAAUCUAGGGAUAGAUGCCAAGAAAGGCUUAGCACUCACAUGAGUUGCACAAAGAUGAAUGUAAUAGAGCAUCAGAGAGACGUCUUGGCAAGUAAAUGAAUGGAUCCAAGAGGCAACAACAUGAGGAGUUUCAAAUGGAUAAGGAAUGAGUCAAAGACAUUUGAAAGCUACAAGUUGGAUUCUAAUUACGAUUGCAAUUUGAGUUUGAGUAGGAGUUUAGAUUCUGAUUGUAAUUGUAGUAUGAGUUGGACUAGGAUUGCUUAUCCCUAGUCAAAAUAGGAGUGGUUCGUGUCACACCCUAUGAAAAGAGUUUGAGUAGGGACUAGGAUUGCUUACUCCUAGUCAAAUAUGGAGUAGGUGGUGCCACACCUAUAAAAAAAAAGGGACAACAUGAGAGAGAGAGAGAGAGAGAGAGAGAGAGAGAGAGAGAGAGAGAGAGAGAGAAAGAGAUAAUGAAUUCACUAAAGAUAUUGUGGGAGUUUUUCUUUGUUACGUCUUGUAUUAUUACUUAGAAUAGGAAUAAAAUACAAGUUUGGGCUAGAGCCCCAUAAUUAAUCUCGUGUGCCUUUGUGGUUAUUCUUUAUUUGUCAUCUCGUGUGGAUUGGAUUACAUUGACUUAGAGGGCUUCUAAGCACCACCUUUGUGGGUUAUUAUUUAUUUUCCAUUUCUUGUGGAUUAGAUUAGGUUGACUUUGAGGGCUUUUAAGCACCACCUUUGUGGGUUAUUCUUUAUUUUCCAUAUCGUGGGGAUUGGAUUAGGUUGACGAUGAGAAAAAUUAUGUGGGAAAUUUGUGUUGGGACACUUAUCAUAACCAGGUAAAAUCUGCCAAGUCCUUUGUAAUAUCUUCAACAAAUAUUUCAGACUAGUUCUUCACCAUAAACAUCAUAUUGUGUUUUGUUUUUCUCCUGGAUUCUGAGUUGAAUUGUUUCAAGUCAAUUGAAUGCAUCUGAAUAUUAUUAGCUUGUUUGAAGGCCUGGUGAUUUUCCAUUUAACUUUACUUUCUUUAGGUUAUGCUCACUAUAAGAAAAAUGAGAAAUAAUGACGCUUUUUACGCGUUAAGAAAGGCAACAGAUGAUGCUUCUCUAAAGCGUCCUCUUCGGCUCUGUCAUUAUAUGUGUUAGCCAAUAAUGACGCUUCUAGGAAGUGCCAUCUUUGAAUAAUGUUAAUAACGACACUCGUAAAAAGUGUCAUCUUUAAACAUAUUCUGGUCAAAUAAUUUUUACAAAAUUAGUAAUCUUCAAGCCGUUUCUGAAUCAUAUCUGAGCCUAUUUCUGGGGACCAGAAAACCAUCUUUUUUCCAUUCGCCUGAGAGGUCUGAUUAGCAUUUCUGGAAUCAAUCUCUAAACCCAAGCUUCCCUCAUCUACCCAUUUAACCCUCAUGCCCUCCUGUUUGAACAACUUUCCCACUAUAUACACAAAUUUUUUACCUUCUGUUGUUGGUAUUCGACCUCUUCCCAUUCCCAGCACAGAAUCCACCAUUAGUGCCACUUUGUGAAUAAAAUCAUCGAACCAGAUCUUUCGGGCGGAAGAUGAGCUCCAGAGAAAUAAAAUUUUUGGGGUCUUCCCAGCAUGAAAGUCAUAGGUAGCAUUAAUGACAUCAAGAAAUGGGGCACUGUUGAGAAAAAACAUGUUCCCAUCAACCACCCAAGAAUUGUACCAGACUCCAAACACUUCUGGAUUACAUAUGCCUUUACUAAGAUAUAUUUCUUGAUCUCCAUAUCAGAAUCUUGGAGACUCUUCAUUUUAUGAGCUCUGACACUACUGUGAAAUUGGUCCACAUCAAUCACAGGAUGACCCCUUCUAGCAAGAUCAAGCAGGAAGUCUGAAUUCGGGCCCAUAAAAAUGUAGUUCUGAAUAUUGAAACUCUCAAAGUGGCACAACAAAUUCCUUAUGACUCUUUCAGAUGCUCCAAACAGGCUCACAAGUAUAAUGGUAUCCUGUUUUUGCACAGAGUAAAGAAAAUAUCCGAGUUCUUCAAAACUCCUUACAACUAUUCCAGGAUGUACUUCUUUGAAACAGAAAUCGUACCACUUUAGCUUAGUCAGAGGUUGAAUCUAAAAUAACAAAACCCAAACUGAAAUCAAAAUCGAAAUCAACCCUAAUAGAUUUCAGAAACAACAAAUUAAAAGAGUAAAGCACAAAAGGGGGAAAACACAUAUGAAGCAAUCUCCAUACAAGCCCUAACCUUAGAUAAACCCAAAAAAAAAAAUCAAAGCAGAGAGUUACCAUAGAGCAUCUCUGUUUCAAGCUUAGAAAAUGUUUAAUGCCAUUGAUAACUAGUUGGCUAGUGGUGGACUUCAAGCUUCUCUAUUUCGGUGUUAGUAGCUCUCAAUGGCUAUGGUGAGAACAAAGAAAUGAGAGGCUUAGGGUUUGGGAUGUGAGGUUAUUGAUGAUGAUGAGGAUAAAGUUAUGGGCUCUUGGAGGGGUUAGGGAAAUUGAAGAUGGCUGAGAGUAAAGGCUAGGGUUUUUGAGAUAGUUAAUAGCUUUUUAGGGUGUGACUGUCCAUAGAUAGAAGAUAAAUGAGGGUGUGAGAAUUUAUAGAUCUCUAGGUGAUAUGGCGGGUGUGAGAAUGAAAUUUUAGAGGGAAUUGUGUGUUUGGUAGAAAUUUCACACAUGCAUAUAUAAUGUUUCAGAACAUGGCACUUUAAAAAUACGACAAGGAAGAAAUUAUUUAUUGACGCUUAAAUAAAGCGCCAAGGUCUCCAACAUUUUUGCAAUCAAUGACGUUUGUAAAAGGUGCCAUUGAAUAGGAGUGCCAUUGCUUUCCCACAAAGCAUCAUUGUUAAUCAAGCCUUUAAAAAACGCCAAGAUAUGUUGCCACUUAGGUUAAAUAUUGACGCUUUUAAAAAACGCCAAGGAAAAAAACGUCAUUAUUCAUGUUUUUUGUAGUAGUGGCUUGAUUCCUAAAAAGUAAAGGAAAGCAAAAAGUAAAAAAAUAAAAAUGUGGAGAGUUAGGACAUGCGUUAUCUAAUUGUCCUAGUCCCAAAUAUAUUAAGAAAGUCAUGUAGGUUACUUGGAGUAACGAGUCAAGUAAAGCAAGCCUUCUAGUGUUUAAGACAUUAGAUAUUACCGAACUGAUUAUGUCAUUAAUGUAUUGCAUUUGUUGUUUCUAAUAUAUAGAAGAAGAUGAAAUUAUUGGAAUAAGUGGGAAAUAGGAAUAAAUCCAAGGUACCAAAAAGUCACUUUAUCUUAGAUGUUGUUGGAAACAUAAGUGAUUUCACAAUAACGACUAUGAGACAAUCAAGGAUUAAUAAGAUAGACUUUAUAUGAUAUACCUCCCAAUUAGAGCCUAAAAAUAUGGAUGAAGCACUUAGAGAUGAAUCUUCAAUUUUUGUACUAUAGGAAGAAUUAAAUCAAUUUGUUAGCUAUUCUUUGGAUAUUUGAUUCAUCACAAGCUACAAAUCACUUUUGAUGACCAAACACGAAACUAAGAGGAUUGGGCCCAAUUCGAUGCCUAUCAACAAUGAUUUGUAUUCCACCUCAUUAAUUAUUCAAAGUUGGGAAGCUAGGUCUAACCACUUUCUCUACCUGUUCACCCUUAGAGGAGCAGAAGAAAAUUCUAACUUUGGUGCCUAAUGCCUUUGACAAUCUUUCGACAAAGAGAGUUCACUAAUUACUUUGAUUAUUUCUCUGUUGGUCACUGGGGGACAAGACUUUUGUAAUGAAGUCAACUAGAACUUGCCCUUUGAGGGCCAUUCAUGGACGAUAUUACACCAUGAAUUCCCUUAGGUCAUGUUUGGUAUGUGAGAAUGAGGAGUGGAAUGGACAUCUUAUUCAUUUUUUCAUCUAUUCAAAUGUUGGGAUAACUCAAGUGACCAUGAGAAUGAAAUCAAGAAUGAUUCAAGGGAAAUGAAAUCUUACUUAUAAGUGUGAUUUCAAUUAAUCUCUAAUAGAAAUUAUUUUGAAUCAAUAGUGCAAGUUAUUUUUAAAAACAUUUUUCCAAAAUUAAAAAAAUCAAUUUUUUUUUUUUCGAUAAGUUGUUUUUAAAAGGAUUUUUUUUAUUUUGUAAAAAGAAAAUUGUAAUUCAAUUUAUAUAAUAUAAACUAAAUUUUAUUUUAUUCAAAAAGAAAUAAUUUUUUAAUUAUAAAUAAAUUAAAAAUAAAUACUUUUAAUAAAAUAUAAAUAGUAUUAUUAUAAUAAAAUCAUAAAUAAAUUUAAUUUUUUUUAUAAAUAUUAUAAAAAUAUGGAUAUUAACAUUGGAUAAUUGAUUUAUUUUGUUAAAAUAAAAAAUAAUAAUUUUUAAUAUUAUUUUAUGUUAAAUGAAUUUUAAAAUAAAGAAAGUUUAAUUAUUUUAAGGUAUAGAAGAGCCAAAUUUUGCAUUACAUACAUAACAAACAAUAUUUAUUAGAAACAUUUCUCAAGGAGAAUCUUAUUCCAUCUCACAAAGAUACUCGUUUAUUCGAUGUUUGACCAUCCGUAACAAUCAUGUCAAUUCUACUGAUUUAAUAAUUCCUUUACAUUUAUUACUCACUUAUGAACAUGGUAUUGUGAUUUAUUUAUUUAUUUGAUGUAUAAUUAAUUAAUCAAUUUUUUAAAUUUCAAAUUAUUUUUAAAAACUAUUCAUUAAGGAAUUUAAAGCAUUAAUUAUGUCUAUUAUUUUUUAUAGUCAUUAUAUAUAUAUUGAGUUUUAAUUUAUUUUUAAAAAUUAUUAAACUUAUUAAUAAAUUCAAUAUAAAGUCUCGUUUCAUUUGAAAUUCAUUUCUUUAGUGAAAAUUUUGAAAAAAAAAUUGUUAUUUAUUUUACUUUGUUUUAAAAAAAUUGUUUCUAGAGAACAAUAAUCAAAUAAUGGUAUGAAUUUUUAAAAACAAUUUUGUUUUUAAAUCAUAUGCCCAAAUAAUUUUUUUUUAUUUAGCAAAAAACUUUGUUGUAGUAUGUGGCUCAUAUUGAGGGAAAGACAUAUAUGGAGAAAAAUGUGCAAAUGUUGGAGUGGAGCGGAGUGGAAUGACGACAUUUGUCAUUCAAACUUGUAUUUUUAUUGUUAAGGGUGACCGAUAGGUUGGUACGGUUUAGGGGUAUUUUUGGAAUUUCAUUACCUGAGGGUUAGUAUAAAUACCAUUUUAUGUAACCCUAAUUUUACAUAUAAUGUAAGUUUUCUUCCUUGUUCUUGUGGACAUAGGCAAUCCGUCGAACCACGUUAAAUCUGUGUGUUUUUUUUUCUUUUUUCUUUUUCUCUAAUUUCUUCACCAGGAAUCGUUACACUAAGAUCAACAAACUCUCAAAGAUGAUUUUUAAAAUGAAAAAAAUAAUGUAUAGUGUGAGAAUUUUUUAUUUUUUAUUUUUUUAAAAUGAAAAUAAAAAAUUGCUUUAAGGUAAAAGUGUGGAUAUUAUUGUUAAUUUAUUUCAUUUUUCAUUUUCAUUUCCAUUGUUACCUACAAUUGAAAUGGAAACAACUAAUCAUUACAACCUUACAUUCUUAUAUGCAUCCAAAUACAAAAAUUGAAAUCACCAAAUUCAUAUUCAAGGCAAAAUAGGAAUGAAAACAAAUAUUCAUUCUCAUUCUUUAUUCCCACGUGUCAAACAUGACCUCAAAGUUAUAAACAUGAACAAGAAGUCCUUGAAACACCAAUGAUCUCUUCUGGUAUAUAUAUGAGCUUGAUUGACAACUGUUUUAAAUACAGUUUUUUUUUUUUUUGUUUUCAAAAUCAAAACAAAUUUAUUUUUAUUUUUUAUAAAUAGUAGUUUUUUAAUAUUUUUUUUAAACCUUAUUAUGAAAAUAGGAUGUUUUCUAAUAUCAUAUUUUAAUUAUUUUCAAUUAUUUUCCCUUCUUUUAAGGAGGGCUAUUUUAAAAAUAUGAAAAAUGAUACAAAAUAAAGCAUUACAAAUAAAAAUCAUUUUUAAGAAAUAUAUGAAAAUAAUUUGAGAACAUUUGAAGUUCCUUAAUUAAACUUUUGUUCUAGAAAAUGCAAGAAAACUGUUUUUGAAAAUUGUUUUCAUAAUGAUAUGCAUUGAUCGUUUAAAAUUUAAUUACAUGAUAAAAAGACCUAUGUAAAAACCAGAGUUAUAUAAUCAGUCAUAGAUCAAAUCUACUAAAUAUGAAAAGUAAGUACAUAGUUGUAUAUGACUUAGAUGGAGCCUUCUCCGAAUGACAUUCUUUAGUCGGUACUCAUAUUUUUUUGUUUCGUGUCUUCAACAUAACACCUCAUGAUCCUUAAUAAAUCACCUGAAAACUAUAUUAGCACCUUAUUGUUUAAUAUUUCUCUAAAUUUUUUUAUUAAGCAAAUAAAUUCCAAAUUUAAAAUGACAAAUAAAAUUUAUUAAUUUUUAAAAAUAAUUUAAAACUCAAAAACCAAUUUAAUUGAUAUUAAAAGUCAUGAAACUUAAUAAUAUUAGAAAGUCAUGUAUCCAAAUUUAUUUUAAAUGACUUGUUUAAUUUCUUGUUUAUAUAUAUUAUAUUUUUAUAAUUUUUUUUACUAUACAAAUAAAUUUUAAAUUAAACAAAACUUAAUGCGUUGAAUUCAUUAACGAGUCUAAUAAUUUUUAAAAGUUACUUAAAAUUUAAAUACUAAAUCAAUUAGUACCACAAAUUCAUGGAAAAAAAUUGAUUUAUUACUACUAUAUUGUUUCUCUAUUGCAUAGAACCAUUAUUUUUCAAUUUUUUCAUUUGGCAAAUGAACAUCAAAUUAAACAAGACUAAGUGUAUUAAAUUCAUUAAUGGGUCUAGUAAUUUUUUAAAAUAAUUUAAAAUUCAAAUAUUGAUACUCCAAAUUAAACAAGACUUAGGUGGUGUUUGUUUUUUGGUUGAAUAGAAAAAGGUAAAAUAUUUGACUUUUUCUAUUUAGUUAAAAGUAACUUGUUGACAUCGUCCAAUAUAAUUAAAGUAAACCUAUUGAGGGCAAGUUCACUUUAAUUAUGUUGGACGAUGUCAACAGGUUACUUUUAACUCAAUAGAAAAAAUCAAAUAUUUUGACUUUUUUUUUAACUCAAAUAAUAAAUCCAUUAAUACAAAAAAAUUAUGGAUAAUUUGAAACUUUCUUUCUUUUUUUUUUUUUUUUUGCUACACAUAGCUAUAUUUUUAUAAAUUUUAUCAUUAGAGAAAUGGAUUUCAAAUCAAGUGAAACUUUGUAUUGAAUUAAUGGAUUUAACAUUUUUUAAAAAUAAUUUGGAACUAAAAAAAAAAGAUUUAAUUACUAAGAAAAUCAUAGAUCAAAACUAAUAUAUUCUGAUCCAUGAUUUUAUUAUUUUUCCUAUACAUACAAUUAUAUUUUUAUAAUUUUCUCACUAGGUAAAGAUAUUAUAAAUUAAGUGACACAUAAUUAAUAAUUUAAAUUUUUGAAUGAAUCUUUUAAUUUUAGGAAUAAUUUGAAAUUUAAAAAGUUGAUCCAAUUAAUUGUAAAUUAACUUAAAAUAUUAUAAAAUAUUAUGUUCAUAAUUAAGUACUAAAUGUAUAUAUGUAAUGAAAACUUAACUAGUUACAUGUUACAAAAGCCAAAAUUUAUUCAUUCUUUAUUUUAAAUAAAAUAUUAUUAAUAAUUAUUUUUUUUAAAAUAAUAUUUAGUAAUUAUUGUUUUUAAAUUAUUAUUAUUAAUUUUUAAUAAAAAAAUUGCAAAGUUAUUAAUAUCAUUAUAUUUCUAACAUAAAUUUAAAUAGUAUAUUUUUUAAUAUAUAUAUAUAUAUAUAUAUAUAUAUAUAUAUAUAUAUAUAUAUAUAUAUAUAAUUUAUGAUUUCAUUAUAAUAUUUUUAUUCAUGAUUGACGAAAAAUUAUUUAUUGUUUAAUUUAUUUGAAUUGCAAAACUAUUUUUCAAAAUUCAAGCGAGAAAAUAGGCCUGGAUUUGAAUUUCCUGUAGAAGAGAAGGAUGUGGAGAAUAUGUUGGGAGUAUUUGUGGAUAAAGAAAAGGCCAGGGUACUGAGAAAGGAGAGAGAACUUGCUCUUGCCAAAAGAGCCCUGCACAGGUAUUCUACUGAUUCUAAUUAUCGGUUCUUACAUGAUCAGAUUUCAGAUUUAUUUGCUGAGCUUCUGAAAUCUGAUACAGUAUUUAAACUCCGGUGAGCUUUACAAGAUUAGUCUCGCAUCCAAUUCCAAAUGGUGUCCCACAAUUGAUUCUUCUUAUGAUAAAUCCACCUUGAUAUGUGAAAAUAUUGCUCGAAAGGUUUAUCCUCGCGAGGAAUAUCCAGAAUACUAAGGAAUUGAGGAGGCUCACUAUGUUUAUAGAGUCAGGGAUAGGUUGAGAAAACAAGUAGUUGUUCCAUUACAUAAGGCCCUGGAGUUGCCAGAGGUUUUCAUGUGUUCGAACAAGUGGGGAUCACUUCCCUACAACCCUGUGGCUUCAGUGGCCAUGAAAUCAUACAAGAGCCUCUUCUCAAACCAUGAUACAGAGCGGUUUGGUGAGUAUCUUGAGAAAGUGCAAACUGGGAAGGCUAAGAUUGCAGCUGGUGCAUUACUUCCCCAUGAGAUUAUAGCUUCAUUGAAUGAGGAGGAUGCCGAGAGAGUUGCCGAGCUUCAGUGGGCAAGAAUGCUGGAAGAUUGAUCAAAGAAAGGGAGGCUCACAAAUUGCAUUGCAGUAUGUGACGUAUCAGGAAGUAUGAGUGGAACUCCAAUUGAGGUGUGUGUGGCUCUGGGGCAGUUAGUUUCAGAGCUCAGUGAAGAUCCAUGGAAAUUAAGGUAAUGUAAUUACUUUCAGUGCAAAUCCUGAGCUUCACAAGAUCCAAGGAGACAGCCUUGUAUCCAAGACUGAAUUUGUGAGGAUGAUGGAAUGGGGUGCCAACACUGACUUUCAGAAAGUUUUGACAGAAUCUUACAAGUAGCAGUGGAGGGAAAUAUGAGUGAAGAUCAAAUGAUAAAGAGGGUUUUCGUUUUCAGUGAUAUGGAGUUCGAUGAAGCUUGUGGGAGGUAUAACUAUUGUGACUAUGACUAUGAUAUGGAGGAAAUUGACGAGAGUCAGAAGGCAUCUCAGAAGUGGGAGACAGAUUAUGAAGUGAUACAGAGGAAAUUCCAGGAGAAAGGAUACAGAAAAGUUCCAGAGAUAGUGUUUUGGAACCUUAGAAACUCAUCAGCGACUCCAGUGACGGCCACAGAGAACGGGGUGGCCUUAGUAAGCGGGUUUUCAAAGAAUCUGUUGACCUUGUUUUUGGAAGGAGGUGGAAUUCUGAUCCCUCAGGAUGUGAUGGAAUUCGCCAUCUCUGAUGAAGAUUACAAGAAACUUGUUCUAUUUGAUUAAGAUAUCAAGAGAUUUAUCAAUAAUAAUAUAUUUUUUUUCUAUGUGAAAUACAUAUAAUAUUAACUGUGGAGUUAUCAAAGUUCUGGAGGUUUAAUUAUUUCUUCUUUUCAAGUUUUGUUUAUUUAAGGUUUUCUUUGUCUUUGUUAGGAAUUCCCCUUGGGUGGACCCAGCUGGGGAGUUGGAUUGAGGAAGUAAGCAGGCGAACUUGUGUUCUUCUAUGGACAGAGAAAAAAAAUAAAAUAAAAAAAUAAAAAAGGAGGUUAUUUGCAUUUGGAUGUCGUGGUUUGAGGGUACAACUACAAGCUCGAAAUUGUACAUAAUGUGAAAACUCCUGUGUCCAUUGCUGAGAACAGCAUAAAUGAUGGUGAUUUUCAAGUUGUGCCUGGUAUUCUACAGGAUGAAACAAGAAAGGAUCCAGGUGGUAUAUUGAACAAUAUCCCAAUCAUGUUGGUGGCAUCUUUAUUUAGUUAAUGGUAUUCAUUUGGUGGAAGCUGGUUGUUUAUGAUGUUUUUAAUUUUUUUUAACAUGAAGUUCGAUCAAAUACGUAUCUUAGUAUGUUUUGUUUGAGCUAAUUGGCAAAUGCGCUUUAAACAUGGUCACAUGGAUGCAGUUUUAUUUGUGAAAUGAUAAUAGUCGAUUACUUGGUCAGUAAGGUUUAUAUCUCUAACUUCAACAUCUUAUUGUAGUCUUUUAAAAUGUCAAAAGUUUAAUGCUUGAGAAAUUUUGGAAUGGAGACAUUCUAAACAAAGUUAAUAAUCCACAAGACUUGGUAAAACCGAUCAGAUGAUGCUUACGUACAUCAAUGCCUUCUUUAAGCCAUAUCCUAUUUUCAUUGAACGGGAUGUGCCAUCUAGUUUGGUUCUUUAAGCCUCCAAAUCCUAAACCUAGUCUCAAUUUAGAGCAAAUUUAGGGUGCAGGGCCUGCAUGCCUCCCCCUCCCCCUUCCACAAAUAGUAGUGACCUUGCUAUGCCUAUGCAUUGUCAAUGCCUCAUUUUCUAUGGUCUCCAAUGUAAUAUCUUAGUUUCAAUGUCUCUUUCCUUACUAUCUCCAAUGCAAUAGAUUGAUUUCAAUACCUCUUUACAACUAAGACCUCCAAAUUUUCUUGGUUCAAACCUACCAGAAUUUUUCUUCUCCUUUGCUUUCUAUCAAUAUUAGUUCCCCUAAUUUAAUAUAUACUUCUUUAUUACCUUCAACUCUACCUCUCUUUCUUUCUCUAAAAGCUUCCUCAAAGAUUUAAUUGCUUUCUUGCAUGUUUUAAGAAAACAAACAUGCUCAUAUUACAUUACCUCUACUUGAGAUCUACCUUAUACUCUACCUUCUUUCUUUACCUCCUAUAUCAUCUACUACAUUAGCUUCAAAAAUAUUAUUUAGUUUGAUACUAAAUAAGGCUCCUAAUCCUACUCUUCCUUCAACAAACUUUCUUUUUACAAGUUCCUUAAACUUUAUUUUUUAUUUUUUAUUUUUUGGAAAUUCGGGUUAGAAAGAUUCCAUUACUCUUACCUAAUAUUUCAACCAUCAAGUUGAAUCCACUUAUUGCCUAAAUCCAAGGAGUCUGCCCUCCACAAAAACAAGGAAAUUGAUCCCACAAUAACAAGGAGAUUGCCUUCCACAGAAACAAAGAGAUCUCCCUUCACAGAAGCCGAAUACAUUGCAAUCUAUUUUCUUUCUUGUAAGAUCAAAUCUUCAAUCGAGCUCCAUCUUAUGGGGGCAUAUUAGAGAAAUUUAAUAUUAUCCUUAAUUUACAUAUUAAUAUUUAUCUAUUUAUUAUAUAUUGAAUUAAAAUAGAAUAUAGAAUUUGAAUCAUAGUAGAAGUUUACUAUAAGAUUGAAUUACAAUAGUUAAUAGAGUUUAAAUUAUAAUAACUCAAAUACAUUUAUAUAUAUUUGACCUUACGAGAUUUUCUAUUUAUGUAUUUGAACUACAAUCCUUAUGAUCCUUAGGUCUCUAUACCUUCGUGAUGGGCUCCUUGACAUUUCAUAGGUUGUGCUACACAUGCAUUUGAAAUUUAGAGUGCAUUUGACAGUGAUUCUGGGAAGUGUUUUUGGCAUUUCUAACACUUAAAAUUUUUUAUUUUUCAAGUAUUAGAAAUGCUACAAACACUUUUGAAAAUUACUGUCAAACACACUCUUAGGAGCGCAUAUAGUAGAAAACUAGAAAUUGUGGUUUUUUUAGGAUUUACUGUAAUGUCAUUAGGAGGGUAGUAAGUUGAAACUGAGUAUGAAUAAAUAUUUCUUUCUUUGGGAUGUUCUUCUGGUAGGUGCUGAUGAAACUGUUCUUUUUACUGCCAAUGUCACAUAUCAGCCAGAAAUUGAAAAUUUCAGUCAAGGUGUCCUCGGUUUUAGUGGUGAGGAAAGCUAGAAAUUUUAAGGUGAAGUUCUGUUAAAAACCUUAAGUAGCUGGGAUAUCAGGCCUGUUUUGCUUGAAAAAAAAAGUUGCAAGAUAACUCAUAUGCCAAACAGGUUCUGAUAUUGUGAAUCUAUCGGCAGACAUCAGUAAUCUCAUCUUCUGAGAUGGAUGUUGGGGGUGCAUGUGGUGGUGGAGGGGCAAGGUUUCAUUUGGUUUAUUUUGUUGAUGGAUAUUGUCUAGCCCCCUGCGCCAAGUUUGAGGGGUGGUGGGUUGUGAUGGCCCUACAAUUACUAUUAAUUUCUUCCUCUUUUACCGAUUAAAGUGUCCGAACAGUCGAAGUUACCCUUAUGCAUGUCAACUUGAUCACUUACCUCUUCAAUGGAGUUUAUGCUGGUUCAUUUAGGAACUGAUUUUUAUUGUUAUGCAUUCUAUGCUGAUGUUUAGGCCUCUCCAUCAUCACUAUAUACAAAAAUUCUAGGUUGAUACUAUAGGUUGAGAUUUAUUUUUUAAAUAAAAAAUAAUAAAAAUAAAAAUUAUGGUGAUGUUUAGUUGUUUUAUGGAAAAUUUUAACAAGUUAUUUUUGGGCAAGUUUUCAAACAAAAAGAAAAGUAAAAGUUGUUUUGACAAAAACAUAUAGAAAAAAAAAAUCAUAGAAAAGAAAUAAUUUCCCCAUAUUCUAACUUUUUUUAAUUUUUCUCAAUGGGCAAAGGAAUAUCAAAUCAAGUUUGAGUAGGAUUUCUUAAUUUUUAAAAUAACUUACAAUUAAAAAAUUUUGGUGUUUUCAUUUUUGGACAAUUUUUUAUUAAGCAAAUGGACUCUGAGUCAUGCAAGAGAUAUGGUUGAUUAAUGGGUCAAACAAUUUUUUUAAAAUAAUUUAAAACUCAAAUACAUAAUCAAUGUCACAAAAUUUAUAAACAAAAAUAGGUUUAGAGAAGAUCUACACAUAAUUUUACUUUUCUAAUUUUAUUUUAUUUUAUUUUUUUGUUGGAAAAUAGUCUUCAAAUCAUGUAAGAUUUAAUAGGUUAAAUUUGUUAACAAUAAAUUUUAAAUUAUAAAAUAUAAUCUGGAACUUAAAAAUCAAUUCAAGUAAUGCUAAAAAAAAUCAAAUUUGGUAUAGAAUGACUACGUAAAAUUUUUUACAAAACAAAUGAAUUUUAAAUCAAGUGAGAUUUAAUGCAUUAGAUUUUUAUCAAAUAUAGUAAUUUUAAAAUUUAAUUUGGAACUCAACAAUAGACACAAUAAAUACCAAAAAAUAAUGAACCAAAAUUGGUUUGGAAUAACUCCACAACCUCUUUUUUUUUUUUUUGGUGCACACGAAUUUUCUUACUAGGUAUAUUGCUUUCAAAUUGAGAAAGAUUUACUAUUUAGAUUUUUUUUUUUAAUGAGUUUAAUGGUAUUUUAAAAUAAUUCAAAAUUUCAAAAAUUGACUAAUUACUAUUAUAAAUUCAUAAACCAAGACUAAUUCAAAAUGCAUUGGGGGCUAAGGGGGUUGAAAAUAGGGACAAUGGGAUGGGUUUGGGACAUGACACUCAUAUCUCAUUUCCAUUCCAAUUACAUAGUUAUCUCCCAUCCUUAUCCCAAACUUGUGUUGGAGCAAGUUGAUUUGUUCCCAUCUUUGUUGAUGAAAUGACUAAUAACCUCAUCCCCUCCUUAUCUUAGAUGUACAUUUUGUCAAAUUUGAUCAGGUAUGAUUGAUCCAAGCCCUAACCCUAAUUGGUAAUGACUGGAUACUACACCUAAUUGCAUUCUUCUUUCGUCGCAAAAUAAUGAGAUUAUAAUAAUCUAGCAAAUAAGAAAAAAUAGUAUGGAAGUUCAAUUUAACACCAUAACUAUCAAUAAUUUUAAGCUUAUAGAUGACUUAAAUGAUUAAAAACUAAUGCAAAAUACCAAAAAAAAAAGUUCAUAUAAAGAAUUCACAAGAGAACAAAAUGAACAAAAACCAAAUAUGAACAUGGGUCAACAUUAGUUAUGGAUUUGGAUUCCUUUCAAGGCCAAUCUUUGAACCAAGACUUCAUCAAAUCUACUACUUCAAAGGCUUUUGUGUUCUUCUUGGGUUGUGCUCUCAAACAAAGACUUCAAGGUGAUGCUCUAGAUGAUUGCAUUACACAUAUUUAGGGUGGAGAGAUUGGAGAAGCUUGAAGAUGCCAACGAUGGGUACAAUUGAGUGGUCAAUAAGAACAAUGUAGCCUAUGACUAGUUUGAUGUCGUGGUACAAGAGUUUUAGGCAUUGAGGUUAAAGCAAGAGCAACAUGGAAUUGAUUUUGGAGUCUUUCAAUUAGUGUAAAGGAGGAAGAAGUGGUAUUGAUUCUAGAAAUAGGGUUUUAGGUGGUGCGUUAGAGGAUGAAGAAGAAGAAAAAGAAGGAUCUGUUGGAAUUAGUGUGAGUGUGAAGAGAGAAGUAUAUAAAUAAGGGGAAGUAAAAGCAAAGUUCUAAAAGCUAUAUUUUUUUUUAUUGUUGGUGUAUGGUUGCAUGAUUAUCCCUAUAAAUAAUAGGAGUUUUUUUGGUAUUCUACUAGUAGUUGAAGGAUAAUUUCAUAAAUUUAUAUUUAGAGUGGGGUGGGGUGAGUUGUGACAAAAUUCAUACCCGUCCUAAACCUUGGUUCAGAUUUUUAAAAUAUCCUCAAACUUAUCAUAUACCCAACUUUUAUAUUUCAUACUUGUCUUGAUAGAGGCAGGUUAGGCCGGGUUACUUGAGUAACCUACAUAAUUGUCAUCCCUAGUUGAAAUACACUUUUUUGGCAGUGGCCACCAACUGAGCUAGAAGCUUGAUCGAUUGACCUACAAGAUUAGUUCUCAUCAUUUUAAAAAAAGUUUUGGCCUUGGUUGUGAGUGCAAUUGAAUCUAAACUGGCAUUUCCUUAAUGCAUCUACUUCAAUCCUAAAUUUCUUACUUCCUAAGCCUCAAUUGUUGUUAGGAUUUUGGAAAGCCCAUUUCCUUAAAUUGUAAAUUUAAGAAAAAAUAAAAUAAAAGUGAGACAUUUCUUGAUUGAAUAUUGUUAAAGGUCCCUUGGCAUUAAGACUUGGUUGAAGCCUUGGAAGAUUAGUGGAACUCUCAACUUGUGUUUGAAUCUUGAGGAGAGUGGACGUAAGCCAAAAUUUUGUCAAACCAUUAAACAAAUUGAGUUUGAAUCCUCAUUUCUUGAUUUCUUAUUUAUUUGCUUUUUCUUAUUAUUACUUGAAUUGUCAUUUGCAUUCAUUAAUGUUAAAAUUGGUUAUAAUUAACCAACACUAAUUCUCUUUCCCCUUCCCUUUCUUGGGUGUAAACCUAGGUUGGAUUAACUAGAUUAAUUUAUAAAAUCUAUUAAGAUGGUAAAAGAAUAAUUAUUCUUAACACACAUAAGAUCAUCUUCAAUCAAAUGACUCAUUGGCUAAUAUGUUGAAUUUGCUUAUUACUUGCAACUCAAAAUUGUGUUCUAGUUGAUAUGUCAAGUCCCCAGUGUAUGGACAUUAAAUUUGUAGUACGUGAUGGUAAUUAGAUGGUCCAACUCCAAGAAAGUGAUUGAAAACUAGUUCAAGAAAGGUGCAAAAGGGAAUUGUUUUGGUAUUUUCGUUUUUAUUCUUGAAGGUGGCAGAGCUAAAAUUUGUGAAAUCAAGCAAAACAUACUGAAAUUACAUUGAAAGAAAGAAAAUGGGAGUUAAUGUCUUGCAGUAGAUGAUAAGGACUUCAUGCAUGUAGUAUGACCCAUGUCUUGGACUGAUGCCAACUCACGGUUACACUUAUACCCUUGGUUCUCUCUUUACUACCUUGGCUAACCUAGAUCAGGCUAUGAGAUAGGCUCCUCACCACACCAUUACUUGCCCAUUAAUUAGAGACAUUUUCAAGCACUGAGGUAACAUGGUGACACCAAGAGGGUUUAUUCCUCGCCCUCCUCGCCCUCAACAAGUCUAGACUUGGUCUCAAAAAAAUGGAGAAAAAUGAGGUGUCGUUAUGUAGAAAUACAACAACCAUGCCUUCCUCAUUACUUUGAUUCAGAAUGUGAAGGUGAAAUUGAGAAACAGAAACUCUUGAAACCAAAAUGAAAAUUGAUACUUUUACGAAGAAUUACAACAACAUUGGAGGAAGACUACAUUCUUCCUCUUUAUUCCUACAUUUCUACACUACUUCUACUCCACUCCAUAUUUCUACAUACAUCUUUAAUCAGUCUUCCCUCCUUUAUAUAGAGCCAUCUUCACACAAAUUCCGCAAGGUAGAAAAGAGGAAUGAAACUUGGAGCAAGGUUCGACUACUGGCUGUAGCUUGUCAAGGCUGGAAGUGAACCUUUUUUCUUGGCUUUUCUGGGCAUGGGUAGUAACUUGUGGGUUCCUUUUUGGGAUACAAAUGGCUAGAACAUGUGGCACUAUCUUGUUGGAUGAUGUGUCAAGCAUGUGGCAGCCAUCUAGUGGCGAUUAUGUCAAUUUUGGGAUGGAGAGUUGGCAUCCAAUUGCAAAGAAAUAUGACGUCUACCAACAGGCAAUGUAAACCUAUGUAGAUCAUAUGAAGAUAGAGAGGAAAAAUAUAGAAAUGGAUAUAUACCUAGAACUAGCUUUUUAUUAAAUGAAACGGAGAGCCAACAAUGAAGGAAAAUAAAUUUUUUUGGCUUAUAUCAAAGAGUUCACAUUGUGCUACCCUAGGUUUUCUUAAAACUUACUUUUAUGAUAACAAAAAAAAAAAAAAACAUUAUUGUUUAAUCCUUUGUUUUAAACGCAUGUUUAGCAAGUUAUAAAAUGUAAAAAUCUUUCUAAGUUCAAAUAUGAAGAUAUGACAUCAUUUCAAGCAAGAUAGUCUCUAGGAAUUAAUGUAAAGCUAAAUUAAGGUGAAAUUAAAUUAGUUCAAUGCAUUAAUUUAAGAAACUUGACCUAUCAAAAGUACAAAAUUAGAUGAAAUCCAUUUCAAUGGUUAAAAUGAUCAAAAUCAAACUUUUUCUAAGUAUUUUUUAAAAGUAUCAAUAUUGAAAGACAAUUUUAUAUUUAGUCAGAGUUUGGACAAAACCAAAAAGCACACAAAAUCCAAGCGACCAUCUCUAGCUUGGAUGGUCGCUUGAUCUCUAGCUUGUGUACUUGGAAAGCAACAUCGAGAUGAUAUAUAUAUAUAUAUAUAUUUUAUAUAAUAUUGUUUGUCCAAAUUCCCUAAAAAUUAGGCCACCACAUGUUCAUAAUUCUCCCUUCUUGAAUUUGAAAACUCGGACAAUUGGACAAUGCGACACCUAAGUCCGGUUUCUAAAUGCUAAAGUGAAAGGGUAGGUAUGGACCAUUGAAAUGUGAUCACAACUUUUCUCUGUAGCCAUGUUGUCUCUUUUUUCUUUUGCAUGAUUUUCUCACCUUAACAGAAUCAUAGACUUGUUUAAUCUCUAAAUGGGAUUAAUUUCAUCCAGCUUUAAGCUACUAUAUUAUAUCUAGGUGGAGGACUUUUAAGAGUGCAACCGACAUAGAGCACAUGCAAGUGGGUAUAUGGGACAUGAAAUUUCUUCUUAUAAAGAUUGCAUGAUUUUUAUAUUAGAGUUGUUGGGGCGCAAUGUAUGUAGCUUGUUUUGCAGUUAAAUUAAUUGGAUAAGUAGACAUUGGCGUUUCUAAAUCUACUGUGAAGUGCUUCAUGUACGUGUGAAGUAUUAGAAAUUUCUUUCUUGGCAACUUGUUUUUUCUUUGCGGUCUACUGAUAGGUUUGACUAAAAUUAUAUUCCCUGUCAUGCUAAUUAAUUUUCACGUGCAUGCUCAAAAGAAGAGUAUGACCUUAGUGCACCAAAAUCACUUUGAUUAAUUUGUGAUAGGUUUUUGUGCAUCAUGACAUUAGCCUUAUUCAUUUAGAUAAUGUUUAGUUUUUAGAAAGUAUUAAGAAAAGGAAAAUAAAUAUUAAGAAAAAUAUUCUUAUAUUUGAUUGUAUUAUGAAAAAUGUCAUAAAAAAAUCAAAUAUAAUUUAAAUUAAUUAAUAAUUUAUACAUUUUCAAAUUAUUUAAUCUUUAUAUUGAAGAUAUAAUAUAAAUGAAAUGAGUUUUAAGUAUUAUAUAAAAGUGAUUUAUUGAUCUUGCAUAUAUGUAUUUCUUUUUUUUUUCUUCUAUUUUUUUUCUUUAUUUUAUUUUCCUUAUGUUUUCCUCAACAUUUUCCGGAACCAAACAUAGCCUUAGGAAAUCCACAAUUACCUUCAACUGAGUAUAUUCGGUUGUUUUAGCAAUGUUAGGCUGCUAACUUGUGUUGGUACGAACCUGUUAAGCCUAAAGAUGUAAUUAGUUAGGAUAUUCUUUUCCCUCUAGUCUUGUAGCUCCACGUGUAUAGUUGGUUAGGACCUCAUUGUAUAUAAUGCCUGCCCUGUUAUUGUUGAAGACAACAGAGAUAAAUAAUAUUAACAUUUUUCCUCUCAUCUCUCUUUGUUUCCCUCUGUUUUCAUCUCCUCUCUCAUCUUGGUAUCAGAGCCUCCAUGGAUUCUUUCAAAGAAACCUCCGAAUCACCUUCUGCUAGCAUUGUUAAUGUGCAAAACCCAUUAUCUCAGUCAAACAACCUUCCUUCACCAGCAGCCACACCCUCUUUUUCUUUCUUGUCUAUGAAUCAACCUCUCACAGUGAAGCUGGAUAAUGGAAACUACCUCAUCUGGAAGAAUUAGCUUCUGAAUGUCAUCAUUGCGAACAGACUCGAUGAUUUCAUUUAUGGAACUCGACCCUGCCCUCCUUGAUUUCUCAAUCUGCAACAACAAACCCUCACUCCAGAGUACUCGGUCUAGCAGAGAUACAAUCGACUUCUAAUGAGUUGGCUGUACGCAUCCUUGUCCGAAGAUAUAAUGACUCAGAUUGUUGGGUAUUCAACAACUGUGGAGAUUUGGAACGUCCUUAAUCAGAUUUACUCUGCCUCUUCAAUGGCGUGGGUUACCGAGCUUCACACCAAGCUUCAAACGCUCAAGAAAGAUGGACUCUCAGUUGGUGAAUAUAUUCAAAGGCUCAAAUCCAUUUGCAAUAGUCUUGCAGCAAUAGGAGAACUAGUUUCUGAGAAAGACCAGCUUAUCUAUUUGUUCAAUGGAUUAUAUUGUGAGUAUAAUUCUUUUGUUACCUCCAUUCAAAAUCGAUCUGACCAACCAACUAUUGAGCAAAUCCAUAGCCUAUUGCUUAGCUAUGACUUUCGGCUUGAACAACAAAACUCUGUUUCUCUCCAUUAUGCCCAAGUCCGUAUGGCUCAUCUGAACAAGAAACCUUAUAAAUCAACUCCUCAACCUACAUUCAAUCAUAUUCACAUUCAACCUAGAUACUCUUCUCCACCUUUUAAGCCAACCACUAGUCAAUAUCAACCCAGGAUUUUGGGCAAACCACAACCACAACCAUGACAGCCUCAACCUCAAUGGAAACCACAUUUUUCAAUCCAGAAUCAAAAGCCUCAGUGCCAAAUUUGUGGUAAAUUUGGACACACUGCUCUUAUUUGCUUCCAUUGCACAAAUUUGAACUAUUCACCCCAACCUUCUCCUAAAUCUUUCAAUACUGUUCUCACCACAAAUUCCCAGCUCCCUAAUCCUCCAAAAUUUUCUUACCCUACAAUGGCUCAUCCUGCUGCUACGCAUAACACGAUUCCUGAUACAAAUUGGUACAUGGACUCAGGUGCUACACAUCACUUUACUCCGGACAUCAACAUGCUUGACACUGUGACACCAUUUAGUGGUUUAGAACAGGUGACAGUUGGGAAUGGUAAGCAACUCUGUAUCUCACAUCUUGGUACUGCAAAACUACCAUCCUCGUAUUCUCCUCUUGUUCUACAUCAGGUAUAUCACACUCCAAAAAUUUCAAAUAAUCUUAUUAGUGUUAGAAAAUUGUGUUCUGAUAAUAAAGUUUUUGUUGAAUUUUAUGCCACUCAUUUUCUUAUCAAAGAUCAAGUUUCGAAGAGAGUUCUCUUUCAAGGUCAACUUGAUAAUGGCUUAUACAAAGUUCAGUCGUCAUGCUCUCCUUCUACUAUUUCCUUUCAUCCUCAAGUUUUCAUAGCCAACAUCAAGGAUCAAAAUUUGUGGCACAAGAGACUAGGCCACCCAGCUUUAUCUGUUAUUAAUCAAAUCUUGGAUUCUUGUAACAUUGCUCGAACACAGAAAAUUGGUUUUAAUUUUUGUAGUUCUUGUCAAUUAGCAAAAAGCCACAGGCUUCCUUUUUCUCUGUCUCCAUCCAUUGCAGAAAAACCUUUUGAGUUAAUUCAUACAGACCUAUGGGGUCUUUCUCCUGUUCGCUCUAUUUCUGGUGCUCGUUAUUUUUUACUUUUCAUUGAUGAUCAUACUCGUUUUACUUGGUUUUAUUUGCUCAAAACAAAAGAUGAAGCAUAUCCUACUUUUCUCAAGUUUCAAGCUCUCAUUGAAAAUCAAUUUAAUACCAAGAUUAAGGUUGUCCAAUCUGAUUGGGGAGGUGAGUUUCGAUCUCUCUCCAUACUGUUUUCAAAUAUGGGCAUUGUCUAUCGUUUAUCAUGUCCAUACACCUCACAACAGAAUGAGUGGGUUGAGCGAAAAAAUCACCAUGCGGUUGAAAUGGGAUUGUCCUUUCUUGCUCGCUCGGGUAUGCCCUUAUCUUAUUGGCCUUAUGCCUUUCAAACUGCCACUUACCUUAUUAAUCGUCUCUCUACCCCUGUGCUGCACCAUCAAUCCCCUUACUUCGCACUCUAUCACAAAUUCCCAGCUUAUACUCAUCUUAAGGUCUUUGUUCCUCUUGUUUUCCAUAUUUACGCCCUUAUAAUACCCAUAAACUCCAAUACAGGUCACUGGAGUGUGCUUUUCUUGGUUGCAGUUCACACCACAAAGGUUAUCUAUGUCUUGACAUUCAUUCUAGCAGGGUGUAUAUUUCUCGCCAUGUGAUUUUUAAUGAAGAUUCUUUUACAUUCAAGAAUUUGAAAUCUUCUCUCUCUUAGUCUAUUUCUUCUUCCUCUUCUUUAUUAGUUCCUCUGUUCAUUUCCUUGCCUCCCCUCUCCCCAUAUCCUCCUAUUUCUCCAUCUAUAUCUCAUUCUUUUCUCUCUUCUUCUUCUACCUCUAGUACUUGUUCCCCUCUCGUUGCUCCUACCUCUCUUCCUCCCUCUUCACACUUUGUGUCCCAUCUAUUCCACCUCCUUCUCCACCUUCUUCGAGUGUGGACCUGCUUGUACCUUGUGUGAAUACAAAUUUACUUACUUUUUCUCGCACUCACAAUAUUCAUCCUAUGGUGACCAGAUCUAAGGGUUUGUAUCUAUAAACCUAAGUUGCUAUUGAGUGUCUCCAUAGGUUCUCUCACUAAGCCUACUUCCUUUCUUCAAGCUAUUAAAGAUCCUUCAUGGAAGCAAGCCAUGGAAUUGGAGUUUGCUGCCCUUCAACACAACAAGACCUGGCAUCUAGUUCAUUCACCUUCCUCAGGCAAAGUAAUUGGUUGUAAAUGGGUCUAUAAGAUAAAGCUUUAGCCUGAUGGCUAAUUGAGAGAUACAAGGCCCGCUUAGUAGCUUAGGGUUAUCAUCAAACUGAAGGUAUUGACUACUUCGAAACAUUCAGCCUGGUUGUCAAGCCUUCUACUACCGUAUUGUGCUCAGUCUUACUUUUUCCCAGAAUUGGUGUAUUAGACAGCUGGAUGUUCAUAAUGCCUUCUUACAUGGUGACUUAGCUGAAGACGUUUUCAUGGAACAACCACCUGGAUUUGUUGAUCCUCUCUAUCCUACUCAUGUCUGCAAGUUGGAUAAGUCUCUCUACGGUCUUAAUAGUCACCUCGGGCUUGGUAUACUAAGCUGAGUACUUCUCUACUACACUUGGGAUUUGUUACUUCUAAGAAUGACUCUUCCUUAUUUAUUUGUCAUUCGUCUCAUGGGUUACUUCUUGUUCUUGUCUAUGUGGAUGAUAUAAUCGUCACUGGGAGCCACUCUCCUCAAGUUACUCACCUUAUCCAAUAGUUGCAUCAUCAGUUUUCUUUAAAGGAUCUUGGUCAUUUACACUAUUUUCUGGGCUUGGAGGUUCAUCACACCCCUACUGGUAUUCACCUCAGCCAAGCAAAGUAUAUCACUGAUCUCCUUACCCGGGCGGCUAUGUUGGAUGCCAAGCCAUGUCCCACUCCUAUGUCCUCCAACACAUAUCUUUCUCUUCAUGAUGGAGUGGCUCUUGAAAAUGGUUCAGAUUAUUGAAGUUUUGUUGGUGCCCUUUAGUAUUGUACCAUGACACGCCCAGAUAUAGCUUUUGCAGUAAAUAAAGUGUGUCAAUUCAUGCACCAUCCCUCUGAUGUUCACUGGCAGGCUAUAAAACGUAUUCUCCAGUACUUAAAGGGCACAUCUCAUUUUGGUCUCUUCCUACAGCCUUCCUAUGACUUCAACAUCACUUGCUAUACAGAUGCCGACUGGGCUUCCUGCCUUGAUGACAAGUGUAGCACCAGUGGCUACUGCCUCUUUCUUGCCUCUAAUCUGGUUUCUUGGUCAUCUUCCAAACAAAAAGUGGUCUCCCGCUCCAGCGCCAAAUCAGAGUACCGAGGGGUAGCAAAUGGGGCUGCUGAAAUUGCUUGGACUGAAUCUCUUCUUUGUGAACUUUCCACCCACUCGACCUCCCCUCAUUGUCUGUGACAAUAUCAGUGCCACAUACUUAGCUGUCAAUCCUAUUUUGCAUGCCCGCACCAAAACAUGUGGAAAUCGACUAUCACUUUGUCUCGGAACGUGUUCUUCAACGCUCUCUCUCUCUCCAGUUUACACCUUCGGAUGAUCAACUUGCUGAUUGCAUGACCAAGCCUCUCUCCACCCAACGUUUCAUCACUCUACGCUCCAAGCUCACUGUUCUCACUAGACCAAUGAGCUUGAGGGGGGAUGUUAAGCCUAAAGAUGUAAUUAGUUAGGAUAUUCUUUUCCCUCUAGUCUUGUAGCUCCACGUGUACAGUUGGUUAGGACCUCAUUGUAUAUAAUGCCUGCCCUGUUAUUGUAGAAGACAACAGAGAUAAAUAAUAUUAACAUUUUUCCUCUCAUCUCUCUCUCUGUUUCCCUCUGUUUUCAUCUCCUCUCUCAUCUGAACCAAAUGAUCCAUGUUAACCUUGGCUUGGUUUGAUUUGGCUCUAUCUUAGAGAGCUCAAGGAUCACGUCAACUCUGGUUUCUACUAUUCAGGUCCAUUCCCAUAUGAACUGGUUCAAAUUUGAGAAAAUGGUAACAGACCUUUAGUGAUGUUGGUUUGGAGCCAGUUGCCAAACCCGCCCUGAGCUUUACCACUAAUGUCAAGGGAGAAAGCCUUUUGAACAAAAACAAUAGCUUCAAGAGACUGAAUCGUGGAUGAAAUCUGAUCCACAUUUCUUCUCAUUUUGGAAACAAAUGAGAACUUAACUAAGAAGAUUCUACGGCCUCAUAGUGCUUUUCCUGAUCUAAGGUUGGUUCGUUUCCCAAAUUGUGAGAUGCACGGGCCAGACUUCAGAACUCUCACGCUCAGGAGUGUAUCCACGUGGUGGACAUAAGAUGGUGGCUUAAGAUCUGGUGUCGGUGGCUUUACUUUACUAGGAGAGUAGUGUGUCUUCAUCUCAUUCACUGCCGGAGGGUGGCGUAAGCAGUGACGCUAAGGUGGGGCAUAGUCAAUAUCAUUUGCAUUUGACCAUUAUAGUUUUCUCCCGGCUUGAAAGUAACCUUAUCGUGAUAAAGGAUUACUAGCACUAGUUCAGAUGACAGUCAUGUUAAAUUCGGACCAUGUUUGUGUCACAUUAUCAGCAACCAUGUGUUUAUGGUUCAUGCUUUCUGCAACUGAAAUUGAAAUUGAUAUAUAACCAGGUGAACUUCAAUCUAAAUUCUGGAAGUACUCAUGUGAGCGAUGGUGCCCAUCUGCAGAGUCCAUCAAUUGAAAAAUGGAGUGAGUGUAUCUAUAAGAGGGAAGGCUUGGCAAAUGUCCAGUUUUCUGGGAAUUCAACAAGGAUCUAAAAUAGAUUGUUUUCUUUGCUGAUUUCAAUGGUUGAAAUUUGAGAAGAUUGUGUCCCACAUAACACAACUAUUACUGGUCCUUCUGUUGCAAUUUAUCCUCUAAGGCUCUAGCAUGUCUUCCAAUUCCCACUUCCCUGUUACUCCAGGAAAGCUAUUUCUGUCAUUGUGAAGAAGAAAAGAGAAUGUAGAUAUCGAUGCUUUUAAGUGACUGGAGCAUUCAUAUCAGGUGGUCUGCAGCCAUAUAUGCCACUUUGUGAAGAUUGGAACAGUCAAUCACUAGGCUAUAUAUUAGUGUGGCCCAGCCACUUUAAUCAAGGACAAUUCUUCAUACUUAAAAGUCAAAUUCUGCCUUUAGUCUCAUUAUAAAUUGCUGUUUAAAUAUUAAGCAAACAUUUGUUUAAUGCGAUUAAGACAGUACUAACUCAAUACUUGUUCUAUUUUUGGAUGGAAAUGCUUGAUGGUUUCAUCAUUGGAUGGGAUAAAGGUGCAUUCAUGAUUAUGAAUACUUGUAGUUAUAUUUUCAUUCUCUUUUUUCUCAAUGAGACUUGUUGGCACAAUUUUUCUGUUCAGAAACCUACCUCUCCAUGGAAAAUAAGUUGUGAUUGAUAGUACUGGAUAUAUUCAAGAAAGCUAAAUAUAGAUAGCACAAAAUAUUAUCGACAUAAAUAGCAUUAACAGCGUACGUAUGUCUCAGUGCUCAUCAGCCAUAAGCAUGGGGCAAACACUUACGAUGAGCAACUUACGUCAAAAUUCCAGAAUAGGACAUAGAAGUGACAGAUCUAUAUAUAUAGAACACUGCAUAAGAGUCACAAGAAAGGAAAUUACGGGUGCAUAGCAGCUCUUAUUUCACAUACUACUCAUACUGAUCAAAGUCACUCAGUUGGGAUGGGUGGGAGUAGGAGGUUUGUGGGGUGGCUUGUGCGGAGGAGUUGGCAGCUUCUUUCCAGGACCUGGUGGCUUCUCUCCCUUAGGUGGUUUGCCAACUGGGGUUGGUGGCUUGUAUGAGUCUUCAGCAUUCUCUGCAGGAGGGUGACCAGGGUUGUGACCAUAAUGUGGUGGCUUCUCUCCCUUAGGUGGUUUGCCAACUGGGGUUGGUGGCUUGUGUUCUGGGAGUGGCUUCUCCCCCUUGGGAGGUUUUUCCAAUGGGGUUGGUUUGUGUUCAGGAGGUGGCUUCUCCACUGGAGGCUUGUGUUCAGGAGGUGGCUUCUCCACCGGAGGCUUGUGUUCAGGAGGUGGCUUCUCCACCGGAGGCUUAUGCUCUGGUGGUGGCUUCUCCACCGGAGGCUUAUGCUCUGGUGGUGGCUUCUCGAAUGGGGGAUGCUUAGGGUAAUCAGCAAGUGAGGGGGCGGUGAGAACCACCAGGCCAAGCAAGACCACUAGCAAGUAUGUAGGAGACAUCUUUGGGUUUAGACUCAGAUGGUGCAAAACUAGGAGAAUUGUCUUUUAUAGCGGAUCGCACCCAAUAAUGAAAUGACACGUGUCUUUAUGACCCAUGUGUAAUGGGGUCGAUUUGGGUCCUACAGUGUUGAAAACUUCGACAUCCACUUUUGGCCUUUUGCUUUCUCUACAGCCGCCUUGCUUUUUCCCUCUUUCCUUUUGUUUUCCUCCUGCCCCAUUCUAUCAACUAAACACAAUUAUGUAGUUGUUUAAUUCUUAAAUGAGAUAUUAUCCGUCAAUCGUAUCAUAUUUUAUCAACAGAGAACGGAGUGCAAUGUGGCAAUCCAAAGAAAGAAGAUCCAUAAUGCAGCUGUAAUUUUAUCGUUUACUUUUAUCUCUUGGACCACUGCAUUUUUGUUAAGAGGUGCAAUAAUACACGUCUUUAUCUGCCAUUCAAUGUUUACAGUAAAGAGAGGGCACAAAACUCUUCACUGCUCUGCAUGUGUCCCAAAAAUGCAAUUGGACAAAUUAUGAUUUGCAUGCUAAAAAGAGGCAAAUGAGGUUAAUUCGCACCAUAAUUAUUUUGUUUUCUGGACCCCGGGGCCCUUUGGUUGGUUUGGGGGUCAGAAAAUGAACAUCAUAGGGGGUUUUUCCCUUAUGUGCAUUUGUAUCUGAUGGCUUUAACUCGCCUUGUUACUACAAAGAAAUUGUCACAUAUAGGAACUUAUUCCAGGCUGAGUAUCUCCGCAUAGACCCUAUAAAAGAAGACAAGUCAUAAUGAACAUCUAACCUUUGUUCAAUUUGAUUCAAUGCCCCAUUGUGUCCACCUCACAAAUCUGAAUUAUUAUAUCCAUUGAAUACAUAAAUUAAUGAAGAAAAUAUGAAACCCAAGAUACAUCUCUGCACAACCUCAACCCUGGUUGCUAUGUUUCCCUUCUAUUCACAUGAGGAUAUUGAUUACGGAAUAGGGAAACCUAGCAAGGGUUUACUCGGCUCUGGUUUGAUGCUAAUUGCCAAACUUGCAACAAGCCCUGAGUUUGAAGCUCACAGAAGAUGUUAUACAGGCAGGGAAAAACCUUCAGAGUUCGCUGCCAAAGAUAAUUAUUAAGGAGAUAUCACCAAGAGAAUUCCAAGGAGUCUGAAUCAAAGACAAAUUGGUCGUUCGUGGAGGUUCUUACUUUCUUUUGGGUAUAACUCACUGAGGGCACUGUCUUUUUUAUUUUCAUUUCACAUUUAGAGUUCUGUUCUGGAAACAUAUAAAAGGAGCAUCAGUUUGUUCUUGGGUAACCCAUAGUCGUGAGUGGGUCCAUUUGCAUGCUACUUAGUUGAAAAGUUGGACCAUUUGCUCCGACGCCUACCUCCUGGAUUCCAUGCUCGGAUAAAACAAGAAUAAAAAAAUAUUUAUAAUUUACAAAUGGGGGAAAGAAAAAAAUGUCAACAACAAACUAGGAAAAAAGAGUAGUAAAAUUCAUGUCACAUGCUAGUGAGAGAAGGGGUUGUUACACUCACUCGAAGUUCUUUUCAAAAUAUCGCAUGGUAUUUUAUUUUAUGUGUGAGCGCAGUUGUGAAUGGAACGUGCAAAAGUCCAAAUUGGUGACCUUUAAUAAAUAUUUAAAACAAAAAACGAAAAAAAGGAGGGAAAAGGGAUCAGAAAAGAUAAAACAAUGUGUACAAAAGCUCAAUUAGUUUGCAAAUUACUGUUUGGAUUUUGAUAGUAUUUUAUUUGAUGUAAAAGAGAAUUUAAGAUAUUUCCGAAACAAAAGCAUUAGUUUGCUCCAUGUCAAUUUCGGCAUUUCUCAUAUGUUUCACACAUACACAGAAGAGCAUCGUUUUUUAAAGCAUGCAUUUAUGUUGGAUUAAUUUGGAUUUUGUGGGAACUGGGGCAAGGAUCACAUGGAAGAGAGGUUGACUUUUUUCAGUACUUCAAUGGUUGAGACAGGUGAAGGCCUGAUUGAUACUGAAGCCUGAAAUUGCGACUCCGUCAUUUGUCAAAACAUAUGACAGCUUCCAUGCUCUCGUUUGGUUGCAUUGUUCUGUGGUCAUGCAUACAUGCCACUUAGUGAUCAGUCUGUAACUGUCAAUCAUUGGGCUUUGACUGAACAACAUCAGCCAUGUAUAAAUACUUGCAAAUCAAACGGUCUUCUUCCUCCCAUAAGGAAUUUCGGUUUAAUUAUGAAGCAUGCAUUUGGCUGACCAUCAUAAACCACUUCUUUAAAUUGAUGAAUGAUAGUUUUUCAUUCAUUCUUUCAUUCGUUCAUAUACAGAGUAUAUAUAGAGGGUAAUCAUCAUUCUAAGAAUGGGAAAGAAUGAUACAAGGAAAUAAUGAUAUAAAGAAAUAACAACUAAUAUUCUAAUAUCUCAACUUUCCUAAUAUCUAAACAUUCCUAAUAUCUCAACACUAAAUGAUAUAAAGAAAGAAUGAUAUAAGGAAAGCAUUCCUAAUAUCUCAACACUCCUCCUCAAGUUGGUGCAUAGAUGUCAAACAUGUCCAACUUGUCUAAAAAUUUUGAGAACAGUUGACUUGAGACAUCUUUGGUGAGGAUAUCGGUCAAUUGAUCUUCUGAUCGAAUCUUAGGCAAUUCCACAAUCUUAUCAUCCAACUUUUCCUUAAUGAAAAAUCUAUCCAUCUCGACAUGCUUUGUACGAUCAUGUUGUACUAGAUUAUGAGCAAUGUCACAUGCUGCUUUAUUGUCACAAAACAAUCGGAUUGGUUGCCUAGAUAGGUAACCUAAAUCCUAUAAGAGGAGUCUUAGCCAUAAUGCCUCACAAAGUCCUAAAGUCAUACCUCUAAAUUCCGCUUCUGCACUUGAACGAGCGACGACAUUUUGCUUCUUACUUUUCCAUGUCACAAGAUUACCACCUACAAAGGUAAAGUAACCAGAUGUAGAUCGCCUAUCAUCCACUGCACCGACCCAAACAGCAUUAUACUUCUAUACUCUGAUGAUCAACAUUUUUAGCGAACAAAAUUCCCUUCCUAGGAGCAUUCUUCAAAUACCUCAAAAUACGCAUGACUACAUUCAUAUGUUGCUCUCCAGGAUUAUGCAUGUAUUGACUCACUACACUCAAUGUAUAAGCAAGAUCUAGUCUUGUAUGAGCUAAGUACAUUAAUCUCCCCACAAGUCUCUGGUAUCUUCCCUUAUCGAUUGAUACUUGAUUAGGCUCAACACACAAUUUCAGACCUUCUUCUAUUGGUGUAUUAAUAGGUUGACAUCCCGACAUUCCAGUUUCCUGUAGAAGAUCUAAGGCAUACUUUCUUUGAGACAGAAAAAUUCCUUCACUUGAUCGAGAAACUUCAAUCCCAAGAAAGUAUUUCAGACGACCAAGAUCUUUCAUUUCAAAUUCUCUAGAUAGAUACUUUUGCAAAGCUUUUCUUUCUUCAGGAUCAUUUCCUGUAACUACAUGUCAUCCACAUAUAUCAUAAGUGUCGUAAUCUUACCAUGUUGCUUUUUCAAGAACAAAGUGUGAUUUGAAUUACUUUGAUGAUAGCCAAAAGCUCUCAUUGAUUUUGUGAACCUUCCAAACCAUGCUCUCGGGGAUUGCUUCAACCCAUACAAUGACUUCUUCAAUUCGCACACCUUCUGACAUUGCUUUUCUGACACCAUGCAUCCUGGUGGAAGAUCCAUAUAUACUUCUUCAGAUAAAUCGCCAUGCAGAAAGACAUUUUUUACAUCGAACUAUUGUAAUGGCCAAUCUAGGUUUGCAGCUAAAGACAAUAAUACUCGAACUGUGUUGAUCUUAGCUACAGGUGCAAAUGUCUCUGUGUAGUCAAUUCCAUAAGUUUGAAUGUACCCACUAGUCUUGCUUUAAAUCGUUCAAUACUACCAUCUGCCUUGUACUUCACAGUAUAGAUCCAACGACACCCAACUAGCUUCUUUCCUGGUGGACAUUCUACGAGUUCCCAUGUUUCAUUUUUCUGCAAUGAUUUCAUCUCUUCAUUCAUGGUUGCUUUCCACUUUGGAUCAGCUAAAGCUUCCUGCACACUAUUAGGAAUAGCUACAGUAGAUAAUUGAUUUACAAAUGACUUAUUUGAUUCAGACAAACCAUGGUGUGGACCCGCAUUUUUCACGUGCGCCUCUACUCGAUCGGCGAGACUCGCUUUCUAUUUGUGAAAAAUUAAUUUUAGAAAAGUUGGAGUCGCCACCUAUUUUAUUUUUAUUUUGAAGGGAAAAUAAAACAAGAAAGAAAAACCCUAAAAAGUGACUCCAUAGUUUUGGAAAAAGCAUGUCUUUGGGAAACCUGAGUCUAGGUCCGGGGAUCAUGUUACUUAUUGGGAAGGUACCUCUAGGAGGUAGCACCCCUCUAAGCCUUAUGAAGGUCUCUACUAACUAAAUUAAGGGAAGUGUGGCAAUAAAUCGAUUGAUCAUAGAUACCUAAGUAGACUAGGUGAUUUUAAAGUGUGGCAUGUCAAACACAAUCAAAUUGCAAUAAAGGAGAGUUAGGGCGCGUACCUGAACCGCUUCUCAAGCGCUAUCAUAAAACAUCAAUGGUUAAUUUAAAUAAUAUAUCAUCCAGCAUGUAUUUUAUUAGAAAUAAUCAAACAAUGAAACAUGUAUAUCAGAACACUCAAGCAUUAUUAGACAUAAGCAUUAUUUCACUAUUCACAGAAUUCAGAAAGUAGGUGAUAGAGGACAUACCUGGAUAGCAUAGAUAAUUUGUAAUGUGCUUCCUCAAGUUGUAAGGGGUUAGAUAACAAAUAAUAAAAUAUAGAAAUCCUAGCAUGCUCGUUAUCUAAUUAGCAUAGCAAAAGUGAUCACAGUAUACAGAAUCAUCAAUUAUCACAUACAUCUUGUAUAUAAUUCCUAAAAAAAAUAGAUAGACAUGAUUUCAACAAGUGUCAAAUGUGGCAACAAAAAUAAAUUUUGAAAAGAUUUUCUUAUGUAGGGGUUUCACCAAUUCCCCAAAUUAAUAUACACGAAUUUAGCUUAGAAUUAUCCCAUUUAUUUGGGACUACAAGCUUUGAUUCGUGUUUUUGUUCAAAACCAAAAAUUUUUGUUGAAAAUCAAGAAGGAUGCGAACCGAACAAGAUAUGGUUGCAUAUUAUUUUUAAAUAAAUAAAUAAAUAAAUAAAGGAGAUUUUGAUCCUGAGGACUUUAAUGAGUUUUUUUUUUUAAAAUAGAUUUUUAAAAUGAUUUUUUUGAGAAAAGUAUUUUAUUUUAAAAUAAAAGGGAUUAAUUUGGGAAAAAAAUAAAAUAUAAGAAAUAAAAUACCAAACAAAACAAAAAUGAAACCUCAAAGUAAAAUUUUUUUAGUAAUUAACAAAAAUGAUAAUGGUGAUGGUAGAGGGCAAUCUUCAUGAUUUUCCAAUGGCCUCAGAAAGAAAAUCAAAUUAAAUGAAGGAUCACUAACAGGCAAGACAUUCUAAAUUAGACAAACUAACAAAGUAUCAAUUCAUGAACUAACCGCUAGGAUUUUGAAAGCAUAUAAGCUAAGAUAAGGGUGAUCAGGAACUAAUAUUAAUGAUUUUGAAAUAAAAACUAAAAAAAAGGAUCAAUUCGGGUAAGGAACUAAAAUUAUAAAAGUACCUAAACUAAUUAUGACGAGUUUGACUAAAUUAAACUAAAAACAUGAACUUUCAAACAUAGAAUUAAUUUUACUAAUGAACCAAAGCAAACUAAAAAUAUGUACUUUCAAGCAUAGAAUUAAUUUUAUUGAUGAACUAAACUAUAACAAAUAUCUAAACUAAAUAUAAUGAAUCAAAUUAAAUUAAAGCAACUUAAAAACGCAAACUUUCAAACAUAGAAUCAAUUUUAUCAAUGAAUUAAAACUAUAAAUGUAUUUGAACUAAAUAGAUGAAUCAAACUAAAUCAGAGCAAAAUUAAAAAAAAAAAAGAACUUUCUAACAUGAAAUCAAUUUUAUCAACAAAUAAAUGAAUGAAUAACAAGUAAUUAAAAGAAUAGCUACUACAUGAAUAACUGAAUGAAUAAAAUUCAAAUGUUUUCAAUCUGAAGCAAUCAAUCAAAAUUAAAUAGGGAUCAAAUCAAAAUAAUCGAAAUCGGAAAAACAAUAUGCAAUCUUUCUAAAGGUUUAACCAGACAAUUGAAUUAAAAUUAUGAAUAGAAUAAAUUAAUAAACCAAAUCGAAACCUAAAUUGUACCUAAAAAGAUUAAUUAAUUAAACUAAGAAAUCAAAAUCAAUAACAAAACUAAACUAAGGAGUAAAUUAAGACAAGACUAAUUAAAUUAAACUCACAAACACGUUUUAACUAUCAUAUGGAUUAAAACAAAAUUAGCAUGGACUUAUGAAUUACGAACAAAAAUAAUCAAAACUAUUUUAAAAAACUCACCUCUAUUAUAAGAAAAAAUCUGCCUUUGAUGCGUUGAGGUGGCUCCCCUCUCUGUGUGGAUCUCUCUGCUCCCCAGAAAAAAAAUGUCUCUUCCUCCGUUCUCUUUUGUUUCAGCAAAAUAAUAUAUCCCCUGCUGUGGAUCUCUCUACUCCCAGAAAAUAAUAUAUUCUCUCCGUGUCCUAAAGUGGACCUAGGGUGCCUAAGUGGACCUAGGGUGCCUAAAUGGGCCUAGGGUGCCUAAAUGGGCCAAGUGUAUCUAAAUAGGCUUAGGGUGCCUAAGUGGGCCUAAGUCUAAGUGAGCCUAAGUCUAAAUCAAGACUACCAAGGAUCAUAAUAAGGGGUUAGGCAAUCCCUUAACCAAAGUCUCCAAGGUGGCUAAAAAAAAGUAAGUAGUAUGAGUAGCUAUGGGUCACCAAGGAACUACUGUGGAGCAUUGAAAACGAAUUUAAAGACAUGUGCCAAAGGGACAAAAUUGAGGGUCUACAGAUGGUUAGACACAUAGUUGCUCAUGGGAUAUUUGACUUUGGUAAACAAUUCAGAUUCAUAUGUGGGUUUAGGAAUACCUUUAUUAUGACGGUGUGGUAAUCGUUUCAUGAAUGGAUCAGGUUGCAAAUUAAGAACACCCUCAGCAAACAACGAUUGGUUUGGUAUUUCAGUGAAGACAUCUUCGAACCCAAAUUGUUGACCACUCAUAUCCAACUCACCCGCUUCCUGGUUCACUAGUUCAGAUUGUCCAAAUUCAUCAUUCUCAUAGAUAUGAUAAUCAUAAUCGAGAGUCUGAAUUUCCUUAUGGUACUCCCCCUGAAGUUCAGACUUAGAUGAAAAAUACAUCGAAUAUUCAUGAAACAGCNNNNNNNNNNNNNNNNNNNNNNNNNNNNNNNNNNNNNNNNNNNNNNNNNNNNNNNNNNNNNNNNNNNNNNNNNNNNNNNNNNNNNNNNNNNNNNNNNNNNNNNNNNNNNNNNNNNNNNNNNNNNNNNNNNNNNNNNNNNNNNNNNNNNNNNNNNNNNNNNNNNNNNNNNNNNNNNNNNNNNNNNNNNNNNNNNNNNNNNNNNNNNNNNNNNNNNNNNNNNNNNNNNNNNNNNNNNNNNNNNNNNNNNNNNNNNNNNNNNNNNNNNNNNNNNNNNNNNNNNNNNNNNNNNNNNNNNNNNNNNNNNNNNNNNNNNNNNNNNNNNNNNNNNNNNNNNNNNNNNNNNNNNNNNNNNNNNNNNNNNNNNNNNNNNNNNNNNNNNNNNNNNNNNNNNNNNNNNNNNNNNNNNNNNNNNNNNNNNNNNNNNNNNNNNNNNNNNNNNNNNNNNNNNNNNNNNNNNNNNNNNNNNNNNNNNNNNNNNNNNNNNNNNNNNNNNNNNNNNNNNNNNNNNNNNNNNNNNNNNNNNNNNNNNNNNNNNNNNNNNNNNNNNNNNNNNNNNNNNNNNNNNNNNNNNNNNNNNNNNNNNNNNNNNNNNNNNNNNNNNNNNNNNNNNNNNNNNNNNNNNNNNNNNNNNNNNNNNNNNNNNNNNNNNNNNNNNNNNNNNNNNNNNNNNNNNNNNNNNNNNNNNNNNNNNNNNNNNNNNNNNNNNNNNNNNNNNNNNNNNNNNNNNNNNNNNNNNNNNNNNNNNNNNNNNNNNNNNNNNNNNNNNNNNNNNNNNNNNNNNNNNNNNNNNNNNNNNNNNNNNNNNNNNNNNNNNNNNNNNNNNNNNNNNNNNNNNNNNNNNNNNNNNNNNNNNNNNNNNNNNNNNNNNNNNNNNNNNNNNNNNNNNNNNNNNNNNNNNNNNNNNNNNNNNNNNNNNNNNNNNNNNNNNNNNNNNNNNNNNNNNNNNNNNNNNNNNNNNNNNNNNNNNNNNNNNNNNNNNNNNNNNNNNNNNNNNNNNNNNNNNNNNNNNNNNNNNNNNNNNNNNNNNNNNNNNNNNNNNNNNNNNNNNNNNNNNNNNNNNNNNNNNNNNNNNNNNNNNNNNNNNNNNNNNNNNNNNNNNNNNNNNNNNNNNNNNNNNNNNNNNNNNNNNNNNNNNNNNNNNNNNNNNNNNNNNNNNNNNNNNNNNNNNNNNNNNNNNNNNNNNNNNNNNNNNNNNNNNNNNNNNNNNNNNNNNNNNNNNNNNNNNNNNNNNNNNNNNNNNNNNNNNNNNNNNNNNNNNNNNNNNNNNNNNNNNNNNNNNNNNNNNNNNNNNNNNNNNNNNNNNNNNNNNNNNNNNNNNNNNNNNNNNNNNNNNNNNNNNNNNNNNNNNNNNNNNNNNNNNNNNNNNNNNNNNNNNNNNNNNNNNNNNNNNNNNNNNNNNNNNNNNNNNNNNNNNNNNNNNNNNNNNNNNNNNNNNNNNNNNNNNNNNNNNNNNNNNNNNNNNNNNNNNNNNNNNNNNNNNNNNNNNNNNNNNNNNNNNNNNNNNNNNNNNNNNNNNNAACCAAAGGAAGCAUGUUCCAGACGUCGAUGCCACAACCAAAUUUCAGACUUUUUCUUCUCCUCCUUAGAUCCAUCUGCCAUCAAGGCUUGUUGCAACUUAUUUGAAUCCUUUGAUUGCAAGUCCAAGUAUAGAGUUUCCCCCGCUUAAUACGACAACCAAUCGUCUGUCUUGUUUGAAUGUCCUUAAUCACACAAAAUUCAGGCCAAAAAAUGACAAUACAAGAUAAGGCUGCAGUGAUUUGAGAAACUAACAAAAGAUUGUAAUCUAAAGAUGGAACAACUAAAACAGAAUCCAAAUUCAAAGUAUCAGUAAGAGUUAAGGAUCCUUCCCCAAUGACUGGGGUUGUGUUACCAUUGGCUGUGGAAACAAUUUUUUGUGAGGAAGGUCUAAGGGGUGAAACCUGUCUAGAAUCAAAAGUCAUAUGAUCUGUAGCACCAGAAUCAAUUAUCCAUGCACUAUUAAUAACAGGUGUAAAAGUAUUUAAAAACUUACCACAAUGAUCUGUAGCGGCUACUAAUGCAGAGACUUUCUCAACAACAUUAGUCUUUGUUUUUAUUUCGGUAACAGUUGCAAUCAAGGUUUUCUUGGAAUUCUUCUUCCGUUGAUCACGAUUAUUAUCAUUAAUAACAAAGUGUUGAUAGCCUAAACAUGAUCUAAAGGUCCAUGGUGCAAACCCUCGGUUCCUCAUUGUUUUCCUGGUCAUACCAAGAGUUGUUGCUUUGAAAUUGUGGGAUAUCCAGACUGGUGGGAUCAGUUUUAUUGCAGUGAGUGCAUUUGAAUGUUGACUUAUCAAUAUUAGGGCUUGUCUUCGGAUGGUUGAUUGCUGUUGGACUACCAUAGCGACAAAAUAUCCAGGAUUUCAAUUCCAGGGCUCUGAUACCAUCUUCAAAUUGAUGAAUGAUAGUUUUUCAUUCAUUCUUUCAUGUACAGAGUAUAUAUAGAGGGUAAUCACCAUUCUAAGAAUGGGAAAGAAUGAUACGAGGAAAUAAUGAUAUAAGGAAAUAAUAACUAAUAUCCUAAUAUCUCAACUUUCCUAAUAUCUCAAUAUUCCUAAUAUCUCAACUUUCCUAAUAUCUAAACAUUCAUAAUAUCUCAACACUAAAUGAUACAAGGAAAGAAUGAUAUAAGGAAAACAUUCCUAAUAUCUCAACACCACUUCAUGAUAUAUAUAGUUUCUUACCCUUAAUCAAUGGUUUCUAAGUGAAUUUAUAUAGAAAGAAAUCCAAACUGUAGACAGCAGUAUUGGUAACACUCAAUAUUCUGUAUAUAAUAGAAUAAAUAGCGUCACAGUGAUCGUCGCCUACAAGCAAGGUACAAAUACCACAAAGAGUGACCCACAUAGACAUUCCCCAACAAGAUGUAGUAGUGACUGACACAUAGCCACAAUUAACACGUAGAAAAGGAUAAGACCGGUGCACAGUAGCUCUUAUUUUACAUACUACUUAUGCCAACCAAAGUCACUCAGUUGGGAUGGGAGGGAGAUGGAGGUUUGUGCGGUGGCUUGUGGGGCGGAGUUGAUGGCUUCUUUCCAGGAGCUUCUGGCUUUUUCAUCGGAGCUGAAGGAGGCUCAAUCUUAUGAGGCGGCUUGUACGAGUCUUCUUUGCUCUCGAAAGGAGGGUGGCCAGGGUUGUGACCAUAAUGUGGUGGUUUCUCUCCCUUGGGAGGUUUACCAAUUGGGGUUGGUGGCUUGUGUUCUGGGAGUGGUUUCUCUCCCUUGGGAGGUUUAGUGGGUGACUUGUGUUCUGGAGGUGGCUUCUCCACCGAAGGCUUGUGCUCCGGUGGUGGCUUUUUGGUUGGAGGGGGCUUGGGGUAAUCAGCAAGAGAUGGGGUGGUGAGAACCACCAGUCCAAGGAACAACACUAGCAAGUAUGUGGGAGACAUUUUUGAGUUUGGGCUGAUCAGAUGAUGCAAAACUAAAGCAUUACGUGACCUUUUAUAGCAAGUAGCUCCCAAUACCUACUUGACACGUGUUACUGUGACCCAUAAAUAUUAUGGGGUCUAUUUGUGCCCUACCGGGUUGAAAACUUGGACAAUUGGGCAAGGACCCGCCUGACUAUGGAGGACUACUGAGGUGUGAUCACAGCUUUAGGAUUUUUCUUCCUCUGCAGCCGUCUUGCCGUUGGCAUGAUUUUCUUAAUCUCAAAUAAAGGCAUAGUUAUAGAGUUGUUUAAUCUCUAAAUGGGAUUUUAUAUAUCUUCAGAUAGCCAUUAAUACAUUUGAUGAAGAAAGAAAGACAAGUGCAUACAACAUGUAUACGACUAGCUUUCAUGGAGUUCAUUUAUGAUCAGUUUUCCUGUACAUGUAAACCAAGAUCAUAUAUGUUUUUGUUCCACAACAAUUUUGGAAUCUUGUUUAUCCGUUUUUAUCAUUAUAAUGUCACAUAGGCUGCCAACUUGGGCGCUAAAUUAAAGAUCCAGUUGGGCAAGUUCGUUUCAGAAUUUCAAUGGUGGAUUCAGGAAUUGUUUUAUAAGAUAUGCAAAAUAGUAGAGGGAUGAAUAGUGUUUCAUUAAGAAAAGAGCCCUGUAAAAAUAUUGUUUAAAGGUGCCAUAGAAACUAUAAUCAAUAAAUAACUUUUUUUCCCCAUGGGUGGUGUUUCUUGUGGGGAUCAGUGACUGGUUUGAGUCAACGCCGUGUCUCUUUAGUCCAGAAAUCAACUAUUUUAUGCAUUGAAUACAUCAACAAAGAAAAUAUGAAAGCCAAAUGACACCUCCCCCGCAAAAACUAAACCCUGGUUGCUAACUUUCUAUGUUUCAGUUCCAUUCACACAAGAAUAUUAGUUCAAGUUUGAGAAAAAUGGCGACUUACCUAGUGAUAACUCGGUCUUGGUUUGCGAUUUGACUUUAACGUCAUGGGUUGAAGCCUCCUACAAUCAUCGUGUAUGCUAGUUCAAAGCUCGUGGAAGAAGUUAUACAGGGAGGGAGAAACCUCCACAGCAAGCUCCAAAAGAGAAUUAUCACAUUGAAAGCUCCAGUUGAACACUGGGUGAAAGCCAUAACAAGAUUGGUUUUCUAUCGCUCUUUUAAGUAAUGGAAGAUUAUUAUCUCUGCUUGUCACUACAACCGUGCAUGCUGCUAGAUCUUUCUAGACACUUCAAACAGUGAAACCAAGUAUGAUUCUUUUUCUCUUGAGUGGGUCCACUUGCAUGCCAAUGAACGAGUUGAAAAGUUGGACAAUUGGCCACAGCGCGCACUUACCUUCUGGAACCGAAGGUCAGUGAAGUGGGGUUCCUUUUGGCCCCUUGUGUUUCUGUUCCAACCUACUCCAGGAACCGAAGUUCAGUGAAGUGGGGCUACUUUUGGCCUCUUGUGUUUCUGUUCCAACCAAACAAAAAUGGGAGGGAAAAAUAGCAUUAUGCUUGUGCUAAAGAUCAACGCAUGAUAGCUGAAUAAGGGAGAAAAAGGCAUUGCUAUCUCAAUUUCAUAAACUUGAUAAGUAGUGACAUUAAUAGUCUUCCUCAUAGAUGGAUACAUGGUUUUAUUUUAUUUAUUUAUUUUUAUUUUUUUGUUUUAUGUCAAUGCUAAUGAAUGAAGUGCAUUAGCUUGUUUUGUGACUAGAACUACAAAUGUCCAAAUUGGAGCUUCUCCAAUAUAUUUCUCAGUGAGUUAUUGAUUAGAACUCUUGGAUUGAGUUCCAAGAUUUGAAUCAGACCCCUCUAGCAGCUUCAGGGGUACGUAGCAACCUAUAGCAUAUUAAUGAAGACUUAGGAUUUAGACUUAGGAAUACAAAUUAAUAUGUACCUCAUGCUCUGACUAGCUUCCCUGCGUAUGCACAAAAUGGAGAUGACUCCCAAAAAAAUAGCAGAAUCGCCUUAGUAUGUUUUUGUGGUUAAGAUGAUUCUCCACUUUAUAUAUCCACAUUGGUUCAUUAUGCAAAUUAAUCAACUAAGCUAUUUUUAUUUUUUCUUAAAUGUGAAAUAGGAGCUCCAAAUUAACCUAACCAUUGGCCUGAUUGAAUUGAUUUCACUUGCAUAAUGUUAUAGUAGAAGUCCGUAAUUUGAAUUUUAUUUUUGCAAAAGGUAACGUAAAUGAAGCAUUGUAAUUAAAUUUAUUUGUAAUUACAAACUAAUUUUAUUUUAUUAAGAAUUAAUUUAAUUACUCAUUUAAAAUAAAAAUCAGUUAUACUUUUACCAAGAUGAUAAUAUUCAUAUUUUUCUAGUUAACAUAUAUAAAAUAGUACACUUUUUCAUAUAAAAAAAUAAUUUAUGAUUUAUUAUAAUGUUACUAUUCACAUUUUACUAAAUUGAUGGUACAUGAUAGUGAGAGAAGGGGGUGUCACACUCAGCUAAAGUUCUUUUCAAAAUAUUGCAUGGUGUUUAAUUUUAUGUGUCGGCGCGCGUGUGAAUGGAACCUGCAAAAGUCCAAAUUGGCGUUUCUCCAUUUUCCACAUAGGAUGGUGACGUUAAUAGACAAAGAUACAAUAUCUGUAGACAUUGCUUAAAAAUCGAUGUGAAGUAUUAGAAAUUACAGGGCACUGUACUGGGGGAGCGGCUGCCCCGCCAAAGGAGGAAGAAUGUAGCAAUUUCUUCUGUUAGCCAGGCCUUAGGAUUUAUGCAUGGGAUGCCUAAUAACAAACAGAGAAAAUAUACUUUUGGGGAAGGUAUCCAACAACAGACACCAUCAUUCAGAUGGUGGGAAGGUAUCCAACAGAUGCCAUCAUUCAGAUGGUAACAUAUAUAUACAUUUAUUAGUGAGUUUUUUUAAUACCUAUAAAAAAAAAUAUACACUUUGAUAUUGUGGCUGAAUCCAUUACAUACUCAACUAACCUUGCUCAUUAGGGAUUUGACUUAACAAGGGCAACGUUGCAGUACAAGCUCAAAACUUUAUGCAGGUGACAUUACAUUUGGUAAAGAAGAGGAAAAUAACGAAAGCCAUCCAUAAAAGCAAAAUUCCACAUGGGAUGAAAUUCACAAGCUUCAUUUACGAUAGAGUCGCAUCCAGGCAAUUAAUUCCACAUUAGACCGCCUGUUGACAUGUGUACCAAUCUUUUUUCAAAAAAUAUUUAUAAAUAAUUGAUACUCACAAAAAUAAUUUAAUAUUUAUAAAGGAUAAAAAAAUAUUUUCAAAUCUAUAACAAUUUAUAAAAUAUUAAUAAAAAAUUAUCUCUUAAACUUAGUAUAGUUUUAUCAGAUUAAACUUUUAUUUUGAACAAAUAAUUUUAAUCUAAGUUUUAAAUUCUAAAAUUAUUUCCUUAAAAUAAAAUUUUAAAAUUCAACACUUCAAUUGAAAUUGUCUUUUUAAAAAAUAUCUUCUUAUUUUAAUCCUUAUAAACUAUAGUUGAUUGAAAAUACUAUUGAAGUUCUCUCUUAAAAAAAAGUCUUAUUUUAAUCUUCAUAAAUUGCCCUUGAUUUGAAAAUAAAUUUUCAGUUAUCAUAUUUUAAAUAAUAUCUAUAUUUAAAAUACUCUAUUUAAAAAAAAAUGAACUAAUUUUAAUUAUAUUAUAUUUUAUUUUUUUAUAUAUUUUUAAUGAUAAACCAAACAUAGAAAAUCAUUUUUCUAAAUAUUUUAAAAUUUCUAAGCAACCAAACAUAAUCUUCAAAAUAAAAGGAAAAUAAGGAGGGACAUUUGAGAAAUGGCGAUUAAAAAAAAGUGUACAAAAGCUCAAUUAAUUUUCUUCUAGUCUUUUAUAUAAAAAAGUAAAGGAAUUGAAAAGUAUUGAUAUGUAAAUUAAUAUUUGGAUUUUAAUAGUAUUUUAUUUGUCUUUCUCUAUCUCAUGUAAAAGAGAAUUUAAGAUAUUUCCUAAAGCAAAGCAUUAGUUAUCUGCAAUCAGUGGUGAUCAUGCCCCAUGUCAAUUUCGGACCCAUAUCUUAAAACUGUAUAAUUUGCAUUCAAACAUUACUGAUUUCUCAGAUGUUUCAUACUCCACAGAAGAGCAUUGUUUGUGAAAGCAUGCAUUUAUGUUGGAUUUUGGAUGAUGUGGGAACUGGGGCAAGGAUCAUAUGGAAGAGUGGUCGAUUUUGUUCUGUACUUUAACAUUUGAAAUAGGAGAAGCUCGGGCAUUUGUGGGGCUUAAUUGAUUUUGAAGCCUGAAAUUGCGUUUCUGUCAUUUUGUAAAAAAUAUGGCAGAUUCCAUGCUCUCAUAUGUUUGGUCUGUGGCCAUGUAUAGAUGCCCCUUAGUGACCAGUUUGUAACUGUCAAUCAUAGUGUUUUGACUCUGGCUCAACAACAUCAGCCAUUGACGGAUUUUCAUACUUGCAAAUCAAAUAGUCUUCUUCCUCCCUUAGGAAUUUCGGUUUAAAUGUUAUUAAGCAUACAUUUGGCUGACAAUUAUUAACCACUUCAUGAUAUGGUUUCUUACCCUUAAUCAAUGGUUUCUAAGUGAAUAUAUGCAGAAGGAAAUCUGAACUGUAGACAGCAGUAUUGAUAACUCUCAAUAUUCUUUAUAUAAGAGAAUAAACAACGUCAUAGUGAUCGUCGCCUACAAGAAAGGUACAUUUCCCAACAAGAUGUAGUUGUGACUGGUACAUGGACGCAAUUAACUCGUACAAAAGAAUAAGACCAGUGCACGGCAGCUCUUAUUUUACAUGCUAAUUAUGCUAACCAAAGUCACUCAGUUGGGAUGGGAGGGAGAUGGAGGUUUGUGCGGUGGCUUGUGGGGCGGAGUUGGUGGCUUCUUUUCAGGAGCUUGUGGCUUUUUCGGAGCUGAAGGAGGCUCAAUCUUAUGAGGCGGCUUGUACGAGUCUUCUUUACUCUCGACAGGAGGGUGGCCAGGGUUGUGACCAUAAUGUGGUGGCUUCUCUCCCUUAGGUGGCUUGCCAACUGGGGUUGGUGGCUUGUGUUCAGGAAGUGGUUUCUCUCCCUUGGGAGGUUUACCAAUUGGGGUUGGUGGCUUGUGUUCUGGGAGUGGUUUCUCUCCCUUGGGAGGUUUAGUGGGUGACUUGUGUUCUGGAGGUGGCUUCUCCACCGGAGGCUUGUGCUCCGGUGGUGGCUUCUCCACCGGAGGCUUGUGCUCCGGUGGUGGCUUCUUGAUUGGAGGGGGCUUGGGGUAAUCAGCAAGAGAUGGGAUGGUGAGAACCACCACUCCAAGGAACAACACUAGCAAGUAUGUGGGAGACAUUUCUGAGUUUGAGCUGAUCAGAUGAUGCAAAACUAGAAGAAUUACGGGACCUUUUAUAGCAAGUAUCUCCCAAUACCCACAUGACACGUGUUACUAUGACCAUAAAUAUUAUAGGGUCCAUUUGUGCCCUACCGGGUUGAAAACUUGGACGCUUGGCCGAGGACACACCUGACUAUGGAGGACUAUUGACGUGUGAUCACAGCUUUUGGAUUUUUCUUCCUGUGCAGCUGUCUAGCGGUUGGCAUUAUUUUCUUAAUCUUAAAUAAAGGCAUAGUUAUAGAGUUGUUUAAUCUCUAAAUGGGAUUUUAUAUAUCUUCAGAUAGCCAUUAAUAUAUUUGAUGAAGAAAGACAAGUGCAUACAACAUGUAUACGGCUUGCUUCAAUCGAGUACAUUUAUGAUCAGUUUUCCUGUGCAAGUAAACCAGUUUUUUGUUCCACAACUAUUUUGGAAUCUUGUUUAUCAGUUUCUAUCAUUAUAAUGUCACAUAGGCUGCAAACUUGGGCACCCAAAGAUCUAGGUGGGCAAAUUUGUUUCAGACUUUCAAUGGUGGAUUCAGUAAUUGUUAAAAGGUGUUUCUUCAUUAAGGAAAGAGUCCGGUAAAAAUAUUGUUAAAAGGUGUCAUAGAAACUAUAAUAAAUAAAUAACUUCUUUUCCCCAUGGGUGGUGUUUCUUCUGGGGAUCAGUGACUGGUUAGGGUCACCCAAAAUGAGUCCAGAUUAAAAUUGGUUCGAGUCAAAGCAGUCUCUUUUGUCCAGAAAUCAACUAUUUUGCGCAUUGAAUGAAUCGAUAAAGAAAAAAUGAAAGCCAAAUCACACCUCCCCUGCAAAACCUAAACCCCGGUUGCUAACUUUCUAUGUUUCAGUCCUAUUCAUAUAGGAAUAUUGGUUCAAGUUUGAGAAAAAUGGCAACUUACCUAGGGUUUACUUGGUUUUGGUUUGCGACUAUUUACGCAACCAACCAUGAGUUUGACUUUAACGUCAUGGGUUGAAGCCUCCUACAAUCAUGUAUGAUAGUUCAAAGCUCGUGGAAGAAAUUAUACAGGAAGGAAGAAACCUCCAAAGCUAGCUCCAAAAGAGAAUUAUCACAUCGAUAGCUCCAGAGAUUCCCAAGGGAACUGAAUCAAAGACAAGUUCCUCACUUUUUCUUCUUUUGAGGCCAAAUAUGAACCAAGGAUCACACGACCUCAUUCAACUUCAUAAGUUUGAUUUCAUGCAGUUGAACACUGGGUGAAGGCCAUGACAAGAAUUGAUUAAAAAAUUCUACCACUCUUUUAAGUAAUGGAAGAUUAUUAUCUCUGAUUGGCACCACAACAGCACAUGCUGCUAGAUCUUUCUAGACACUCCAUGCAAUGAAAGCACAAUGGAUCUUGUAAUGAUAGAAACUAAGCCAUGCUACAGUACUAGAUGAGGGGGUAAAACUAGUAGACAUCUUUCUAGACACUCCAUGCAAUGAAAGCACAAUGGAUCUUGUAAUGAUAGAAACUAAGCCAUGCUACAGUACUAGAUGAGGUGGUAAAACUAGUAGACAUGGCUGGCAGUUGAUUACUACUCAAAAAGUACUCUUUUAUAGCUUGAAACUAACUGUUUUAAACACUUUUGAGUAGUAGUUAAUACCUUUUAACUUAAUUGGCACAUUAAGGAACCUAGCAAGGGUUACUAAUCAACAUUUGGCAAGUUUUGAUGUUUUUGGUAGCUAUUUGAUCAUUGAAACAAGCCAAGAAUGAGGGGGAAUUUUGUGAAGUCCAUGGCAAUGCAAGUUAAAGCUCAAAUACAUGAAGAAUCCAAGCUUUGGAGCACUUCAUAGCCCUUUGCCAAGCCAAUCAAAGAUGCAAGGAAGAAAACCAAAGGAAGAAAUCCAACAAUCAGCAUUUUGGCAUGGCUAUGUGAAAUUUCGCACACCAUGCGAAACCACAAGAGGCAGCCAAAGAAUUUCGCAUGGUAUGCGAAAUCUUCUUGUGCACUGACUCUGUUAGAUUUUUAUCUUCAGAUAUUUUGUGUAAUUUCCUAGUUUCUCCUUGUAACCAACUUAGAUAUUUUCUUUUAUAUCUUUUUUUAUAUUUUUUAGGUAACAUCAUAUAUAAGAGGAGAGACAUAAGGAGGAUAUGGAUGUUUUUCAUAGAACACUUGUAAAUUUUUGGUAGUAAGAAAUAUACAAAGCUUUUUGCUCUGCCUUACCUUCUCAAGGGAUGAGUGGCUAGGUUUUCUUGGAGUGAGGGAAGCUAGGUGAAGGACCUGAAUGCAAAGGUGGGAGUUUUCCUUACUUUAAAUGAAAGUAGUUGUUAAACAUUAAUGGUUUUUAUUUUAAGGUUUAGCUUUAAAUCCCUGAAAAACACCUUGAAUGGCCAAUACUUGGUAAGCUUUUUAGAUUCUAUGGAUGCUUAUUGCUAGAUCCAUGGAUGUCUAUUAGUUAUCAUUUACGAGCCAUUGGAAGGUGAUUCAAGGUGAGGGUCUUUAGUGUUUGAAGCCAUUAAUGGGAAGCAAUUACCAUUUUUUCAUGAAUCCUUUGGAUCAAAUCUUAAUUGCUAAAUAUAAAACCGGUUUCGAGAGAUAACCACCAUCCUUUAUGUUAUUAUCCCCAACGCGAGGAGAAGAUCCGAAAUCUUCCUUUUUAUCUAAGGAACCCGAUCCUAGUGACCUAAAGCUCCAAGAUACCUUUUCUUUGUAGUUAACUUCAUUUAUUGUUUUUGCUUAACUUAAAAUCAAUCUUUGCAACCACAAUUCCAUUUUCUUUAAAAGCUAAUUUUUAUAAGGAAAAACACCAUUUUAUUUCCUUCACUAAGUCAACUGUACGAUGAAAACCCAUCCCUGUGGACGAUCCUAGAGCCACUAUACUAUGUUAGCUAUGCUACCCUAGUGUGAGGUGAUUUAGGUUUUAUAAAUUUUUUUGAUAACACCCAUCUGAGCCAGAAUCAAAUGGCACGACUGAACCAGGGACGAAUCAAAUGACGCCGCUACCAAGGAUGGUGCCAAAGUACAUUGACAUGACUUUUGGUGAACACUUGUGAUCUUCACCACAAGUUUGGUGAUUUUUCUUUUACUAAUUUUUUUUAUUUUAGCUUAUCUUUUAUUUAGUUUUUAGUUAACCUUAAAUUUUUCCUAGAAUUGUAUUUCUUUUGUUUUCUUUGUUUUUGUUUCAGUGAUCUUUAGUUGUGCAUGCCCUAUUGGAUAAGAGAUAUUGAGGGAAUACUUGUGAAGAUUGAAACUCCUCGAGAAACUGAGUUAGAAGUGUGCUUGAACAUCAUGGAUGUUCCACCUGAAGACCAGAAUAGCCAACAUGGUUAAGAGGAUAAUUUCAACACAUACCGAUCCAUGAGGAACCGCAUACAUCCACCUUGUAUGAGUGCACCGUCAGGCAUAAUGCCUCCCACUGAGCAGCUAGUAAUCUGACCUCACAUUGUGCCACUCCUACCUACUUUCCAUGGGAUGGAGAGUGAGAAUCCCUACUCGCAUAUUAAGGAAUUCGAGGAGGUUUGUAAUACAUUCCAAGAAGGAGGAGCUUCAAUUGACUUGAUGAGGCUCAAGCUAUUUCCUUUCACUUUGAAGGAUAAGGCCAAGAUUUGGCUUAAUUCUUUAAGGCCAAGAAGUAUCCAAACUUGGAUUGAUUUGUAAGCCGAGUUUCUUAAGAAGUUCUUCCCUACCCAUAGGACCAAUGGUUUGAAAAGGCAAAAUUUGAACUUCUCAGUUAAAGAGAAUGAGAAAUUCUAUGAGUGUUGGGAGAGCUACAUGGAAGCUAUUAACGUUUGUCCUCACCAUGGCUUUGACACAUGGCUCUUAGUGAGCUAUUUUUACAAUGGUAUGUCUUCUUCAAUGAAGCAACUCCUAGAAACUAUGUGUGGAGGAGACUUCAUGAGUAAGAAUCCGGAGGAAGCCAUGGACUUUUUGAGUUAUGUGGCUGAAGUUUCAAGAGGAUGGGAUGAACCAAAUGCUAGAGAGGUGGGAAGAAUGAAGUCUCAACCUAAUGCUAAGGGUGAGAUGUAUGUUUUGAAUGAAGACAUUGACAUGAAAGCAAAGGUUGCAGCUAUGGCAAGGAGAUUGGAAGAGCUAGAAAUGAAGAACAUACAAAAAGUGCAAGCCAUUUCUGAGACAUCAAUGAAAGCUAUGCCUUGUUCCAUUUGUCAAUCUUAUAAGCACCUAGUGGAGGAGUGUCCUACAAUUCCAGCAGUGAGAGAGAUGUUUGGUGAUCAAGCAAAUGUUAUUGAUCAAUUCAAGCCUAAUAACAAUGCUUCAUAUGGCAACACCUACAAUUCAAAUUGGAGGAACCAUUCAAAUUUCUCUUGGAAACGAAAGCCACCUCAAUACACACAACCUACUCAAGCACCUUAGCAAUCCUCGAAUCUUGAACAAGCUAUUGUGAACCUUAGCAAGGUUGUGGGAGACUUUGUGGGAGAUCAGAAGUCCAUCAAUGCUCAACUGAAUCGGAGAAUUGACAGUGUGGAGAGUACAUUGAACAAAAGGAUGGAUGAGAUGUAAAAUGAUCUGUCUCAAAAGAUAGACAAUGUCCAAUACGUAAUCUCAAGGCUUACCAACCUCAACACAGUGUAAGAGAAAGGAAAGUUUCCUUCUCAACCUCAUCAAAAUCCUAAGGGUAUCCAUGAAGUAGAGGCUCAAGAGGGAGAAUCUUCAAAGGUGAGGGAAGUCAAAGUAGUUAUCACCUUGAAGAGUGGUAAAGAGGUUGAUCAACCCACAUCCAAGCCAAAGCAUAAUGAAGAGAGUGUAGCAGAAAAAGAAAAGAGAGGAAAAUAAAGGAAUUAGAAUAGAGAAAAAUACAAAGAAAGAUGACCAUGAGUCUAGUGUGGAUGAAGAGCCCGAGAGGAUGGUGAUCAAGGAAGAUAUGAUGAAGAAACACAUGCCUCCACCUUUCCCCUAAGCUUUGCAUGACAAAAAAAGAACCAAUAAUACAUCAGAAAAUUUUGAAGUAUUGAGGCAAGUGAAGGUCAAUAUCCCUUUGCUAGACAUGAUCAAACAAGUGUCGACAUAUGAAAAAUUCUUGAAGGACUUGUGCACUGUAAAGAGAGGGUUGAAUGUGAACAAGAAAGCUUUAUUGACCGAGCAAGUGAGUUCCAUCAUACAGUGCAAGUCCUAGUGAAGUACAAAGAUCCGGGUUGCCGUACCAUCUCAGUGAGUAUUGGAAGGACUUGUGUGGAGAAAGCUUUGUUGGACUUGGGAGCAAGUGUGAAUUUGCUAUCCUACUCUGUCUAUAAGCAGUUGGGAUUUGGAGAGUUGAAGCCAAUAUCCAUCACUCUAUCUCUAGCGGAUAGAUCAAUGAAGAUUCCAAGAGGGAUGAUCGAAGAUGUCCUGGUUCAAGUUAACAAAUUCUACUAUCCAGUAGAUUUUGUUGUUCUUGAUAUGGAUCCGGUUGUCAAAUGAACUAAUUAUGUUCCUAUCAUACUUGGAAGACCCUUCCUAGCUACAUCAAAUGCAAUCAUCAAUUGUAGGAAUGGAGUCAUGCAACUCACAUUUGUCAACAUGACAUUAGAGCUCAACAUCUUCCAUUUGUACAAGAAGCAUAUCCAUCAGGAGGAAAAAGAAGGUCUAGAGGAAGUGUGAAUGAUUGACACUUUAGUGGAAGAGCAUUGUGAUCGAGAAUGCAAAAAGAUUUAGUUGAGAAUUUUGGGGAUCUUGAUGAAAGGUUACUUGAACCCUCAGAUUUGCUUGCUACCCUACUCCAUUGGAAGAGAAGAGAAGAAAUUCUACCCUUAUUCAAUGAGGAGGAGACGCAAAGAGCUGCAAAGGAGAAACCCCCAAAACUUAUUCUUAAGCCACUACCCACAGAGUUGAAGUAUGUAUACUUGGAAGAAGACAAGAAGUGCCCUAUUGUUAUAUCUUCAACUCUUACCAUUCAUCAGGAGGAUUGUCUACUUGAAGUCCUUAGAAGAUGUAAGAAGACAAUAAGGUGGCUAAUUUCUUAUUUGAAAGGGAUCAGCCCUUUAGUCUGCACCCAUCAUAUUUACAUGGAGGAUGAAGCUAAGCUAAUUCAUCAACCUCAGAGAAGGUUGAACCCUCACAUGCAAGAGGUGGUUCGAGCUGAAGUUCUGAAGCUACUUCAGACCAGUAUUAUUUACCCCAUAUCAAAUAGCCCAUGGGUGAGUCCUACUCAAGUUGCGCCAAAGAAGUCUGGGAUCAUGGUGGUGCAAAAUGAUAAGGGAGAAGAUGUCUCUACACGCCUCACUACAGGUUGGAGGGUGUGUAUCAAUUACAGGAGGUUGAAUGCAGUGAUAAGAAAGGACCAUUUCUCAUUGCCCUUUAUUGAUCAGGUGCUUGAGAGGGUCUCUGGGCUUUUUUUUUUAUUGUUUCUUGGAUGGCUACUCCGGGUACUUUCAGAUAGAAAUUGAUGUUGAAAACCAAGAUAAGACCAUUUUCACAUGCCCAUUUGGAACCUAUGCAUAAAGGAGAAUGCCUUUCGGCUUAUGCAAUGCACCCGCAACUUUCCAAAGAUGCAUGUUAAGCAUUUUCAGUGAUAUGGUGGAGCGUAUUAUGGAAGUCUUUAUGGAUGAUAUCACCAUUUAUGGAAGUGCAUUUGAUGAAUGCUUGGUCAACUUAGAAGCUGUUCUGAACCGAUACAUUGAGAAAGACUUAGUGCUUAACUGGGAGAAGUGCCAUUUCAUGGUACACCAAGGGAUUGUCCUUGGGCACAUUAUCUCCAAGCAAGGCAUUGAAGUUGACAAAGCAAAGGUUGAACUCAUUGUUAAGUUGCCAUCCUCAACAAAUGUCAAAGGAGUAAGGCAAUUCUUUGGCCAUGUCGGGUUCUAUAGGAGGUUUAUCAAGGAUUUCUCUAAGCUUGCAAGGCCUCUUUGUGAAAUAUUGGUGAAUGAUGUUAAAUUCAUAUGGGAUGAUGGAUUUGAAAGGAGUUUUGAAGAAUUGAAGCUAUUUUUGACAACCGUACCAAUAGUGAGGGCUCCCAACUGGCAACUGCCCUUUGAAGUAAUGUGUGAUGUCAAUGAUUUUGCUAUAGGAUUUUUUCUUGGGCAAAGAGAAAAUGGAAAACCUUAUGUGAUCUACUAUGCGAGGAAGGCAUUGAAUGAGGCACAAAGAAACUACACAACCACCGAGAAAGAAUUGUUAGCUGUAGUUUUUGCCUUGGAUAAGUUUCGCGCUUACUUGGUGGGGUCCUUCAUCAUGGUUUUUACUGAUCACUUUGCUUUGAAGUAUCUGUUGACUAAGCAAGAUGCUAAAGCAAGGCUGAUUAGAUGGAUUCUCUUACUUCAAGAGUUCAAUCUCCAUAUCAAAGAUAAGAAAGGAGUGGAGAAUGUGGUAGCAGACCACAUUUCAAGGCUAGCUAUCGCACAUAAUUCCCAUGCUUUGCCCAUUAAUGACGAUUUUCUAGAGGGGUCUCUCAUGUUGGUGGAAGUUGUCCCUUGGUACGCUCACAUUGCUAACUACCUGGUCACGGGAAAAGUUCCAAGUGAGUGGAAAGCACAAGAUAAGAAGCACUUCUUUGCAAAAAUUCAUGCCUACUAUUGGGAAGAGCCAUUUCUAUUCAAGUAUUGUAUGGAUCAGAUAAUAAGGAAGUGCGUUCCUGAAGAAGAGCAACAGGGGAUCCUUAGUCAUUACCAUGAAAAUGCAUGUGGAGGCCACUUUGCUUAUCAAAAGACAGCCAUGAGGGUGUUGCAAUCGGGUUUCUGUUGGCCAUCACUUUUCAAAGAUGCCCACACCAUGUGCAAGAGUUGUGAUCGAUGCCAGAGGCUUGGGAAGUUGACACGCAGGAACAUGAUGCCUUUGAACCCCACUUUAAUAGUUGAUAUUUUUUAUGUUUGGGGCACUAACUUCAUGGGACCUUUCCCUAUGUCUUUUGGCUACUCUUACAUCUUGGUAGGAGUAGAUUAUGUUUCUAAGUGGGUUGAGGCAGUCCCAUGCAAACACAAUGACCAUAGAGUGGUUCUCAAGUUUCUUAAAGAGAAUAUCUUCUCAAGAUUUGGGGUGCCCAAAGCCAUAAUUAGUGAUGGGGGUACUCAUUUUUGCAACAAGCCUUUUGAAACUCUCCUAGCCAAGUAUGGGGUGAAGCAUAAGGUAGCUACACCUUACCACCCUCAAACUCAUGGACAAGUUGAGUUAGCAAACAGGGAGAUUAAAAACAUAUUGAUGAAGGUGGUGAACACAAACAGAAAAGAUUGGUCAGUCAAGCUUCUUAAUUCACUAUGGGCAUAUAGAACAACUUACAAGACCAUUCUCGGGAUGUCUCCUUAUCGCCUAGUUUAUGGCAAAGCAUGCCAUCUCCCUGUGGAAUUGGAAUACAAAGCUUGGUGGGCAAUCAAGAAGCUCAACAUGGAUUUGAGCAGAGCUGGGUUGAAGAGGUUCUUAGACCUUAAUGAGAUGGAGAAAUUGAGAAAUGAUGCCUACAUCAAUUCAAAAAUUGCAAAAGAAAAAUUGAAGAGGUGGCAUGAUCAGUUGAUUUCCCGCAAGGAUUUUCAAAAUGGACAAAGAGUCUUACUUUAUGACUCUAAACUCCACAUCUUUCCGGGCAAGCUGAAAUCAAGGUGGAUAGGUCAUUUUACCAUUCACCAAGUGCAUUCAAAUGGAGUAGUGGAACUACUCAACUCCAACAAUAUCGAGAACUUCAAAGUGAAUGGCCACCGUCUCAAGCCCUUUGUGGAGUCUUUUUCUCACAACAAGGAGAAAUUCAUCCUCCUUGAUCCACAUCAAGCUUAACAAGACCAAUUUUCUUGAUGGACUUAGUCUUUCUAAAGACUAUCGAGUCCAUAACUUUUUGUUUUAUUUUUUAUUUGAGAUUUUUUCGGUAUUGUUACUUGUUUUGUUUUUUAUUUUUCGUUUUAAUUUUAUUUGGUUUGAUUUAACUUAGGUUUUUGAUGAUCAAUUACAGGGGGGAUUUCAAAUAGAGGAAAAACCAAGAUAAUUCGCACACCCUACGAAAAUUUCGCAAGGCAUGCGAAAUUUAUGGCUUAUUUUGCAUGGGGUGAAAAUUUUCGUACAUCUUACGAACCAAUUUCGAACACUUUGCGAAAAUAAACCAACCCUGCGAAAUCAUUUCGAUUACUCUACGAAAUUUUCGUAGAGCAUGCGAAAAAUUUAGCACACCAAACACCAUUUCGCAUACUAUGCAAAAACCUAAGGGGUCUGCGAAACCAUUUCGCACCUCCAAAUCCAUUUCGCACAUUGUGCGAAAACCAAGAGGCGCUGUGCGAAAAUGAAAAGUCGCCCUGUCAUCCCUUUUUAAACCCCUCGAGCCCUAAAAUCUCCAUUUCGCAAGCACCCCUGUCCUUGCGAAUCCCUCAUUUUCCUCUACUACCUUGCAACCUCGUCCCUUUCCAUUUGAUAUUGUGCCCCGCGCACAUCUCAUUUCAGAGACUCGCACUCCGCGCCCCCUCAAAGCAUGGACUCGAGACCCACCUUCCAUUUCCGACGUGGCACGGACCCAAGGAGCCCUUUCUGCCCCUUCACUAAGACACACACCAAGGCAGAAAGCCUCCUUUGCUCAAGUGCCUAGUGAUUCUCCAUCUUAGGCCUCAGAGGCCUCGGAGGCCCCGUGGAUUCCACCUUCCGAGGGUAGAGCAGCCAUUGGUCCUUCCUCUUCUACUCCUUAGCGUAGAUACGAGACGAGGAGACCACCUACUACACAAGGGGCGACUACUUCGAGCCUUGAGAAUUCAGUACGAUGCCUUCCUGCCAAGAGGGUCAAGACUUCAGGUCCAAGUGAGUCAUCCAGAGCUUCAUAGCCUAAGCCUCCUGUAGAUUCCAAGGUUCCUACUGACAUAUCACCGGAGUCUAUUAUCAGAAGCCCGAUGCUCAUAGCACCGCCCAUUGAGGGCAACUCAGAUUAUAGAGCGAGAUCUUUCCACUUGGAGCUAUAUUUUGAUCAGGAGGCCAUACGACAGCAGCCUGAGCUCCGAGACUCUUAUGGCUUACUGCAGAGGUACCAUCUUGAGGAACUUAUGACUCCUCGUGAGUUUUUUUAUCCCAGAGUAGCACUAAACUUUUACCAGUCCAUGACUACUCGUGGCGUCCCGAGUCCUACCACGAUUCACUUCACCAUUGAUAGACGUCAUGGUAUCCUCAAGGCCAGACAUAUUACAGAGGCUCUACAAAUUCCUUUCGAGCUAGAGGAUCCAUCUGUUUUUCGCUAAUGGUCCCCAGUAUCUCAGAGGGACAUGGUCCGUAUUUUAUCUAGGGGAACAUCUACAGAUUCGAUCUUUCUACGGAAGGAGCUUCGACCUGGGAUGCUCCUCUUAGAUGUGGUGCUAUGCUCCAACCUCUUUCCCUUACAACAUUCGGUACAUAGGUGAUGAGCUAUUUUGGACGCUUUAUUCCGUAUAUCAGAGGGCUUCUACUUUGGCCCGCACCACUUGAUCAUGGUCUCCCUCAUCCACUUUGAGGAGAAGGUUCAUAGGAAGAAGCUUCAGAGGGUGGACACCAUUCCAUUACUAUUCCUGAGGUUACUUUGCCAGGUCUUGGAGUACAUGGGCUUUCCUACUGAGCCUCGGCUCGAGCUUUGCCGCCUUUGUCGAGAGUGAUCCACUCUCGACAAAUGGAAUUAGUUGGCGGGCUAUUCUGCACCUCCAGGAGCCCCUCCCAUGGUAGCACCUCCAAUGUCCCCACAGGCAAAGUAGGGCGAGCUCCCGGCAAAGACUGUACCACCAAUGCCCACACUUGAGGCUAUUUCUGCUGCUCUGCCUAUGACUCCUACUGUUCCACCAGUUGGUCCUUUUACAUCCGAGCCUUCCAUCACCAUCUCGGCUUCGGAGUUUCGCGCCCUUGUGCAUACCUUUCAGACACUCACCACCACACAUACUCCUCUCUUCUAGCAAAUGGUUGAGAUGUGUGCCCAUCAGGACCGGAAGACUACUAUACUCUGCCAAAUUCAGCAGCACCUAAGACUUUUGCCUCAACCUCAACCUAACCAUCCCAUAUCAUCAGAGCCUCUAGCUCCAACUGAGGAUACUAUUCCACCUGAGAACACUACCACAGUAGAGGUCCGGUUUCCACCACCUUAAGAGGCCACCACAGCUACAUCAGAGGAUGUGUCAUCUCCACUUGAGGCUCCCACUACUUGAUCAUAGGACAUAUCUUUAUCUUAUUGUAUUUACAUAUUAUAUUACUAGAGAUUUGUCCUUGUUUUGAUACUUUAUAUUCUGGGAUUGGAUGUAUUGCCUGAUGAUAUCUCAAUUGUACUUUCUCAUAUUAAUAUAUAGACAUCAAUUUUUUUUAGUAUACUUAGCAUUUUUCUAUUUCCUCUACUCAUUACUCUUUUGUUUUUUUUUACUCAUGUGGUUUCUCUUAUACAACUCAGACUCCAUUUCACUCAGGAGGUACCACUUCCUCCCUUUAUUUUCAAUUGCUCUUGAAAUAUUGAGUGCAAUGUUGAUCUUGGUUGGGGGGAGAGUUGAGGAAGGAAGUUUUGUUAAUAAUGCUAGGUUAAUUUGUUAAUUUAGUUACUUUCUGCUUAAUUUUAAAAGUUUUCACUCUACUUUCCAUGGUUAUUAAGGAAAAAUUCUCAAAAUGAAAUGGGAGAAAUCGAAUUCUUGCAUUUUUACUUGAAUCUUAGAAUUUGUAUCAUGCUUAUUAAAGUUGAUGAAUUAUUGAAACUCCUAUUGAAUUCAACCUUAUUUUUUCCACUUUAAUCUUACCACACACGGUGCACAUUAGGUUCCAGUUAUAAGAUAAAAAACUAUCUCACCCCCUAAACUUAGAAAAAUUUACACUUGGUACCUUUGACAUCGUUUUAAUAGUGUUGGGACACCUUAUAAAAGGCCAAUGAGCCUUUAAAAAAAAAAAAAAAAAAAAAAAGAGAAAGAACAAAGUAUUGCACUUGCCUUGAAACCUGAGCAAGAUCCGAGGGGUAUACAGUGAAAGUCUUUAAAACCUGGUGCCCUAAGCCUUGAUUGGUUGGGAGUCACCGACCUCAAUGCUCGUUAUAAGGGUGAAUAGGUGGAGUUUAACAUAUUGUAGGUGCUUGGGUAUUGAAUUUCAAUCUCAAAAGUCCGGGAAAAAAUCUAAGGAGUUAGUGGUCAAAAGAUCCUUAAAGCUUGAUGCCCUAAACCUUGAUUGGUUGAGAGUCAUUGAUGGAUCCCCGCUACAUGGACAUUUUAGAAAACAAUACCUUUAGCAUUGCACGCCUACAAUGAAAAAAAAAUGUGAAAUAAAAGAGGUGCGUUCUUAGCCUAUUGGAGGUUGGUCAGUUUGCUAAAGUUUGAGAAAUCUAGGUUGGGGGGAGAGAAUAGUCCGACAUACUAUAAUAAAAAACUAAUAACCUUAACACUUAGAUUUUUGUGGAAGAGUAAGGAUUGGACCUUUAGGGGUGGAAAUUCUUUUGAUGCUUAAAUUUGCAUAAUGCCUACUCUUUAUAAAUUAUGAUUAGGCAAGAGAUUUGAUGACUCUUGUUCAAAGUUGGGUUUUUCCUCUUUGAUGUUCCAUGAGAGAGUAUAAUCCUCAUCAUGCCACUUGAAAUCUUUUUGGAGUGAUUAACAUGAUUUUGUAAAUUAUUUUACUGUCUAUUUUUCUUUAUCUCUCUUUUAUUGCUAAUGGACUAGCAAUAUGUCAGUUGGGGGGAGUGAUUACUACUCAAAAAGUACUCUUUUAUAGCUUGAAACUAACUGUUUUAAACACUUUUGAGUAGGUGUUAAUACAUUUUAACUCAAUUGGCACAUUAAGGAACCUAACAAGGGUUACUAAUAAGUUUUUGGCAAGUUUUGGUGUUUUUGGUAGCUAUUUGAUCAUUGAAACAAGCCAAGAAUGAGGGAGAAUUUUGUGAAGUCCAUAGCAAUGCAAGUUAAAGCUCAAAUACAUGAAGAAUCCAAGCUUUGAAGCACUUCAUAGCCCUUUGCGAAGCCAAUCAGAGAUGCAAGGAAGAAAACCAGAGGAAAAAAUCCAACAACCAGCAUUUUCGCAUGGCUGUGCGAAAUUUUGCACACCAUGCGAAACCACAAGAAGUAGCCAAAGAAUUUUGCACACCAUGCGAAAUUUCGCAUGGUAUACGAAAUCUUCCUAUGCACCAACUCCGUUAUAUUUUUAUCUUCAGAUAUUUUGUGUAAUUUCCUAGUUUCUCCUUGUAACCAACCUAGAUAUUUUCUUUUAUAUCUUUUUUUUAUAUUUUUUAGGUAACAUCAUAUAUAGGGGGAGAGACAUAAGGAGGAUAUGGAUGUUUUUCAUAAAACACUUUUAAUUUUCUGGUAGUAAGAAAUAUACAAAGUUUUUUGCUCUGCCUUACCUUCUCAUUUUGUUUUCACCUAUCUUUCUAGCCAAACAACCUCUGAGAAUGAUUUCUCAGGGGAUGAGUAGUUAGGUUUUACGUUUCUUGGAGUGAGAGAAGCUAGGUGAAAGACCCAAAUGCUAAGGUGGGAGUUGUCCUUGCUUUAAAUGAAAGUAGUUGUUAAAUAUUAAUGGUUUUUAUUUUAAGGUUUAGCUUUAAAUCCCUUAAAAACACCUUGAAUGGCCAAUACUUGGUAAGCUUUUCGGAUUCUAUGGAUGCUUAUUGCUAGAUCCAUGGAUGUCAUUAGUUAUCAUUUAUGAGCCAUUGGAAGGUGGUUCAAGAUGAGAGUCUUUAGUGUUUGAAGCCAUUAAUGGGAAACAAUUACCAUUUUUUCAUGAAUCCUUUGGAUAAAAUCUUAAUUGCUAAAUAUAAAACUGGUUCGGGAGAUAACCAUCCUUUAUGUUAUUAUGCCCAAUGCAAGGAGAAGAUUUCGAAUCUUCUCAUUUGUCUAAGGAACCCGAUCCUAGUGACCUAAAGCUCCUAGAGACCUUUUCUUUGUAGUUAACUUCAUUUAUUGUUUUUGCUUAACUUAAAAUCAAUCUUUGCAACCACAAUUCCAUUUUCUUUAAAAGCUAAUUUUUAUAAGGAAAAGCACCAUUUUAUUUCCUUCACUAAGUCAACUGUAUGAUGAAAACCCAUCCCUGUGGACGAUCUUAGAGCCACUAUACUAUGUUAUCUAUGCUAUCCUAGUGUGAGGUGAUUUAGGUUUUAUAAAUUUUGUUGAUAACACCCGUCUGAGCCAGAAUCAAAUGGAACCACUGAACCAGGGACAAAUCAACAGCCUAUAUGGGAGGGACACAAGUUUAAUUGAUUUGCAUUUCAGCGUUAUAGAUAAGUAUGUUUUGGAAGAUUUGUUCUGGAAAUACUGCACCAAGUACGAUUCUUUUUCUCUUGAGUGAGUCCAUUUGCAUGCCAAUUAACGAGUUGAAAAGUAGGAGCACCUACCUCGUGCUCAUGGAACCGAAUGUCAGUGAAGUGGGGCUCCUUUUAGCCUCUUGUGUUUCUGUUCCAACCAAGGCGGCGUAGGGAAAAACAACAAUAUGUCUGUGCUAAAUAUCAACGCAUGAUAGAUGUUUUUUUUUUUUUUUUUGGUAUGUCAAGGCUAACGAAUGAAAUGCAUUAGCUUGUUUUGUGACUAUAACUGCAAAUGUCCAAAUUGGAGUAUCUCCAUUUCUCACUUCGGAUGGUUAACUUUAUAAACAAGAUAUAGGAAACAUGUGAACAUCUUGAGGAACAAUUCAAAUUAUUCAUUAGAAGUCCUGGGUUAAGUUCCAAGAUUUAAAUCAGACCCUUCUAGCAGCUUCAAGGGUACUUAGCAACCUAUAACAUAUUAAUGAAGAUUUAGGAUUUAGACUCCGGAAUACAAAUAAAUAUGUAUCUCAUGCUUUGACUAGCUUCCCUACAUAUGCAUAAAAUGGAGAUGACCCAAAAAAAAUAGCAGAAUCUAGCUUCCCUACAUAUGCACAAAAUGGAGAUGACCCAAAAAAUAGCAUAAUCGCCUUAGUUUCUGUGGUUAAGGUGAUUCUCCGCUUAAUAUCCACAUUGACUCAUUAUGCAAAAUCAACUGAGCUAAUUUUAUUUAUUUAUUUAAUGUCAAAUAGGAACUCCUAAUUAACUGAUUACUGUCGAAAAGUGCUAUUUUGUAGACCUAAUUAUAAGGGUUUUAAGCACCUUUGAGUAGUAAUCAUAUUCAUUUAACCUAAUUAAUUCAUUAAGCUCCUUAGUAAUUAGUUCUAACCAUUUUUAGUGGCAAGUUUACAUGUUUUUCAUCAGCUUAUGAACCAAUUCAAGCAUGCCAAUUGAUGGAGGAGCUACUUGGGCGAGUUAAGCAAGGAUUUUGGACGUUUACAGGCUUGAAUUUCAAGUGGAAACACGAGCACAAGCAAUGGGAACACCAUUUCGCAAGGGGAGGCAAUUCACCUUGCCAAAUGACCAAUUUCGCAAGGGGAUUUUCCUCAUGGUGCAAAAUUUGGUCAUUUCGCACCAUGAAGAAACCACCUUGCAAAAUUUCGCAAGGUGGAUUUAGGCACCUUGCGAAAUGCCAAAUUUCACAAGGUGGCUUUUCACCUUGCGAAAUUUGGACCUUUCAUCUUCCCCCCUUGCGAAAUGCCUUUGAAAUCCCCUGUUUUGAGACGCUGUUGAUGAUAUUCCACUGCCGGUUCUCCAAGAUAUUUUGCUUGACUUUUAGCUUUAUAAAUACCUAUUUUACCCUUGUAAUCAACCAAUGAAAAGGUUGCUUUUGUAAUAGCUCUUGUAAUUUAGCUUUUUAUUGUCUUUAAAUAGAGGUGAAGAGCCUCAGACACGAUCAUCUUGUAACCUGUAACUUUAUAAGUUAUAAGAGCACUUUUGUUCAUACGCUUCUUUUCUCUUUUCUUUCUCAUUUUCUUAGUAGCCAAACAUCCUUGGAGGAUGAAAUCCCCAAGGAUGAGAGGCUAAAACCUUUUAGUUUCUUGAAGUAAUGGAUGCCAUGUGAAGCUCCCGUGUCAGGAUGGAGAUUUCCAAGCCAUAAAUGUAAGUAGCUGAGCGUCAUAAAUGUUUUCAUUCAAAGUAAAGCUUUUAAUCCCUCUGACUUGCUUUGAAUGGCCAAUACUUGAUAACCUUUUGGUCUCAAUGGAUUCUUAUUGUUAGAUCCACUGACGUUCAUUAGUUAUCUCCUACGAGCCAUUGUAUUGCAAGUCGAGGAGAUGACCUAUACCAAUAAAAGAGCAUUUAUGAGGUUCAACUACCCUUUUUGUAAGUUUUCAAGGACUAAAACUCAGUUGUUAAACUCAUACCGGUUCGAGAAGUAAGCAUCACCUUAGUUGCUUCCCCAACUCGAGGUGAAAAGUCCCAAAAUCUCCAUUUUUACACAGUGAGUUAAGCAUGGCUAUCCAAAGCUUUAAGAAACUUCUUUUUCCAUCUUUUAACCUAUUUUCAUGUUAGUUUAGUUUACAACACCUUCAUCUUUUUAUGUUUUCAUCUUAACCUAAUUUUUAUUAAGAAAAGUUCACUCCAUCCUCCGAACUUCACCAGUUAAAGUAAAAACCCUUCCCAGUGUUCGAUCCUAGAGCCACUAUGCUAUAGUAGCUUUGCUACUUUAGUGUAAGGACCUUAGGUAUAAAUUUUGUUGAUACCCUUACAUGCCAAGCUACCAAGAGUCGGGUUAUCAUUAACCUAACCAUUGGCCUGUGUAAAUUGAUUUCACAUGCACAAUGUUGUAGUAGAAGUCCAUAUUUUGAAUUUUAUUUUUGUAAAGGUAAGGAAAAUGAAGCAUUGUGUAAUUAUAAAAAUAACUUCAUUGGAAUUCACAAGGUUCACCCAAAAUGGAGCUACAUCUGUAUUCUAUCCUACAGUAGACUAUAUAGAUUGUACAAUAGUAAAUUGCAAAUACAAUUAAUAAGUCUUGUGCUUCCUUACUAAUAAUCCUUUGACAUGAACAUUGCAGCACUAAGGUCCUCUUGGGAAGACACCUUGCACCCAUGAGAGCACUAAGAGGAAGCAAGGCAGAGUCAUGGGUGCAAUGUCAUGACUUGUUGUUGCACCAAGAGAGGCUUGGUGAUGCCAUGGUGUUGCAGUAGCAAGAAUGUUGCCUUGGCAGGGACACGAUCUAGGGAUAGAUGCCAAGAAAGGCUUAGCACUCACAUGAGUUGCACAAAGAUGAAUGUAAUAGAGCAUCAGAGAGACGUCUUGGCAAGUAAAUGAAUGGAUCCAAGAGACAACAACAUGAGGAGUUUCAAAUGGAUAAGGAAUGACUCAAAGACAUUUGAAAGCUACAAGUUGGAUUCUAAUUACGAUUGCAAUUUGAGUUUGAGUAGGAGUUUAGAUUUUGAUUGUAAUUGUAGUAUGAGUUGGACUAGGAUUGCUUAUCCUUAGUCAAUAUAGGAGCGGUUCGUGUCACCCUAUGAAAAGAGUUUGAGUAGGGACUAGGAUUGCUUACUCCUAGUCAAAUAUGGAGUAGGUGGUGCCACACCUAUAAAAAAAAGGGACAACAUGAGAGAGAGAGAGAGAGAGAAAGAGAGAGUGAAUUCACUAAAGAUAUUGUGGGAGUUUUGCUUUGUUACGUCUUGUAUUAUUACUUAGAAUAGGAAUAAAAUACAAGUUGGGGCUAGAGCCCCAUAAUUAAUCUCGUGUGCCUUUGUGGUUAUUCUUUAUUUGUCAUCUCGUGUGGAUUGGAUUAGGUUGACUUAGAGGGCUUCUAAGCACCACCUUUGUGGGUUAUUAUUUAUUUUCCAUCUCUUGUGGAUUAGAUUAGGUUGACUUAGAGGGCUUCUGAGCACCACCUUUGUGGGUUAUUAUUUAUUUUCCAUCUAUUGUGGAUUAGAUUAGGUUGACUUAGAGGGCUUUUAAGCACCACAUUUGUGGGUUAUUCUUUAUUUUCCAUAUCGUGUGGGUUGGAUUAGGUUGACAAGGAGAAAAAUUAUGUGGGAAAUUUGUGUUGGGACACUUACCAUAACCAAGUAAAAUCUACCAAGUCCUUUGUAAUAUCUUCAACAAAUAUUUUAGACUAGUUCUUUCAGUUAGUGUAAAGGAGGAAGAAGUGGUAUUGAUUCUAGAAAUAGGGUGUGUGUAUUUGAACUACAAUCCUUAUGAUCCUUAGGUCUCUAAACCUUCGUGAUGGGCUCCCUGACAUUUCAUAGGUUGUGCUACACAUGCGUUUGAAAUUUAGAGUGCGUUUGACAGUGAUUCCGGGAAGUGUUUUUGGCCUUUCUUACACUUGAAAAUUUUUAUUUUUCAAGUAUUAGAAAUGCUACAAACACUUUUGAAAAUUACUGUCAAACACACUCUUAGGAGCGCACAUAUAUAGUAGAAAACUAGAAAUUGUGGUUUUUUUAGGAUUUACUGUAAUGUCAUUAGGAGGGUAGUAAGUUGAAAUUGAGUAUGAACAAAUAUUUCUUUCUUUGGGAUGUUCUUCUAGUAGGUGCUGAUGAAACUGUUCUUUCUACUGCCAAUGUCACAUAUCAGCCAGAAAUUGAAAAUUUCAGUCAAGGUGUCCUCUGUUUUAGUGGUGAGGAAAGCUAGAAAUUUUAAGGUGAAGUUUUGUUAAAAACCUUAAGUAGCUGGGAUAUCAGGCCUGUUUUGCUUGAAAAAAAAAGUUGCAAGAUAACUCAUAUGCCAAACAGGUUCUGAUAUUGUGAAUCUAUCGGCAGACAUCAGUAAUCUCAUCUUCUGAGAUGGAUGUUGGGGGUGCAUGUGGUGGUGGAGGGGCAAGGUUUCAUUUGGUUUAUUUUGUUGAUGGAUAUUGUCUAGCCACCUGCGCCAAGUUUGAGGGGUGGUGGGUUGUGAUGACCCUACAAUUACUAUUAAUUUCUUCAUCUUUUACCGAUUAAAGUGUCCGAACAGUCGAAGUUACCCUUAUGCAUGUCAACUUGAUCACUUACCUCUUCAAUGGAGUUUAUGCUGGUUCAUUUAGGAACUGAUUUUUAUUGUUAUGUAUUAUAUGCUGAUGUUUAGGUCUCUCCAUCAUCACUAUAUACAAAAAUUCUAGGUUGAUACUAUAGGUUGAGAUUUAUUUUUUAAAUAAAAAAUAAUAAAAAUAAAAAUUAUGGUGAUGUUUAGUUGUUUUAUGGAAAAUUUUAACAAGUAAAAGUUAUUUUUGGGCAAGUUUUCAAACAAAAAGAAAAGUAAAAGUUGUUUUGACAAAAACAUAUAGAAAAAAAAAUCAUAGAAAAUAAAUAAUUUCCCCAUAUUCUAACUUUUUUGAAUUUUUCUCAAUGGGCAAAGGAAUAUCAAAUCAAGUUUGAGUAGGAUUUCUUAAUUUUUAAAAUAACUUACAAUUAAAAAAUUUUGGUGUUUUCAUUUUUGGACAAUUUUUUAUUAAGCAAAUGGACUCUGAGUCAUGCAAGAGAUAUGGUUCAUUAACCGGUCGAACAAUUUUUUUAAAUUAAUUUAAAAGUCAAAUACAUAAUCAAUUUCACAAAAUUUAUAAACAAAAAUAGGUUUAGAGAAGAUCUACACAUAAUUUUACUUUUCUAAUUUUAUUUUAUUUUAUUUUUUGUUGGAAAAUAGUCUUCAAAUCAUGUAAGAUUUAAUAGGUUAAAUUUGUUAACAAUAAAUUUUAAAUUAUAAAAUAUAAUCUGGAACUCAAAAAUCAAUUCAAGUAAUGCUAAAAAAAAAUCAAAUUUGGUAUAGAAUGACUUUGUAAAUUUUUUUACAAAACAAAUGAAUUUUAAAUCAAGUGAGAUUUAAUGCAUUAGAUUUUUAUCAAAUAUAGUAAUUUUAAAAAUAAAUUUGGAACUCAACAAUAGACACAAUAAAUACCAAAAAAUAAUGAACCAAAAUUGGUUUGGAAUAACUCCACAACCUUUUUUUUUUUUUUUUGGUGCACACGAAUUUUCUUACUAGGUAUAUUGCUUUCAAAUUGAGAAAGAUUUACCAUUUAGAUUUUUUUUUAAUGAGUUUAAUGGUAUUUUAAAAUAAUUCAAAAUUUAAAAAAUUGACUAAUUAAUAUUAUAAAUUGAUAAACCAAGACUAUUUCAAAAUGCAUUGGGGGCUAAGGGGGUUGAAAAUAGGGACAAUGGGAUGGGUUUGGGACAUGACACUCAUAUCUCAUUUCCAUUCCAAUUACACAGUUAUCUCCCAUCCUUAUCCCAAACUUGUGUUGGAGCAAGUUGAUUUGUUCCCAUCUUUGUUGACGAAAUGACUAAUAACCUCAUCCCCUCCUUAUCUUAGAUGUACAUUUUGUCAAAUUUGAUCAGGUAUGAUUGAUCCAAGCCCUAACCCUAAUUGGUAAUGAGUGAAUACUACACCUAAUUGCAUUCUUCUUUCAUUGCAAAAUAAUGAGAUUAUAAUAAUCUAGCAAAUAAGAAAAAAUAGUAUGGAAGUUCAAAUUAACACCAUAACUAUCAAUAAUUUUAAGCUUAUAGAUGACUUAAAUGAUUAAAAACUAAUGCAAAAUCCUAAAAAAAAUAAAAAUCAUAUAAAGAAUUCACAAGAGAACAGAAUGAACAAAAACCAAAUAUGAACAUGGGUCAACAUUAGUUAUGGAUUUGGAUUCCUUUCAAGGCCAAUCUUUGAACCAAGACUUCAUCAAAUCAACUACUUCAAAGGCUUUUGUGUUCUUCUUGGGUUGUGCUCUCAAACAAAGACUUCGAGGUGAUGUUCUAGAUGAUUGAAUUACACAUAUUUAGGGUGGAGAGAUUGGAGAAGCUUGAAGAUGCCAACGAUGGGUACAAUUGAGUGGUCAAUAAGAACAAUGUAGCCUAUGACUAGUUUGAUGUCAUGGUACAAGAGUUUUAGGCAUUGAGGUUAAAGCAAGAGCAACAUGGAAUUGAUUUCGGAGUCUUUCAGUUAGUGUAAAGGAGGAAGAAGUGGUGUUGAUUCUAGAAAUAGGGUUUUAAGUGGUGCGUGAUUACUACUCAAAAAGUGCUAUUUGAUAGCCUUUAAUUAAUCCUUUUUAACACUUUUGAGUAGUAGUUUAGGCCUUUUAACUCAAUUGGCAUGUUAAGGAUCCUUUAAAGCAAUUUUGAUCACUUUGUGCAAGUUUUGGUGUUUUUGUUAGUAUUUUGAUCACCAAAGCAAGUCAAGAAUGAGGAGAACUAUGAGGAAUCAUGGGCAAAGCUUAGAAUUCAAUUGCCAAGAGUGAAUCCGGAUUGCAAGGAGAAAAAGCAAAGAGAAUCUGUCAUGAAGCCUAUUCUUGAUGACAGUCGUAGCAGCCACUUUUGGAGCACUUUCUGAAGUCCAAAUGAUGCAAGCUAUAUACCAUUUCAAAGAUCAGGAAGUCAACAAUCCAAUGCUUCAAACGGUGCGCGAUUCGGAGUUGAAACGAAGAAGUUGCAGCCAUUACAAGCCAGUCACUCUAAAGUGUUGCGGAAUCAGCCUUUUGUUGCGAGAAUUUCGCAGCACUUUUGUACAGUAAGGUGUUUCUCCUUCUGACGAUGCACGAACCAUGCCGCGAGAGGGAAGCUAGGAACUUCAAGAUGGAAGCCAACUUUGCAGCCUGGUGAAGAUAGCUUGGUCUUGCGAAAUAAUUUCGCAGCCCUCUUGGGUGUCUGCGAAAUUUCGCAGGCACCACUUUUUUCCUGCGAAAUGGCUCCGGAAGCCUCCCGAAGCUUGCUACCGACAUUGGGAGAUAUUUUCCAUUAGAUUUUUGUUGUCUAAAUUCCAAAAUACUCCUUGUAAACCACCAAUUACAUGAUUCCUUAGUUUUUAAGUUAGUAAAAAGACCAAAUAUCUAUGUAAUAAUUAGUUUUAUAUUAGUUUGCUAUAAAUACCUCUCGGGAGCAUGUUCUCAGAGAGGAGUUCCUUCUGUAACCAUUUUGGUAAGCAAGUAAAGUCUUUUCUUUCUACUGCCUUACCUUCUCACUUUGUAUUUUCAUUUUAUUUCUAAGUUAUGAAUUCUCUGAGGAGCUUUCCCCAGAGAAUGAGUAACUAAACCUCCAAUUCCUUGGAGCUAAGGUUGCCGGGGAAGGUUCCAAGUGCAAGAAUGCAAAGCUCUGUGGUUUUAGCUAGUAAUGAAGAGGAAGUGAAAUCCUUUAGUGAUUUCAAUGUUUUUAGUUAACUUAAAACACCUUGGAGUCACCUGGGCCAACACUUGGUAAGGCAAGUGAUUUCCAACCGUGGAAAUGCACUAGUUUACCCCUUGCGAGCCUCUGGUAGGUGACUUCAAGGUAGGAUUUUCUGGAAUUACCAACACUUGGUAAGCUUUUGGACUCCUAGGAGACAUCCAUUAGUUAUCUCUUGCGAGUUUGUGAAGGGGAAUCCAAGGUUAAAGAUCACCUUGAAUGGUAAGUGCUCGUGAGAGGCAUGAACCAUUGCAAGUUGUAUCAGUGAGAGAAUUAAAGUGAAAUCUAAUUGAAGGAGUCUCUGUACAUCACCGGUUAGAGAAUUGACUAUAAGUUGAAUCUCUAAUGCGAGGAAAUGAACCAUCUGACCGGAGCUAUGUCUUUUGCAUGAGGAACCACCCCAGUGAACCUAAAUCUCCAAGGAAUGCUUUUCUUCCUAAAUUAUUCCAAACUUCUGUUAAGUUAGUUAGUUUAAGUCUAAACCUUUACCAAUCAAACUUUGUGUUUUAUUUCUUAAGCUAACCGUGAAAUGAAACAAAACCAAUUCACUUGGAAUUGGUAUCCUUGAUUGCUUGCAAAUCAUUCCCAGUGAACGAUCCUUAGAGCCACUAUACUAUAGUAGCUUUGUAUUUGCUACCCUAGUGUAUGGUGUUAUAGGUAUAAAUUUUGUUGAUCACUUCCUCAAUCAAGGAACACCAGCUGAACACAAAUCAGCUGAGACACCAAUUGGGCAUGAGUCAAAUGGCGCCGUUGCCGGGGAAUGAGUGUCAAGAUCAUUGUGAUACCAUUUUUGAGCACUUGUGAUUUUCAUCACAAGUUGGUAAAGUUUCUUUCACUUUACUAAUUUUCAUUCUCUCUUUGUUUAUUUACAAUCUAAGUUUAUCUUUUUAAAAUUUAGUCUAGUUUAAUUUUGCUAUUGUAGCCUUGUUUCUCUUGUUGUCCUCUGUUCUUGUUGUCCUCUGUUUUCAUUUUAGUUGCAGCUGAAUACUAGUUGUGUAUGCCAAAGUGGAUACGAGACAUUGGAGGUAGGCUUAUUAAGUGUGAUACACCUCAGAGAGGAGAAUUGGAAGUAAUCUUGAAUAUCAUGGAGGCUGCACCUGAAGAUCAGCAUAGUCACCAAGGUCGUCAAGACAAUCUCAAUGAAUUCAGAUCAAUGAGGGACCGUAUGCAUCCACCUCGUAUGAGUGCACCAUCAUGUAUAGUGCCCCCUACAGAGCAACUAGUGAUCAGACCAUAUCUUGUUCCACUUCUACCAACUUUCCAUGGGAUGGAAAGUGAGAAUCCGUAUGCACACAUCAAGGAAUUUGAAGAUGUUUGUAAUACAUUCCAAGAGGGAGGAGCUUCAAUUGAUUUGAUGAGGCUUAAGUUAUUUCCUUUUAAUUUAAAGGAUAAGGCCAAAAUUUGGCUUAAUUCUUUAAGGCCAAGGAGUAUCCGCUCUUGGACUGAUUUACAAGCUGAAUUCCUCAAGAAAUUUUUUCCUACUCAUAGAACAAAUGGCUUGAAAAGGCAAAUUUCAAACUUCUCAGCUAAAGAGAAUGAGAAAUUCUAUGAGUGUUGGGAAAGAUACAUGGAAGCUAUAAAUGCUUGUCCUCACCAUGGCUUUGAUACUUGGCUACUGGUGAGUUAUUUUUAUGAUGGUAUGUCCUCCUCAAUGAAGCAACUCCUCGAGAAAAUGUGUGGAGAAGAUUUCAUGAGCAAAAAUCCAGAGGAAGCUAUGGAUUUCUUGAGCUAUGUAGCUGAUGUUUCAAGGGGAUGGGAUGAACCAACUAAAGGAGAAGUGGGAAAGAUGAAGUCUCAGUUGAAUGCUUACAAUGCAAAGGCUGGGAUGUAUACUUUAAAAGAGGAUGAUGACAUGAAAGCAAAGUUGGCAGCUAUGACAAGAAGAUUGGAGGAGCUGGAGCUGAAAAGAAUGCAUGAAGUGCAAGCUGUUGCUGAAGCACCAGUGCAAGUGAAGUUGUGUCCCAAUUGUCAAUCGUUUGAACAUUUGGUAGAGGAAUGCCCUGCAAUUUCAGCUGAAAGGGAAAUGUAUAGAGAUCAAGCAAAUGUUGUUGGACAAUUCAGGCCCAAUAACAAUGCUCCUUAUGGAAAUACCUACAAUUCAAGUUGGAGGAAUCAUCCAAAUUUUUCAUGGAAGGCCAGAGCAACUCAAUACCAACAGCCGGAUCCACCAUCUCAACAAUCUUCAAGUAUUGAACAAAUAAUAGCUAAUCUCAGCAAGGUAGUGGGAGAUUUUGUGGGAAAGCAAGAAGCCACCAAUGCUCGAGUGGAUCAAAGAAUGGACAGAGUGGAUCAAAGAAUGGACAGAAUGGAGAGUAUGUUGAACAAAAGAAUGGAUGGAAUGCAAAAUGAUAUGAAUCAAAAAUUUGAUAACAUCCAAUAUUCAAUUUCAAGGCUUACAAAUUUGAAUACACUGCAAGAAAAGGGAAGAUUUCCUUCUCAACCUAACCAAAAUCCCAAAGGUGUCCAUGAAGUGGAAAGCCAUGAGGGAGAAUCAUCACAGGUGAAAGAUGUGAAAGCUUUGAUCACUCUAAGGAGUGGUAAGAAAAUUGAGCAGCCAACACCCAAGCCACAUGUUGAGAAAGAAGAAGAGAUGAAGAAAGGGAAGGAAAUGGAAGAUAAAGGCAGUGAGAUCAGUGAAGAAAAGAAGGACUCUGAUGCAACAAUGAAAGUAAUUCCAGAGAAGGAGCUUCUGAAGGAAGAAAUGCUGAAGAAAUCAACUUUUCCACCUUUUCCUCAAGCAUUACAGGGGAAAAAGGGGGUUAGAAAUGCAGCUGAAAUCCUAGAAGUAUUGAGGCAAGUGAAAGUUAAUAUUCCACUGCUGGAUAUGAUCAAACAAGUUCCAACGUAUGCAAAAUUCCUAAAGGACUUGUGUACUAUCAAAAGAGGGUUGACUGUAAACAAGAAAGCCUUCUUGACUGAGCAAGUAAGUGCAAUCUUACAGUGUAAGUCUCCUUUGAAGUACAAAGACCCUGGAAGUCCUACCAUUUCAGUCAUGAUUGGAGGAAAGGUAGUGGAGAAAGCCUUGCUAGACUUGGGAGCAAGUGUGAAUUUGCUUCCAUAUUCUGUCUACAAGCAACUGGGACUUGGAGAGUUGAAGCCAACAGCAAUCACUUUGUCUCUGGCAGAUAGAUCAGUGAAAAUUCCAAGAGGGGUAAUUGAGGAUGUAUUGGUUCAAGUAGAUAAUUUCUACUAUCCUGUAGAUUUUGUUGUUCUUGAUACAGAUCCUACUGUAAAGGAAGCUAAUUUAGUUCCUAUCAUCCUUGGAAGGCCAUUUCUUGCAACUUCAAAUGCAAUCAUCAACUGUAGAAAUGGGCUUAUGCAACUCACUUUUGGUAACAUGACACUGGAUCUAAAUAUUUUCUAUAUGUCUAAAAAGCAAAUCACUCCAGAAGAAGAAGAGGGUCCAGAAGAGCUAUGUAUUAUUGAUACUUUGGUGGAGGAGCACUGCAAUCAACAUAUGCAAGAUAAGUUGAAUGAAAGUUUUGUGGAUAUUGAGGAAGGUUUUUCUGAAUCUCCUAAUGGGCUUGCUACUCUACAAAGUUGGAGAAAGAUAGAAGGAAUUCUACCUUUGUUCAAUGAAGAAGAGGAGGCAGCUGUUGAAAAAGAAAUUCCAAAACUCAAUCUGAAGCCUUUACCUAUGGAGCUGAAAUAUACAUAUCUUGAAGAAAAUAAUCAAUGUCCUGUCGUAAUAUCUUCAUCUCAAACCAAGUCUCAAGUGAAGGAUGCAAGCUUCAAAUGGGAUCCGGGCAAACUGAAUCAGGAAGGGCAAAAAGUUUUGAUGUAUGACACAAGACUCCAUAUCUUUCCUGGGAAGCUCAAGUCAAGGUGGAUUGGUCCAUUUGUUAUUCACCGAGUAUAUUCCAAUGGAGUGGUGGACUUAUUGAAUUCCAAUGGCAAGGACAGCUUUAGAGUCAAUGGAUAUCGUCUUAAGCCGUUCAUGGAGUCAUUCAAAUCAGAAAAGGAGGCAAUCAACCUCCUUGAACCUCAAAAAGCCUAAGUGAAAUGGGUUUGCUGGACGUGGUUUUACCACAGUCCAAAAAUUUUUGUAAAUUUUGUAAAUUUUCAAGUUGUUUCCAUGCUUUUAAUCUUAGUUUUUGAUUUUAAAUCAUGUUUUUAGGUGUGUUUUAAUCGUUUUAUAUGAUCCCAGGCGGAAGAAAUUUCAAGGGGAUUGAAAAGAAAAAAAUCGGGUCGAAAUUGGAGCCGAAACAGAGCAAAAACAGGGGAAAAACAGAGCUCUGCGAAAUUUCGCAGGGUGAAGGAAACUUCUGCGAAAUUGGCAUUUUGCUGCCAAACCAUUCCGCAGCACUGUAGAAGCCUCUGCGAGUGUAUUUCGCAAUUGCGAAAGUGGAUUUGGCACACGAGUGCCACUUCGCAGCACAGUGACAUCAAUUUCGCAGCUGCGAAACUCACUGCGAAGUUGCUGCGAAAAUGGCAAGUUGCUGCGAAAUUGGCGUUUUGUUGCGAAACGUAAUCUGACCCCUGGGCUUCCGUUUUUCCUAUUUAUACCUGUCAAAAGUGCUGCGAAAAAGGUUUCAAAAAUUAGAGCACCAUUCUCGCAGCCCUUUCAUCUUCUUCGCCAAGCCACGCCGUCCGUUUCUCCGGUCGUCUUCUCCGUUUAGCAGCGCCGGCCAAAGAUCGAUAGCCCAAAAAUGGCACGAACGCGAGGGGCAAAGUCUUCAUCCCCUUCGAACCGCAAAAGGAGUCUGCGAAAGGAGCCAAGUUCAGGCUCUGUUCCAGAACCUGCUCCAAAGCCUUCGCCGUCGAGACCACAACCUUCUCCAGUGAAGCCGGCGCCACCAAAGCCGCCGGCAAGGCGAUAUUUAACCAGGUCAGGUGGUCAGCCAUUGAAGAAGAAAGCCAGAGUUGAGAGCUCUGAACCAAUCGAUUUGACUGAGCAAUCCCCUGAGAAAUCACCAAAUCCUUCACCGGUACAAAUUCCAGUGCCAUCACCGGUUCCCUCGCCAAUUCCCUCACCAGAAGCAACUCCAAUUCCAUCGCCGGUACCAUCUCCGGCACCCCAAGAAAAAGCUCAGGAGCCUCAAGCGCCAAUUCCAGAGCCCCAAAUUGCAGCUGAAGCACCUCUGGAAGAAGUGAUCCGAAGGCCAAUGCUGCCUCAGCCCCCAAUCGAAGGAAACCUGGAUUGCCGAACUCGGGCAUUCCAUUCUGAGCUUUGCUUCGAUUUAACAGCAUUCAGAGUGAGGCCAGAGCUUGCCCAAUCCUUCCAACUGCUGAGGAGAUAUCAUAUGGAGCAUCUGCUAGCUCCAAGGGAUUUUUUCUAUCCCCGGGUAGUCACGGAUUUCUACCAAACCAUGACAACCAAAGAAGUAAGAAAUCCAACUCUGAUUCAUUUCAUAAUUGAUGGAAGGCAUGGUAUUUUGGGAGCAAGACAUAUUGCUGAAGCCCUGCAAAUUCCUUUUGAGCCAACUCAAUUCGACAAUUUUAAAGCUUGGACAAAUCCUACUGAGUUAGAGAUGGUUAGCACACUAACCAGAGGAGCUGCAAAUCGAUCGCAUUUGUUGAGGGGGGAGCUACCUCCAGUUAUGUUUUUGAUUGAUGCCUUUUUGAGGCAUAAUAUCUAUCCCCUGCAGCAUUGGACCCAAAGAAGGGGAAUUCUCCUAGAAGCCUUGUACAAAAUGUCUGAAGGAUUCUUCUUUGGGCCUCAUCAUCUGAUCAUGGCAGCCCUUCUAUACUUUGAGGAGAAGGUUCACAAGAAGAAGCUUCAAAGAGCAGAUUGCAUUCCACUCCUCUUCCCAAGGCUGCUAUGCCAAGUUUUGGAGCAUCUCGGAUACCCCUCUGAGCCUCAGCAGGAAAGAAAGAGAAUAUGCCGUGAGCCUUUUACCCUUGAUAAAUGGAAUAAUAUGACGGCCUACAAAAUUGAUCAGCCUGGGCAGCCUCAGCCAGCAGCAAGGAGAGUCUCCCCAAGACAUAUACCUGAAGGUAUAACACUUGCUACUCCUGCCAUCCCUCGAGCUCCACCAGCUGCACCUGCUCCAUCACAGCCAUCCACAUCAGCUGAGCCGAGGAUGGCCAUCCCUAUAUCCGAAUAUCGAGAGCUGUGCCGUGCAUUGGAGACUCUUACAGCUUCUCAGAGCAAUCUUGCUCAGGAGUUGGCAGCCAUUAAAGCAUGCCAGGAGCAGAUGUUAGCCUCUCAGACUCAACAAGCUGCCAUCCUAAGGCAGCUUCAAGUCCAUUUCGAUCUGCCACAAGCUGUAGAGCCCUCUAUUCCUACUCCACCAGAGCCACACUCUCAGCCUUCAGAGUCUCAUCCUCCAGAACCCGAAGCACCAGCUGAUCCACCUACUGAGGAGGCAGAUCCUUCUGCCUAGCACCAUCACCCCCCUCAUCAGACAUUAUAUAUAUAUUUGCUGUUUAUGUUUUUAUGCAUGUUUGUUUUGUUUUAGUUGAAAAGAAAUCCCAGUAUUUUGGUACUAUAUAUGGGAUUCCUUGUGUUACUUGUCUUUAGUAUUGUAAUCACAUGAACUCAAAGUAAUACAAGUUGACUAUUUCUUGUUAAAAGUUAGCAUUAAAGUUUCCUUAUUUCCUUUUCUCACAUAUUCUAUUCUUUUUGAAACAUGUGGUUUUCCCCAAUCAAUAUUCGAAUUUGAUAUCAGCAUGGAGGUACCACUUCCUCCCUUUUAUUACAGUCACUCAAAUCACAUUGAGGACAAUGCUCAGUUCGGUUGGGGGGUAUGAGGAAGGAAGUAUUCUAAACCUUUUUGGUAUUGCAAUUAUAUUGGUUAAUUAGUUGUAGAUUUUACUUUUUACUAGUGUUACUCUAUUCUCCAUGAAUUUUGAGGAAAAAUUUUCAAAUUAAACCAAGAGAAAUUGAACUGUUGUUUUUCACUUGACUUAGAGUAUGGAUUAUGCUUACUAAAGUGGUUCAAUUGUUGAAACUUCUACUGAAAUUGAAUUGAGUUCUUCCACUUUAAGCUAUCCACACACUGUGCACAUUAGUUUCCGAUUAUAAGAUGAAAAGCUAUUUCCCUCUUGACUUAGUAUAUUUUUGGGACUUGGUAUAUUUGACCUCAUUUGAUAAAAAUUGAAACACCCUGCAAAAGGCCAAUGAGCCUUUGAAAUAAAGAAAGUUGUUUGCUUGCCUUGAAACCCGAGCAAGGUCUGAGGGGUAUAUGGUGAAAAUCUUUAAAGCCUGGUGCCCUAAGCCUUAAUUGGUUGGGAGUCACCGACCUCAAUGCUCGUUACAAGGGUGAAUAGGUAGAGUUAGCAUAUGGUAGAUGCUUGGGUAUUAGAAAUUCAUUCUUAAAAGUCCGGGGAAAAAUCCGAGGAGUUAGUGGUUGAAAGAUCCUUAAAACUUGGUGCCCUAAACCUUAAUUGGUUGGGAGUCAUCGAUGGACCCCCAUUACAUGGACAAGUCAGAAAGAGUACCCCAUAAAGCUACCUUAAAAAAAAAAAAAAAAAAAAAAAAAAAAAAAAAGAUGAAAGUGUGUUCUUUUCUUAUUGAUUUUGGUCAGUUUGCUAAAGUGUUGAAAAGAGAUAGGUUGGGGGGUGAGAUUAGUAGCAUAUUAUUCUCGGAACCUAAGGAACCAAUACACAUAGAUUUUUGUGGAAGAUUGAAGUUUAGUUCUUAGAAAAUGAAAUGAUUUUAAAACUUCAGUUUGCAUAAUGCACUCCCUUGAUUGACAGUGUUUAGCAUAGGUGUUAUGACUCUUGUUGAGAUUUGGGUUUGUAUUUCUUUAAUGAUUCAUGUGAGAAAUAGAUCAUCAUGCCACUUGAGAAUUAUUUUCCUUUUAGCAUGAUGUUGUAAAUUUUAGAUUAGUUUGCUAUUUAUUUUUUAUUUUCUCUCCUAUAUUGCUAAGGGACUAGCAAUAUGUCGGUUGGGGGGAGUGAUUACUACUCAAAAAGUGCUAUUUGAUAGCCUUUAAUUAAUCCUUUUUAACACUUUUGAGUAGUAGUUUAGGCCUUUUAACUCAAUUGGCAUGUUAAGGAUCCUUUAAAGCAAUUUUGAUCACUUUGUGCAAGUUUUGGUGUUUUUGUUAGUAUUUUGAUCACCAAAGCAAGUCAAGAAUGAGGAGAACUAUGAGGAAUCAUGGGCAAAGCUUAGAAUUCAAUUGCCAAGAGUGAAUCCGGAUUGCAAGGAGAAAAAGCAAAGAGAAUCUGUCAUGAAGCCUAUUCUUGAUGACAGUCGUAGCAGCCACUUUUGGAGCACUUUCUGAAGUCCAAAUGAUGCAAGCUAUAUACCAUUUCAAAGCUCAGGAAGUCAACAAUCCAAUGCUUCAAACGGUGCGCGAUUCGGAGUUGAAACGAAGAAGUUGCAGCCAUUACAAGCCAGUCACUCUAAAGUGUUGCGGAAUCAGCCUUUUGUUGCGAGAAUUUCGCAGCACUUUUGUACAGUAAGGUGUUUCUCCUUCUGACGAUGCACGAACCAUGCCGCGAGAGGGAAGCUAGGAACUUCAAGAUGGAAGCCAACUUUGCAGCCUGGUGAAGAUAGCUUGGUCUUGCGAAAUAAUUUCGCAGCCCUCUUGGGUGUCUGCGAAAUUUCGCAGGCACCACUUUUUUCCUGCGAAAUGGCUCCGGAAGCCUCCCGAAGCUUGCUACCGACAUUGGGAGAUAUUUUCCAUUAGAUUUUUGUUGUCUAAAUUCCAAAAUACUCCUUGUAAACCACCAAUUACAUGAUUCCUUAGUUUUUAAGUUAGUAAAAAGACCAAAUAUCUAUGUAAUAAUUAGUUUUAUAUUAGUUUGCUAUAAAUACCUCUCGGGAGCAUGUUCUCAGAGAGGAGUUCCUUCUGUAACCAUUUUGGUAAGCAAGUAAAGUCUUUUCUUUCUACUGCCUUACCUUCUCACUUUGUAUUUUCAUUUUAUUUCUAAGUUAUGAAUUCUCUGAGGAGCUUUCCCCAGAGAAUGAGUAACUAAACCUCCAAUUCCUUGGAGCUAAGGUUGCCGGGGAAGGUUCCAAGUGCAAGAAUGCAAAGCUCUGUGGUUUUAGCUAGUAAUGAAGAGGAAGUGAAAUCCUUUAGUGAUUUCAAUGUUUUUAGUUAACUUAAAACACCUUGGAGUCACCUGGGCCAACACUUGGUAAGGCAAGUGAUUUCCAACCGUGGAAAUGCACUAGUUUACCCCUUGCGAGCCUCUGGUAGGUGACUUCAAGGUAGGAUUUUCUGGAAUUACCAACACUUGGUAAGCUUUUGGACUCCUAGGAGACAUCCAUUAGUUAUCUCUUGCGAGUUUGUGAAGGGGAAUCCAAGGUUAAAGAUCACCUUGAAUGGUAAGUGCUCGUGAGAGGCAUGAACCAUUGCAAGUUGUAUCAGUGAGAGAAUUAAAGUGAAAUCUAAUUGAAGGAGUCUCUGUACAUCACCGGUUAGAGAAUUGACUAUAAGUUGAAUCUCUAAUGCGAGGAAAUGAACCAUCUGACCGGAGCUAUGUCUUUUGCAUGAGGAACCACCCCAGUGAACCUAAAUCUCCAAGGAAUGCUUUUCUUCCUAAAUUAUUCCAAACUUCUGUUAAGUUAGUUAGUUUAAGUCUAAACCUUUACCAAUCAAACUUUGUGUUUUAUUCCUUAAGCUAACCGUGAAAUGAAACAAAACCAAUUCACUUGGAAUUGGUAUCCUUGAUUGCUUGCAAAUCAUUCCCAGUGAACGAUCCUUAGAGCCACUAUACUAUAGUAGCUUUGUAUUUGCUACCCUAGUGUAUGGUGUUAUAGGUAUAAAUUUUGUUGAUCACUUCCUCAAUCAAGGAACACCAGCUGAACACAAAUCAGCUGAGACACCAAUUGGGCAUGAGUCAGUGCGUUAGAGGAUCAAGAAGAAGAAAAAGAAGGAACUGUUGGAAUUAGUAUGAGUGUGAAGAGAAAAGUAUAUAAAUAAGGGGAAGUAAAAGCAAAGUUCAAAAAGCUAUAUUUUUUUAUUGUUGGUGUAUGGUUGCAUGAUUAUCCCUAUAAAUAAUAGGAGUUUUUUGGUAUUCUACUAGUAGUUGAAGCAUAAUUUCAUAAAUUAAUAUUUAGAGCGGGGUGGGGUGAGUUGUGACAAAAUUCAUACCCGUCCCAAACCUUGGUUCAGAUUUUUAAAAUAUUCUCAAACUUAUCAUAUACCCAACUUUUAUAUUUCAUACUUGUCCUAAUAGAGGCACGUUAGGCCGGGUUACUUGAGUAACCUACAUAAUUGUCAUCCCUAGUUGAAAUACACUUUUUGGCAGUGGCCACCAACUGAGCUAGAAGCUUGAUUGAUUGACCUACAAGAUUAGUUCUCAUCAUUUUAAAAAAAGUUCUGGCUUUGGUUGUGAGUGCAAUUGAAUCUAAACUGGCAUUUGCUUAAUGCAUCUACUUCAAUCCUAAACUUCUUACUUCUUAAGCCUCAAUUGUUGUUAGGAUUUUGGAAAACCCAUUUCCUUAAAUUGUAAAUUUAAGAUAAAAUAAAAUAAAAGUGAGACAUUUCUUGAUUGAAUAUUGUUAAAGGUCCCUUGGCAUUAAGACUUGGUUGAAGCCUUGGAAGAUUAGUGGAACUCUCAACAUGUGUUUGAAUCUUGAGGAGAGUGGAUGUAAGCCAAAAUUUUGUCAAACCAUUAUACAAAUUGAGUUUGAAUCCUCAUUUCUUGAUUUCUUAUUUAUUUGCUUUUUCUUAUUAUUACUUGAAUUGUCAUUUGCAUUCAUUAAUGUUAAAAUUGGUUAUAAUUAACCAACACUAAUUCUCUUUCCCCUUCCCUUUCUUGGGUGUAAACCUAGGUUGGAUUAACUAGAUAAAUCUAUUAAGAUGGUAAAAGAAUAAUUAUUCUUAACAUACAUAAGAUCAUCUUCAAUCAAAUGACUCAUUGGCUAAUAUGUUGAAUUUGCUUAUUACUUGCAACUCAAAAUUGUGUUCUAGUUGUGUCAAGUCCCCAGUGUAUGGACAUUAAAUUUGUAGUACGUGAUGAGUAAUUAGAUGGUCCAACUCCAAGAAAGUGAUUGAAAAGUAGUUCAAGAAAGGUGCAAAAGGGAAUUGUUUUGGUAUUUUCGUUUUUAUUCUUGAAGGUGGCAGAGCUAAAAUUUGAGAAAUCAAGCAAAACAUACUGAAAUUACAUUGAAAGAAAGAAGAUGGGAGUUAAUGUCUUGCAGUACAUGAUAAGGACUUCAUGCAUGUAGUGUGACCCAUGUCUUGGACUGAUGCCAACUCACGGUUACACUUAUACCCUUGGUUCUCUCUUUACUACCUUGGCUAACCUAGAUCAGGCUAUGAGAUAGGCUCCUCACCACACCAUUACUUGCCCAUUAAUUAGAGACAUUUUCAAGCAAUGAGGUAACAUGGUGACACCAAGAGGGUCUAUUCCUCGCCCGGAACAAGUCUAGACUUGGUCUCAAAAAAAUGGAGAAAAAUGAGGUGUCGUUAUGUAGAAAUACAACAACCAUGCCUUCCUCAUUACUUAGAUUCAGAAUGUGAAGGUGAAAUUGAGAAACAGAAACUCUUGAAACCAAAAUGAAAAUUGAUACUUUUACGAAGAAUUACAACAACAUUAGAGGAAGACUACAUUCUUCCUCUUUAUUCCUACAUUUCUACACUACUUCUACUCCACUCCAUAUUUCUACAUACAUCUUUAAUCAGUCUUCCCUCCUUUAUAUAGAGCCAUCUUCACACAAAUUUCGCAAGGUAGAAAAGAGGAAUGAAACUUGGAGCAAGGUUCGACUACUGGUUGUAGCUUGUCAAGGCUGGAAGUGAACUUUUCUUGGCUUUCUGGGCAUGGGUAGUAACUUGUGGGUUCCUGUUUGGCAUAAAAAUGGCUAGAACAUGUGGCACUAUCUUGUUGGAUGAUGUGUCAAGCAUGUGGCAGCCAUCUAGUGGCGAUUAUGUCAAUUUUGGGAUGGAGAGUUGGCAUCCAAUUGCAAAGAAAUAUGACGUCUACCAACAUGCAAUGUAAACCUAUGUAGAUCAUAUGAAGAUAGAGAGGAAAAAUAUAGAAAUGGAUAUAUACCUAGAACUAGCUUUUUAUUAAAUGAAACGGAGAGACAACAAUGAAGGAAAAUAAAAUUUUUUGGCUUAUAUCAAAGAGUUCACAUUGUGUUACCCUAGGUUUUCUUAAAACUUACUUUUAUGAUAACAAAAAAGAAAAAACCAUUAUUGUUUAAUCCUUUGUUUUAAACGCAUGUAAGGUGUAAUUAAGUUAGUUCAAUGCAUUAAUUUAAGAAACUUGACCUAUCAAAAGUACAAAAUUAGAUGAAAUCCAUUUCAAUGGUUAAAAUGAUCAAAAUCAAACUUUUUCUAAGUAUUUUUUAAAAGCAUCAAUAGUGAAAGACAAUUUUAUAUUUAGUCGGAGUUUGGACAAAACUGAAAAACACACAAAAUCCAAGCGACCAUCUCUAGCUUGGAUGGUCGCUUGAUCCCACCUAGAGAUGUGCAUGAGUAAAAGGAUUUGAAAAUGGAAAUUGACUAUGUAGUCGAUCAAUUAACUUUGCAACAUCAUAUGCAAUCCUAAUUGCUAGUCAUCUAAUCAAUUAGGUAGUCAAUCAACAGGCCAAAAAUAUGUUUAUAAUGACUAUUUUGUACAAAAACCACCUGUAUAGUUAAAUAUAAUGCAUUUCAUUUAUAAAUCUUCUAAUUCUUGAAUAACGAUCCUAUCAUCCUUUGAAAGUUUUUAUUACACUUUUUUUACUUUUGUUCUAAAACUUACACAUCACCCUUAAUUGUACCAUGAGAACCUAGCUAUUUUUUAUUUUUUUUUUUGUAAUUCAUCAAAGUUAGCUUUUGUAUUCAUUGUUGUAUUAUUUUUAGUAUAACUUAGAAAGCUAGUGUUUUCAAGUGAGUAAAAUUAACUUGUAAAUAUUGUAAAGAUUCAUCGACAUGUAUCUUAAACUAAGUGUACAAGUUAAAACAUUUGCUAGUAGAUUUUCUCAAAAUUUAGAAUAGAGCUUGAGACUAUUGAAAUAGGUGGGGUUGCACCAAACCACAUCACAUCGUUGUUUGCACCUUUUUUCACUCUCUUUUACUUAGUUGCUCUAUAUUUGUUGUCUAGUAAUAUCCUAUAGGCUUGAUGGGUUAGGGAGCAUCCCUUUGUGAAAAAAUUUUAUUCAAUCCUUAGUUGUAUCACGCAUAUAUAAAAUGCCUCAUUGUUUUAAUGGUAUUCAGUCGUGGCAUCACAGAUAUGGGCAUCUAAAUUUUAAAAGUUUGAAACUUUUAUCUAAAGAAAAUAUGGUGCUUUGCCUUUUUGUAAAGCAUGUUGAUGAAAUCCAUGAGAAUUGUGUACUUGGGAAGCAACACCGAGAUGACUUUUUUUUUUUUUUUAUAAUAUUGUUUGUCCAAAUUCCCUACAAAUUAGGCCACCAGAUGUUCAUAAUUCUCCCUUCUUGAAUUUGAAAACUCGGACAAUUGGACAAUGCGACACCUAAGUCCGGUUUCUAAAUGCUAAAGUGAAAGGGUAGGUAUGGACCAUUGAAAUGUGAUCACAACUUUUCUCUGUAGCCAUGUUGUCUCUUUUUUCUUUUGCAUGAUUUUCUUACCUUAACAGAAUCAUAGACUUGUUUAGUCUCUAAAUGGGAUUAAUUUCAUCCAGCUUUAAGCUACUAUAUUAUAUCUAGGUGGAGGACUUUUAAGAGUGCAACCGACAUAGAGCACAUGGAAGUGGGUAUAUGGGACAUGAAAUUUCUUCUUAUAAAGAUUGCAUGAUUUUUAUAUUAGAGUUGUUGAGGCGCUAUGUAUUUAGCUUGUUUUGCAGUUAAAUUAAUUGGAUAAGUAGACAUUGGCGUUUCUAAAUCUACUGUGAAGUGCUUCAUGUACGUGUGAAGUAUUAGAAAUUUCUUUCUUGGCAACUUGUUUUUCUUUGCGGUCUACUGAUAGGUUUGACUAAAAUUAUAUUCCCUGUCAUGCUAAUUAAUUUUCACGUGCAUGCUCAAAAGAAAAGUAUGACCUUAGUGCACCAAAAUCACUUUGAUUAAUUUGUGAUAGGUUUUUGUGCAUCAUGACAUUAGCCUUAUUCAUUUAGAUAAUGUUUAGUUUUUAGAAAGUAUUAAGAAAAGGAAAAUAAAUAUUAAGAAAAAUAUUCUUAUAUUUGAUUGUAUUAUGAAAAAUAUCAUAAAAAAAUCAAAUAUAAUUUAAAUUAAUUAAUAAUUUAUACAUUUUCAAAUUAUUUAAUCUUUAUAUUGAAGAUAUAAUAUAAAUGAAAUGAGUUUUAAGUAUUAUAUAAAAGUGAUUUAUUGAUCUUACAUAUAUAUAUUUCUUUUUUUUUUCCUUCUAUUUUUUCUCUUUAUUUUAUUUUCCUUAUGUUUUCCUCAACAUUUUCCGGAACCAAACAUAGCCUUAGGAAAUCCACAAUUACCUUCAACUGAGUAGAUUCUGUUGUUUUAGCAAUGUUAGGCUGCUAACUUGUGUUGGUACGAACCUAUUAAGCCUAAAGAUGUAAUUAGUUAGGAUAUUCUUUUCCCUCUAGUCUUGUAGCUCCACGUGUACAGUUGGUUAGGACCUCAUUGUAUAUAAUGCUUGCCCUGUUAUUGUAGAAGACAACAAAGAUAAAUAAUAUUAACAUUUUUCCUCUCAUCUCUCUCUGUUUCCCUCUGUUUUCAUCUCCUCUCUCAUCUUGGUAUCAGAGCCUCCAUGGCUUCUUUCAAAGAAACCUCCGAAUCACCUUCUGCUAGCAUUGUUAAUGUGCAAAACCCAUUAUCUCAAUCAAACAACCUUCCUUCACCAGUAGCCACACCCUCUUUUUCUUUCUCGUCUAUGAAUCAACCUCUCACAGUGAAGCUGGAUAAUGGGAACUACCUCAUAUGGAAGAAUUAGCUUCUAAAUGUCAUCAUUGCUAACGGACUCGAUGAUUUCAUUGACGGAUCUCGACCCUGCCCUCCUCGAUUUCUCGAUCUGCAACAACAAACCCUCAAUCCAGAGUACUCAGCUUGGCAGAGAUACAAUCGACUUCUGAUGAGUUGGCUGUACGCAUCCUUGUCCAAAGAUAUAAUGGCUCAGAUUGUUGGGUAUUCAACAGCUAUGGAGAUUUGGAAUGCCCUUAAUCAGAUUUACUCUGCCUCUUCUAUGGCGCGGUUUACUGAGCUUCGCACCAAGCUUCAAACGCUCAAGAAAGAUGGACUCUCAGUUGGUGAAUAUAUUCAAAGGCUCAAAUCCAUUUGCAAUAGUCUUGCAGCAAUAGGAGAACCAGUUUCUGAGAAAGACCAUCUUAUCUAUUUGUUCAAUGGAUUAGAUUGUGAGUAUUAUUCUUUUGUUACCUCCAUUCAAAAUCGAUCUGACCAACCAACUAUUGACAAAAUCCAUAGCCUAUUGCUUAGCUAUGACUUCCGGCUUGAACAACAAAACUCUGUUUCUCUCCAUUCUGCCCAAGUCCAUAUGGCUCAUCUGAACAAGAAACCUUAUAAAUCAACUCCUCAACCUACAUUCAAUCAUAUUCACAUUCAACCUAGAUACUCUUCUCCACCUUUUAAGCCAACCACUAGUCAAUAUCAACCCAACAUUUUGGGCAAACCACAACCACAACCAUGACAGCCUCAACCUCAAUGGAAACCACAUUUUUCAAUCUAAAAUCAAAAGCCUCAGCGCCAAAUUUGUGGUAAAUUUGGACACACUGCUCUUAUUUGCUUCCAUCACACAAAUUUGAACUAUUCACCCCAACCUUCUCCUAAAUCUUUCAAUACUGUUCUCACCACAAAUUCCCAGCUCCCUAAUCCUCCAAAAUUUUCUUACCCUACAAUGGCUCAUCCUGCUGCUACGCAUAACACGGUUCCCGAUACAAAUUGGUACAUGGACUCAGGUGCUACACAUCACUUUACUCUGGACAUCAACGUGCUUGACACUGUGACACCAUUUAGUGGUUCAGAACAGGUGACAGUUGGGAAUGGUAAGCAACUCUGUAUCUCACAUCUUGGUACUGCAAAACUACCAUCUUCGUAUUCUCCUCCUGUUCUACAUCAGGUAUAUCACACUCCAAAAAUUUCAAAUAAUCUUAUUAGUGUUAAAAAAUUGUGUUCUGAUAAUAAAGUUUUUGUUGAAUUUUAUGCCACUCAUUUUCUUGUCAAGGAUCAGGUUUCGAAGAGAGUUCUCCUUUAGGGUCAACUUGAUAAUGGCUUAUACAAAGUUCAGUCGUCAUGCUCUCCUUCUGCUGUUUCCUUUCCUCCUCAAGUUUUCAUAGCCAACAUCAAGUAUCCAAAUCUGUGGCACAAGAGACUAGGCCACCCAGCUUUAUCUGUUGUUAAUCAAAUCUUGGAUUCUUGUAACAUUGCUCGAACACAGAAAAUUUGUUUUAAUUUUUUAAAUUCUUGUCAAUUAGCAAAGAGCCACAGGCUUCCUUUUUCUCUGUCUCCAUCCAUUGCAGAAAAACCUUUUGAGUUAAUUCAUACAGACCUAUGGGGUCUUUCGCUCGUUCGCUCUAUUUCUGGUGCUCUUUAUUUUUUACUUUUCAUUGAUGAUCAUACUCGUUUUACUUGGUUUUAUUUGCUCAAAACAAAAGAUGAAGCAUAUCCUACUUUUCUCAAGUUUCAAGCUCUCAUUGAAAAUCAAUUUAAUACCAAGAUUAAGGCUGUCCAAUCUGAUUGGGGAGGUGAGUUUCGAUCUCUCUCCAUACCGUUUUCAAAUAUGGGCAUUGUCUAUUGUUUAUCGUGUCCAUACACCUCACAACAGAAUGGGCGAGUUGAGCGAAAAAAUCGCCAUGCGAUUGUCCUUUCUUGCUUGCUCUAUGCCCUUAUCUUAUUGGCCUUAUGCCUUUCAAACUGCCACUUACCUUAUUAAUCGUCUCUCUACCCCUGUGCUGCAUCAUCAAUCCUCUUACUUCGCACUCUAUCACAAACUCCCAACUUAUACUCAUCUUAAGGUCUUUGGUUCCUCUUGUUUUCCGUAUUUGCACCCUUAUAAUACCCAUAAACUCCAAUACAGGUCACUAGAGUGUGCUUUUCUUGGUUACAGUUCACACCACAAAGGUUAUCUAUGUCUUGACAUUCAUUCUAGCAGGGUGUAUAUUUCUCGCCAUGUGAUUUUUAAUGAAGAUUCUUUUCCAUUCAAGAAUUUGAAAUCUUCUCUCUCUCAGUCUAUUUCUUCUUCCUCUUCUUUAUAAGUUCCUCUGUUCAUUCUCUUGCCUCCCCUUUCCCCAUCUCCUCUUAUUUCUUCAUCUAUACCUCAUUCUUUUCCCUCUUCUUCUUCUACCUCUAGUACUUGUUCCCCUCUCGUUGCUCCUACCUCUCUUCCUUCCUCUUCACACUCUGUGUCUCCAUCUAUUCCACCUCCUUCUCCACCUUCUCCGAGUGUGGACCUGCUUGCACCUUGUGUGAAUACAAAUUUACAUACUUCUUCUCGCACUCACAAUAUUCAUCCUAUGGUGACUAGAUCUAAGGUUUGUAUCUAUAAACCUAAGUUGUUGUUGAGUGUCUCCAUAGGUUCUCUCACUAAGCCUACUUCCUUUCUUCAAGCUAUUAAAGAUCCUUCAUGGAAGCAAUCCAUGGAAUUCGAGUUUGCUACCCUUCAACACAACAAGACCUGGCAUUUGGUUCCUUCACCUUCCUCAGGCGAAGUAAUCGGUUGUAAAUGGGUCUAUAAGCUAAAGCUUCAGCCUGAUGGCUAAAUUGAGAGAUACAGCCUGCUUAGUAGCUAAGGGUAUCAUCAAAUUGAAGUAUGGACUACUUCGAAACAUUCAGCCUGAUNNNNNNNNNNNNNNNNNNNNNNNNNNNNNNNNNNNNNNNNNNNNNNNNNNNNNNNNNNNNNNNNNNNNNNNNNNNNNNNNNNNNNNNNNNNNNNNNNNNNAGCUUCAGCCUGAUGGCUAAAUUGAGAGAUACAAGGCCUGCUUAGUAGCUAAGGGUUAUCAUCAAAUUGAAGGUAUUGACUACUUCGAAACAUUCAGCCUGAUUGUCAAGCUUUCUACUAUCUGUAUUGUGCUCAGUCUUACUUUUUCCCAGAAUUGGUGUAUUAGACAGCUGGAUGUUCAUAAUGCCUUCUUACAUGGUGACUUAGCUAAAGACGUUUUCAUGGAACAACUGCCUGGAUUUGUUGAUCCUCUCUAUCCUACUCAUGUCUGCAAGUUGGAUAAGUCUCUCUACUGUCUUAAAUAGUCACCUCGGGCUUGGUAUACUAAGCUGAGUACUUCUCGCUACACUUGGGAUUUGUUACUUCUAAGAAUGACUCUUCCUUAUUUAUUUGUCAUUCGUCUCAUGGGUUACUUCUUGUUCUUGUCUAUGUGGAUGAUAUAAUCGUCAUUGGGAGCCACUCUCCUCAGGUUACUCACCUUAUCCAACAGUUGCAUCAUUAGCUUUCUUUAAAGGAUCUUGGUCCUUUACAUUAUUUUCUGGGCUUGGAGGUUCAUCACACCCCUACUGGUAUUCACCUCAGCCAAGCAAAGUAUAUCACUGAUCUCCUUACCCGGGCGGCUAUGUUGGAUGCCAAGCCAUGUCCCACUCCUAUGUCCUCCAACACAUAUCUCUCUUUUCAUGAUGGAGUGGCUCUUGAAAAUGGUUCAGAUUAUCGAAGUUUUGUUGGUGCCCUUUAGUAUUGUACCAUGACACGCCCAGAUAUAGCUUUUGCAAUAAAUAAAGUGUGUCAAUUCAUGCACCAUCCCUCUAAUGUUCACUGGCAGGCUAUAAAACGUAUUCUCCGGUACUUAAAGGGCACAUCUCAUUUUGGUCUCUUCCUACAGCCUUCCUAUGACUUCAACAUCACUUGCUAUACAAAUGCCGACUGGGCUUCCUGUCCUGAUGACAAGUGUAGCACCAGUGGCUACUGCCUCUUUCUUGCCUCUAAUCUGGUUUCUUGGUCAUCUUCCAAACAAAAAGUGGUCUCCCGCUCCAGCGCCGAAUCAGAGUACCGAGGGGUAGCAAAUGGGGCUGCUGAAAUUGCUUGGACUGAAUCUCUUCUUUGUGAACUUUCCAUUACUCCCCCUCCCCUCAUUCUCUGUGACAAUAUCAGUGCCACGUACUUAGCUGCCAAUCCUAUUUUGCAUGCCCGCACCAAACAUGUGGAAAUCGACUAUCACUUUGUCACGGAACGUGUUCUUCAAUGCUCUCUUUUUGUCCAGUUUACACCUUCUGAUGAUCAACUUGCUGAUUGCAUGACCAAGCCUCUCUCCACCCAACGUUUCAUCACUCUACGCUCCAAGCUCACUGUUCUCACUAGACCAAUGAGCUUGAGGGGGGAUGUUAAGCCUAAAGAUGUAAUUAGUUAGGAUAUUCUUUUCCCUCUAGUCUUGUAGCUCCACGUGUACAGUUGGUUAGGACCUCAUUGUAUAUAAUGCCUGCCCUGUUAUUGUAGAAGACAACAGAGAUAAAUAAUAUUAACAUUUUUCCUCUCAUCUCUCUCUCUGUUUCCCUCUGUUUUCAUCUCCUCUCUCAUCUGAACCAAAUGAUCCAUGUUAACCUUGGCUUGGUUUGAUUUGGCUCUAUCUUAGAGAGCUCAAGGAUCACGUCAACUCUGGUUUCUACUAUUCAGGUCCAUUCCCAUAUGAACUGGUUCAAAUUUGAGAAAAUGGUAACAGACCUUUAGUGAUGUUGGUUUGGAGCCAGUUGCCAAACCCGCCCUGAGCUUUACCACUAAUGUCAAGGGAGAAAGCCAUUUGAACAAAAACAAUAGCUUCAAGGGACUGAAUCGUGGAUGAAAUCUGAUCCACAUUUCUUCUCAUUUUGGAAACAAAUGAGAACUUAACUAAGAAGAUUCUACGGCCUCAUAGUGCUUUUCCUGAUCUAAGGUUGGUUCGUUUCCCAAACUGUGAGAUGCACGUGCCAGACUUCAGAACUCUCACGCUCAGGAGUGUAUCCACGUGGUGGACAUAAGAUGGUGGCUUAAGAUCUGGUGUCGGUGGCUUUACUUUACUAGGAGAGUAGUGUGUCUUCAUCUCAUUCACUGCCGGAGGGUGGCGUAAGCAGUGACGCUAAGGUGGGGCACAGUCAAUAUCAUUUGCAUUUGACCAUUAUAGUUUUCUCCCGGCUUUAAAGUAACCUUAUCGUGAUAAAGGAUUACUAGCACUAGUUCAGAUGAUAGUCAUGUUAAAUUCGGACCAUGUUUGUGUCACAUUAUCAGCAACCAUGUGUUUAUGGUUCAUGCUUUCUGCAACUAAAAUUGAUAUAUAACCAGGUGAACUUCAAUCUAAAUUCUGAAAGUACUCAUGUGAUAGAUGGUGCCCGUCUGCAGAGUCCAUCAAUUGAAAAAUGGAGUGAGUGUAUCUAUAAGAGGGAAGGCUUGGAAAAUGUUCAGUUUUCUGGGAAUUCAACAAGGAUCUAAAAUAGAUUGUUUUCUUUGCUGAUUUCAAUGGUUGAAAUUUGAGAAGAUUGUGUCCACAUAACACAACUAUUACUGGUCCUUCUGUUGCAAUUUAUCCUCUAAAGCUCUAGCAUGUCUUCCAAUUCCCACUUCCCUGUUACUCCAGGAAAGCUAUUUCUGUCAUUGUGAAGAAGAAAAGAGAAUGUACAUAUCGAUGCUUUUAAGUGACUGGAGCAUUUAUAUCAGGUGGUCUGCAGCCAUAUAUGCCACUUUGUGAAGAUUGGAACAGUCAAUCACUAGGCUAUAUAUUAGUGUGGCCCAGCCACUUUAAUCAAGGACAAGUCUUCAUACUUAAAGUCAAAUUCUGCCUUUAGUCUCAUUAUAAAUUUCUGUUUAAAUAUUAAGCAAACAUUUGUUUAAUGCGAUUAAGACAGUACUAACUCAAUACCUGUUCUAUUUUUGGAUGCAAAUGCUUGAUGGUUUCAUCAUUGGAUGGGAUAAAGGUGCAUUCAUGAUUAGGAAUACUAGUAGUUAUAUUUUAAUUCUCUUUUUUCUCAAUGAGACUUGUUGGCACAAUUUUGCUGUUGAGAAACCUACCUCUCCAUGGAAAAUAAGUUGUGAUUGAUAGUACUGGAUAUAUUCAAGAAAUCUAAAUAUAGAUAGCACAAAAUAUUAUCGACAUAAAUAGCAUUAACAGCGUACGUAUGUCUCAGUGCUCAUCAGCUAUAAGCAUGGGGCAAACACUUACUAUGAGCAACUUACGUCAAAAUUCCAGAAUAGGACAUAGAAGUGACAGAUAUAGAACAUUGCAUAUGAGUCACAAGAAAGGAAAUUACGGGUGCAUAGCAGCUCUUAUUUUACAUACUACUACUCAUACUGAUCAAAGUCACUCAGUUGGGAUGGGUGGGAGUAGGAGGUUUGUGGGGUGGCUUGUGCGGAGGAGUUGGCAGCUUCUUUCCAGGACCUGGUUGCUUCUCUGCUGGAGUUGAAGGAGGCUUAAUCUUCCGAGGUGGCUUGUAUGAGUCUUCAGCAUUCUCAGCUGGAGGGUGACCAGGGUUGUGACCAUAAUGUGGUGGCUUCUCUCCCUUAGGUGGUUUGCCAACUGGGGUUGGUGGCUUGUAUGAGUCUUCAGCAUUCUCAGCAGGAGGGUGACCAGGGUUGUGACCAUAAUGUGGUGGCUUCUCUCCCUUAGGUGGUUUGCCAACUGGGGUUGGUGGCUUGUGUUCUGGGAGUGGCUUCUCCCCCUUGGGAGGUUUUUCCAAUGGGGUUGGUUUGUGUUCAGGAGGUGGCUUCUCCACUGGAGGCUUGUGUUCAGGAGGUGGCUUCUCCACCGGAGGCUUGUGUUCAGGUGGUGGCUUCUCCACCGGAGGCUUAUGCUCUGGUGGUGGCUUCUCGAAUGGGGGAUGCUUAGGAUAAUCAGCAAGUGAGGGGGCGGUGAGAACCACCAGGCCAAGCAACACCACUAGCAAAUAUGUAGGAGACAUCUUUGGGUUUGGGCUCAGAUGGUGCAAAACUAGGAGAAUUGGCUAGCCUUUUAUAGCGGAUCGUACCCAAUAAUGAAAUGACACGUGUCAUUAUGACCCAUGUGUAAUGGGGUCGAUUUGGGUCCUACAGUGUUGAAAACUUCGACAUCCACUUUUGGCCUUUUGCUUUCUCUACAGCCGCCUUGCUUUUUCCCUCUUUCCUUUUGUUUUCCUCCUGCCCCAUUCUAUCAACUAAACACAAUUAUGUAGUUGUUUAAUUCUUAAAUGAGAUAUUAUCCGUCAAUCGUAUUAUAUUUUAUCAAGAGAGAACGGAGUGCAAUGUGGCUGUAAUUUUAUCGUUUAGUUUUAUCUCUUGGACCACUGCAUUUUUGUUAAGAGGUGCAAUAAUACACGUCUUUAUCUGCCAUUCAAUAUUUACAGUAAAGAGAGGGCACAAAACUCUUCACUUCGCACCAUAAUUAUUUUGUUUUCUGGACACCCCGGGGCCCUUUGGUUGGUUUGGGGGUCAGAAAGUGAACAUCAUAGGGGGUUUUUCCCUUAUGUGCAUUUGUAUCUGAUGGCUUUAACUCGCCUUGUUACUACAAAGAAACUGUCACAGAUAGGAACUUAUUCCAGGCUGAGUAUCUCCUCAUAGACCCUAUAAAAGAAGACAAGUCAUAAUGAACAUCUAACCUUUGUUCAAUUUGAUUCAAUGCCCCCAUUGUGUCCAUCUCACAAAUCUGAAUUAUUAUAUCCAUUGAAUACAUAAAUUAAUGAAGAAAAUAUGAAACCCAAGAUACAUCUCUGCACAACCUCAACCCUGGUUGCUAUGUUUCCCUUCUAUUCACAUGAUUUGAUGCUAAUUGCCAAACUUGCAACAAGCCCUGAGUUUGACACCUAGUAUCGAUGGGCGAAUUUAAAGUCUCCUCCAAACAUAUAUUCCACAGCUUGAAGCUCACAGAAGAUGUUACAGGCAGGGAAAAACCUUCAGAGUUCGCUACCAAAGAUAAUUAUUAAGGAGAUAUCACAAAGAGAAUUCCAAGGGGUCUGAAUCAAAGACAAAUUGGUCGUUCGUGGGGGUUCUUACUUUCUUUUGGGUAUAACUCACUGAGGGCACUGUCUUUGUUAUUUGCAUUUCACAUUUAGAGUUCUGUUCUGGAAACAUAUAAAAGGAGCAUCAUUUUGUUCUUGGGUAACCCAUAGUCGUGAGUGGGUCCAUUUGCAUGCUACUUAGUUGAAAAGUUGGACCAUUUGCUCCGACGCCUACCUCCCGGAUUCCAUGCUCGGAUAAAACAAGAAUAAAAAAAAUAUUUAUAAUUUACAAAUGGGGGAAAGAAAAAAAUGUCAACAACAAACCAGGAAAAAAGAGUAGUAAAAUUCAUGUCACAUGCUAGUGAGAGAAGGGGUUGUUACACUCACUCGAAGUUCUUUCCAAAAUAUCGCAUGGUAUUUUAUUUUAUGUGUCAGCGCAGUUGUGAAUGGAACGUGCAAAAGUCCAAAUUGGCGUUUUUCCUUUUCCCGUGUAGGAUGGCGACCUUUAAUAAAUAUUUAAAACAAAAAACGAAAAAAAGGAGGGAAAAGGGAUCAGAAAAGAUAAAACAAUGUGUACAAGAGCUCAAUUAGUUUGCAAAUUACUGUUUGGAUUUUGAUAGUAUUUUAUUUGUCCAUCUAUAUUUGAUGGAAAAGAGAAUUUAAGAUAUUUCUGAAACAAAAGCAUUAGUGUAAAACUAAAUUAAGGUAUAAUUAAGUUAGUUCAAUGCAUUAAUUUAAGAAACUUGAUCUAUCCAAAGUACAAAAUUAGAUGAAAUCCAUUUCAAUGGUUAAAAUGAUCAAAAUCAAACUUUUUCUAAGUAUUUUUUAAAAGCAUCAAUAUUAAAAGACAAUUUUAUAUUUAGUCGGAGUUUGGACAAAACCAAAAAGCACACAAAAUCCAAGCGACCAUCUCUAGCUUGGAUAGUCACUUGAUCCCACCUAGAGAUGUGCAUGAGUAAAAGGAUUUGAAAAUGGAAAUUGACUAAAUAUUUAGUUGAUCAAUUAAAUUUGCAAUGUCAUAUGCAAUCCUAAUAGCUAGUCAUCUAAUCAAUUAGGUAGUCAAUCAAGUGUUUGUAAUGACUAUUUUGUACAAAAAACCACAUGUAUAGUUAAAUAUAAUGCAUUUCAUUUAUAAAUCUUCUAAUUCUUGAAUAACGAUCCUAUCAUCCUUUGAAAAUUUUUAUUACACCUUUUUUACUUUUGUUCUAAAACUUACAUAUCACCCUUAAUUGUACCAUGAGAACCUAGCUAUUUUUUUUUUUUUUGUAAUUCAUCAAAGUUAGCUUUUGUAUUCAUUGUUGUAUUAUUUUUAGUAUAACUUAGAAAGCUAGUGUUUUCAAGUGAGUAAAAUUAACUUGUAAAUAUUGUAAAGAUUCAUUGAUAUGUAUCUUAAACUAAGUGUACAAAUUAAAACAUUUGCUAGUAGAUUUUCUCAAAAUUUAGAAUAGAGCUUGAGGCUAUUGAAAUAGGUGGGGUUACACCAAACCACAUCACAUCGUUGUUUGCACCUUUUUUCACUCUCUUUUACUUAGUUUCUCUAUAUUUGUUGUCUAGUAAUAUCCUAUAGGCUUGAUGGGUUAGGGAGCAUCCCUUUGUGAAAAAAUUUCAUUCAAUUCUUAGUUGUAUUACGCAUAUAUAAAAUGCCUCAUUGUUUUAAUGGUAUUCAGUCGUGGCAUCACAGAUAUGGGCAUCUAAAUUUUAAAAGUUUGAAACUUUUGUAAAGCAUGUUGAUAAAAUCCAUGAGAGUUGUGUACUUGGGAAGCAACAUCGAGGUGACUUUAUUUUUUUUUCCUUUUAUAAUGCCACACCUAAGUCCGGUUUCUAAAUGCUAAAGUGAAAGGGUAGGUAUGGACCAUUGAAAUGUGAUCACAACUUUUGGCCUUUUCCUUUCUCUGCAGCCAUGUUGUCUCUUUUUUCUUUUGCAUGAUUUUCUUACCAAAACAGAAUCAUAGACUUGUUUAGUCUCUAAGCUACUAUAUUAUAUCUCGGUGGACUUUUAAGAGUGCAACCGACAUAGAGCACAUGCAAGUGGGCAUAUGGGACAUGAAAUUUCUUCUUACAAAGAUUGCAUGAUUUUUAUAUUAGAGUUGUUCACGUGCAAUGUAUUUAGCUUGUUUUGCAGUUAAAUUAAUUGGAUAAGUAAACAUUGGCAUUUCUAAAUCGACUGUGAAGUGCUUCAUGUACGUGUAAAGUAUUAGAAAUUUCUUUCUUGGCAACUUGUUUUUUCCUUGCCAUCUACUGGUAGGUUUGACUAAAAUUAUAUUCCCUGUCAUGCUAAUUAAUUUUCAUGUGCAUGCUCAAAAGAAGAGUAUGACCUUAGUGCACCAAAAUCACUUUGAUUAAUUUGUGAUAGGUUUUUUUGCAUCAUUUAGAUAAUGUUUAGUUCUAAGAAAAAUUUAUAUAAAAAUGGUUUAUUUAUCUUACAUAUAUAUAUAUAUAUAUAUAUUUUUUUUUUUUUCAUUUUUUUUUCUUCUAUUUUAUUUAUUUAUUUUAUUUUCCUUAUGUUUUCCUCACAUUUUCCGGAACUAAACAUAGUCUUACGAAAUCAACAAUUGCCUUCAACUGAGUAGAUUCUGUUGUUUUAGCAAUGUUAGGCUGCUAACUUGUGGUGGUACGAACCAAAUGACCCAUGUUAAUCUUGGCUUGGUUUGAUUUGGCUCUAUCUCAGAGAGCUAAAGGAUCACGUCAACUCUGGUUUCUACUAUUCAGGUCCAUUCCCAGAUGAACUGGUUCAAAUUUGAGAAAAUGGUAACAGACCUUUAGUGAUGUUGGUUUGGAGCCAGUUGCCAAACCCGCCCUGAGCUUUACCACUAAUGUCAAGGGAGAAAGCCAUUUGAACAAAAACAAUAGCUUCAAGAGACUGAAUCGUGGAUGAAAUCUGAUCCACAUUUCUUCUCAUUUUGGGAAAAAAUGAGAACUUAACUACAAAGAUUCUACUGCCUCAUUCAUAGUGCUUUUCCUGAUCCAAGGUUGGUUCGUUUCCCAAAUUGUGAGGUGCACGUGCCACUCUCACGCUCAGGAGUGUAUCCACGUGGUGGACAUCAGAUGGUGGCUUAAUAUCUGGUGUCGGUGGCUUUACUUUACUAGGAGAGUAGUGUGUCUUCAUCUCAUUCACUGCCGGAGGGUGGCGUAAGCAGUGACGCUAAGGUGGGGCACAGUCAAUAUCAUUUGCAUUUGACCAUUAUAGUUUUCUCCCGGCUUGAAAGUAACCUUAUCGUGAUAAAGGAUUACUAGCACUAGUUCAGAUGACCGUCAUGUUAAUUCGGACCAUGUUUGUGUCACAUUAUCAGCAACCAUGUGUUUAUGGUUCAUGCUAUCUGCAACUAAACUUGAUAUAUAACCAGGUGAACUUCAAUCAAAAUUCUGGAAGUACUCUUGUGAUAGAUGGUGCCUGUCUGCAGAGUCCAUCAAUUGAAAAAUGGAGUGAGUGUAUCUAUAAGAGGGAAGGCUUGGCAAAUGUUCAGUUUUCUGGGAAUUCAACAAGGAUCUAAAAUAGAUUGUUUUCUUUGCCGACUUCAAUGGUUGAAAUUUGAGAAGAUUGUGUCCACAUAUCACAACUAUUACUGGUCCUUCUGUUGCAAUUUAUCCUGUAAGGCUCUAACAUGUCUUCCAAUUCCCACUUCCCUGUUACUCCAGGAAAGCUAUUUCUGUCAUUGUGAAGAAGAAAAGAGAAUGUACAUAUCGAUGCUUUUAAGUGACUGGAGCAUUCAUAUCAGGUGGUCUGCAGCCAUAUAUGCCACUUUGUGAAGGUUGGAACAGUCAAUCACUAGGCUAUAUAUUGGUGUGGCCCAGCCACUUCAAUCAAGGACAAGUCUUCAUACUUAAAGUCAAAUUCUGCCUUUAGUCUCAUUAUAAAUUGCUGUUUAAAUAUUAAGCAAACUUUUGUUUAAUGCGAUUAAGACAGUACUAACUCAAUACUUGUUCUAUUUUUGGAUGCAAAUGCUUGAUGGUUUCAUCAUUGGAUGGGAUAAAGGUGCAUUCAUGAUUAUGAAUACUUGUAGUUAUAUUUUCAUUCUCUUUUUUCUCAAUGAGACUUGUUGGCACAAUGUUGCUGUUCAGAAACCUACCUCUCCAUGGAAAAUAAGUUGCGAUUGAUAGUACUGGAUAUGUUCAAGAAAGCUAAAUAUAGAUAGCACAAAAUAUUAUCGAUAUAAAUAGCAUUAACAGCGUACGUAUGUCUCAAUGCUCAUCAGCUAUAAGCAUGGGACAAACACUUACUAUGAGCAACUUACGUCAAAAUUCCAGAAUAGGACAUAGAAGUGACAGAUCUAUAUAUAUAGAACACUGCAUAUGAGUCACAAGAAAGGAAAUUACGGGUGCAUAGCAGCUCUUAUUUUACAUACUACUACUCAUACUGAUCAAAGUCACUCAGUUGGGAUGGGUGGGAGUAGGAGGUUUGUGGGGUGGCUUGUGCGGAGGAGUUGGCAGCUUCUUUCCAGGACCUGGUUGCUUCUCUGCUGGAGUUGAAGGAGGCUUAAUCUUCCGAGGUGGCUUGUAUGAGUCUUCAGCAUUCUCAGCUGGAGGGUGACCAGGGUUGUGACCAUAAUGUGGUGGCUUCUCUCCCUUAGGUGGUUUGCCAACUGGGGUUGGUGGCUUGUAUGAGUCUUCAGCAUUCUCAGCAGGAGGGUGACCAGGGUUGUGACCAUAAUGUGGUGGCUUCUCUCCCUUAGGUGGUUUGCCAACUGGGGUUGGUGGCUUGUGUUCUGGGAGUGGCUUCUCCCCCUUGGGAGGUUUUUCCAAUGGGGUUGGUUUGUGUUCAGGAGGUGGCUUCUCCACUGGAGGCUUGUGUUCAGGAGGUGGCUUCUCCACCGGUGGCUUGUGUUCAGGAGGUGGCUUCUCCACCGGAGGCUUAUGCUCUGGUGGUGGCUUCUCCACCGGAGGCUUAUGCUCUGGUGGUGGCUUCUUGAAUGGGGGAUGCUGAGGGUAAUCAGCAAGUGAGGGGGCGGUGAGAACCACCAGGCCAAGCAACACCACUAGCAAAUAUGUAGGAGACAUCUUUGGGUUUGGGCUCAGAUGGUGCAAAACUAGGAGAAUUGGCUAGCCUUUUAUAGCGGAUCGUACUCAAUAAUGAAAUGACACGUGUCAUUAUGACCCAUGUGUAAUGGGGUCGAUUUGGGUCCUACAGUGUUGAAAACUUCGACAUCCAGUUUUGGCCUUUUGCUUUCUCUACAGCCGCCUUGCUUUUUCCCUCUUUCCUUUUGUUUUCCUCCUGCCCCAUUCUAUCAACUAAACACAAUUAUGUAGUUGUUUAAUUCUUAAAUGAGAUAUUAUCGGUCAAUCGUAUUAUAUUUUAUCAAGAGAGAACGGAGUGCAAUGCAGCUGUAAUUUUAUCGUUUACUUUUAUCUCUUGGACCACUGCAUUUUUGUUAAGAGGUGCAAUAAUACACGUCUUUAUCUGCCAUUCAAUGUUUACAGUAAAGAGAGGGCACAAAACUCUUCACUGCUCUGCAUGUGUCCCAAAAAUGCGAUUGGACAAAUUAUGAUUUGCAUGCUAAAAAGAGGCAAAUGAGGUUAAUUCGCACCAUAAUUAUUUGGUUUUCUGGACACCAUAAAAAGAUGUUAUACAGGCAGGGAAAAACCUUCAGAGUUAGCUACCAAAGAUAAUUAUCAAGCAGAUAUCACCAAGAGAAUUCCAUAGAGUCUGAAUCAAAGACAGAUUGCUCGCUCGUGGGGGUUCUUACUUUCUUUUGGGUAUAACUCACUGAGGUCACUGUCUUUUUUAUUUGCAUUUCACAGUUAGAGUUCUGCUCUGGAAGGUUUGUUCUGGAAACAUAUAAAAGGAGCAUCAUUUUGUUCUUGGGUAACCCAUAGUCGUGAGUGGGUCCAUUUGCAUGCUACUUAGUUGAAAAGUUGGACAAUUUGCUCCGACGCCUACCUCCUGGAUUCCAUGCUCGGUAAAACAAGAAUAAAAAAAAAUAUAUAAUUUACAAAUGGGGGAAAGAAAAAAUGUCGGAAAAAAUAGUAAAAUUCAUGUCACAUGCUAGUGAGAGAAGGGGUUGUUACACUCACUCGAAGUUCUUUUCAAAAUAUCGAAUGGUAUUUUACUUUAUGUGUCAGCGCAGUUGUGAAUGGAACGUGCAAAAGUCCAAAUUGGCGUUUUUAUUUUUCCCAUGUAGGAUGGUGACCUUUAAUAAAUAUUUAAAACAAAAGACGAAAAAAAAAAGGAGGGAAAAGGGAUCACAAAAGAUAAAAUAAUGUUUACAAAAGCUCAAUUAGUUUGCAAAUUACUGUUUGGAUUUUGAUAGUAUUUUAUUUGUCGUUCUAUAUUUGAUGUAAAAGAGAAUUUAAGAUAUUUCCGAAGCAAAAGCAUUAGUUUGCUCUGUGAUGUCCCACAUCGAAUAGGGGAGAAAGUUUCUGGCGCUAUAUAUGUAGAGGCUCCUCUUAACCAAGUAGAUGCGUUUUAAAACCAUGAGGGCCCCCUUAGGUCCAAAGCGGACAAUAUCUACAUGAUUGGGUGUAAGUCAUUACAAAUGGUAUCAGAGCCGAUCCCCGACCCCGGUGUGGGGGUUUGUUUGGCCCUGUAAGGGGUGUUUGUCUGUUUGACCCCACAAUCCCAUGGGACACAACGAGGACGUUGUGUCUGCAUGGGGGGGCGUUUGUGAUGUCCCACAUCGGAUAGGGGAGAAAGUUCCUAGUGCUAUAUAUGUAGAUGUUUCUCUUAACCAAGUAGAUGCAUUUUAAAAUUGUGAGGGCCUCUUUGGGCCCAAAGCGGACAAUAUCUACAUGGUUGAGUGUAAGUCAUUACAUGCUCCAUGUCAAUUUCAGCAUUUCUCAUAUGUUUCACACAUACACAGAAGAGCAUCGUUUUUUAAAGCAUGCAUUUAUGUUGGAUUAAUUUGGAUUUUGUGGGAACUGGGGCAAGGAUCACAUGGAAGAGAGGUUGACUUUUUUCAGUACUUCAAUGGUUGAAAUAUGUGAAGGCUUGAUUGAUACUAAAGCUUGAAAUUGCGACUCUGUCAUUUGUAAAAAAAUAUGACAGCUUCCAUGCUCUCGUUUGGUUGCAUUGUCCGGUCGAGAGGUGCAAAAAGCAUUCUCUCUCUUCUAAUAGUCUUUUCGUUUAAAUCAAGGGAUUUGCCUUCCCGGUCGAGGUCCAAUAGAGGGUAACGGUCACCUACUAAACAUUAAAUGCUCCAACAACUAGUGAACUGAUCGACCCCAGCUCGACUAGUUGAGGUUACUUUUUGGUUUUCUUGUCUCCCGAGGUUAGAAACCUAUAAAUAGAGAGCUUCACUUCAUUUAUGAGUAAGAGAACACCUAAAUUUAUUUGUUUACCUACUUGUUUUUGCCAUAAAAGCUCUCAUUUCUUUUCUUGGUGUAUUAAAUCUCCAUUUGCAUAUCCUUUAGUGCACCUUUGUGAUUCAUUCUAGCCUUGAGUUGUAUUUAAGCCUUUGUUGAGCUAGGUUGAGAGUUUCAUACUUGUUUAUUGAGUGUUAAAGCCUUCAAGUGAGUUAAAACUUGAAGAGAUUGUGUAAGAGCCCAUUGGAGUCGGAAUCCAAGUGUAAAGGUGAUUAAAAGCUUGGUUGAAGCUUCAAGUUAGUGGAACUCUCACUCGGUUAUGAGCUUGAGAAGAGUGGACAUAGACAAGGCAGUGUCGAACCACUAUAAAAUCUGAGUUUGAUUUCUCUAACCUUAUCUCUUUAUAUUUGCUUCUCUUGUGCUUAAAUUUUUUGUGUUUAAAAAGAAUUUUUAAAAACUCAAUUCACCCCCUUCUUGGGAGUUUUUCUCUUUUAAGAUCAGCUUUUAUUUUCUCAAUUGGUAUCAGAACUAUGCCUCUUGUUUAAGACUUAAUCGUCUAAGAGGAAAUGGCUAAUCCAUCAAGUUCAUCUCACAUUGAAAGUUUUGCAACCAAUAGACUUCUUUUUUUUUUUUUGCGGGAACUGAUUAUCCCUAUUGGAAAACUAAAAUGACUUGGUUUUUACAAUCAAUUGAUUUAGAUGUAUGAGAUGCCAUUGAAGAUGACCUAACUUUUCCUUCAAAACUAGUUGAUGGAGUCAUGGUUCCAAAACCUAAGCAAGAAUGGGAUGAGCGUGAUUGAAGAAAUUUUCAAUUAAAUGCUAAAGUCGUUUAUACUUUGCAAUGCUCUAUGGACAGAAAUGAAUAUAAUAGAAUAUGUCAAUGCAAAUCGGUUAAAGAAAUUUGGAGAUUGCUUGAAAUAACUCAUAAAGGAACAAAUCAAGUUAAAGAGUCAAAAAUCAAUUUACUUGUUCAUAGAUAUGAAUUGUUUUUUAUGAAAGAUAAUGAAACUAUUGUUAAGAUGAUCACUAGGUUCACCAACAUUGUUAAUGGUCUUAAAGCCUUGGGAAAGACCUACAAGGAAUCCGAAAACGUGAUGAAGAUCUUGAGGUCACUUCCAUCAAAGUGGCAUACCAAGGUCACCGCAAUUUAAGAAGCAAAAGACUUGAUCAAGCUACCUUUGGAGGAGUUCAUAGGGUCAUUGAUGACAUAUGAAAUCAAUUUGGCAAAGAAGUAACAAAAAGGUGAAGACAAAAAGAAGAAGAACAUAACUCUCAAAGCUACAACUAAGGAAGAAGAAGUUGAAGAAGAAAAACAAAUUGAAGAAGAUGAAGAUUUAGCCCUCAUCACAAGAAAGUUCAACAAAUUCAUGAGGGGUGAAAGGUUUAGAAGAAGAAGGUUCACUUCUAGAAGAGACUUUUCUAAAAAGGAAUCUUCAUCUAAUGGUGACAAAAAGAGAUGGGAAGAGAAAAGAGACUUGGUGUGUUUCAAGUGCAAGAAACCGGGACACAUUAAAUAUGAUUGUCCUCUCUACAAAAGUGAAGUCAAGAGGAAAAAGAAUAAGGCAAUGAUGGCCACUUAGAGUGAAAGUGAAGAUGAAUCAUCCGAAGAAGAAAAUGAGAAAGAAGUGGCAAACAUGUGUUUCAUGGCAAUAGAUGAACUUGAUGAGGUAAAAUCUAACCUUAGUGAUUAAGAUAUACAUGAUGCAUUUGAAGAAUUGUAUGAGGAUUUUUAAAAACUUAGUUUGAAAAAUAUUUCUCUUAAAAAGAAAGUUCAACAACUUGACAAAGAACUUAGAGAAGUAAAAGAAAAAUUUUCAAAUGUUAAAGUUUCUAAAACUCAUCUUGAAAAAGAAAAUGAGAUUCUAAGAAAGAAAAAUGAAUAGUUGAACUCCUCUCUUUCAAUCUUUUCUUCUAGACAAAAAUCUUUUGAAAUGAUUCUAACUAGCUAAAAAUGUGUUUUUGACAAACAAGGGUUAAGAUUUAAAUCUUCAAAAAAUCAAAAGUAUUUUAAAAACUAUUUUGUAAAGGAAUCCACAAGUGCAAGUCCUUCCACUACUUGCAACUUUUGUGGAAGAGAAUGGCACAUUAGUAGUACGCCCUUUAAGAAAUGGUUCUCAAAAGAAUUUAAAUGCAAAAACUAAAAAAGAUUUGGAUUGAGAAAUCCAAGGUCACUAACCCUCAAGGACCCAAAAAGAUAUAGGUACCUAAAUCAACUUGAGUUUUAUGUUGUAAGGUUCAAAGAAUGAUAAGUGGUUCUUAGAUAAUGGUUGCUCAAGACACAUGACCGGAGAUGAAUCCAAGUUUGCUUUUCUUAAAAAGAAAAAUGGAGGAUAUGUUACCUUUGGAGACAAUGCAAAAGAAAGGAUGAUUGGUCAAGGCAACAUUGGUAAUGGCACAUCCUCUCUCAUUGAAAGUGUUUUAUUAGUAGAUGGUUUCAAACAUAACCUUUUAAGCAUUAGUCAAUUUUGCGACAAAGGUUUUUAAGUGAUUUUUUAAGCAUCUCAUUGCAUCAUCAAGGAUAUUCAAAAUGAUAAAACCAUUUUCAUGGGCCAUAGAUGUGAUAAUGUUUAUGCUAUAAAUAUUUCAAAAUAUGAUGGCCAUGAUAGAUGUUUUUCAAGCAUGCAUGAUCAAAGUUGGUUGUGCCAUAGGAGAUUGAGACAUGCUAACAUAGACCUCAUUUCCCAACUCAACAAAGAUGAACUUGUUAGAGGCCUUCCCAAAAUAAUUUUUUAAAAAGAUAAAGUUUGUGAAGCUUGUCAAGUGGGAAAGUAAAUCAAAAACUCUUUUAAAAACAAAAACUUCAUUUCCACAUCUAGGCCACUUGAGUUGUUGCAUAUGGAUUUAUUUGGUCCCUCUAGGACACCAAGUCUUAGAGGAAAUUCUUAUGCAUAUGCUAUUGUGGACGACUUCUCUAGAUACACAUGAGUCUUGUUUUUUAGUCAAAAGAAUAAAGUUUUUUAUGAGUUUUCAAAGUUUUGCAAUAAGAUUCAAAAUGAAAAAGGUUUUUCAAUUACUUAUAUAAGAAGUGAUCAUGGGAGAGAAUUCGAAAAUAUUGAUUUUGAAGAGUAUUGCAAUGAGCAUGGAAUUGACCACAAUUUUUUGGCUCUUAGAACUCCUCAACAAAAUGGGGUAGUUGAAAGGAAAAAUAGAACUCUUCAAAAAAUGACAAGAACCAUACUAAAUGAAAACAACUUACCAAAAUAUUUUUAGGCCAAAACGGUUAACACUUCUUGUUAUGUUUUAAAUAGAGUAUUAUUGAGGCUCAUACUUAAGAAAACUCCCUAUGAGCUUUGGAAAAACAAAAAACCCAACAUUAGUUAUUCCAAAGUCUUUGGAUGCAAUAUUUUAUAAUAAACACCAAAGACAAUCUUGGAAAAUUUGAUGCAAAAUUGGAUGUUGGAAUUUUCCUUGGUUACUCAACUUCAAGUAAAGCUUUUCGAGUUUUAACAAAAGAACCAUGGUUGUAGAGGAGUCCAUCCAUGUUAUUUUUUAUGAAUCUCCAAGAAAGAGAGAGGAUUGAUGAUGAUUUAGGUUUGAAGACCUCUAUAGGAAGAUUGCAAAUCGAAGAUAGAAGACAACAAGAAGAAAAUGGAGAGAAUCCAAAGAAAGAAGGAUCACCAUUGGCACUACCCCCUCAUCAACAAGCGCAAGGUGAAUCAAGUCAAGAGCUUCCUAAAGAAUGGAAGUUUGUCAUCAAUCACCCACAAGAUCAAAUUAUAGGCAAUCCAUCUAGUGGGGUAAGAACUAGAUCCUCUCUUAGAAAUAUUUGCAAUAAUCUAGCUUUUAUCUCUCAAAUUGAGCCUAAAAAUAUAAAUGAUGUUUUAGAUGAUGAAAAUUGGAUAAUUGCAAUGCAAGAAGAGUUAAAUCCAUUUGAAAGAAGUGGAGUAUGGGAAUUAGUACCAAGACCUUCAAAUCAAAGUGUUAUUGGAACUAGAUGGAUCUUUAGAAAUAAAAUGGAUGAAAAUAGCAUAAUUGUUAGAAAUAAAGCAAGAUUGGUAGCCCAAGGUUUUAAUCAAGAAGAAAUGAUAGAUUAUGAAGAAACCUUUGCCCCCGUAGCUAGGUUGGAAGCCAUUAGGAUGCUACUUGCCUUUGCAUGUUUUAAAGACUUUGUUUUAUAUCAAAUGGAUGUGAAAAGUGCUUUUUUAAAUGGUUUUAUAAAUGAAGAAGUAUAUGUUGAACAACCACCCGGUUUUCAAAGUUUCAACUUUCCUAACCAUGUUUUUAAACUUAAAAAGACACUUUAUGGUUUGAAACAAGCACCUAGAUCAUGGUAUGAAAAAUUGAGUAAAUUUCUUUUGAAAAAAAUGUUUUAAAAUGGGAAAAAUUGACACAACUCUUUUUAUAAAAACCAAAGAAAAUGAUAUGCUCUUAGUUCAAAUAUAUAUUGAUGAUAUCAUUUUUGGUGCUACUAAUGUCUCUCUUUAUGAAGAAUUUUCUAAGUGCAUGCAUAGUGAGUUUGAAAUGAGCAUGAUAGGAGAACUCAACUUCUUCCUUGGACUUCAAAUCAAGCAACUAAAGGAAUGAACCUUCAUCAAUCAAGCAAAGUAUAUAAGAGAUCUUCUCAAAAGGUUCAACAUGGAAGAAGCCAAAACAAUGAAGACUCUAAUGAGCUCAUCCAUUAAGCUUGAUAAGGAUGAGAAAGGUAAAUCCAUUGACUCUAUUAUGUAUAGAGGCAUGAUAGGUUCUUUGCUCUAUUUGACCACUAGUAGACCUUACAUUAUGUAUAGUGUGUGUUUGUGUACUAGAUUUCAAUCUUGUCUUAAAAAAUCUCACUUAAGUGUCGUGAAAAGAAUCCUCAAAUAUUUGAAAGGGACAAUGGACAUAGGCUUAUGGUAUCCUAAGAGUGAUAACUUUGAAUUAAUUGGUUUUUUGGAUGCUGAUUUUGUCAGUUGUAGGGUUGAAAAAUAAAACACUAGUGGCACUUUUCAUUUCUUAAGACACUUACUUGUCUCAUGGCAUAAUAAGAAGCAAAAUUUGGUAGCUUUGUCAACAGCAGAAGCUAAAUACAUAGCAACUGGUUUAUGUUGUGCACAAAUCCUUUGGAUGAAAUAAACACUUAGUGAUUUUGAUUUAUCUUUUGAGCAUAUUCCUAUUAAAUGUGAUAAUAGUAGUGCCAUAAGUAUAUCAAAAAAUCUCGUGCAACACUCUAGGACUAAGCAUAUAGAGAUUAGACAUAAUUUUCUUAGAUAUCAUACACAAAAGGAUGAUAUAACACUUGAAUUUGUAAGCAUAAAAGACCAACUUGCCGAUAUCUUUACAAAACCUCUAAGAACAUUUUGUUGAUAUUAGAGGACAAUUAGGAGUGAUUUCUUUAUGAUCUAAUGUGAUGAAUUCUUGAUGAAUAUACUUUUUGAUUGCAUGAAUUUCAUGUCAUAUAUGCAUCAUAUAGAAAUAUACUUAGAUAAUGGUCAAAUUUCGACCAAAAAUCAAAAUUCCCAUGGCAUUAGGCAUAAAAAUUUUGGAAUUUCAACUGAAAAUGGUAGGAGGAGGAUCACAAAAUGAGAAAGUAUGCAAAAAUUGAAAAAUCAAAACGUUGACCAAGCGGUCAAUCGGACUAGACCGAUCGACUAGUUUGUCGAGAUUUAGGAUUUUUAAGAGACUCCAACGCUUCAAUUUUUGCACCGUUCUCCUCUAUUUCUUCACGGUUUCUCUGAUUUUGUCUUUUAGAGACUAAUUUGAGUGCGUUUUGGAUCAAUUGAAGCAUUUUGGAUUGGAUUUUAGGAAGAUUGAAAGUUAAGGUUUCGGAUUUGGGUCGCCUUCUCUUCCUCUCGCGUGUCACAAUCAGCUUUAGCAUUGUUCUCUUUCCAUUUUCACACACCUAGGGUUUCAGUUGUGAGCAUCUCUCUCUCUUUACCAACCACUACUCCCUUGCUUCUUCCAUAUGGCUCCUAGGCGAGAGUCCGCUACUUCUAGGGCACAAGGCAAGCACCCAACUGAGUCGUCUCAGUCAAAGGCACGUCGAAAAGUGAGAUUUGACAUUGCCUUGUUCAGUUCCAUGGAGGACUACCAACUAUACAAGCAACACUUUGCUUAGAGACGAGUAGUUCCCAAGAGAAAUAUUAAUUUUCCUCAACUUCAGCAUUUCGAAUUUAAGGGUCUAUUUACUAGGAUGGUUGGUUGUCUAUUGUCACAAUUUCGGAGCCGGUUUUCCUGACCUUAGUGCGAGUUUUUUACUCGAGGGCGACUUAUGGCAUGGGUGGCAUGAUCAUUUCUACUGUUGGAGGAGUUGAGAUCUGUCUGGACCCAGAGAGCAUCUGCCAUAUUUUCGAUAUUGCUCUGGUUGGACUCAAAGUAUACAAGUCCAAAAUGUGGCCCAUUGUGCCAGGAUUUGAGCUUAGAGAGGUCAUUCAGAGGAUUUGUGAACUUCCAGACGCCCAGGAGAUGGGCAAACCAUUGCCACACAGUUUGACGGUCAUCAACAGGGUGCUACACCAUAUAUUGUGCUCUAUCUUUCUACCACGAAGUGGACAUUGAGAUGAGGUCUCUUAUUAUGAGGCAUUCCUUAUUGACUCCAUUCUAACGGAGAGACGAAUUCAUCUACUAUGUCAUCAUUCACUAAGCCUCCUCACAGUGACAUACCACCUCAUCAGGCACCUCUUGCUCCUGACCAUGCUCCAUUGAUGGAUUUAUUUACUCAUAUUAGCUCUCUAGGCACUCGCAUGAAGGAGUUUGUUGUAGUUAGUGAUACAUGGUUCUACUCCAUAGAGGAUCGCAUGGAUCAGUAUCAGACUGGCUUCACGUCACAGUUUGAGUAUCUCCAAUAGAGGAUUGAGCAUAUUGAGGAUCACUUGAGCAUGAGAAGAUGAUGGCUUUUCUAUGCUCUGUGUUUCCACCUCCACCUCGUCAACCUUGAUUUCUUAGAGACCCAUUGUUUUCAUUUUGUAAUGUUGCCAAAAGGGGGAGAUAUUUAGGAUCUAGGACUCUAUAGGAGACUUACAUGCAUAUCAUUUUCAUAUCAUUGUUUGGAUCGUACAUAUUGGAUAGUGAUACUUUUUACUUAUAUAUGAUAUGCCUAUAUGUUUCAUGUCUUACAUUGUUUCUUAUUGCAAAUUAUCUCUAACAUGUCUUGAUUAUCUUUUUUUUAACUUCAUAAAUUUUGAUUGUUAACCCAUGAUUGGUUUGAGGGGAAGAUUCUUCUUCUCCUAGAUAACCAAGGUUUGUCAUCAUAAAAAAAUUGGAGAUUGUUAGCCCAAGGGUUCUCCUAAUCAUGUUUUGAUGAUAACAAACCAUGCUUAAGUUACUAAUUGGUUUGAAUUAUAAAGAAUUUCAAGUGUUAAUUUGAAAAUUCAUCAAAGAACCUAAUGGAUGCAAGAUCAAGAUUUUUGGAAGACCUUUAAUCAUAAGAAACAUAUGUAAGAUGAAUGCAUGGGUGCACUUAAGAUUUGCAUAUCAUUUCAUGCAUAUUUGGAAAACACGGUUUAUGCUUUAAAGUUACAUUUCCAUCAAAAUUUGAGAUCCAUCAAAUGAACCUUAGGAAAAAUGUUUUAAAAUUGGCAUAUAAUUUUACCUAAAGACCUUGCCUAAGUGUUAGAAGCAAAAGGACAAAAAAAAUAUAGGUUUUCUGGUCAAAAAUGGUGAACCAGUCAAGGCAUUGUCUAAAUCAGCUCAAUCGGCCAAGGUACCGGUCGAUCGGUUUCCCUUUCCCUGUCGAGAUCUAGUCAAGAGGUACAAAAAUCACAAUCUCUGUCUCUUUCUCUCUUUGUCUAUCUUCCAGUAGUCUUUCCUUCCCGGUCGAGGGAUUUGCCUUCCCGAUUGAGGUCCGAUUGAGAGUAAUAGUCACUUGCCAAAUAUUAAAUGCUCCAACAGUUAGUGAACUGGUCGACCCCCACCUUGCCCAGUUGAGGUUACUUUUUGGUUUUCUUGGCUCCCGAUGUUAGAAACCUAUAAAUAGAGAGUUCCACUUCAUUUAUGAGCAAGAGAACACUUGCAUUUAUUUGUUUACCUACUUGUUCUUGCCUUAAAAGCUCUCAUUUCUUUUCUUGGUGCAUUAAAUCUCCAUUUUGAUAUCCUUUAGUGCACCUUUGUGAUUCAUCUUAGCCUUGAGUUGUAUUUGAGCCCUUUUUUUAGCUAGGUUGAGAGUUUCAUACUUGUUAAUUGAGUGUUAAAGCCUUCAAGUGAGUUGAAACUUGUAGAGAUUAUGUGAGAGUCGAUUGGAGCCGAAAUCCAAGUGUAAAGGUGAUUAGAAGCUUGGUUGAAGCUUCAAGUUAGUGGAAUCCUCACUCAAUUAGGAGCUUGAGGAGAGUGGACGUAGCCAAGGAAGUGUCGAACCACUAUAAAAUUUGAGUUUGAUUUCUCUAACAUUGUCUCUUUAUAUUUGUUUAUCUUGUGCUUAAAUUUAUUGUGUUUAAAAAGAAUUUUUAAAUACCCAAUUCACCCCCCUCUUGGGUGUUUUUCUCUUUUAAAAUUAGCCUUUAUUUUCUCACAAACUAUUGUAGUAUAGUGGUUUUUAGGUGUCAUCCAUUAGGAUGAAUUGUUCUCGGUAAUUAAGGCGUGAAUGAGAGGAGAAUUAAUGAUUGUGAUUAAGUAAAAUUGAUUUGAAAAUUCAUGGUGAAAAAUCAAUUUAACAAUGGUUUCUAAUUGAGAAAAACAAUGAAAUGUGAAAUAAAAUAAAAUUAAUAGGAAAUGAAAUUCUCGAAGUUAGAAUUUUCUAAAAAACAAAUUCCAUGGUGAAUGGAUGUUGAGAUCUAAUUUUCAUCAAGUUAGAUUGAAAACCGAAAUUUUCAUAUAAACUGAUUUUUUAUUUAGUUUUAGGUCUAGAUUUAAUUUCCCUUAAAAUUAGGUUAUUUAAUCCAAGAAAUCAAUUCAAAUCAUAUAUUCAAUUCAUCUUAAAUUAUCUUCCAAUUAUUCACACAAUGCAACUAUUCAAUCUCAUCAAAUCUAGCUUUUAAGAAUUUAAUGAAUCUACCUAGUUUGCAUUGUAAUAGUCAUCCAUGACAAUUUGAAGAGAAAAAUAAUUCAAUUAAUCAAUCACUUGGAUCAAAUUACCUUUGCAAUUAAAGUUCAUUUCUCUAAUUCACCACAGAUUUUGUCUCUAGAUCCUCCUUUCUCAAAGAAAAAUGAGAUUUAGCCACACAUGAUUGGAGAUUUGGUCUCAUAAGGCAUGUUUAGCUAGUGAUAAAAUGAGAGAAAAUAAAGAAAAAUAGAGAAUUCGAUUAAGAAAGAAAAUCUAAAAAAUUCUACAAUUAGAAAUGUCCAAAAAGCUUUUUCAUGAGAAAAUCAAGUUUCUAUUUAUAGGCCAAGGUCAAGUGGACACUUGACAUCAUCUAAGAGGUCUUCCGGAAGCUUCUUCAUCAAGAAAUCUGGAGUUUAAUAAUAAAAUGGUCAUUUCACAAGAGCUCAAACAAUUUCGCAUGAUUAUGUGAAAUAAAAAAUGCAACAACAGCAAUUUACAUCUUCUUGGAGCAUUUCGCAUGACUGUGUGAAAUUUUCACAUGAUCAUGUGGAAUCGACUUGACAACUCUCAUUUAGCCUACAACAUAAUUCCACCUUUUGGUCCAUUUUUCAUAGUCAUGCGAAAUGGAAAUAUUUGAUUUUUAAGUUUUCUUUUGUCAUUUCUUUCAUUUCCUUCUCUUGAUUCCACUUCAACUACCUCCGAAUCCUGGUCCAAACCAAUUGCAUUACUUCUUUCAUUAUGCAUUUGGAUCAUCAUCAACAUUAUUUGUUCUCUUCAAUUUGAUUCAUCUCUUUUGUCACCAAUUUAUCAAAAUCAUACCUUGAAAUGACUCCAAAACUUCAUAAAACUUGUUAGUAACUCUUGCAAGGGCAACAACAUAUUAAUUAAGUGUUUUAGGCAUAGUUACUACUCAAAAGAUGCGAAACUCAUGAUAAUUAUUAUAUAAAAUAUGCUCUUUUUGAGUAGUAAUCAACUUUCUUGCAUAAGCAGACCUUUUAGGGUGGAGUACUAAAGACCAAUAUGCUUGUCCUUGUUGUAAUAAAGAAACUUGCUCUUAUUGAUUGCACCAUGGGAGAAAAUUUUGCUACAUGAGUUAUCAUCAAUUUCUUCCCACCAAUCAUAGAUUUAGACGUGACAAGAGGCCUCUUAAUGGCAAGGAGGAACUGACACUCACACUUAUACAAUUAUCGGGCAUUGAUGUGUUGCAACAAUUAGAAUAACUUACACCAAUUAUGUUGGGGAAGUCACAAAAGGCAAACAUGAAAACUAAAAGGAAAAAAGAAAAAUGUUACAUAUCACCACAACUGGAAAGAAAAAAGUAUUUACUUUCAUUUGCCAUAUUGGAAAGCACUUAUUUUACAUCAUAAUAAUUUAGACAUAAUGCAUAUUGAGAAAAAUGUGUGACAAUAUAAUUGAGACAUUGUUCAGUAUUGACGAAGAAACAAGGACAACCUAAAUAGUCAUCUCGAUUUACAAGCUCUAACUAUUAGAAAUGAGAUUCACCCAAUAGAAAGCAGGACCAAAUUUAUUUUGCUUGCAACAUGCUACUCACUCACCCCAAAUGAGAUUAAGGAAUUUUGCAAGUUUUUGAAAUCAAUAAAGGUCCCCAAUGGCUAUUCUUUCAAUAUCUCUCGUUAUGUGCAACUCAAUGAAAGGAAGAUAUAUGAGCUCAAAUUGUAUGAUUGUCAUGUCCUAAUGCAACAACUUCUCUCACUUGUAGUUCGUGGAGUUCUACAUAAGAAUGUUUGUGGAGUUAUCAUAGAAUUGCGUAAUUUUUUCAAGCAAUUGUGCUCAAAGGUGUUAGAAACAAAUCACUUACACCAACUUGAGAACAAUAUUAUUGUCAUACUAUGUAAAAUGGAGCAAAUAUUUCUUCCAUCAUUCUUUGAUAUUAUGGUGCAUUUACUUGUGCAUCUAGUAAGGCAAAGGUUGCAAGACUUGUGCAAUAUUGUUGGAUGUACCUAAUUGAACGAUAUUGUUAUAAUUUCAUAUGAAUCAUUUAAUUUUAUUUUAUAUUAUGUUCAGUUCAUUAACAUGUACAUUGGUCUACAUAUGGAUGAUGAUAGGUACCUAAGCACUUUAAAGUCAUAUGUGCGUAAUAGAACUUUUCUAGAAGGUUCUAUUGUAGAAAGGUACCUUGCAAAAGAAUGUACAACAUUUUAUUCUAGGUACUUGAAUGAUGUGGAAAUAAAGUAUAAUCACAAUGAUAGAAACUUUGUUGGUUUCAACACUAGAGGAGAUGAAAGGGGUUAUCUUUAAACAUAUUGGACAUGCAUUGGGAAAGCCCAUAUUUCAUUAACUUAGUUCAAAAGAGUGGUCACAAGCACAUUUAUAUGUGUUGACAAAUUGCGAAGAUGUCAUACCAUUCAUUGAGUAAAAAAUUUAUUUGAAUUUUAAUUAAAGCUCUAGUUUAUAUCCUUAAUCAAUGUUUUUUAAAUUCACAAGGAGCACAAGCAAACCAUCAAGGCUAGACCACAUAUACGUGUUUGAGACGUAGAUUUAAUUCAUAACAAGGAAUUUAUCAAGUGGUUUGAAAGACAUGUAAGUAUAUUCCUUAUUAUAAGGGAUUUAUUUCACAUUAUGUUUAUAUUGAAUCCAAACCUAUUAUUGAAUUGUAGGUUGAACAAUUACAUAAUGAAGGUCAUAUAUCUGAACACCUUCUCACAUUAUCAUGUGUUCCAAAUUCAUUAGUUACAUGCUUCAAAUGAUAUAUUGUCAAUGGAUUUAGAUCCCACAUUAAAGAACGUGAUAAAAAAGUUUUUAAAAAAAGACUCAGAAUAAUGGAAUUGUUGUAGUUGCAAAAACGUCAAGCUUUACAAGUGCAUGUGAUAUGAGUCCAAUUAUUAGUGAUGCUCUCUACUAUGGUGUUCUAACUAAAGUUGUUGAGUUACAUUAUCUUGGUGAAAAUAAGGUUGUUUUAUUCGAGUUUGAUUGGUGGGAUGUUACAAAUAUUGGAAAAUUGAUAAAAGAUGAUGAGUACAAUUACACAUUUGUUAACUUUGCAUGAAUUCUAACCACGAACGAACGAUUUGUACUUGCAUCUCCAGCAAAGUAAGUGUUCUAUGUGAAGAAUGCGAAUGAAUCAGAUUGGCAUACUAUCAUGGAGAUGCAACCUCAAGACCUCUAUAAGAUGAACGGGAUAGGAUCCAAUGGUGAUUUUGAACCAUUUCAACAAAGUGAACUACAUGAUCACUAAUAUAUCUCAGAUUUAGUUGAUGAAGAUAUAAUCAAGUGGAACAAAAGUGAUGUUUUAGGACUAAUCAUCCUAAAAAAUAUUGUAGUUUCUUAAAAAAAAAAUGAAAAUGAAGAAGAUAAUUGAACCUUUGUCAUACUUUAAAAAGCAACUAUGCAUUGUUCAUUUUGUAUGUUUUGGUUUUCUUCAUUUAAUUUCCUGAUUUUUGUGAUUCAAUGUCAUAUUAUUGAUCUUGAAAUAUUUUUCUAAUUUUUCAUUCUACGAUGGUUUCAACAAGGAUGACAUCAAGUCAAAAAAGGAAAUGUGGUCCCACACACAAUAUUGCAUUACAGGGAUUAAGGUCAGGGAAGAAGGUAAAAGUUGCAUUUAAUGAGUACAAUCAAUUGGUUAAACAGAAAAAUGGAAAACACUUAUCGAGCUACAUAGGGACACUUGUAUCUAACCAACACAAUGUACCUCUCCAAGCUAGUGAUUGGAAAAAUGUUCCAAAUGAUGCAAAAGAGAAAGUAUGGCCUUUGUUUUGGUAUGUUGUAUUUCUCACUAUAUGAUGUCAUUUCACUGUUAUUCUAUUUUGUGACUAACGUUUGAAUCAUAUGUAAGAAAAAUUUGAAGUAGAUAAAGACUGAAAAGAUUACAUGUUGGGUAUAGCCUCAAAUAAAUAUAGAAGCUAUAAAAAUAUGAUGAAUGCAAAAUACUAUGACCCUUGGCAUAAGGAUGCAUGAGGAGAGGUUAAUACAUAAAUCACCAUUUGUCUCUGAUGUUGAUUGGAAGUGGCUUGUCUCUGAUGCAUAAACCAAAUCCCCCACUGAAUGUUUGAUAUUUGAUAGCAGGAAAAACACACCCGCAGCUAUACACCUCCAUCAUUCAGAUAAUUAUAGUGGGGGAGAUGAUUCAUGGUUGCCCUUAUACCCUUUAUUUGCACCAUCUAUUGAGAUUCUUUAUCAUGGCCAGGUUUUACUGCAGCAAUAAGAUAUGGUGGCAACAAUUUUAUCUAUAGGUGCGGUUCCAGACCGCCUCCAUAGGUGCGGUUCCUGACUGCCUCCAUAGGUGCCUCUUCUUGUAAUGUUUGUUCUGGGAAUUACACUUGAAAGCCUUAUCGUGAUAAGGGAUUACAAACACUAGUUCAGAGGACAGCCAUGUUAAACUUCCACUAUGUUUGUGUCACAUUAUCAGCAGCCUAGUGUUUAUUGGUCAUGCUAUCUGCAACUAAUAUAACCCGGUGAACUUCAAUCUAAAUUCUGAAAGUACUCAUGUGACAGAUGGUGCCUUUCAGCAGAUAUCAUCAAUUUAAAAGUAGUGUGUGUGCCUAUAGGUGGGAAGGCCUUGGCAAAUGUUCAGUAUUCCGGUAAUUCAAGAAGGAUAUAUCUAAAAUAGAUUUUCUUCUUGCCCAUUUCAAUAGUUAAAAUUUGAGAAGAUUGUGUCCACAUCACACAAAUAUUAUUGGUCCUUCUGUUGCAAUUUACCUCUGAACAUGUCUUCCAAUUCCCACGGUCCUGUUACUCCAGGAAAACUAUUUCGGUCAUAUUGAAAAAAAAAAUAUUAAAGAAGGUACACAUGCUUUUAAGUGGACUGGGGCAUUCAUAUCAGGUGGUCUGUAUCCACAUAUGCCACUUCGUGAAAGGUGGAACAGCCUAAUCACUAGGCUAUUUAGUGUGGCCCAGCCACGUUAAUCAAGCACAAGUCUUCAUACUUAAAGUCAAAUGGUGUCUUUAGUCUCAUUACACAUCGCUAUUUGAAGAUUAACUCAUCACUAGUGUAAUGCGAUUAAGACAGUCCUAACUCAAUAUUUGUUCUAGUUUUGGAUGCAAAUGCUUGCUGGUUUCAUCAUUGGAUGGGAUAAAGGUGCAAUCAGGACUAUGAAUACGUGCAGUAAUACUUCAUUCUCUUUUUUCUCAAUGAGACUUCUUGGCACAAUUUUGCUGCUCAGCAACCUACCUUUCCAUGGAAAAUCAGUUGUGACUGAUAGUAAUGGAUAUAUUCUAGAAAGCUAAACAUAGAUAGCAUUCAAUAUUAUCGAUAUAACAUUAACAGCGUAUGUCUCAAUGCUCAUCAGCUACAAGCAAUGGACAAACACUUUGAGUAACUCACAGCAGUCAAAAUUCCUAAACAGGACAGACGUGACAGAUCUAUAUAUAGAACACUGCAUAUGAGUCACAGGAAAAGAUAAUACGGGUACAUAGAAGCUCUUAUUUUACAUAUUACUCAUACUGAUCAAAGUCGCUCAGUUGGGAUGGAUGGGAGAAGGAGGUUUGAGGGGUGGCUUGUGCGGGGAAGUUGGCAGCUUCUUUCCGGGAGCUGGUUGCUUCUUUGCUGGAGUUGAAGGAGGCUUAAUCUUCCGAGGUGGCUUGUAUGAGUCUUCAGCAUUCUCAGCAGGAGGGUGACCAGGGUUGUGACCAUAAUGUGGUGGCUUCUCUCCCUUAGGUGGUUUGCCAACUGGGGUUGGUGGCUUGUUUUCUGGGAGUGGCUUCUCUCCCUUGGGUGGUUUGCCAACUGGGGUUGGUGGCUUGUGUUCUGGGAGUGGCUUCUCCCCCUUGGGAGGUUUUUCGAAUGGGGUGGGUUUGUGUCCUGGUGGUGGCUUCUCUCCCUUGGGAGGUUUACCAAUUGGGGUCGGUGGCUUGUGUUCUGGGAGGGGCUUCUCUCCCUGGGGAGGUUUAGUGGGUGGCUUGUGUUCUGGAGGUGGCUUCUCCACCGGAGGCUUAUGCUCUGGUGGUGGCUUCUCGAAGGGGGGAUGCUCAGGGUAAUCACCAAGUGAGGGGGUGGUGAGAACCACCAUGCCAAGCAACAACACUAGCAAGUAUGUAGUAGACAUCUUUGGGUUUGGACUCAGACAGUGCAAAACUACGAGAAAUCGCUAGCCCUUUAUAGCGGCUCGGACCUAAUACUGACAUAAUAUAAAAUAAAUAUUAUAUUUUAUCAAGAGAGAACAGAGUGUAAUUUUAUCAUUAAUACCGAUCGAGGCCAAAGAAAGAAGACCCAUAAUCCAUUUCCCACAAGCAUACACAAUGCAGCUGUAAUUUUAUCAUUUACUUUUAUCCCUUGGACCACUGCAUUUUUGUUGAGAGACACAAUAACACAUUUUUAUCUGUCAUUCAACAUUUACAGUAAAGAGAGGGCACAAAACGCAAUUAGAUAAAUUAUGUUUUGCCUGCUAAAAAGAGGCAAAUAACUUUAUUUGCAACAUAAUUAUUUUGGUUUCUAGUGACCCCGGGGCCUUUCGGUUGGUUUGGGAUCGGAAAAUGAACAUCAUAGGGGGGGUUGUGCCCUUAUGGGCAUAUAUAUCUGAUAGCUUCAACUGGCCUUGUUCCUAGAAAGAAAUUGCCAAAGAUAUAAACUUAUUCCAGGCUGAAAGUAGAUGAGAGUCAUAAUGAACAUCAACCUUUGUUCAGUUUGAUUCAAUGCCCCCAUAGUGUUCAUUUCACAGAUCUGAAUGAUUAUAUCCGUUGAAUACAUAAAUUAAUGAAGACAAAUAUGAAACCCAAGAUACAUCUCUGCAUAACAACCCCAACCCUGGUUGCUAUGUUUCCCUUCUUCUAUUCACAUGAGGAUACUGGUUAUAAUUGUCAAACUUGCAACAAGCCCUUUGACACCUAACGUCAAUGGACGAAUUAAAAGUCUCCUUCAAACGUCUAUUUCACAGCAUGAAGCUUAUAAAGGAUGCUGACAACCUUCAGAGUUAGCGACAAAAGAUAAUUAUCAAGGAGAGAUAGUUCCAUGAGAAUUCCAAGGAGUCUGAAUCAAAGACAAAUUGCUCACUCAAGGGUUCUUAUUUUCUUUUAGGUACAAAUCUCUUGAGUGUUGUUAAAGAAACACGUCACUGUCAUUUUGAUUUGCAUUUAACAUUUCACUUUUGUUCUGGAAGGUUUGUUCCGGAAACAUAUCAAAUGAGCAUCAUUUUCUUCUUCGGUGACACAUGGUCGCGAGUACGUGGGUCCAUUUUCAUGCCACUUAGUUGAAAAGUUGGAAAGAAAAAACAUGCCAACAAGAAGAUAGUGAGAGAAGGGGCACUUCAAGCCUUUAACAUGAACAAACAGUAAAUAAAAGAUGUUUCUCCACUCAUAAAAGUGUGUUAGAUAGCAAUAUAACGAAUCACAUCCAAAAUCUUUACUAGGCUCAAACAUAAAGAAGACUCAUUUUUAAGAAAAGAUAAAAAUGGCAUUGUCUGAUAGUAUCCAAUACACGAGAUGGCACUUAAUUUGUACAAGAUCUGUCAAUGCUGACGCACAUUUUCUGAUUAAAAAAAAACUGAUCAGUCAAAAGCAAUGAAGAGAAGUGAUGACAAUGAAUGAUGCUUCCAAUAUUUUCACCCCUUAUAGUGUUCUUCAUGAUUCAGAUAUAUAAUUGGAAAUAGAACAACCCUAUGCCAUACAUUCGUCUAAGUAUGGUGUCUAAUUUUUUGUGUCAGCGGUUGCGAAUGGAGCGUGCAAAAGUCCAAAUUGGCGUCUCUCCAUUUCCACAUAGGAAGGUGACCUUUAUUGACAAAUACCCAAUAUUUGUAGACAUUCCUUAAAUAUCAUAACUUCUUGUUGAUUUGAAAAUCAUUUUUCAACUACCAUGUUUUAAUAAAUAUUUUUUAAAAUGUAUUUUUAUCAAAGUCCACCAUGAUGGAUAAUAUUCACCAUGCAAUAAUUAAUAAAGUACAAACUAAGCGAAAUGAAAAGCAUUUUCUUUGCUUUGAGUUGAUUUUGGUUGCAUUGAGUUGAUUUUGGUUUCAUGGUUUUUUCAACUCUUAUUUUGAUUGGAAGAUGUCAAGAAAAGAAAACAUAAAGAAAAAUUAAAAGGGAAAAAAGAAGAAAAAUAAAAAAAAAUAGAUUUAAAAGUUAAUAAAUUAUUUUUUAUAUUUAUUUUAAUUCAUUUCACUUAUUUUUCUUUUACUAUAUAAAAUUUAAAUAAUUUAAAUUUUAUAAUUAAUUUAAUUACAUUUCAUUUUCUUCUAUAUUUAAAUAUUGGAAAAAUAUUUUACUUAAUAUUUUUUUCUUUAAUUUCUUUGGCAUUUUGGGAACCAAACUUAGCCUUUAAAAUAAAAAACAAAAAAAAAAUGAAAAUAAGGAGGGAAAAGUGAGAAAAGAUAAAAACAAUAUGUAAAGGAUUUGAAAAGUAUUAGUUUGUAAUUACUAUUUGGAUUUCAAUAGUAUUUUAUUUGUCUUUCUAUAUUUCAUGUAAGAGAGAAUUUAAGAUAUUCCCCAAGGCAAAGCAUUAGUUACCUGCAAUCAGUGGUGAUAAGGCUCCAAGCCAAUUUUGGGCCCCAUAUCUUAAGACAGUACAAUUUCCAUUUCAACAUUUCUGAUUUCUCAGAUGUUUCACAUACCACAGAAGAACAUUGUUUGUGAAAAUAUGCAUUUAUGUUGGAUUUUGUAUGCUGUGGGGACUGGGGCAAGGAUCAUAUGGAAGAGUGGUUGACUUUUUCUGUACUUUAACGGUUGAAAUAGGAUAAGCACGGGCAUUUGUGAGGCUUAAUUGAUUUUGAAGCCUGAAAUUGCGUUUCUGUCAUUUUGUCAAAAAAAUGGCAGAUUCCAUACUCAUAUGUUUGGCCUGUGGCCAUGUACAGAUGCCAUUUAGUGACCAGUUUGUAACUGUCAAUCGUUGCGUUUUGACUCUGCCUCAACAACAUCUGCCAUUGACGGGUUUUCAUACUUGCAAAUCAAAUAGUCUUUCGUCCCAUCAGGAAUUUCGGUUUAAAUAUUAUUAAGCAUACGUUUGGCUGACAAUCAUUAUCCAGUUCAUGAUUUGGUUUCUUACCCUUAAUCAAUGGUUUCUAAGUGAAUAUAUGUAGAAGGAAAUCCGAAGUGUAGACAGUAGUAUCGAUAACUCUCAAUAUUCUCUAUAUAAUAGAAUAAACAGCGUCAUAGUGAUCGUCGCCUACAAGCAAGGUACAAAUACCAAAACGAGUGACUCACAUAGACAUCUCCCAACAAGAUGUAGUAGUGACUGACACAUGGACACAAUUAACUCGUAGAAAAGGAUAAGACCAUUGCACAGCAGCUCUUAUUUUACAUACUACUUAUGCUAACCAAAGUCAAUUAGUUGGGAUGGGUGGGAGAUGGAGGUUUGUGCGGUGGCUUGUGGGGCGGAGUUGAUGGCUUCUUUCCAGGAGCUUCUGGCUUUUUCAUCGGAGCUGAAGGAGGCUCAAUCUUAUGAGGCGGCUUGUAUGAGUCUUCUUUACUCUCGACAGGAGGGUGGCCAGGGUUGUGAUCAUAAUGUGGUGGCUUCUCUCCCUUAGGUGGCUUGCCAACUGGGGUUGGUGGCUUGUGUUCAGGAAGUGGUUUCUCUCCCAUGGGAGGUUUAGCAAUUGGGGUUGGUGGCUUGUGUUCUGGGAGUGGCUUCUCUCCCUUGGGAGGUUUAGUAGGUGACUUGUGUUCUGGAGGUGGCUUCUCCACCGGAGGCUUGUGCUCCGGUGGUGGCUUCUUGGUUGGAGGGGGCUUGGGGUAAUCAGCAAGAGAUGGGGUGGUGAGAACCACCAGUCCAAGGAACAACACUAGCAAGUAUGUGGGAGACAUUUUUGAGUUUGGGCUGAUCAGAUGAUGCAAAACUAAAGCAUUACGUGACCUUUUAUAGCAUGUAGCUCCCAAUACCCACUAAGUAUUGUGGGGUCCAUUUGUGCCCUACGGGGUUGAAAACUUAGACAAUUGGGCAAGGACCCACCUGACUAUGGAGGACUAGUGAGGUGUGAUCAUAGCUUUAGGAUUUUUCUUCCUCUGCAGCCGUCGUGCCGUUGGCAUGAUUUUCUUAAUCUUAAAUAAAGGCAUAGUUAUAGAGUUGUUUAAUCUCUAAAUGGGAUUUUAUAUAUAUCUUCAGAUAGCCAUUAAUAUAUUUGAUGAAGAAAGAAAGACAAGUGCAUACAACAUGUAUACGACUAGCUUUCAUGGAGUUCAUUUAUGAUCAGUUUUCCUGUACAUGUAAACCAGGAUCAUAUAUAUGUUUCUGUUCCACAACUAUUUUGGAAUCUUGUUUAUCAGUUUUUAUCAUUAUAAUGUCACAUAGGCUGCCAACUUGGGCGCUAAAAGAACCAGUUGGGCUAGUUCGUUUCAGAAUUUCAAUGUGGAUUCAGGAAUUGUUUUGUAAGAUAUGCGAAAUAGUAGAGGGAUGAAUAGUGUUUCAUUAAUAAAAGUGUCCUGUAAAUUAGAAGGUGUCAUAGAAACUAUAAUCAAUAAAUAACUUUUUUUCCCCACGGGUGGUGUUUCUUGUGGGGAUCAGUGACUGGUUUAGGUUCACCCAAAAUGAGUUCAGACUAAAAUUGGUUUGAGUCAAUGCCGUGUCUCUUUUUUCCAGAAAUCAACUAUUUUAUGCAUUGAAUAAAUCAUACAAAGAAAAUAUGAACGCCCGCAAAACCUAAACCCUGGUUGCUAACUUUCUAUGUUUCAGUUCUAUUCACGCAAGAAUAUUAGUUUAAGUUUGGGAAAAAUGGCAACUUACCUAGUGAUUACUUGGUUUUGGUUUGCGACUAUUUACGCAACCAACCAUGAGUUUGACUUUAACGUCAUGGGUUGAAGCCUCCUACAGGAAGGGAGAAAGCUCCACAGCUAGCUCCAAAAGAGAAUUAUCACAUUGAUAGCUCCAGAGAUUCCCAAGGGGACUGAAUCAAAGACAAGUUCCUCACUUUUUCUUCUUUUGAGGCCAAAUAUGAACCAAGGAUCACACAACCUCAUUCAACUUCAUAAGUUUGAUUUCAUGCAGUUGAACACUGGGUGAAGGCCAUGACAAGAAUUGAUUCAAAAAUUCUAUCACUCUUUUAAGUAAUGGAAGAUUAUUAUCUCUGAUUGGCAUCACAACAGCACAUGCUCCUAGAUCUUUCUAGACACUCCAUGCAAUGAAAGCACAAUGGAUCUUGUAACGAUAGAAACUAAGCCAUGCUACAGUACUAGAUGAUGAGGUAAAACUAGUAGACACGGGUGGCAGCCUAUAUGGGAGGGACACAAGUCUAAUUGAUUUGCAUUUCAGCAUUAUAGAUAGGUAUGUUUUGGAAGAUUUGUUCUGGAAAUACCGCACCAAGUAGGAUUCUUUUUCUCUUUAGUGGGUCCACUUGCAUGCCAAUUAACGAGUUGAAAAGUAUGAGCACCUACCUCGUGCUCGUGGAACCGAAGGUCAGUGAAGUGGGGCUCCUUUUGGCCUCGUGUAAACUUGAUUCAGAAGUGAAGUUAAUAGUCUUCCAUUCAGAUGGAUACAUGGGAAUUUUUCUCUUUUAUUUAUUUAUUUAUUUUUUUUUUGUGUGUGUAUGUCAAAGGAUAAUGAAUGAAGCGCGUUAGCUUGUUUUCUGACUGGAACCGCAGAUGUCCAAAUUGGAGUUCCUUCAUUUCUUACUUAGGAUUGUUACAUGUAUAAACAAGGUAUAAGAAAUAUGCCAACGUGUCUUGAGGAGUUAUUGAUUAGAAAUAACAAGUCACCCGACUGUAGAGUUCCAAGAUUUGAAUCUUCAGACCCUAUAGCAGCCUCUGGGGUACGUGGCAUCCUAUAGCAUAUUAAUGAAGGCUUUUUCGAUUUAGACUUCACAAUACCAAUUAAUAUGUAUGCACAAAAUGGAGAUGACCCCAAAAAAAACAGAAUCGCCAUAGUUUAUGAGGUUAAGGUGAUUCUCCACUUAAUAUCUACAUUAGCUAAUUAUGUAAAUCAAAUGAACUUCUAUUUUUCCUUUUUUUUUUUGGUUUAUGUCAAAUAGUAGCCCAUAAUUAACCCAACCAUUAGCCUGUUUGAAUUGAUUUCACAUGCACAAUGUUGUAGUAGUUCAUAUUUUGAAUUUUAUUUUUACAAAGGUAGUUAAGGAAAAUGAAGUAUAAUAAUUAUAAAAGCAGACUAUAUACACUACAAUAAUUGUUAGAAUGGUAUCUCAAAUUCUAAUUUAAAAUAUUAUUUUUUGUAAAAGAAAUAUUAUAUAGAAUAUUUCCUAAUUUUAUAAAUGAUUAUAAUUAGAUCUUUAUAAAAUAAGGAAAGUUGGUAAGAAUAUCUUUAUAAAUAUUUUAGGUCAUGAGAGAAAGAAAUGGGAUAAAAAUGUGAUGAAGAGGUGAAAUAAGAGAGUUGAUUAGGAUAUAGAUGUGAAGAAGAAAGGGAUUCAAUAUAUAUAUAUCUUUCAAUUACCACAUUAAAACCCUGUGAACCUUUUAUAUGGUUUACUUUAUUUUUAUAUUCCUCCUUUAAUAUAUUUACAUUAAUGCUUCCAUUGGCACAACAAUAACGAAUUACAAAUACAAGCAACAAGUCCCAUGUUUUAUUACCAAAAGCAGGUAAAAUCCACCUAAUAUAUUACAAUAUAUUCAUCCAAUAUUUUAGACCAAUUCUUCACCAUAAAUAUCAUAAUGUGGCUUUUGUUCUUUCUUAAAUUUAAAUUGAAUUGUCUUAUAUCAAUUUGUUUGUGAUUUUUUCAUUAACUUCACUUUCAUUUGGUUAUCUUUGGUUUUUGAAAAGUAUUAAGGAAUUAAUUAACAAAAUAAUGUUAAGAAAAAUAAUUUUCUCUCUUUUGAUUUUGAUUUUGUAGUAGAAAAAUAUAAUUAAAAUUAUUUAAAAAGUAUGUAAUUUUAAAUUAUUUAAUAUUUAGAUAAAAAAAAUAAGUCUAAUGAGUUUAAAAUAACAUAUAAAAAUAAUUUAUUUAUUUUAAAUUUAUUUUUUAUUUUCCAUUAUGUUCUCUUUCUCUUUUACUUUUUCAUAUUUUUUCUUACGAAGAAUCAAACACAACCUCAUAUUAUAUGUCAAGUGUUUGUCUAUAUUUGAGCAAUGUUAGAUACGGCCAUGGAUUCAUCAAACUAAACUGAUUUUAAUAGAUACUUCACAAAUUGAUUUAUACACUAAAUCAUUGGAUAGCAAUGAUGCAUUGGAAUUAAACGUAGGAUGAAGCUCGAAGAACACUGUUUGUGUAACAACAUAUUUAUGAAAUUAUGCAAAGGAUGAGCUUCGGGGUAGUAGUACAAGGUCAUUAAUGGAGAGCCGUGUUAAACCUUGAUUGUGAUUGGAUUCCGUUAUCAGCAACAGCAACCUUGUUUGUAACCUUGAAAGUCAUUCUGUCCACAUCGAAACUCCAAUUUGACGUUUGUAAUUACCAUUCCUGGAGUGUUCCUUGAUUGAAAUUUAAAUAAUAAUUGCGGCCCACAAGGAAUAUUUUCGAUUCUGUGGGAAUUUGACAAGGUUUGUUAGAGAAGACUGGUGACAUGUUGACUUCAAUGGUUCAAAUAGGAGACGUAUGUGGAUUUGGGGGGUUUAAUUGAAACUGAGUCCCUAUGGCUUUUUAAUAUUUGCAUUGAGCAGUCUCCAUGUGACUUCCUAAUUCCCACCAACCCUCCUGUCCAUGCUGUGAAACUAAAUUGUAAUUUAUCAGCCUUUGUCAAUGGUUUCUAAAUUAAAGAUAUAGACCAUGCAUGUACUUUAAUAAAAGCAAAUCUAAAGUGUAGAUAGCAGCAAUGGUGACACCCAAUAUUCUCCAUAAAAUAGAAUUAGAAUAAGCAGUGUUACAUUGUUCAUGAUCACCUACAAGCAUACAAGAACUUCCAUGAAUAACUCAUAGCAAUUGCCAACAGGGCGUCGUAGAGACUCAUACAUAGAACACUAUCCACCCAGAGGAAAGGACAAGACCAGUGCGCUGCAGCUCUUAUUUUUCACAUGUAUACCACCACUCGUAAUAACCAAAUUCACUCAGUUGGGAUAGGUGGGAGAUGGUGGUUUGUGGGGUGGCUUGUGGGGAGGAGUUGGAGGAGGCUUUAUUUUCUGAGGCGGCUUGUAUGAGUGUGCAGGAGGAUGCCCGGGAGUGUGACCAUAAUGUGGUGGCUUCUCUCCCGUAGGUGGUUUGCCAAAUGGGCUUGGUGGCUUCUCUCCCUUAGGAGGUUUACCAAUUGGGGUUGGUGGCUUGUGUUCUGGGAGUGGUUUCUCUCCCUUGGUAGGUUUGCCAAUUGGGGUUGGCGGCUUAUGUUCUGGGAGUGGCUUCUCUCCCUUGGGAGGUUUGCUAAUUGGGGUUGGCGGCUUAUGUUCUGGGGGCGGCUUCUCUCCCUUGGGAGGUUUGCCAAUUGGAGUUGGCGGCUUAUGUUCUGGGAGUGGCUUUUCUCCCUUGGGAGGCUUGCCAAUUGGGGUUGGCGGCUUAUGUUCUGGGGGUGGCUUCUCUCCUUUAGGAGGUUUGCCAAUUGGAGUCGGCGGCUUAUGUUCUGGAAGUGGCUUUUUUCCCUUGGGAGGUUUGCCAAUUGGGGUUGGCGGCUUAUGUUCUGGGGGUGGCUUCUCUCCCUUGGGAGGUUUGCCAAUUGGAGUCGGCGGCUUAUGUUCUGGGAGUGGCUUCUCUCCCUUGGGAGGUUUUGUUGGUGGCUUGUGUUCUGGAGAUGGCUUCUCCCCUGGAGGCUUGUGCUCCGGAGGUGGCUUCUGAAAUGGCGGGGGCUUGGGGUAAUGAGCAAGAGAUGGAGUACUGGUGAGAACCACCAUUCCAAGCAACAAUACUAGCAA
rnacentral:lncRNA from 1 species